CGCUCUCAUAUAAUAUAUAAGAAUUUGUAUUCUAGAAAUCGUACCUUGAAAAUCCGAGUUGGCUUUUUCCGCUGAAGUGAUUUAGGCUCCUAGAUCACGAUCCGCCACCACCACUCCUGUUAGAUCACGAUCCGCCACCACCACUCCUGUUAGAUCACGAUCCGUCACCACCACGCUUGUUAGAUCACGAACUGUCACCAAUGAUCUUCCAGGUUAUGACUCAGAUUCGAUCUGCACUUGACGUGUGGGCGCCUUUAUCACUACCAAAAGCAACUAGCACGAGAAAAUUUUUCUCUCAAUAAUAGAGAGAAAAAUCUUAUUCUCUGAUCUGUAUAAAGUGGCUUCUCUUUUUUCUUUAGAGAAAAUAAGCCUUAUAUAUCUCCCUUUAGUGAAAACUCUAGGCUCCAAAUAAUGCCCUAAAUAAAACUCACGUUAUUUUCUUUUUCAAUAGGGGACCCACCUUGUAAAAUAACAUAAGGCCCCUUAUACAAAAGCUAAUUAAAUGGAGCCUCCCACUAAAUGAUAUAUUUAGGCUUUUGACCCAAAUAGCUAGUUAUCUUACUUAUUAGUCCAGUAGUGGUGCAGUCAAUUAAAUGAGCUAACCCGGGGAUCAUUUGGGAACAUACAAUAGUGGCUACAAUAAUUAGGCCUGUAAUUAAACUAGCCCAAUUAUUUAAUUCCAAAUCUACUCCACUAAAAAAUUGGAACUGACUUCCAUAAUUGUAUGCUCGAAUAAUAAUUCGUCCCAAGCCACAUUGAUUUCUUUACUGCACAAUCCUUUGUACCACAUCGUUAAUUAAAUUGAUAUCUCAACUGUCCAAUCAAUUUAAUAACAUCUUAUUCCUUGAUCCUUACUGGUUUUCUCUAAUGAUCAUUUUCAACAUACUAAAUAUGUUGACACACUCUGGCCAAAGAAUUCUAUGAUCAAGUGCCGAAAACCUAUCAAGAGAUGUGUUGUACAAAUUCUAUAUUGUUAAUCCAUAACUCCAAUACUCAUAAUUGCUCCCACCAAGAUACCGGGUAAUCUUGACCACAAGGAUGUGUCGUGCCCAUUGGUAACUCAAAUGGAAUAACAAUUACAAUCAUGAAAUCAUAAUUAACUCAAGAUUAAGAUUACAGUAAAAUCAAUGCCUAUGAGAUUUAAUAAGUCUGACAGUUAUUACAAAGUUAAUUAAAUCUCACAUGUGAUCCUGUUAAAUUCCUGCAAAAGUAACACCCAACGAAUUAGUCUAGCUUUUGCAUCUUUCUUUGUGAGAAGAUAUUUAAGAGCAGCAUGAUCUGUGAAUAUAAUUAUUUUAGAACCAAUGAGAUAAGAUCGAAAUUUUUCUAAUGCAAACACUACUACUAGCAUUUCUUUUUCAGUAGUUGAAUAGUUCAACUGUGCAUCAUUCAAUGUCAUACUAGCAUAGUAAUUAACAUGGGGAAUUCGAUCUACUCUUUGUCCUAACACUGCUCCUAUUGCAUAAUCAAAUGCGUCACACAUGAGGUCAAAUGGUAAGCUCUAGUUUAGGGGCUGAAUGAUGGGUGAUGAUGUCAACAACCGCUUUAAUUUUUUCAAAUGCCACAAGACAUGAAUCAUUAAAGACAAAAGGUACAUCCUUAGCAAGUAGAUUGCAUAAGGGUCUAGAAACUUUGCUAAAAUCUUUAAUGAAAUGUCUAUAAAAAUCAGCAUGCCCAAGGAAAGAUCUUACUUCUCUGACUGUUUUGGGUGGAGGAAGAUUAGAAAUAAGAUCCACCUUGGCUUUGUCAACCUCAAUACCUUUGCUCGAAAUGAUGUGACCGAGAACAAUACCUUGUUUUACCAUAAAAUGGCACUUCUCCCANNNNNNNNNNNNNNNNNNNNNNNNNNNNNNNNNNNNNNNNNNNNNNNNNNNNNNNNNNNNNNNNNNNNNNNNNNNNNNNNNNNNNNNNNNNNNNNNNNNNNNNNNNNNNNNNNNNNNNNNNNNNNNNNNNNNNNNNNNNNNNNNNNNNNNNNNNNNNNNNNNNNNNNNNNNNNNNNNNNNNNNNNNNNNNNNNNNNNNNNNNNNNNNNNNNNNNNNNNNNNNNNNNNNNNNNNNNNNNNNNNNNNNNNNNNNNNNNNNNNNNNNNNNNNNNNNNNNNNNNNNNNNNNNNNNNNNNNNNNNNNNNNNNNNNNNNNNNNNNNNNNNNCCUUUAUAAAUAUGCAUUUUCUAACACUCAACACACCCCCCAACCAGCUUAUUGCUAGUCCCUAGCAAAUAAAGCGAAAACAAAAUUCAAAUUCAAAAUAAUUUUUUUUUGUUUUAAUAGAAACACUCGUAUUUAUUCCAUCAGAUUAAUGAUAGCAAUCAAAUAAAAGUAUAAGCAUUAUCUCCAGUCUAAAGCAACAUCACACCCACAUCAACCAUCCACAUGAAUUAGCCCAGUAGACUUUGUUUUAGCUACUCUCAAGAAUGACAUGUCAAACCCCAAAAUCUCACUGGAAGUAGUGACACUCUCACAAAUAAAUUAAUCCCAAUAAAAAUAGUCACUCCAAUGAAUGGUAAUUGAGAGAGAAAAUAAUAAAGAAGUGAUAUCACAUGCUCUCACCAAGAUGAAAUAAAUAUGCCCUCAGCUUAGAAAUAAUACGAUCUCAAGUCAAAUAAAAUGUUAGUCAACCCACUUUAUUUAUCUUUUUUUUUUUUUAAUUAUGCAUCACUUCAUCUUUUUAGCCCAUAUAACUAGCUUCUACUUCAAACUAUAGUUCUCUAAAAUCAAGAAGGACUUUUAUUAGGACGAAACGUAGGCUAGGGACAUGGCUCACAAAGAAGGAAAAUAAGGAAAACAAAGUGUAUGUUUGAGAAAAAUGCAGAGAAUUUUUUUUUUUUUUUUUGGAAGUUGCAAGGUGGAUUUCACCUAUUUUUAUUCUUUUGAAACAACAACUUUUGUUUUUGUUUUUGUUUUUGUUUUUUUUUUUUUGCUUUUAUUUGGCAUAACUUCACUGAACAAAAUAAUUAUUUACAUUUUCUCAAACAUAAAUAGGUGAUGGAACUUAUAAGAUAUCGGGUAAUACUCCAAAUCGGAGUGGGUCAAGAUGAUAAGUUGACAAAGAAAAGGUUUUUUUUUUUUUUUUUUUUAAAGGCUCAAAAGGGUUAACUAUGGAUAUUAAAUAACCCAUCGUCUUUUAGGGCUCUAAAUAAUCUUCCAUAUCUACUAGUUAGAUGGGCCUCCAAAUGUAGCAACACACUCUUUUUUCUUUUUUUUUUUAUUUUACAAUUUUUUUUUUAAGGGUUAACUCAAAAGUAAUUUAGAGAUCGUGUAUAAAAUAAUAAACUGCUAAGCUGUAUAAAGAGUGGGCAAAAGGGUUAUUCUCCAAAAAAAAUAAUAGGCUCAAAAACUCACUUGGUACUUAUUAUGACAUGUUCAUUCCUUCAAGCAACUCACAUUUGUCUCCGACAUCAACAUGUAAAGUAGCAAACAUAGCGUAACAUCACUUAAGACCAAAGAUAAUACAAAUACUAAAAUUUGAAAUUAAUCAUGUCAUCCAAUGUUAAAACAAAUCACACAUUUUUUUUUUUUAAACAUCAUUCUACCCCCCAACCUAUUCUAAACAUGAAAGGAAAAUAUGCAUGCAGAAAUGUGAAAAUGAUGCAUAAAAACUAAUUAGAAAAGUUACACGUAAAAUGAUAGAAAACGAAAAUGAUUUUUUUUUUUUUAAAAGAAGAUGCGUUUCUAGAGGAACUACACUCCAUAUUCAGCCAUCUUCGACUCAAAAGUUGGAAAAUGUAUAUUUAUAGAGGAGAAAUUAAAAAGAAGAAAAAUAAACAUAAACACAUAAUAAAGAAAAAGAAAAUGUCUGAAUUUUUUUUUUUUUUUUAUAAACGAUGAAGAUGCGUUUCUAGAGUAACUACACUCCAUAUUCAGCCAUCUUCAACACAAAAAGUUAGCAACAGUUAGUUUCUACAACAAAAAAUUAGUAAAAACUUAACCAAAAUUCCACAAUUGUCGACUAUUCCCUCCCCCCAACCAGAACGAAACAUUGUCCUCAAUGUUUGAAAUGAAAGAAGUAGAGUUUAGAAGACAUCACCUGGGUGGUGCAACACAGAAGAAAAUAUUUACAGGCGGAGAGUUAAAUCUAAUUUGUACUUCUUACUGCGGCUACUGUUACCAUCAUUAUUUGGACGCUCCAACACAAAGGUCCAGGGGUCUGGCUCCGGUCGAUAAGCUUGUAACAUAUCAAGUAGCUCAUUAGCAGUGUGAGCACAAAUAAAGAGUUUUUUCGCAUUAGAGGGAAUGAAAUAGUUUUUUAUUGCAUGGUUAAGAAAUGCGAUAAAGCCAUCAUAAAAGUUAUUGACAUUUAACAAACCGAUGGGUUUCUGGUGGAUGUGCAGAUGGGCCCAAGAUGCUAGCGUGAUAAGUGCCUCUAGUGUUGCAAGAUCUCCUGGAAGGAAAAUAAAAGCAUCAGCAUGAUUAAGCAUUUCAGUUAUUCUUUCCUGCAUACCUGAGACGACUAACUCUUCUCCAGUUGAUGAGUCAGACGAACUGCCCAAUGGUUUUAGGACUCUUGGGAUGAUGCCUAACACUUGACUUCCUCUGAUAAAAGCUGCUUCUGAGACCAUUUUUGAUAACCCUCGAUUACCUCCUCCAUACACCAAGUGUAAUUUUCUCGCUGCUAUGCUUCGACCAAGAUCUAUGGCUGCCUCAACGAACUCUUUAUGUUUGCCAUAGGUAAAUCCAGAAAGCACACAAAUGUUCUUGAAUUGUCUAUUGGGAGUAGCUGCCAUUGUGAUACUUCUCAAAAACAAUUUGUGAGUGCUUGACAAAAAAGAAAUCACAUUUAAGAGUCUUGGUGAUAGUGGAUCAUGGUUGUGUAUGAGGUAAUAUGUCAGUGUCAAAUAACGCGUAAAGCACGUGGCUCGCAAGUCAAAAAGAAAACAGUAAAAAGAAAAAAAAGCAAACAGUAAUAAAAUUAUUAAAGACAAUAAUGCAAACAAUAAGACAAUAGUGAAAUAAUAAAGUAAAAGGAUAUUUACAGGUAGUUGCGACUGUGGCUCACAUCUUCCUCUGGUUUUACGUCCAGAAACGGCUUGAACGCCCUCUAUGGGUCGAGGAUAGGCUUCUUAUCCAGUUUUCUUAUAAACUGGCAAACAGGGUCGUUUAUAGUCAGAUUCCCGAGACUAUAUCGUGCAUGCUCUUUCUGGAAUAAUGACCAUAACUGGAGAAUCGCUCCUUGCACAUAUCCACUGGGAUGCGUUUCAAGAGACAAAAGGAUAUCAUCCAAUGACUCCUUAUUCAAGCCAUCCCUAAUGAAUUGAAUCUUAUCUUCCCUGUUAUCAGACAUCAUUCCUAAAGAACAUGGGUUUUUAUUGCAACUCAUUCUGGCACACUUAUGACAAGCAACAGAAAUUUUUCGAGCUCGUCGUUUUCUUGCAUAAUUUCCUUUACCACAACCAGGCAUGUAUGCAAUAAAUUUUGGAGGUAACUCACCUGCCGAUCGUACUUUAGCCUCGAUUAACCAACGGAUGUCAGCAGGUAUGUUAUUCCUCAUGAGUAAUCGCAUGCGUUCGGACCGAGCUUUAUAGAUCGUAAGGAGGGCAUUCUGAGGAAGUGAAGGGAAUCGCUUGUGAAGCUUCGCUAGAAUCUCGUUUCUGUCCAUACUUUCGCCUCAGAAUAUCAGUUAUUAUGGGAAACUGAAGUAACCGACUUGAUUGUCACGGAGUACCGUUAUCCGCCAUUUCACCGGGGUAACAAACUAAAGCACACAAAUAGAAAAACAAAUUAAAACACACAAAGAAAAUUAAAAUCGUCCUCUUAUUGAAUUUACCUCAAGCUCCAACUGGAUGUCGUAAACACUUCUCUCAAUGUCUCUGAGUUGGCUUUCUAAACCCUUAACAUAGGCUACUAACUCUGGUGGUUGUAGAGUCCAAAUGCGUUGUGUUUUACAAAAUUGAAUCUGUCUUUUGAGAUGAGUUUUGACACGUUGAAGUGGUUUAAGAAUGUUCAGGAGGAACGGUCUAAGUAUGAGACUCAUGAUUAAAAAUGAUAAGAGAAAACUUAAUGGUAAAAUAAACACACUUAUGCAAAAACAAUUUCAAUUAGCAAAAGAAUAAUAAUAACAAGAAAGAAAGAAAAAUCAAAUCAACGAAAAGAAAAAAAAAUCAAUUCAAAUUUGGUGGGUCACUCAAAUUUAUUUCGGUGUCUUCUUCAUGUGGUUGGUACUCUAGAUAUGGCUUUAAUCUUUGACCAUUAACUUUAAACGUGACACCGUUCUUUGGGUCUUUAAUUUCAAUUGCCCCAUGUGGAAAAACAGUAUGAACAAUAAAUGGGCCAGACCAGCGAGAGCGUAACUUACCUGGGAAUAGGUGCAAGCGAGAAUUGAACAAAAGCACUUUCUGACCUGGAGUGAACGAUUUUCUCAUAAUUUGCUUAUCAUGGAAGACUUUCAUUCGUUGCUUGUAAAUCUUGGCAUUUUCGUAUGCAUCAUUGCGAAUUUCUUCAAGUUCUGCCAGCUGUAAUCUUCUUUCUGAGCUGGCUUGCUGCAUGUCAAAAUUGAAUUUCUUGAUGGCCCAAUAUGCACGAUGCUCGAGUUCCACAGGUAGGUGGCAAGCUUUUCCAUACACUAGCCUGUAGGGUGACAUCCCAAUCGGGGUCUUGAAAGCCGUUCUAUAUGCCCAUAAGGCAUCAUCAAGUCUUAAUGACCAAUCUUUUCUAUCUGGCCUCACCGUCUUUUCUAAUAUGUGCUUUAUUUCUCGAUUGGAGAUCUCAACUUGGCCACUGGUUUGCGGAUGAUACGGGGUCGCCACUUUGUGUGUGAUUGAAUACUUUGUCAAAAGAGCUUUGAAUGCUUUGUUACGAAAGUGGGCACCACCAUCACUGAUUAUCGCUCGAGGGAAUCCAAAGCGCGAAACAAUGUUGCUUUUUAAAAAUGCUAUUACCACCUUGUGAUCAUUGGUCCUACAUGGAAUUGCUUCUACCCAUUUUGAUACGUAGUCAACAGCAACCAAUAUGUAUUGAUGGCCAAAAGAAGGGGGAAAGGGUCCCAUGAAGUCGAUACCCCAUACGUCAAAAAUCUCAACCACUAAAAUUGGAUUUAGUGGCAUCAUGUUCCUUCGUGUAAUGCUUCCCAUUCGUUGACACCUAUCACAUGAAGAACAGAAAGUGUAAGCGUCUCGAAAUAUAGAUGGCCAAUAGAAACCACAUUGUAAAACUUUAGUCGCUGUCUUCUUAGCACUGAAAUGGCCUCCACAAGCUUGUUCAUGGCAGAAUGAAAGGAUAUUCUGAAUUUCACUUUCUGGGACACAUCGUCUAACAAUUUGGUCUGCACAAUACUUGAAUAAAUAUGGGUCAUCCCAAAAGAAAUUCUUUAUUUCCGCAAAGAAUUUGAUCUUGUCUUGCUUGGUCCAAUGCUCUGGAAGUUUACCUGUAACAAGAUAAUUAACUAUAUCAGCAUACCAAGGUAAUACUUCCACACUCAUUAAUUGUUCAUCUGGAAAUGACUCAUUUAAUGGUAAUUGUUCUAUAAUUGUGUCAAAAUGGAGACGAGAGAGGUGAUCCGCCACAACAUUCUCUGUGCCUUUCUUAUCUUUGAAUUCCAAGUCAAAUUCCUGCAAAAGUAAUACCCAACGAAUUAGUCUAGCUUUUGCAUCUUUCUUUGUGAGAAGAUAUUUAAGAGCAGCAUGAUCUGUGAAUAUAAUUAUUUUACAACCAAUGAGAUAAGAUCGAAAUUUUUCCAAUGCAAACACUACUGCUAGCAUUUCUUUUUCAGUAGUUGAAUAGUUCAACUGUGCAUCAUUCAAUGUCAUACUAGCAUAGUAAAUAACAUGAGGAAUUCGAUCAACUCUUUGUCCUAAAACUGCUCCUACUGCAUAAUCAGAUGCAUCACACAUAAGCUCAAAUGGUAAGCUCCAGUUUGGGGCCUGAAUGAUGGGUGAUGAUGUCAACAAUUGCUUUAAUUUUUCAAAAGCCAUAAGACAUGAAUCAUUAAAGAUAAAAGGUACAUCCUUAGCAAGUAAAUUGCAUAAGGGUCUAGAAACUUUGCUAAAAUCUUUAAUGAAACGUCUAUAGAAACCAGCAUGCCCAAGGAAAGAUCUUACUUCUCUGACUGUUUUAGGUGAAGGAAGAUUAGAAAUGAGAUCCACCUUGGCUUUGUCCACCUCAAUACCUUUGCUCGAAAUGAUGUGACCGAGGACAAUACCUUGUUUUACCAUAAAAUGGCACUUCUCCCAAUUUAAGACCAAAUUCUUCUCGAUACAUUUCUGCAGAACUAGCGUUAGAUGAUGUAAACAUUGAUCAAACGAGUCACCAAAGACAGAAAAAUCAUCCAUAAAGACUUCAAGGAAUCGUUCCACCAUAUCAGAAAAAAUGCUCAACAUGCAUCGUUGAAAUGUAGCAGGUGCAUUACAUAAUCCAAAUGGCAUUCUCCUAUAUGCAAAUGUGCCAAAAGGGCAAGUGAAAGUAGUUUUCUCUUGAUCUUUUGGUGCUAUGGGAAUCUGAUUAUAUCCUGAGUAACCAUCUAGAAAGCAAUAAAAUUCGUGGCCUGCUAAUCUAUCAAGCAUUUGAUCGAUAAAUGGUAAAGGAAAAUGAUCUUUACGUGUGACAGAAUUCAAUUUUCUAUAAUCAAUGCAUACACGCCAUCCUGUAGUUACUCUAGUUGGUAUCAAUUCAUUAUCGGUAUUCGUAACUACUGUGACUCCUGACUUUUUGGGGACAACUUGUACAGGACUGACCCAUGAACUAUCAGAAAUGGGGUAAAUGAUACCUGCAUCUAAUAGCUUAAGGACUUCAGUUCUAACCACUUCUUUCAUAUUAGGAUUUAACCGACGUUGCAUUUCCCUAGUAGAUUUAGCAUUUUCAUCAAGGUGAAUGUAAUGCAUGCAGUCUACUGGAUUUAUACCUUUGAUGUCUGCUAUGGUCCAUCCUAAUGCUCCUUUGUGCUCUUUUAAAACAUCCAACAACUUACCUUUUUGUUCGUCAUUUAGGGAUGAUGAGAUGAUUACCGGCAGAGUACUUUCUUCUCCCAAAAACGCAUAUUCCAAAGUGUUGGGCAAUGGUUUGAGCUCGAGUUUCGGUGGUGAUUCUGAUGAUGGAAUGAGUUGCUUCUCUGAUGGUGCUAGUUGUUCAACUCUUGACUUCCAUUUAUUAGUGUCCAUAGAUGGUGCUGAGUCAAGCAGGGCGUUGACCUCAUCAACCGAUCUGUCAAUAUCAAAAUCAAAACCAAAGUGAGUUAAACAUGUUUGUAAAGGAUCAUCACUAAGGUUUGAAAGAAAAGUGUCAUCAACUAAUGCUUCGAUUAAAUCCACAUCAACAAUUCCAUCAUCUGCACUGUGAGGUUGUUUGGCAAUGUUGAAGAUGUUCAGCUCCAUAGUCAUGUUGCCAAAGGACAACUGCAUAUUUCUAGUCCUACAUUGAAUGUGAGCAUCCGCAGUUGCUAAGAAAGGUCGGCCUAGAAUAAUGGGGAUGUGCUUCCUUGAAUCCUGUAUUGGUUGAGUGUCAAUUACAAUGAAAUCAACAGGAAAAUAAAACUUGUCUACCUGGAUAAGCACGUCCUCCACAAUACCACGAGGUAUUUUCGUGGACCGAUCUGCAAGCUGUAACACCACUGGAGUUGGGUGUAAUUCUCCCAGUCCAAGUUUCACGAAUACAGAGUAAGGCAAAAGAUUUACACUAGCUCCUAAAUCCAACAAAGCAUUCUCAAUUGUGUGGUUCCCUAUACUACAUGAGAUAGUGGGGGAGCCUGGGUCUUUGCAUUUUAAAGGAAUUUUAUGUUGGAGUAUAGAACUAACGUUUUCUGUUAAAAAUGCCUUCUUUUGAACAUGCAUAUUUCUCUUUUUAGUACAAAGGUCUUUAAGAAACUUGGCAUAGGAUGGAACUUGUUUAAUAGCAUCAAGCAAAGGGAUGUUAACACUUACCUGUUUGAAGAUUUCAAGAAUCUCACCUGUGGAUUUUCCCUUCUUUCCUUUCGCUAACCUCUGAGGAAAUGGAGCUUUUGGAACAUAUUCUCGUGGGUUGGUUUCUUCUUUUUCCUCCGGUGAUGAGUCCUCAACAUUCACAGGUACAAUUUGAUUUUCUUUUGUCACUGGCAUCUCCACCUUGUUGUCGACUUCUUUUCCUUUUCGCAAGGUCAUUACUGCUUUGACCUCUCCAUGCUGUUGUGGUGAACUGGUACUUGCUUCAUGUACUCCUUUAGGAUUAGGCACUGGUUGACUUGGAAACUUACCUUUCUCAACGGUCAUUGCCAAGGUUUGAACUGAAGAAGCAAGUUGUCCCACCAUCUUCUCGAGGCUUGAAACCGAUUGAGCUUGUGAGUUGAAGCCUGCUCUCAAUUCAUUUCGUAGUCCAUCAAUGGUGCGGUUCUGUUGCUCAAUCGUAGAGUGAGUAACAUUCUUGAAAUUUUGGAAUGCAUCCUCCCAUGGUCUGGGUUGAGAGUAGUUCUGAUUCUGAUUGAAUGGUCUAAAUGGGGGCUGAGAGGCUUGAGGAAUUUGUUGCAUUGGUGGAGCUGGAGCUGCUGGUCCAUUUUGUUGGAAUCCUUGAGACCAUGAAAAAUUGGGGUGGUCUCUCCAUCCAGGAUUAUAUGUGUUGGAGUAUGGGUUGUAAUUCGAUGGUUUUCUCAUUACACCUAUGGCAUUGGCUUGAUCUGAGUAUGAGUCAUGGUCAUGUGGUUCUGUUGAUUUAGCAGUCGAUAACGAUGCUAUUUGUCGAGCAAGACCUUCAACCAUCUCCUUGACUUCUUUGAUUCCCGAAGUUGACUCGCCAAUUUGAACCUCAUUUACUCCCUUAAUUCGUCUAGUAUUCCUGAGUGAUCGACUCCGUUGUUGGGAAUUAUCCGCUUGUCGCUGGAAGAAUUCCCAAAUCUCUGAUGCACUUUUUGACAUUAGCUCUCCUCCACUUGUUGCCAUUAGCCAUUCUUGCACAUUUGGCAAUAAUCCCUCCAAAAAGUAUUGGCAUUGGUGCCAUUUCUCGUACCCAUGAUGUGGACACUUCAAGAGUAGCCCAUUGAAUCGCUCCCAUGUUUCGAAAAAUUGCUCGUCAUCUUUCUGGGUAAACUCCGAGAUUUCCCUGCGAAUAGCAUUGGUUUUAUGCACUGGGAAAUAUUUAUUUAAAAAUUUUGUAACCAUUUGUUCCCAUGAUGCAAUGCUAUUAGCAGGCAAUGUAUUAAGCCAUGAACGAGCUCUAUCUUUUAAAGAAAAUGGGAAUAGUCUAAGUUUAACAUCAUCAUCUGAAAAAUUCUCAUAUUUGAAUGUUUGACAAAUGGCAUGAAAAUCAUUCAAAUGAUUAUAUGGAUCCUCAUUUUCUAGGCCAUAAAAUGUAGGGAGACAAUUUAACACACUAGGUUUUAAUUCAAAACUCCUAGCAGCUACAUUUGGGUAUCUUAUGCAUGACGUGCUCAAAUUAGCUAAGGGACUAAAAUAGUCCUUAAAUGGCCUCUCCUGUGGUGCUUGUAAAUCCAUUUUAUUUUUAACGUGUUUGUGUGUGCGAAGUGUUUUUUCUAGUUCAAGGUCUAUAGGUUCAAGAUUAGGUAAUAAUGACCUACGACCAUGCAUGCAAAAUAAAUAAAAUAAAAAUAAAGAUGCAAACAAAACAAAAAAUAAAGAUGGGAACAAAACAAAUAAAAAUAAAGAAGAGGGAGAAAUUACGAUACUAACCUUAUUGCGCUAUUACAACCUUUCUAUAAAAAUACACAAAAAUAAAUACGUGAAAGAAAUUAACUAAAAAUUAAAUUAAUAAGAUAAACAAAAAAAAUUACAAAGAAAAAUAAAUGGAAAAUUAAAUUACAAAAUUUUAAAGAAGAGAAAAAGAAAAGAAAUACUAACCUUUAAAUGUAGAUUCACUUUUUUUUUCUUUUUUUUUUAAUAAUAAAAAAAAUACAAGAAAACAAAUAAAAGAAAUUAUUCACAAAAAUUAAUUCUAUGAAUUAAAAUUACUUACCUCCCCGGCAACGGCGCCAAAAACUUGUUGUGCAAAUUUUAAUGUACUCGCAAGCGCACGAAUCUAUUGUAGUAUAGAUCUAUGGUGACGAGUGUUGAUCCCACGAGGAGGUGGAUUUUAAUUGUGUAGAAUUAAUUUUGUAAAUGGGUGAUUGGAUUUAUGGUGGAAAUGAUUUGGAAUAUGCUAAAACUUAAAUUAAAAUGGCGAGAAUAAAUUCUAAAAUUGGAAUUGCAAUGGCGAGAAUAAAUUGAAGAUAAUUCUAUUGAAACGACGUACUUGGGUAUCUGGAUCCGUAUCAACAUGCAUCAUGGGCUAAAUAAUCCUUAUUAAUACCAAUUAAAUCAUGAGGGGGGAAUCCACACCGCAUGAACCACGCUCUAAUCAAUAUGGUGCUAAGGGCUUAUCGUGCCAAAUAAUAAUAACCUUAUACUAGAGAGCCGGUGUAACCAAGGCGGUAUCUAGACAAGACUAUUAUUAUUUGUCGACGAGAAGUCAAAACAUCCACAAAAAUUAAAGGGGAAGAGAAAAUAAAUUUACCAAAUUAAGCCCAUGACACAUGUUGAGACUUCACCUUCAACCCAAGCUUGAAAGAAAAUUAGCCACUCAUAGUUGAACUAGGGGCAAAAUGGGAAUUUAUUAAAAUACGAAGAAAAUACAAGAUGGAGAGGGAAUUACAGAAAAUGGAUCCCAAAAAUGGAUUCAGAGAUAUCAAAUUAGGGGGGGAGGCCCCCUUUUUAUAGAUACAUGGAGUAAAUCAUGGCCAUCGGAUUAAAAAUAAUUUGGACGCUCAGGAUUGCGCCACGUCAUCAGUCAACAGUCCACGGUUUGACCACGCGGAUGAACAGUAACACGGUUUGACCCGACUUUGAACAGUAACGCGGUUUGACCCGGAUGAACAGUAACGCGGUUUGGUUGAAAAUAAUCCUGUGUGAUGCAUGCACCGUACGCGAGAUUUUUCGUCCACUGAUAUGCUGCCACGUCACCAUCAACAGUACAUAAGAAUUUUAGUCCAACAGGAUCGUGACACCUCAUCAGUCAAUGCCACAUCAUCGGUCAAUGCCACGUCAUCAUCCGUCUAUGUGAACAGUGUCGUGAACAGUAACGUAUACAGUACCGUACACGUGAAUAGUACCGUACAUGUGAAUAGUGCCAUUUUUCCUUUUAUGCUCCUCCUAAGGUUUUCGACCGUCCUGAGUUCAAAAGUGAUGUCCGUUUUGCCGUCUGAUCCUCCUUUAUUGUGAAAUGACUAUAAUGCCCCUAAAAUACAUAAAAUACUUAAUUAAAAUAAAACACAUGUAAUUAAAUCACAAGAAGGUUAAAUAUAUAAAAGUAAGGGUUGUUAGUAAGACUUAAAAUGUAAAAUGACGGUUUUCUCCUUUAUAAAUAUGCAUUUUCUAACACUCAACACAUCUCUGCAAAACUAGUGUUAGAUGAUGUAAACAUUGAUCAAAAGAGUCACCAAAGACAGAAAAAUCAUCCAUAAAGACUUCAAGCAAUCGUUCAACCAUAUCAGAAAAAAUGCUUAACAUGCAUCGUUAAAAUGUAGCAGGUACAUUACAUAAUCCAAUUGGCAUCCUCCUAUAUGCAAAAGUGCCAAAAGGGCAAGCGAAAGUCAUUUUCUCUUGAUCUUUUGGUGCUAUGGGGAUCUGAUUAUAUCCUGAGUAGCCAUCUAGAAAGAAUAAAAUUUAUGGCGUGCUAAUCUAUCAAGCAUUUGAUCGAUAAAUGGUAAAGGAAAAUGGUCUUUACGUGUGACAGAAUUUAACUUUUCUAUAAUCAAUGCAUACACGCCAUCCUGUAGUCAUUCUAGUAGGUAUCAAUUCAUUAUCAGCAUUCGUAACAACUGUGACUCCUGACUUUUUGGGGACAACUUGUACAGGACUGACCCAUGAACUAUCAGAAAUGGGAUAAAUGAACCGUGCAUCUAAUAGCGUAAGGACUUUAGUUCUAACAACUUCUUUCAUGUUAGGAUUUAACCGACGUUGCAUUUCCCUAGUAGGUUUAGCAUUUUCAUCAAGGUGAAUGUAAUGCAUGCAGUCUACUGGGUUUAUACAUUUUAUGUCCGCUAUGGUCCAUCCUAAUGCUCCUUUGUGCUCUUUUAAAAUAUCCAACAACUUACCUUUUUGUUUGUCGUUUAGGGAUGAUGAGAUGAUUACUGGUAGAGUGCUUUCUUCUCCCAAAAACUCAUAUUCCAAUGUGUUGGGUAAUGGUUAGAGCUCGAGUUUCGGUAGUGAUUAUGAUGAUGGGAUGAGUUUCUUCUCUGAUGGAUCUAGUUGUUCAACUCUUGACUUCCAUUUAUUAGUGUCCAUGGAUGGUGCUGAGUCAAGCAAGGCGUUGACCUCAUCAACUGAUCUGUCAAUAUCAAAAUCCAAACUAAAGUGAGUUAAGCAUGUUUGUAAAGGGUCAUCACUAAGGUUUGAAAUAAAAGUGUCAUCAACUACUGUGUCUAUUAAAUCCACAUCAACAAUUCCAUCAUCUGCAUUGUGAGGUUGUUUGGCAAUGUUGAAGAUGUUAAGCUCCAUAGUCAUGUUGCCGAAUGACAACUGCAUAUUUCCAGUUUUGCAUUGAAUGUGAGCAUCUGCAAUUGCCAAGAAAGGUCGGCCUAUAAUAAUGGGGAUGUGCUUCCUUGAAUCCUGUAUUGGCUAAGUGUCAAUUACAAUGAAAUCAACAAGAAAAUAAAACUUGUCUACCUGGAUAAGCACGUCCUCCACAAUACCACGACGUAUUCUCGUGGACCGAUCUGCAAGUUGUAACACCACUGGAGUUGGGUGUAAUUCUCCCAGUCCAAGUUUCACAAAUACAGAGUAAGGCAACAAUUUUACACUAGCUCCUAAAUCCAACAAAACAUUCUCAAUUGUGUGGUUCCCUAUACUACAUGAAAUAGUGGGGGAGCCUGGAUCUUUGCAUUUUAGAGGAAUUUUGUGUUGUGAGUAUAGAACUAACGUUUUCUGAUAAAAUUAUCUUCUUUUGAACAUUAACGUUUCUCUUUUUAGUACAAAGGUCUUUAAGAAAUUUGGCAUAAGAUGGAAAUUGUUUUAUAGCAUUAAGUAAAGGGAUGUUAACACUUACUUGUUUGAAGAUUUCAAGAAUCUCACCUGUGGAUUUUCCCUUCUUUCCUUUAGCUAACCUUUGAGGAAAUGGAGCUUUGGGAACAUAUUCUCGUGGGUUGGUUUCUUUUUUCUCUUCCGAUGGUGAGUCCUCAGCAUUCACUGGUACAAUUUGAUUUUCUUUUGUCACCGGCAUCUCUACUUUGUUGUCGACUUCUUUUCCUUUUCACAAGGUCAUGACUACUUUAACCUCUCCAUGCUGCUGUGGUGAACUGGUACUUGCUUCAUGCACUCCUUUAGGAUUAGGCACUGGUUGACUUGGAAAUUUGCCUUUCUCAACAGUCAUUGUCAAGGUCUGAACUGAAGAAGCAAGUUGUCCUACCAUCUUCUCGAGACUUGAAACUGAUUGGGCUUGUGAGUUGACGCCUGCUCUCAACUCAUUUCGUAGUCCAUCAAUGGUGCGGUUCUUUUACUCAAUCGUAGAGUGAGUAACAUUCUUGAAAUUCUAGAAUGCAUCUUGUUGAGUGUUAGAAAAUGUAUAUUUAUAAAGGAGAAAAUCGUCAUUUUACACUUCAAGUUUUACUAACACCCUUACUUUUAUGUAUUUAACCUUCUUUUGAUUUAAUUCCGUAUGUUUUAUUUUAAAUAAGUAUUUCAUGUAUUUUAGGGGCAUCAUAGUCAUUUCACAAUAAACGAGAGAUCAGACGACAAAACAGACAUCACUUUUGAACUCAGGACGGUUGAAAACCUUAGGAAGAGCAUAAAAGGAAAAAUGGCACUGUUCACAUGUACGGUACUAUUCACGUGUACGGUACUAUCUAUGUUACUGUUCACGACACUGUUCACAUAGACGGUUCAAUGACGUGGCAUUGACCGAUGAUGUAGCAUUGACUGAUGAGGUGUCACGAUCCUGUUGGACUAAAAUUCUUAUACACUGUUGAUGGUGACGUGGCAACAUAUUAGUGGACCAAAAAUCUCGCGUACGGUACAUGCAUCAUGUUGUGCAAAUUUUAAUGUACUCGCAAGCGCACGAAUCUGUUGUAGUAUAGAUUAAUGGUGACGAGUGUCGAUCCCACGAGGAGGUGGAUUUUAAUUGUGUAGAAUUAAUUUUUGUGAAUGGGUGAUUGGAUUUAUGGUGGAAAUGAUUGGAAUAUGCUAAAACUUAAAUUAAAAUGGCGAGAAUAAAUUCUAAAAUUGGUAUUGAAAUGGUGAGAAUAAAUUGAAGAGAAUUCUAUUGAAAUGACGUACUUGGGUAUCUGGAUCCGUAUCAACAUGCAUCAUGGGCUAAAUAAUCCGUAUUAAUGCCAAUUAAAUCAUGAGGGGGGAAUCCACACCUCAUGAACCACGCUCUAAUCAAUAUGGUGCUAAGGGCUUAUCGUGCCAAAUAAUAAUAACCUUGUACUAGAGGGCCGGUGAAACCAAGGCGGUACUAGACAAGAUUAGUAUUAUUUGUCGACGAGAAGUCAAAACAUCCACAAAAACUAGAGGGGAAGAGAAAAUAAAUUUACCAAAUAAAGCCCAUGACACAUGUUGAGACUUCACCUUCAACCCAAGCUUGAAAGAAAAUUAGCCACUCAUAGUUGAACUAGGGGCAAAAUGGGAAUUUAUUAAAAUACGAAAAAAAUACAAGAUGGAGAGGGAAUUACAGAAAAUGGAUCCCAAAAAUGGAUUCAGAGAUAUCAAAUUAGGGGGGGGAGGCCCCCUUUUUAUAGAUACAUGGAGUAAAUCAUGGCCAUCGGAUUAAAAACAGUUUGGACGCUCAGGAUUGCGCCACGUCAUCAGUCAACAGUCCACGUUUGACCACGCGGAUGAACAGUAACACGGUUUGACCCGACUUUGAGCAGUAACGCGGUUUGACCCGGAUGAACAGUAACGCGGUUUGGUUGAAAAUAAUCCUGUGUGAUGCAUGCACCGUACGCGAGAUUUUUCGUCCACUGAUAUGCUGCCACGUCACCAUCAACAGUACAUAAGAAUUUUAGUCCAACAGGAUCGUGACACCUCAUCAGUCAAUGCCACAUCAUCGGUCAAUGCCACGUCAUCAUCCGUCUAUGUGAACAGUGUCGUGAACAGUAACGUAUACAGUAUUGUACACGUGAAUAGUACCGUACAUGUGAAUAGUGCCAUUUUUCCUUUUAUGCUCCUCCUAAGGUUUUCGACCGUCCUGAGUUCAAAAGUGAUGUCCGUUUUGCCGUCUGAUCUCUCCUUUAUUGUGAAAUGACUAUAAUGCCCCUAAAAUACAUAAAUUACUUAAUUAAAAUAAAACACACGUAAUUAAAUCAUAAGAAUGUUAAAUACAUAAAAGUAAGGGNNNNNNNNNNNNNNNNNNNNNNNNNNNNNNNNNNNNNNNNNNNNNNNNNNNNNNNNNNNNNNNNNNNNNNNNNNNNNNNNNNNNNNNNNNNNNNNNNNNNNNNNNNNNNNNNNNNNNNNNNNNNNNNNNNNNNNNNNNNNNNNNNNNNNNNNNNNNNNNNNNNNNNNNNNNNNNNNNNNNNNNNNNNNNNNNNNNNNNNNNNNNNNNNNNNNNNNNNNNNNNNNNNNNNNNNNNNNNNNNNNNNNNNNNNNNNNNNNNNNNNNNNNNNNNNNNNNNNNNNNNNNNNNNNNNNNNNNNNNNNNNNNNNNNNNNNNNNNNNNNNNNNNNNNNNNNNNNNNNNNNNNNNNNNNNNNNNNNNNNNNNNNNNNNNNNNNNNNNNNNNNNNNNNNNNNNNNNNNNNNNNNNNNNNNNNNNNNNNNNNNNNNNNNNNNNNNNNNNNNNNNNGUCAAGUUUCCAAGGGCGCAGCAACUAAUGCUGGGUUAUAUAUGCCGCUACCGAUUCCAACACAACCUUGGGCUGACAUUAGCAUGGAUUUUGUUUUAGGAUUACCCCGCACUCAGAGGGGUAUGGAUUCAAUAUUUGUUGUUGUUGAUCGAUUCUCGAAAAUGGCUCACUUCAUUGCUUGCAAGAAGACUACAGACGCUUUGACUGUUGCUCGCCUAUUCUUCAAGGAAGUCUAUAGAUUGCAUGGUUUACCAAGUUCUAUAGUAUCUGACCGGGAUACACGAUUUCUUAGCCAUUUUUGGAAGACAUUAUGGAAAUUGACUAACACUCGCCUGAAUUUUAGUAGUGCUUACCACCCACAAACAGAUGGUCAAACUGAAGUUGUCAACCGCUCUUUAGGAAACCAUCUACGUAGUCUAGUUGGCGAUAACUUGAAGAUGUGGGAUCAAAAGUUAUAUCAAGUCGAGUUUACUUAUAACCGUGCAGUUAAGCGUAGUACUGGUUUAAGCCCUUUUCAGGUAAAUUACGGAUAUAAUCCACGAGCUCCCAUUGACCUGGCUCCGGUUCCAAAUUUAGUUCGCAAAAGCGGUAAAGCAAAAGACUUUAUUGAGCAGCUUCAGAAGAUUCAUGAAACUACGCAAGAGUCUUUGAAGCAGACGACCGAAGGUUAUAAAAUUAUGGCAGACAAAAAACGUCGAGCUUUGGAAUUUCAAGUGGGAGAUUUUGUUUGGGUUAUCCUAACUAAAGAUAGAUUCUCAGUUGGUGAGUAUAAUAAACUUUCUGCCAGGAAAAUCGGCCCUUUAGAGAUUAUAGAGAAGAUAAAUCCUAAUGCCUACAGAUUAAAGCUUCCUAGUCAUAUCCGCACUGCAGAUGUAUUUAAUGUUAAGCAUCUUAUUCCUUACAGAGGUGAUCAUGAUGAAGAUGUUGCUGACAAUCCGAAUUCGCGGGCGAAUUCUCUCCACCCUGGGGGGAAUGAUGAAGAGUAGGAAUCCAUAUUAUACUAGGAUUAGUUUCCUUAUUAACUAAAGUUUAAGACUUUUAAAUUCCUUUCUAAUUUAGAAUUUUGUUUCCCUUUCAAUUUAGGAUUUUGUUUUUCCUUCAUGAAUUAGGAUAAUUACUACUACUAUAAAUAGCUCCCUCUUGUAACCUUUGAAGGAGAGAAUUUUGAGUUUAAUAAUAUUUCAAUUUUCAAAUCUCUUUGUGAGUNNNNNNNNNNNNNNNNNNNNNNNNNNNNNNNNNNNNNNNNNNNNNNNNNNNNNNNNNNNNNNNNNNNNNNNNNNNNNNNNNNNNNNNNNNNNNNNNNNNNCCAUUCCUAAAGAACAUGGGUUUCUAUCGCAACUCAUUCUGGCACACUUAUGACAAGCAACAGAAAUUCUUCGAGCUCGUCGUUUUCUUGCAUAAUUUCCUUUACCACAACCAGGCAUGAAUGCAAUAAAUUUUGGAGGUAACUCACCUGCCGAUCGUACUUUAGCCUCGAUUAACCAACGGAUGUCAGCAGGUAUGUUAUUCUUCAUGAGUAAUCGCAUGCGUUCGGACCGAGCUUUAUAGAUCAUAAGGAGGGCAUUUUGAGGAAGUGAAGGGAAUCGCUUGUGAAGCUUCGCUAGAAUCUCGUUUCUGUCCAUACUUUCGCCUCAGAAUGUCAGUUAUUGUGGGAAACUGAAGUAACCGACUUGAUUGUCACGGAGUACCGUUAUCCGCCACUUCACCGGGGUAACAAACUAAAGCACACAAACAGAAAAACAAAUCAAAACACACAAAGAAAAUUAAAAUCAUCCUCUUAUUGAAUUUACCUCAAGCUCCAACUGGAUGUCGUAAACACUUCUCUCAAUGUCUCUGAGUUGGCGUUCUAAACCCUCAACAUAAGCUACUAACUCUGGUGGUUGUAGAGCCCAAAUGCGUUGUGUUUUACAAAAUUGAAUCUGCUUUUUGAGAUGAGUUUUGACACGUUGAAGUGGUUUAAGAAUGUUCAGGAGGAACGGUCUAAGUAUGGUACUCAUGAUUAACAAUGAUAAGAAAAAAAAACUUAAUGGUAAAACAAACACACUUAUGCAAAAAUAAUUUCAAUUAGCAAAAGAAUAAUAAAAAGAAAGAAAGAAAAAUCAAAUCAACAAAAAGAAAAAAUCAAUUCAAAUCUGGUGGGUCACUCAAAUUUAUUUCGGUGUCUUCUCCAUGUGGUUGGUAUUCUAGAUAUGGCUUUAAUCUUUGACCAUUAACUUUAAACGUGACACCGUUCUUUGGGUCCUUAAUUUCAAUUGCCCCAUGUGGAAAAACAGUAUGAACAAUAAAGGGACCAGACCAACGAGAGCGUAACUUACCUGGGAAUAGGUGCAAGCGAGAAUUGAAUAAAAGCACUUUCUGACCUGGAGUGAACGAUUUUCUCAUAAUUUGCUUAUCAUGGAAGACUUUCAUUCGUUGCUUGUAAAUCUUGGCAUUUUCGUAUGCAUCAUUGCGAAUUUCUUCAAGUUCUGCCAGCUGUAAUCUUCUUUCUGAGCUGGCUUGCUGCAUGUCAAAAUUGAAUUUCUUAAUAGCCCAAUAUGCACGAUGCUCGAGUUCGACAGGUAGGUGGCAAGCUUUUCCAUACACUAGCCUGUAGGGUGACAUCCCAAUCGGGGUCUUGAAAGCCGUUCUAUAUGCCCAUAAGGCAUCAUCAAGUCUUAAUGACCAAUCUUUUCUGUCCGGCCUCACCGUCUUUUCUAAUAUGUGCUUUAUUUCUCGAUUGAAGAUCUCAACUUGGCCACUGGUUUGCGGAUGAUACGGGGUCGCCACUUUGUGUGUGAUUGAAUACUUUGUCAAAAGUGCUUUGAAUGUUUUGUUACAAAAGUGGGCACCACCAUCACUGAUUAUUGCUCGAGGGAAUCCAAAGCGUGAAACAAUGUUGCUUUUCAAAAAUGCUAUCACCACCUUGUGAUCAUUGGUCCUACAUGGAAUUGCUUCUACCCAUUUUGAUACGUAGUCAACAGCAACCAAUAUGUAUUGAUGGCCAAAAGAAGGGGGAAAGGGUCCCAUGAAGUCGAUACCCCAUACGUCAAAAAUCUCAACCACUAAAAUUGGAUUUAGUGGCAUCAUGUUUCUUCGUGUAAUGCUCCCCAUUCGUUGACACCUAUCACAUGAAGAACAGAAAGUGUAAGCAUCUCGAAAUAUAGUUGGCCAAUAGAAACCACAUUGUAAAACUUUUGUAGCUGUUUUCUUAACACUGAAAUGGCCUCCACACGCUUGUUCAUGGCAGAAUGAAAGAAUAUUCUGAAUUUCAUUUUCAGGGACACAUCGUCUAACAAUUUGGUCUGCACAAUACUUGAACAAAUAUGGGUCAUCCCAAAAGAAAUUCUUUAUUUCUGCAAAGAAUUUAGCCUUAUCUUGCUUGGUCCAAUGCUCUGGAAGUUUACCUGUAACAAGAUAAUUAACUAUAUCAGCAUACCAAGGUAAUACUUCCACAUUCAUUAAUUGUUCAUCUGGAAAUGACUCAUUCAAUGGUAAUGAUUCUGUAAUUGUGUCAAAAUGGAGACGAGAGAGGUGGUCUGCCACAACAUUUUCUGUCCCUUUCUUAUCUUUGAAUUCCAAGUCAAACUCCUGCAAAAGUAACACCCAACGAAUUAGUCUGGCUUUUGCAUCUUUCUUUGUGAGAAGAUAUUUAAGAGCAGCAUGAUCUGUGAAUAUAAUUAUUUUACAACCAAUGAGAUAAGAUCGAAAUUUUUCUAAUGCAAACACUACUGCUAGCAUUUCUUUUUCAGUAGUUGAAUAGUUCAACUGUGCAUCAUUUAAUGUCAUACUAGCAUAGUAAAUAACAUGGGGAAUUCGAUCAACUCUUUGUCCUAAUACUGCUCCUACUGCAUAAUCAGAUGCAUCACACAUGAGCUCAAAUGGUAAUUUCCAGUUCGGGGGCUGAAUGAUGGGUGAUGAUGUCAACAAAUGCUUUAAUUUUUCAAACGCAACAAGACAUGAAUCAUCAAAGACAAAAGGUACAUCCUUAGCAAGCAAAUUGCAUAAGGGUCUAGAAACUUUACUAAAAUCUUUAAUGAAACGUCUAUAGAAACCAGCAUGCCCAAGGAAAGAUCUUACUUCUCUGACUGUUUUGGGUGGAGGAAGAUUAGAAAUGAGAUCCACCUUGGCUUUGUCAACCUCAAUACCUUUACUCGAAAUGAUGUGACCGAGAACAAUACCUUGUUUUACCAUAAAAUGGCAUUUCUCCCAAUUUAAGACCAAGUUCUUCUCGAUACAUCUCUGCAGAACUAGUGUUAGAUGAUGUAAACAUUGAUCAAAUGAAUCACCAAAGACAGAAAAGUCAUCCAUAAAGACUUCAAGAAAUCGUUCAACCAUAUCAGAAAAAAUGCUUAGCAUGCAUCGUUGAAAUGUAGCAGGUGCAUUACAUAAUCCAAAUGGCAUUCUCCUAUAUGCAAAUGUGCCAAAAGGGCAAGUGAAAGUAGUUUUCUCUUGAUCUUUUGGUGCUAUGGGAAUCUGAUUAUAUCCUGAGUAGCCAUCUAGAAAGCAAUAAAAUUCAUGGCCUGCUAAUCUAUCAAGCAUUUGAUCAAUAAAUGGUAAAGGAAAAUGGUCUUUACGUGUGACAGAAUUCAACUUUCUAUAAUCAAUGCAUACACGCCAUCCUGUAGUUACUCUAGUGGGUAUCAAUUCAUUAUCAGCAUUCGUAACUACUGUGACUCCUGACUUUUUGGGGACAACUUGUACAGGACUGACCCAUGAACUAUCAGAAAUUGGAUAAAUGAUACCUGCAUCUAAUAGCUUAAGGACUUCAGUUCUAACAACUUCUUUCAUGUUAGGAUUUAACCGACGUUGCAUCUCCCUAGUAGUUUUAGCAUUUUCAUCAAGGUGAAUGUAAUGCAUGCACUCUACUGGGUUUAUACAUUUAAUGUCUGCUAUGGUCCAUCCUAAUGCCCCUUUGUGCUCUUUCAAAACAUCCAACAACUUACCUUUUUGUUCGUCAUUUAGGGAUGAUGAGAUGAUUACCGGCAGAGUACUUUCUUCUCCCAAAAAUGCAUAUUCCAAUGUGUUGGGCAAUGGUUUGAGCUCGAGUUUCGGUGGUGAUUCUGAUGAUGGGAUGAGUUUCUUCUCUGAUGGUGCUAGUUGUUCAACUCUUGACUUCCAUUUAUUAAUGUCCAUGGAUGGUGUUGAGUCAAGCAGGGCGUUGACCUCAUCGACUGAUCUGUCAAUAUCAAAAUCCAAACCAAAGUGAGUUAAACAUGUUUGUAAAGGAUCAUCACUAAGGUUUGAAAGAAAAGUAUUAUCAACUAUUGUUUCUAUUAAAUCCACAUCAACAAUUCCAUCAUCUGCACUGUGAGGUUGUUUGACAAUGUUGAAAAUGUUUAGCUCCAUAGUCAUGUUGCCGAAGGACAAUUGCAUAUUUCCGGUCCUACAUUGAAUAUGAGCAUCUGCAGUUGCCAAGAAAGGUCGGCCUAGAAUAAUGGGGAUGUGCUUCCUUGAGUCCUGUAUUGGUUGAGUGUCAAUUACAAUGAAAUCAACAGGAAAAUAAAACUUGUCUACCUGGAUAAGCACGUCCUCCACAAUACCACGAGGUAUUUUCGUGGACCGAUCUGCAAGCUGUAACACCACUGGAGUUGGGUGUAAUUCUCCCAGUCCAAGUUUCACAAAUACUGAAUAAGGCAACAAAUUUACACUAGCUCCUAAAUCCAACAAAGCAUUCUCAAUUGUGUGGUUCCCUAUACUACAUGAGAUAGUGGGGGAGCCUGGGUCUUUGCAUUUUAAAGGAAUUUUAUGUUGGAGUAUAGAACUAACGUUUUCUGUUAAAAAUGCCUUCUUUUGAACAUGUAUAUUUCUCUUUUUAGUACAAAGGUCUUUAAGAAACUUGGCAUAAGAUGGAACUUGUUUAAUAGCAUCAAGUAAAGGGAUGUUAACACUUACCUGUUUGAAGAUUUCAAGAAUCUCACCUGUGGAUUUUCCCUUCUUUCCUUUAGCUAACCUUUGAGGAAAUGGAGCUUUGGGAACGUAUUCUCGUGGGUUAGUUUCUUCUUUCUCCUCCGGUGAUGAUUCCUCAACAUUCACAGGUACAAUUUGAUUUUCUUUUGUCACCGGCAUCUCCACUUUGUUGUCGACUUCCUUUCCUUUUCGCAAGGUCAUUACUGCUUUGAUUUCUCCAUGCUGCUGUGGUGAACUGGUACUUGCUUCAUGUACUCCUUUAGGAUUAGGCACUGGUUGACUUGGAAAUUUGCCUUUCUCAACAGUCAUUGCCAAUGUCUGAACUGAAGAAGCAAGUUGUCCCACCAUCUUUUCGAGGCUUGAAACAGAUUGAGCUUGUGAGUUGAAGCCUGCUCUCAACUCAUUUCGUAGUCCAUCAAUGGUGCGGUUCUGUUGCUCAAUCGUGGAGUGAGUAACAUUCCUGAAAUUCUGGAAUGCAUCCUCCCAUGGUCUGGGUUGAGAAUAAUUCUGGUUUUGAUUGAAUGGUCUAAAUGGGGGCUGAGAGGCUUGAGGAUUUUGAGGAAUUUGUUGCAUUGGUGGAGCUGGAGCUGCUGGUCCAUUCUGUUGGAAUCCUUGAGACCAUGAAAAAUUGGGGUGGUCUCUCCAUCCAGAGUUAUAUGUGUUGGAGUAUGGGUUGUAAUUAGAUGGCUUUCUCAUUACACCUAUGGCAUUGGCUUGAUCUGGAUAUGAGUCAGGGUCAUGUGAUUCUGUUGAUUUAGCAGUCGAUAACGAUGCUAUUUGUCGAGCAAGACCUUCAACCAUCUCCUUGACUUCUUUGAUUCCCGAAGUUGACUCGCCAAUGUGAACCUCAUUCACUCCUUUAAUCCUUCUAGUAUUCCUGAGUGAUCGACUCCGUUGUUGGGAAUUGUCCGCUUGUCGCUGGAAAAACUCCCAAAUUUCUGAUGCACUUUUUGACAUUAGCUCUCCUCCACUUGUUGCCAUUAGCCAUUCUUGCACAUUCGGCAAUAAUCCCUCCAAAAAGUAUUGACAUUGGUGCCAUUUUUCGUACCCAUGAUGUGGACACUUCAAGAGUAGCCCAUUGAAUCGCUCCCAAGUUUCGAAAAACUGCUCGUCCUCUCUUUGUGUGAACUCUGAAAUUUCCCUGCGAAUAGCAUUGGUUUUAUGCACUGGGAAAUAUUUAUUCAAAAAUUUAGUUACCAUUUGUUCCCAUGAUGAAAUGCUAUUAGCAGGUAAAGUAUUUAACCAUGAACGAGCUCUAUCUUUUAAAGAAAAUGGGAAUAAUCUGAGUUUAACAUCAUCGUCUGAAAAAUUCUCAUAUUUAAAUGUUUGACAAAUGGCAUGAAAAUCAUUCAGAUGAUUAUAUGGGUCCUCAUUUUCUAAGCCAUAGAAUGUGGGGAGACAAUUUAGCACACUAGGUUUUAGUUCAAAGCUCCUAGCAGCUACAUUUGGAUAUCUUAUGCAUGACGUGCUCAAAUUAGCUAAGGGACUAAAAUAGUCCUUAAAUGGCCUCUCCUGUGGUGCUUGUAAAUCCAUUUUAUUUUUAACGUGUUUGUGUGUGCGAAGUGUUUUUUCUAAUUCAAGGUCUAUAGGUUCAAGAUUAGGUAAUAAUGACCUACGACCAUGCAUGCAAAAUAAAUGAAAUAAAAAUAAAGAUGCAAACAAAACAAAUAAUAAAGAUGGGAACAAAACAAAUAAAAAUAAAGAAGAGGGAGAAAUUACGAUACUAAUCUUAUUGCGCUAUUACAACCUUUCUAUAAAAAUACACAAAAAUAAAUACGUGAAAGAAAUUAACUAAAAAUUAAAUUAAUAAGAUAAACAAAAAAAAUUACAAAGAAAAAUAAAUGGAAAAUUAAAUUACAAAAUUUUAAAGAAGAGAAAAAGAAAAGAAAUACUAACCUUUAAAUGUAGAUUCACUUUUUUUUUUCUUUUUUUUUUAAUAAUAAAAAAAAAUACAAGAAAACAAAUAAAAGAAAUUAUUCACAAAAAUUAAUUCUAUGAAUUAAAAUUACUUACCUCCCCGGCAACGGCGCCAAAAACUUGUUGUGCAAAUUUUAAUGUACUCGCAAGCGCACGAAUCUGUUGUAGUAUAGAUUAAUGGUGACGAGUGUCGAUCCCACGAGGAGGUGGAUUUUAAUUGUGUAGAAUUAAUUUUUGUGAAUGGGUGAUUGGAUUUGUGGUGGAAAUGAUUGGAAUAUGCUAAAACUUAAAUUAAAAUGGCGAGAAUAAAUUCUAAAAUUGGUAUUGAAAUGGUGAGAAUAAAUUGAAGAGAAUUCUAUUGAAAUGACGUACUUGGGUAUCUGGAUCCGUAUCAACAUGCAUCAUGGGCUAAAUAAUAUGUAUUAAUGCCAAUUAAAUCAUGAGGGGGGAAUCCACACCUCAUGAACCACGCUCUAAUCAAUAUGGUGCUAAGGGCUUAUCGUGCCAAAUAAUAAUAACCUUGUACUAGAGGGCCGGUGAAACCAAGGCGGUACUAGACAAGAUUAGUAUUAUUUGUCGACGAGAAGUCAAAACAUCCACAAAAACUAGAGGGGAAGAGAAAAUAAAUUUACCAAAUUAAGCCCAUGACACAUGUUGAGACUUCACCUUCAACCUAAGCUUGAAAGAAAAUUAGCCACUCAUAAUUGAACUAGGGGCAAAAUGGAAAUUUAUUAAAAUACGAAGAAAAUACAAGAUGGAAAGGGAAUUACAGAAAAUGGAUCCCAAAAAUGGAUUCAGAGAUAUCAAAUUAGGGGGGGGAGGCCCCCUUUUUAUAGAUACAUGGAGUAAAUCAUGGCCAUCGGAUUAAAAACAGUUUGGACGCUCAGGAUUGCGCCACGUCAUCAGUCAACAGUCCACGUUUGACCACGCGGAUGAACAGUAACACGGUUUGACCCGACUUUGAACUGUAACGCGGUUUGACCCGGAUGAACAGUAACGCGGUUUGGUUGAAAAUAAUCCUGUGUGAUGCAUGCACCGUACGCGAGAUUUUUCGUCCACUGAUAUGCUGCCACGUCACCAUCAACAGUACAUAAGAAUUUUAGUCCAACAGGAUCGUGACACCUCAUCAGUCAAUGCCACAUCAUCGGUCAAUGCCACGUCAUCAUCCGUCUAUGUGAACAGUGUCGUGAACAGUAACGUAUACAGUACCGUACACGUGAAUAGUACCGUACAUGUGAAUAGUGCCAUUUUUCCUUUUAUGCUCCUCCUAAGGUUUUCGACCGUCCUGAGUUCAAAAGUGAUGUCCGUUUUGCCGUCUGAUCUCUCCUUUAUUGUGAAAUGACUAUAAUGCCCCUAAAAUACAUAAAAUACUUAAUUAAAAUAAAACACAUGUAAUUAAAUCACAAGAAGGUUAAAUACAUAAAAGUAAGGGUUGUUAGUAAGACUUGAAAUGUAAAAUGACGGUUUUCUCCUUUAUAAAUAUGCAUUUUCUAACACUCAACACAUCACACAGGAUUAUUUUCAAUCAAACCGCGUCACUGUUCAAUCCUCAGCGUCCAAACUGUUUUUAAUCUGAUGGUCAUGAUUUACUCCAUGUAUCUAUAAAAAGGGGGCCUCCCCCCCCCCCCAAUUUGAUAUCUCUGAAUCCAUUUUUGGGAUUCAUUUUCUGUAAUUCCUUCUCCGUCUUAUAUUUUCUAUGUAUUUUAAUAAAUUCCUAUUUUGCCCCUAAUUUAAUUAUGGGUAGCUAAUUUUCUUUCAAGCUUGGGUUGAAGGUGAAGUCUCAACAUGUGUCAUGGGCUUUAUUUGGUAAAUUUACUUUCUCUUCCCCUAUAAUUUUUGUGGAUGUUUUGACUUCUCGUCAACAAAUAAUACUAAUAUUGUCUAGUACCGCCUUGGUUUCACCGGCCCCCUAGUACAAGGUUAUUAUUAUUUGGCACGAUAAGCCCUUAGCACCAUAUUGAUUAGAGCAUGAUUCAUGAGGUGUGGAUUCCCCCCUCAUGAUUUAAUUGGCAUUAAUAAGGAUUAUUUAGCCCAUGAUGCAUGUUGAUACGGAUACAGAUACCCAAGUACGUCAUCUCAAUAGAUUUCUCUUCAAUUUAUUCUCGCCAUUUCAAUUCCAAUUUUAGAAUUUAUUCUCGCCAUUUCAAUUCCAAUUUUAGAAUUUAUUCUCGCCAUUUCAAUUCCAAUUUUAGGAUAAUCCAAAUCAUUUUCACUACAAAUCCAACCACCCAUUUACAAAAUUAAUUCUACACACAAUUAAAAUCCGCCUCCUCGUGCGAUCGACACUCGUCACCAUUAGUCUAUUCUACAAUAGAUUCGUGCACUUGCGAGUUCAAAAAAAUUUGCACAACAAGUUUUUGGCGCCGUUGCUGGGGAGGUAAGUAAUUUUAAUUCAUAGAAUUAAUUUUUGUGAAUAAUUCUAUUUAAUUGUUUUCUUGUAUUUUUAAAAAAAGAAAAAAAAGAAAAAAAAAGGUGAAUAUACAUUUAAAGGUUAGUAUUUCUUUUCUUUUUCUCUUCUUUAAAAUUCUGUAAUUUAAUUUUCAAUUUAUUUUUCUUUGUAAAUUUUUUUUGUGUAUCUUAUUAAUUUAUUUUUAGUUAAUUUAUUUUCACGUAUUUUUUUUUAGUGUGUUUUUAUAGUAAGGUUGUAAUAUCACAAUAAGGUUAGUAUCGUAAUUUCUCCCUCUUCUUUAUUUUUAUUUGUUUUGUUCCCAUCUUUAUUUUUAUUUUAUUUGUUUUGCAUGCAUGGUCGUAGGUCAUUAUUACCUAAUCUUGAACCUAUAGACUUUGAACUAGAAAAAACACUUUGCACACACAAGCACGUUAAAAAUAAAUUUAGAAUGGAUUUACAAGCACCACAGGAGAGGCCAUUUAAGGACUAUUUUAGUCCUUUAUCUAAUUUGAGCACAUCAUGCAUAAGAUACCCAAAUGUAGCUGCUAGGAGUUUUGAACUAAAACCUAGUGUGCUAAAUUGUCUCCCAACAUUCUAUGGCCUAGAAAAUGAGGAUUCAUAUAAUCAUUUGAAUGAUUUUCAUGCUGUUUGUCAAACAUUUAAAUAAGAGAAUUUUUCAGAUGAUGAUGUAAAACUUAGACUAUUCCCAUUUUCUUUAAAGGAUAGAGCUCGUUCAUGACUUAAUACAUUGCCUGCUAAUAGCAUUACAUCAUGGGAACAAAUGGUAACUAAAUUUUUGAAUAAAUAUUUCCCAGUACAUAAAACCAAUGUUAUUUGCAGGAAAAUCUCAGAGUUUACCCAGAGAGAAGACGAGCAGUUUUUCGAAACAUGGGAGUGAUUUAAUGGGCUACUCUUGAAGUGUCCACAUCAUGGGUAUGAGAAAUGACACCAAUGCCAAUAGGUUUUGGAGGGAUUAUUGCUGAAUGUGCAAGAAUGGCUAAUGGCAACAAGUGGAGGAGAGCUAAUGUCAAAAAGUGCAUUAGAGAUUUGGGAAUUCUUCCAGCGACAAGCGGAUAAUUCCCAACAACGGAGUCGAUCACUCAGGAAUACUAGAAGAAUUAAGGGAGUAAAUGAGGUUCACAUUGGCGAGUCAAGUUCAGAAAUUAAAGAAGUCAAAGCGAUAAUUGAAGGUCUCUUUCGACAAAUAGCAUCGUUAUCGACUGCUAAAUCAACAGAGCUACAUGACCAUGACUCAUACUCAGAUCAGGCCAAUGUCAUAGGUGUAAUGAGAAAACCAUCUAAUUACAACCCAUACUCCAACACAUGUAACCCUGGAUGGAGAGACCACCCAAAUUUUUCAUGGUCUCAAGGAUUCCAACAGAAUGGACCAGCAGCUCCAGCUCCACCAAUACAACCAGUUCCUCAAAUUCCUCAAGUCUCUCAGCCACCAUUUAGACCAUACAAUCAAAACCAGAACUACUCUCAACCCAGACCAUGGGAGGAUUCAUUCUAGAAUCUCAAGAAUCUUACUCUACGAUUGAGCAACAAAACCGCACCAUUGAUGGACUACGAAAUGAGUUGAGAGCGGCUUCAACUCACAAGCCCAAUCAGUUUCAAGCCUCGAGAAGAUGGUGAGACAACUUGCUUCUUUAGUUCAAACCUUGGCAAUGACUGUUGAGAAAGGAAAAUUUCCAAGUCAACCAGUGCCUAAUCCUAAAGGAGUACAUGAAGCAAGUACCAGUUCACCACAGCAGCAUGGAGAGGGCAAAGCAGUUAUGACCUUGUGAAAAAAAAAAGAAGUUGACAACAAAGUGGAGAUGCUGGUGACAAAAGAAAAUCAAAUUGUACCUGUGAAUGUUGAGGAUUCACCAUCAGAGGAGAAAGAAGAAACCAACCCGCGAGAAUAUGUUCCCAAAGCUCCAUUUCCUCAGAGGUUAGCUAAAAGAAAGAAGGGAAAAUCCACAGGUGAGAUUCUUGAAAUCUUCAAACAGGUAAGUAUUAACAUCCCUUUACUUGAUGUUAUAAAGCAAGUUCCAUCUUAUGCCAAGUUUCUUAAGGACCUUUUGUACUAAAAAGAGAAACAUUAAUGUUCAAAAGAAGGCCUUUUUAACAUAAAACGUUAGUUCUAUACUCCAACACAAAAUUCCUCUAAAAUGCAAAGACCCAGGCUCCCCCACUAUCUCAUGUAGUAUAGGGAACCACACAAUUGAGAAUGCUUUGUUGGAUUUAGAAGCUAGUGUAAAUUUGUUGCCUUACUCAGUAUUUUUGAAACUUGGACUUGGAGAAUUACACCUAACUCCAGUGGUGUUGCAGCUUGCAGAUCGGUCCACAAAAAUACCUCGUGGUAUUGUGGAGGAUAAAAUUUAUCCAGGUAGAUAAAUUUUAUUUUCCUGUUGAUUUCAUUGUAAUUGACAUUCAACCAAUACAGGAUUCAAAGAAGCACAUCCCCAUUAUUCUAGGCCGACCUUUCUUGGCAACUGCGGAUGCUCACAUUCAAUGCAGGACUGGAAAUAUGCAGUUGUCCUUUGGCAAUAUGACUAUGGAGCUGAACAUCUUCAACAUUGCCAAACAACCUCACAAUGCAGAUGAUAGAAUUGUUGAUGUAGAUUUAAUUGAAGCAUUAGUUGAUGACACUUUUCUUUCAAACCUUAAUGAUGACCCUUUACAAACAUGCUUAACUCACUUUGGUUUGGAUUUUGAUAUUGACAGAUCAGUUGAUGAGGUCAACGCCCUACUUGACUCAGCACCAUCCAUGGACACUAAUAAAUGGAAGUCAAGAGUUGAACAACUAGCACCAUCGGAAAAGAAACUCAUCCCAUCAUCAGAAUCACCACCGAAACUCGAGCUCAAACCAUUACCCAACACUUUGGAAUAUGUAUUUUUGGGAGAAGAAAGUACUCUACCAGUAAUCAUCUCAUCAUCCCUAAAUAACGAACAAAAAGGUAAGUUGUUGGAUGUUUUAAAAGAGCACAAAGGAGCAUUAGGAUAGACUAUAGCAGACAUUAAAGGUAUAAACCCAGUAGACUGCAUGCAGUACAUUCACCUCGAUGAAAAUGCUAAAUCUACUAGGGAAAUGCAACGUCAGUUAAAUCCUAAUAUGAAAGAAGUUGUUAGAACUGAAGUCCUUAAGCUAUUAGACACAGGUAUCAUUUACCCAAUUUCUGAUAGUUCAUGGGUCAGUCCUGUACAAGUUGUCCCUAAAAAGUCAGGAGUCACAGUAGUUACAAAUGCUGAUAAUGAAUUGAUACCAACUAGAGUAACUACAAGAUGGCGUGUAUGUAUUGAUUAUAGAAAAUUGAAUUCUGUCACACGUAAAGACCAUUUUCCUUUACUAUUUAUUGAUCAAAUGCUUGAUAGAUUAGCAGGCCAUGAAUUUUAUUGCUUUCUAGAUGGCUACUCAGGAUAUAAUCAAAUUCUCAUAGCACCAAAAGAUCAAGAGAAAACCACUUUCACUUGCCCUUUUGGCACUUUUGCAUAUAGGAGGAUGCCAUUUGGAUUAUGUAAUGCACCUACUACAUUUCAACGAUGCAUGUUGAGCAUUUUUUCUGAUAUGGUUGAACAAUUCCUUGAAGUCUUUAUGAAUGAUUUUUCUGUCUUUGGUGACUCGUUUGACCAAUGUUUACAUCAUCUAACACUAGUUAUGCAGAGAUGUGUCAAGAAGAACUUAGUCUUAAAUGGGGAGAAGUGUCAUUUUAUGGUAAAACAAGGUAUUGUUCUUGGUCACAUCAUUUCAAGCAAAGGUAUUGAGGUUGACAAAGCCAAGGUGGAUCUCAUUUCUAAUCUUCCUCCACCUAAAACAGUCAAAAAAGUAAGAUCUUUCCUUGGGCAUGCUGGUUUUUAUAGACGUUUCAUUAAAGAUUUUAGCAAAGUUUCUAGACCCUUAUGCAAUCUACUUGCUAAGGAUGUACCUUUUAUCUUUAAUGAUUCAUGUCUUAUGGCUUUUGAAAAAUUAAAGCAAUUGUUGACAUCAUCACUCAUCAUUCAGCCCCCAAAUUGGAGCUUACUAUUUGAACUCAUGUGUGAUGCAUCUGAUUAUACAGUAGGAGCAGUAUUAGGACAAAGAGUUGAUUGAAUUCCCCAUGUUAUUUACUAUGCUAGUAUGACAUUGAAUGAUGCACAGUUGAACUAUUCAACUACUGAAAAAGAAAUGCUAGCAGUAGUGUUUGCAUUGGAAAAAUUUCGAUCUUAUCUCAUUGGUUGUAAAAUAAUUGUGUUCACAGAUCAUGCUGCUCUUAAAUAUCUUCUCACAAAGAAAGAUGCAAAAGCUAGACUAAUUCGUUGGGUGUUACUUUUGCAGGAGUUCGACUUGGAAUUUAAAGAUAAGAAAGGCACAGAGAAUGUUGUAGCUGACCAUCUCUCUCGUCUCCACUUUGACACAAUUAUGGAAUCAUUACCAUUGAAUGAGUCAUUGCCAGAUGAACAAUUGAUGAGUGUGGAAGUAUUACCAUGGUAUGCUGAUAUUGUUAAUUAUCUUAUUACAGGUCAACUUCCAGAGCAUUUGACCAAGCAAGACAAGACUAAAUUCUUUGCAGAAAUAAAGAAUUUCUUUUGGGAUGACCCGUAUUUGUUCAAGUAUUUUGCAGAUCAAAUUGUUAGGCGAUGUGUCCCAGAAAGUGAAAUUCAGAAUAUCAUUUCAUUCUGUCAUGAACAAGCUUGUGGAGGCCAUUUCAGUGCUAAGAAAACAGCUACUAAAGUUUUACAAUGUGGUUUCUAUUGGCCAACUAUAUUUCGAGACACUUACACUUUUUGUUCUUCAUGUAAUAGGUGUCAACGAAUGGGGAGCAUUACACGAAGGAAAAUGAUGCCACUAAAUCCAAUUUUAGUGAUUGAGAUUUUUUACGUAUGGGGUAUCGACUUCAUAGGACCCUUUCCCCCUUCUUUUGGCCAUCAAUACAUAUUGGUUGCUGUUGACUACGCAUCAAAAUGGGUAGAAGCAAUUCCAUGUAGAACCAAUGAUCACAAGGUGGUGAUAGGAUUUUUGAAAAGCAACAUUGUUUCACGCUUUGGAUUCCCUCGAGUGAUAAUCAAUGAUGGUGGUGCCCACUUUUGUAAAAAAGCAUUCAAAGCUCUUUUGACAAAGUAUUCAAUCACUCACAAAGUGGCGACCCCAUAUCAUCCGCAAACCAGUGGCCAAGUUGAGAUCUCCAAUCGAGAAAUAAAGCACAUAUUAGAAAAAACGGUGAGGCCGAAUAGAAAAGAUUGGUCAUUAAGACUUGAUGAUGCAUUAUGGGCAUAUAGAACGGCUUUCAAGACCCCGAUUGGGAUGUCACCCUACACGCUAGUGUAUGGAAAAGCUUGCCACCUACCUGUGGAACUCAAGCAUCGUGCAUAUUGGGCUAUCAAGAAAUUCAACUUUGACAUGCAGCAAGCCAGCUCAGAAAGAAGAUUACAGCUGGGAGAACUUAAAGAAAUUCGCAAUGAUGCAUACGAAAAUGUCAAGAUUUACAAGCAACGAAUGAAAGUCUUCUAUGACAAGCAAAUUAUGAGAAAAUCUUUCACUCCAGGUCAGAAAGUGCUUUUGUUCAAUUCUCGCUUGCACCUAUUCCCAGGUAAGUUACGCUCUCGAUGGUCUGGUCCCUUUAUUGUUCAUACCGUUUUUUCACAUGGGGCAAUUGAAAUUAAGGACCCAAAGAACGGUGUCACAUUUAAAGUUAAUGGUCAAAGAUUAAAGCCAUAUCUAGAGUACCAACUACAUGAAGAAGACACCGAAAUAAAUUUGAGUGACACACCAGAGUUGAAUUGAUUUUUUUCUUUUCGGUGGUUUGAUUUUUCUUUCUUUCUUUUUAUUAUUCUUUUGCUAAUUAAAAUUAUUUUUCCAUAAGUGUGUUUGUUUUAUCAUUAAGUUUUCUCUUAUCAUUAUUAAUCAUAAGUACCAUACUUAGACCGUUCCUCCUAAAUAUUCUUAAACCACUUCAACGUGUCAAAACUCAUCUCAAAAGGCAGAUUCAAUUUUGUAAAACACAUCGUAUUUGGGCUCUGCAACCACCAGAGUUAGUAUCCUAUGUUGAGGGUUUAGAAAGCCAACUCAGAGACUUUGAGAGAAGUGUUUACAACAUCCAGUUGGAGCUUGAGGUAAAUUCAAUAACAGGACAAUUUUAAUUUUCUUUGUGUGUUUUAAUUUGUUUUUCUGUUUGUGUGCUUUAGUUUGUUACUCUGGUGAAGUGGCGGAUAACGGUACUCUGUGACAAUCAAGUCAGUUACUUCAGUUUUCCCAUAAUAACUAAUAUUCUGAGGCGAAGGUAUGGAUAUAAACGAGAUUCUAGCGAAGCUUCACAAGCGAUUCCCUUCACUUCCUCAGAAUGCCCUCCUUACAAUCUAUAAAGCCCGGUCCGAACGCAUGCGAUUGCUCAUGAGGAAUAACAUACCUGCUGACAUCCGUUGGUUAAUCGAGGCUAAAGUACGAUUGGCAGGUGAGUUACCUCCAAACUUUAUUGCAUACAUGCCUGGUUGUGGUAAAGAAAAUUAUGCAAGAAAACGACGAGCUCGAAGAAUUUCUAUUGCUUGUCAUAAGUGUGCCAGAAUGAGUUGCGAUAAAAACCCAUGUUCUUUAGGAAUGGUGUUUGAUAAUAGGGAAGAUAAGAUUCAAUUCAUUAGGGAUGACUUGAAUAAGGAAUCAUUGGAUGAUAUCCUUCUAUCUCUUGAAACGCAUCCCAGUGGAUAUGUGCAAGGAGCGAUUCUCCAGUUAUGGCCAUUAUUCCAGAAAGAGCAUACAUGAUAUAGUCUCGAGAAUCUGACUAUAAACGAUCCUGUUUGCCAGUUUAUAAGAAAACUGGAUGGGAAGCCUAUCCUCGACCCAUAGAGGGCGUUCAAGCCGUUUCUGGACGUAAAACCAGAGGAAGAUGUGAGCCACAGUCUCAACUACCUGUAAAUAUCCUUUUACUUCACUAUUAUUUUAUUUCACUGUUGUUUUAUCUUUUCCAUUAUUGUCAUUAAUAAUUUUAUUUGACCAUUGUUUCUUUUUCUUUUUAUUGUUUUCUUUUUUACUCGCGAGCCAUAUGCUUUAUGCGUUAUUUGACAAUGACAUGCCACCUCAUACACAGUUGUGACCUACUGUCACCAAGAUUCUUAAAUAUGACUUUUUGUUAAGCACUCACAAAUUGUUUUUGAGAAAUAUUCCAAUAGCAGCUACUCCCAAUAGACAAUUCAAGAACAUUUAUGUACUUUCUGAAUUUAACUAUGGCAAACAUAAAGAGUUCGUUGAGGCAGCCAUAGAUUUGGUCAAAGCAUAGCAGAGAGAAAAUUACACUUGGUGUAUGGAGGAGGUAACCGAGGGUUAUCAAAAUUGGUCUCAGAAGCUGCUUUUGUCAGAGGAAGCCAAGUGUUAGGCAUCAUCCCAAGAGUCCUAAAACCUUUGGGCAGUUUGUCUGACUCACCGACUGGAGAAGAGUUAGUUGUCUCAGGUAUACAAGAAAGAAGUAACGAAGAUAAAAUACGAGCUUGUUUUAUAGCAAUAGUAAUUAAUCGUUGUUCUUUUAAGGUCAAUCUAUUCACCCGUCUAGAUAAUAUUUUUCCUUGUUCACUAAGAAAUCGACUAAUUAAAGUCAUGUUUCUAUAAUCAAUUCGAUCCCCUUUAAGAUCAAACAAUUCCAUUGAAUUGAGUAUGAUUGUAUGUGUGAUAGCAUCUACUAUACUAGGAAUAUCAAUGAACCCGAUUAUUGCAAUUGCUCAGGAUACCCUUUUUUAGCUUCUAGCCAGUUUCUAGAAUCGAUUUCUUAGUUCAAGAUCCCUCUUACUAACUGGAAUCAAGGAAUUAGUAGAUCUCAAAAUGGGAAUGGGCUAGGGUUAUGAACUUAUAAUCUAUAAUCUAAUGAUCGAGUCGAUUCCAUGAUUAUAAGUUCAUUCCAUACUGAAAUGCUUAAUCAUGCUGAUGCUUUUAUUUUCCUUCCAAGAGAUCUUGCAACACUAGAGGCACUUAUCACACUAGCAUCCUGGGCCCAUCUGUACAUUCACCAGAAACCCAUCGGUUUGUAAAAUGUUAAUAACUUUUAUGAUGGCUUCAUCGCAUUUCUUAACCAUGCAAUAAAAAACUAUUUUGUUCCUUCCAAUGCCAAAAAGCUUUUUAUUUAUGCUCACACUGCUAAUGAGCUACUUGAUCUGUUACAAGCUUAUAGACCAGAGCAGACCCCUGGACCUUUGUGUUGGAGUGUCCAAAUAAUGAUGGUAACAGUAGCCGCAGUAAGAAGUACAAAUUAGAUUUAACUCUCCGCUUGUAAAUAUUUUCUUCUGUGUUGUACCACCCAGGUGAUGUCUUCUAAACUCUAUUUCUUUCCUUUCAAACAUUGGGGACAAUGUUUCGUUCUGGUGGGGGGAGGGAAUAGUCGACAAUUGUGGAAUCUUGGUUAAGUUUUUACUAAUUUUUUGUUGUAGAAACUAACUGUUGCUAACUUUUUGUAUUGAAGAUGGCUGAAUAUGGAGUGUAGUGACUCUAAAAACGCAUCUUCAUCGUUUACAAAAAAAAUUAAAAAAAAUUAAAAAAAAAUCAAAAAAUUCAGACAUUUUCUUUUUCUUUAUUAAGUUUUGAUGUUCAUUUUUCUUCUUCUUUUUUAAUUUCUCCUUUAUAAAUAUACAUUUUUAAAUAUUUGAGUCGAAGAUAGCUGAAUAUGGAGUGUAGUGCCUCUAGAAACGCAUCUUCUUAGUUAAAAAAAAAACAGUUUUCUUUUUAAGUGUAACUUUUCUAAUUAGUUUUUCUGCAUCAUUUUCACAUUUCUGGAUGCAUAUUUUCCUUUCACAUUUAGAAUAGGUUGGGGGGUAGGAUGUUGUUUGAAAAAAAAAAUUGUGUGAUUUGUUUUAACAUUGGAUGACAUGAUUAAUUUAAAAUUUUAGUAUUUGUAUUAUCUUUGGUCUUAAGUGAUGUUAUGCUAUGUUUGCUAUUUUACAUGUUGAUGUCGGAGACAAAUAUGAGUUGCUUGAAGGAAUGAACAUGUCAUAAAUAAAUGUCAAGUGAGUUUUUGAGCCUAUCAUUUUUCUUGGAGAGUAACCAUUUUGCCCAUUCUUUAUACAGCUUAGCGGUUUAUUAUUGUAUACACGAUCUCUAGAUUUCUUUAGAGUUAACCCUUAAAAAAAUUUGUAAAAUUAAAAAAAAAGAAAAAAAAAUGUGUUGCUACAUUUGAAAGUCCAUCUAACUAGUAGAUAUGGAAGGUUAUUUAGAGCCCUAAAAGACGAUGGAAAUACCAUUUUUGAUCCGUUUGAGCCUUUCUAGUCAUCCCUUUUGUGAAAUAUCCAUAGUUAACCAUUUUGAGCCUUUUAAAAAAAAAAGAAAAAAAAGCCUUUUAUUUGUUAAACUUAUCAUCUUGACCCACUCCGAUUUGGAGUAUUACCCGAUGUCUUAUAAGUUCCAUCACCUAUUUAUGUUUGAGAAAAAUAUAAAUAAUUAUUUUGUUCAGUGACGUUGUGCCAAGCAAAAGCAAAACAAAAUUGUUUCAAAAAAAAAGAAGAAAAAAAUAAUAACAAUAAUAGGUGAAAUCUACCUUGUAACUUCUAAAAAAAAAAAAAAAUUCCUCUGCAUUUUUCUCAAACAUACACUUUGUUUUCCUUAUUUCCCUUCUUUGUUAACCAUGUCCCUAGCCUACGUUACGUCCUAAUAAAAGUCCUUCUUGAUUUUAGAGAACUAUAGUCUGAAGUAGAAGCUAAUUAUAUGGGCUAAAAAGAUGUAGUGAUGUAUAAUAAUAAAAAAAAGGGAAAUUAUCAUUUGUAUACCCUUAGUUUACUCCAUUAUCAAAAAUACUACAACACUUUGAAGGUGUAUCAAUCGUCCACCCUAAGUUGACAAAAUGUAUCAGCUGACCACUAAACCGUUAGUUGCCGUUUAAGUAUGAUGACGUCAUAAGGGUAAUUUGGUCUUUUCAUAUGAUACAAGUGAUAAUUUAAGGGUAUACAAGUGAUAAAAAGAGAAUUUAAGGGUAUACAAUUGAUAAUUUUCAAGGGUAAAAUCGUCAAUUCACUGUAACUCCGUUAACUUUCAAACGGAAACUAACGGUUUGGUGGUCGGCUGAUACAUUUUGUCAACUAAGGGUGGACGAUUGAUACACCCUCAAAGUGUUGUAGUAUUUUUGAUAACAGAGCAAAUAUAGGGUAUAUGAAUGAUAAUUUUCCUAAAAAAAAAGAUAAAAAAAGUGGGUUGACUAGCAUUUUUGUUUGACUUGAAAUCGUAUUAUUUCUAAGCUGAGGGCAUAUUUCUUUCAUCUUUGUGAGAGCAUGUGAUAUCAUUUCUUUAUUAUUUUCUCUCAAUUACCAUUUAUUGCAGUGACUAUUUUUAUUGGGUAUAAUUUCUUUGUGAGAGUGUCACUAUAUCUAGUGAGAUUUUGGGGUUUAACAUGUCAUUCUUGAAAGUAGCUGUGACAAAGUCUACUGGUCUGAUUCAUGUGGAUGGUUGAUGUGGGUGUGAUGUUUCUUUAGACUGGAGAUAAUGCUUAUACUUUUAUUUGAUUACUAUCAUUAGUCUAAUUGAAUAAACAUGAGUGUUAAAAAAAAAUUAUUUUGGAUUUAAAUUUUGUUUUCGCUUUAUUUGCUAGGGACUAGCAAUAAGCUGGUUGAGGGGUGUGUUGAGUGUUAGAAAAUGUAUAUUUAUAAAGGAGAAAAUCGUCAUUUUACACUUCAAGUUUUACUAACACCCUUACUUUUAUGUAUUUAACUUUCUUUUGAUUUAAUUCCGUGUGUUUUAUUUUAAUUAAGUAUUUCAUGUAUUUUAAGGGCAUCAUAGUCAUUUCACAAUAAACGAGUGAUCAGAUGACAAAACGGACAUCACUUUUGAACUCAGGACGGUCAAAAACCUUAGGAGGAACAUAAAAGAAAAAAUGACAUUGUUCACAUGUACGGUACUAUUCACGUGUACAGUACUAUCUACGUUACUGUUCACGACACUGUUCACAUAGACGGAUCGAUGACGUGGCAUUGACCGAUGAAGUGGCAUUGACUGAUGAGGUGUCACGAUCCUAUUAGACUAAAAUUCUUAUGUACUGUUGAUGGUGAUGUGGCAGCAUAUCAGUGGACCAAAAAUCUCGCGUACGAUACAUGCAUCACACAGGAUUAUUUUCAACCAAACCGUGUCACUAUUCAACUCGGGUCAAACUGUGUUACUGUUCAUCCGCGUGGCCAAACUGCGUACUGUUGACUGAUGGCGUGGCGCAAUCCUGAGUGUCCAGACUGUUUUUAAUCUGAUGGCCAUGAUUUACUCCAUGUAUCUAUAAAAAGAGGGCCUCCCCCCCUAAUUUGAUAUCUCUGAAUCCAUUUUUAGGAUCCAUUUUUUGUAAUUCCUUUUCUAUCUUGUAGUUUUUAUGUAUUUUAAUAAAUUCAUAUUUUUCCCCUAAUUCAAUUAUGAAUAGCUAAUUUUCUUUCAAGCUUGGGUUGAAGGUGAAGUCUCAACAUGUGUCAUGGGCUUUAUUUGGUAAAUUUACUUUAUCUUCCCCUAUAAUUUUUGUGGAUGUUUUGACUUCUCGUCGACAAAUAAUACUAAUCUUGUCUAGUACUGCCUUGGUUUCACCGGCCCUCUAGUACAAGGUUAUUAUUAUUUGGCAUGAUAAGCCCUUAGCACCAUAUUGAUUAGAGCGUGGUUCAUGAGGUGUGGAUUCCCCUCUCAUGAUUUAAUUGGCAUUAAUAAGGAUUAUUUAGCCCAUGAUGCAUGUUGAUACGGAUCCAGAUACCCAAGUACGUCAUCUCAAUAAAUUUCUCUUCAAUUUAUUCUCACCAUUUCAAUUCCAAUUUUAGGAUAAUCCAAAUCAUUUUCACCACAAAUCCAACCACCCAUUUACAAAAUUAAUUCUACACAUAAUUAAAAUCCACCUCCUCGUGGGAUCGACACUCGUCACCAUUAGUCUAUUCUACAAUAGAUUUGUGCGCUUACGAGUUCAAUAAAAUUUGCACAACACAUCCUCCCAUGGUAUGGGUUGAGAGUAGUUCUGGUUCUGAUUGUAUGGUCUAAAUGGUGGCUGGGAGGCUUGAGUAAUUGGUUGCAUUGGUGGAGCUGGAGCUGCUGGUCCAUUCUAUUGGAAUCCUUGAGACCAUGAAAAAUUGAGGUGGUCUCUCCAUCCAGGGUUAUAUGUGUUGGAGUAUGGGUUGUAAUUUGAUGGUUUUCUCAUUACACCUAUGGCAUUGGCUUGAUCUGGAUAUGAGUCAGGGUCAUGUGGUUCUAUUGAUUUAGCAGUCGAUAACGAUGCUAUUUGUCGAGCGAGACCUUCAACCAUCUCUUUUACUUCUUUGAUUCCCGAAGUUGACUUGCCAAUGUGAACCUCAUUCACUCCUUUAAUUCUUUUAGUGUUCCUGAGUGACCGACUCCGUUGUUGGGAAUUAUCAGCUUAUUGUUGAAAGAAUUCCCAAAUCUCUGAUGCACUUUUUGACAUUAGCUCUCCUCCACUUGUUGCCAUUAGUCAUUCUUACACAUUCGGCAAUAAUCCCUCCAAAAAGUAUUAGCAUUGGUGUCAUUUCUCGUACCCAUGAUAUGGACACUUCAAGAGUAGCCCAUUGAAUCACUCCCAUGUUUCGAAAAACUGCUCGUCUUCUCUCUGGGUAAACUCUGAAAUUUCCCUGCAAGUAGCAUUGGUUUUAUGCACAGGGAAAUAUUUAUUCAAAAAUUUAGUUACCAUUUGUUCCCAUGAUGCAAUGCUAUUUGCAAGCAAAGUAUUUAACCAUGAACGAGCUCUAUCCUUUAAAGAAAAUGGGAAUAGUCUAAGUUUAACAUCAUCAUCUGAAAAAUUCUCAUAUCUAAAUGUUUGACAAACAGCAUGAAAAUCAUUCAAAUGAUUAUAUGGGUCAUCAUUUUCUAGGCCAUAGAAUGUUAGGAGACAAUUUAGCACACUAGAUUUUAGUUCAAAACUCCUAGCAGCUACAUUUGGGUCUCUUAUGCAUGAUGUGCUCAAAUUAGCUAAGGGACUAAAAUAGUCCUUAAAUGGCCUCUCUAGUGGUGCUUGUUGUUGCAAAUCCAUUUCAAUUUUAUCUUUAAUGUGUUUGUGUGUGCGCAAUAUUUUUUCUAAUUCAAGGUCUAUAGGUUCAAGAUUAUAUAAUAAUGACCUUCGACCUUGCAUGCAAUGAAUACAAAAAAAUGAGAACAAAAUUAAUAAAAAUAAACAAGAAGGAGAAAUUACGGUACUAACCUUAUCACGCUGUUACAACAUUUCUAUAAAAAAAACACACUUAAAAAAAUUUGUGAAAUAAAUUAACUAAAAAUAAAUUAAUAAAAUAAAAAAAAAUUACAAAGAAAAAUAACUUAAAAAUUAAAUUGCAGAAUUAUAAAGAAUAGAUAAAGAAAAGAAAUUAUUACCUCUAAAUGCAGAUUCACUUUUUUUUCUUUUUCUUUUUUUUAAUAAUAAAAAAAUACAAGAAAACAAAUAAAAGAACUUAUUUACAAAAAUUAAUUUUACGAAUUACAAUAACUUACCUCCCCGGCAACAAUGCCAAAAACUUGUUGUGCAAAUUUUAUUGAACUCGCAAGUGCACAAAUCUAUUGUAGAAUAGAUUAAUGGUGACGAGUGUUGAUCCCACGAGGAGGUAAAUUUUAAUUAUAUGUAGAAUUAAUUUUAUAUGAGGGUGGUUGGAUUUGUGGUGAAAGUGACUUAGAUUAUCCUAAAAUUAGAAUUGAAAUGGCGAGAAUAAAUUGAAGAGAAAUAUAUUGAAAUGAAGCGCUUGGGUAUCUGGAUCCGCAUCAACAUGCACCAUGGGCUAAAUAUUCUUUAUUAAUGCCAAUUAAAUCAUGAGGGGGGAAUCUACACCUCAUGAACCACACUCUAAUCAAUAUGGUGCUAAAGGCUUAUCGUGCCAAAUAAUAAUAACUUUGUACUAGAGAGCCAGUGAAACCAAGACGGUAUCUAGACAAGAUUAUUAUUAUUUGUCGACGAGAAGUUAAAACAUCCACAAAAACUAGAGGGGAAGAGAAAAUAAAUUUACCAAAUAAAGCUCAUGACACAUGUUGAGACUUCACCUUCAACCCAAGCUUGAAAGAAAAUUAGUUACUCAUAAUUGAAUUAGAGGUAAAAAGGAAAUUUAUUAAAAUACUUAGAAAAUACAAGAUGGAGAAGGAAUUAUAGAAAAUGGAGUCCAAAAAUGAAUUCAGAGAUGCCAAAUUAGGGGGGGAGGCCCCCUUUUUAUAGAUACAUUGAGUAAAUCAUAGCCAUCAGAUUAAAAACAGUUUGGACGCUCAGGAAUACGCCACGUCAUCAGUCAACAGUACGUGGUUUGACCACGCGGUUUGAACAGUAACACGGUUUGACCCGGCUUGAACAGUGACGCGGUUUGGUUGAAAAUAAUCCUGUGUAAUGCAUGUACCGUACACGAGAUUUUUGGUCCACUGAUAUGCUGCCACGUCAUCGAUCAACAGUACAUAAGAAUUUUAGUCCAACAGGAUUGUGACACCUCAUCAAUCAAUGACACGUCAUCGAUCCGUCUAUGUGAGCAGUGUCGUGAACAGUAACGUAGACAGUACCAUACAUGUGAAUAGUACCAUACAUGUGAACAGUGCCAUUUUUCCUUUUAUGCUCCUCCUAAAGUUUUCAACCGUCCUGAGUUCAAAAGUGAUGUUCGUUUUGCCGUCUGAUCUCUCGUUCAUUGUGAAAUGACCAUAAUACCCUUAAAAUAUAUAAAAUACUUAAUUAAAAUAAAACACACGUAAUUAAAUCACAAGAAGCUUAAAUACAUAAAAGUAAGGGUGUUAGUAAAACUUGAAAUGUAAAAUGAUGAUUUUCUCCUUUAUAAAUAUAGAUUUUCUAACACUCAACACUCGCGAUCGAGGAAGCUGCUGGAACUGCUCGCGUUUGGCUGCUGCUUGUGCUCGCGUUUGGUUGCUGCUUGUGCUCGCGUUUGGUUGCUGCUCUUGCUUGUGGAAUCUCGCGUUUGGCUGUUGGAACUGCUUGCGUUUGGCUACUGCUUGUGCUCGUGUUUGAUUGCUACUCUUACUUGUGGAAUCUAGGGUUCAAUUCUCUUAAAACCUAUUUUAUCUCUUUAAUUUUCAUUUUUUUUUACUAAAUUAACUUCUCUAGCAUGUUUGAUGCAUAUGUGAUGUAUGUGCAAGAAUAUAAACAAAUGAUUACGAGAAUUUUUUUUUUUUUGGUUUAUGGUUGUUUGAUGAACAGAGUUCUUAAUUUUUCCGGUUUAUUGGAGAUUUUUUGCUAAUUACUUUUGUUAUUUCUUUUCUUUAUCAAGUUUUAGAUGUGCAUGGAAUAAAUGAAUCAAUUUUAUUUUGUUAUUCUUGAGCAAUGGAUUAAAUUUAUUUAGUUUGAAGAGAAAAUUUGAUAAAAAAUUAAAUGGAAAAAUUGGGUAAUGAAGGUAUAUUCGUAAUUUUAUUAAUAAUAUAGGGAUAAAUUGGACAAUGAACAAUUAUUUUUUAAUAUGCUAUAAGGGUAUAAUGGUAAUUGUACUUUAAAAUUAUAAUUUCUGUUAAAAGAAACGGUUUCUGUUAACCAAUGGGGGUCUGAGUGUCUUUUUUGAAGCAUUAAGGGAUUUUAUGUCUCUUAUUCAAACGUUGGGGUCUCUGUAUCCUUUUCCCUUAAUGUUUUUACAGUAUUUGUACUUAAAAUUUCAAUAUGAUAACCAUUUCAACAGAUAUUUUCAAAAUGCAAUAGAUUCUCCUAAAAGGGUUGAUUCUGAAAGAUGGGCUAGGGAUUAUGGAUUUCCAGGUGAUGUUUGGCUGCUUGAAAUUGUGGUUUUGGAGUAUUUGGUGGGUCAUUAUCCUUUGAUAGGUUUGGUGGAGAAGCUGGACUUGGUGGCAUUGAUAUGUGCUAUAUGCUUCAGAGAGAGGCUGGAGAUGUCAGAAACUACAUCAUGGAAGUCUUGUAGCUUUAUGAGAAGUUGUUUGGAGAACUUAAAAUUUACCAACUUAGAAACUACAUAACCAGACUGAGAGUGCGUUUGAAAUUGAGGUUAUGUAGCUAUAAUUUAAAAACUACAACACUAAAGUAUUUAGUAAACACUAACUGCUAUAACUUGUAAAUUAUGUUGAUAUGAUUUUUCAUUUAUAUAAUAGAAAAUCUAUUAUAUCCUUAAUAAUUUUGAUAAAAUUAUUAUUUAAAAUUUAUAUUUAUUAUAUAUUAUUAACUUUUGUUUGAUAUUUAUAAUUUUUUUUCCAUACCUCAAUUCCAAACGGGACCCGAAACAUCAAAACUUUAGACAGCUGCAAUUUGUAGUACGUUUAUUUCUUGGUCGCAUCAUGAAUCUCUCUACUGGCCAGUUCAUUUUACAGCAGCUUUAGCCAUGCAGACCAUAGCGCAAAAUCAAGAUUAUGACAACAAAUUCUUAAGUUUAAGAAACAAACAUCUUGAUUACUUUGUUUUUAUGAGAACCGUUAACAUUGUAAGAAAUUGAAAAUGGUCAAAAUCAAAAUUACAAUUGAAUAAGCACUGAUACCAAGUCGAAUAACCGUUUUACAGAAGAAAUGGAUAUAUCAAAGAAAUUUUGAUGGGGCCAAGUUCCGACUCUUUGAUGUCUCCAACUGCUUGUUCAGAAAACCACCUGAAAUNNNNNNNNNNNNNNNNNNNNNNNNNNNNNNNNNNNNNNNNNNNNNNNNNNNNNNNNNNNNNNNNNNNNNNNNNNNNNNNNNNNNNNNNNNNNNNNNNNNNCGUUCAGAAGGAUUAGAAGAUAAAAAGUUGCAGCGAUGAAAUAUGGGAAUUAUAAAGAGUUGGAACAGUAAUCAACAACAAGACAAGCUUCAGAUGCCAGAAAUCAUGUAUCACAUUUAUUUACAUUAAGGGACCUGAUAUAGCUAAAACACGAGGCCACCCAAAGGAAUAAACAUAAGCCCACAUUGUUGAAAAAGCUGGUGAAGAAGAAAUUUAACACCCUAAUUUUGAGUAGGGCUGUAGAUUAACUUACAAGGAAGGCUAGUACCGGUAAUUCAGCCAGGCAUGAUAAUUUGGGAAACAAGGAAGGCUAGUACCGGUAAUUCAGCCAGGCAUGAUAAUUUGGGAAAAGACUUUUGAUUUUAAAAAUACUUGGUUUUGCAUACAGUAUAUUCCAAAUACUGAUUACUUGGUUUUGCAUAUUAAAAACCUUUGACAAUGCUCACACAAAAGAACAUUAAGUAUCCCUUAUUUUACAUUACAUAGAGUAAGCUAUGAGUAUUCUCUCCGACUCCGAGCCUUUACAGCUGUAAAUACUGAGCUUAAAACAUCUACAGUGACUUCUCUAAACCACCCUACCUCCCUCUGUUUUUUCACGGAAUAUAUUCUUGAAUAUCUCUCUGAUUUUAGUUGGUUCUACAGGCCUAAGUCAAUUAAACCAACAGUCUGAACCACCAUAACCAUGCUACUUUAUGAAUGAUGCUCCAUUUCUUGGAAGCACUUCACUGACCAUUAUGCAAAGCAACAUGUAAUAAUCAGCAGAUUCAACAUAAAAGAAGGUUUUGCCUAACACCAUUAUAACUUUUACCUGAAAAGAAGACACAAUUAUUAAUUACAAAGAAUACUCUGGAAAGGCAUCAAUGUUUGAAAAAAGCGUGCUCUAACAUGAAAUGGAUUUAAAAAGUAGUUCACAGUGUUGCACUAAACAUAGUCGAGACAAUAUGUCGAAAAUGUGGAAGGAAGAAACAGUAAAAAAUUCCCUAGCACGAAUCAAAUAAUGCCCUCACGUAGUAUGCAAUGGAAAAAUAUUAAUUAAAAAGGAAACUGUUGUGAUUCUGGGGUUUUGAUUAGAGAAUUUAAGAGAGAAGAGAUGAAGAAUUUUAGAAUUCAAAGGGAAAGUGAAGAAUUCACUGGGGUUGAAAUUUACUUUAUUAUUACUUGCUCAAAAAACAGAAUAAGAACCACCUAUUUAUAGUAGCUCAACACGAUCCUAAUUCUAAUCUUAUUAGAACCUUAAAUAAUAAUUGCAAUAGGAAACAUAAUCCUAAUAGCAAAGAAAGAAAAAAAAAACUACUAGGAUCCUAACAUUCCCCUUGAAACACGCUUGCGCACAAGCCUUCUAGCCAGGAUCAAUAACCAAAAUUUUCCAAUUUAGACAGUUGUCAGGCAGCUUCCAAUCUAAAUAGUGUCCAGGCAGAAUGAAAACCACUGAAGUAUUGGACUGAUGAUAAGGGGAACAUCAGCUGCUAAAAGCCAUAGCUGAGGUUGUUUACAAUGAUGCUCCGGCUUAAGUUGCUCAUCACAGUUUGUAGAAUGUCUAUCGGCAUGCGUAGUUGGUGAUAAGGUUUUAGGUAAGGCAGAGGGUAUAUUAUUGGCUAAGGCAGAGAGUAUUGGUCCCAAUAAAGAAGGGGCUAGUGGACUAUGUCAUGUCUGGUGCAGGGUUGUGGAGGGCUAGAAUUGAAGGUGUGAAUCCUUGAUGAGUACAUGAAUUACCUCCUCCCCGAAACAAUGCUGGCUAAUGAUUAUCUCUUGUUUUGGGGAGUGCCAACAUUCUAACAUGCCAACUUCAAGUGGACUAGGAGAUGGUUGUGCUUCCUUGCACAACUGGCCCAAUUCUUCAAGAAUGUCUUGCAGAAGUACCUUAGAGUGUUACUAUGAGCAGUUGACUGCAAAAUUUUCAUCAAUUUGAGAUAGCUACACAAUGUUCAAGCACUAUAGAGAUAAAAAAUUUUGCACAAGUACUUCAAAUUUUGAUGAGAAGUUUAGAUCGAUUGAUUGGGCUUGCAAAUGGUGACUCACAAAAGCAAACUGAGUUGGUCACACGACAUUGGCAAAUAUUUUGACAAAUUUUCAGAUUUGCAGUGACAAGGAUUUUGGGGGGAAAAAAAAUUGUUUUGUAUUUUCAAGAUAAACGGAAAAAGUAAAUUGGUCGCUGGGAAAGAUAUGCUUUGAUACCAGAUGUUAGGGUUCCAAGGUUUUGAUUAGAGAAUUCAAGAGAGAAGAAAUGAAGAAUUUAAAAAUUCAGUGGGAAAAGAGAAGAAUUAACAGGGGUUGGAAUUAAUUUUAUUAUUACUUGCUCAAAAAAUAAUGUCAACCACUUAUUUAUUAUAGUUCAAUGCAAUCCUAAUUUUAAUCUAAUAGAACCCCUAAUCAUAAUUGCGAUAAGAAAAUAAUCAUAAUAGGAAAGAAAUUAAAAUAAACUACCAGGGUCCUAACAAAUACCGUACAAAAGACAGAAAAAAAAAAAAAGAAAUUAUCUACCGUCCACCCAUUUUUUCAUCAUUUUUCAAAAAUACACAAAUCUUUACAUUUGAGGGUUAAAAAGUCAUUUACACAAUAUUCCGUUAGUUUUGUUAACGGUCUCCAAACAGAAGUGGAAAAGUAAAAAGAAAUGUAACUUCAGGUGGAUUUUAACAAAAAAAAAAAAAGAAUUGUGUAUUUUUUAAAAAGUUAGAAAAAAUGGGUGGACGGUGGAUAAUUUCCCAAAAAAUAUAAUUAAAAGGUUCAACCAAUAAGCUUAAAAGCAUCCCCAAAAGGGCUCUUUAAAAUCAAAAUAUUACUUUCUCAUUUUGAAGAGCCCUUUGGAGCCCUUUAAUUUUAAUUAUCGUACUAUUUUUUUAUCUUUAUCCAUUUCUUAUAAAGGGGAGAAAUAUAUAAUUGUUAUUAUUUUGGUGAAGAAAAAAAUUUGACUAAACUAAUAGAAAAUUAUUUUUAUUUGAAGAGUCUUUUGGGAGGGGACUUACUUUUUCACACAUCCAUUUGCCACAUAAGUAAAGAAAUAAAUAGUUUAAAAGGAAAAUUAGAAGUCUUUUUAGUGAUGUUCUUAAAUCUACGGCAAGGUGAUUGGUUCCACUCUUUAGAACAAGACAAGGAAGAAAGAAUCAUAAUAUCUUUCAACACUGUCACAAUGACCUCGCACCCCCAUGCAUAAACAACCCAAUCUCAAACUUCAUUUGAUCCCUAAAUAUUUUUUAGACAAUAGAAACACAUUUUUCACCCUCCACAUAACAAAGUCUCAUCAUAAUUUGCACAAACAAGAGGGGAUAAAACCUCGUGCACAUAAGCUUAGGAGGGAGGGGGAAAAAAAAACAAUUUCUCCCACAAUAUUAUAAUUUCCAUGCACAAGCCAAAACAAAAAUACUCUCUAUUUUGGUUAGAUUUGGGCUCACACGAUUAUUUCCGAACAAUUCUAAAUAUCAUCACUAAGCCCUCUAGAUGUUGUUGGUAGGCCCCAUCAAGUCAGUAAUUCUAGAACUUGAAUGAAAUAUAUUACCAUAAGACAAUUGAAGAAUAUUUCAAUCUUCUUUGGCCAUAGAACAUUUUUAUCAUUGAUAAUCCUCUGACAAAACAAAAAUAAAUAGCACUCUGACAUAAUAUUGUCAUAUGCUCUUGCAAGAUCUUAGAAUGAUCAACUAAUCCUCAAAACAAUAACUUGUCCUCCAUCAGUUUUGUCACUGCCAUUUACUCUGCAAAAGUAGACGGGCUAUAAUAUAAACCUCGAACUAUUCAAACACGGAAACACCCCACUAGCGUACAUAAAUUUGUGGCAGACCACUGAAUCUACAUAGCAAGAAAUAUGUGAAUUUGAAGCACUAAUUCUCUGAUAAAACAAUCCCAUAAUUUUAAGUAUCACACAAAUACCUCAUCAAUCACCUCGCUACAAUCUGAUAGUAAAUUCUCUAAUCUACCACAUUAACAACAUGUAGAAUACUACUAUAGUGCAUACCAAGGCUCACAUCAAAUGGCCAAUUUCAAACCUUAGAUUCAAUCCAUAGAAAGAUUAUGUCGUGGAACAACACAUUUCUCCUUUUAUAUAGGCUUAUAAUAAUAUACAUAAGCUAAGCAAAAAAAUACAACCAUAACCUUCACAACAACAAAAUAAAGAGGUGGAUUGAGAAAAACCUGCUGUUGAUAUAAGGUGGAUAUGGGACCGAGGUCCUUCAAACAUCCAAUUAUCUUCAUCCAAUGAUUUAACUUCCUUAUUCAAAGCAGCCAUCAAAUCAGAUCUCAGAACUGCAAAGCAAAAAAUACUGAGACAUCCAAGACAUGAUAUUAACUUCCAUUACUAUAGAAAUAUCACAAAUACUAAGGAAAAGCUUCUGAAACCCUCAUAGAUAUUCGGUAAGCCCAAACCCAAAAAGACAAUGUGAGAAACCUUGGCUUUACAUUAAUUAAAAGAGCAAACAAAGAUAACUCAGAGAUGCUAAAAAUAAAAAGUUUCACAACCUUGCAAAGCUUCAUCCUUGCGGUCUUGAAUGGAGAUGAGAUCAGAAGGAAAAUGAAAUUCAUCGGUAGCAGUGUUGUUGCUGCUACUUCCUCCUCCAACUAAUGGUGUUGUUGAUAUUGAUGAAUUUGCUGGUGAUGUACUGCUCAUUCUGUUACUUUUUCCUCAAAACUAUCUAUCAAUCAUAUUUUGUUUCGCUUCAGUCAGAAUUGUAUAGUAUUGUCAAAAUAGAAAAUUCUUGGAUUUAAAUGCUUCAUUGCUGGUAACUGCUGACAAGUAUUGUCAAUGCUAAGAUUAAAGCACGGGCUAAGGGCUACUGAUAUCAUAAAGAGGGCUUUUGUGAGAGCACAGAGCCAAUCAUGUCUUGCCAAAUGUAAAAGAACAAACCAGGCAACAACACAGCAACUCCUUUGAAUGCAAAUUAAAACAAUUCAUCAAAAUAAAAUAAAAUAAAACACACACACACAACUUCUAGGCCUAUGAUGGAUUUUCUGGGUUCUUACUUUCGGUAGCCAUAACAGAAUGUUACAACAGAAAGCUAUUUGCUGAUAAUUAAUCAUCUAAAAUUCACAUGUUUAUUGAACAUGAUUCCACUCAUAUCUUGCAAUAAGUCAGAAAUAUUUUUAAAACUUUUCUCAACAUGUAUUUGUAAAUUUCGAAUAACAUUUUCGCAAAUAUUGGCAACAUAAUAUGAAAUAAACCAUGUAACGUUAACACUAUAGAUAAUAAAUUUAAGAAAAAAAAUUUCAAUUACCUUGCAAAAAAGGGAAUAACCAAAAACAACGGAGAGGUGGAUUCGAUUUUUAAUUUCAAAAAAUUCAACAAUCCUUGUCCCGCACGGAUACUCGCCGGCUUUGAUGAUUUAUAAUGAUCGGCGAUACGAUGUCGCGUACACUAGCACGCGGCGGCGCGUGGGAAAUUGGCGGCAAAUUUUAAUUUUGUUUUUUUUUCUUUUUUUGGGUUAAGACUGAGUAAAUUCUUGACUUCAGGGUUCCAAGCUUGAGAGUGCUGGAGCCUCGCGAGAGGCACCGUUGCAGGCGCUGGCUUCUUUAUGUUACACGUGUACCAAUGUUUUGGUUUUACCGGCAGUUUAUUUCUCAAAUACAAUUUUACCCUUAUUUUAAGAAAAAAUUUCAUAAAUUCUAACAAAAUCUAAUAAUUAUCAUCAUUGUAUCAAAGGCCCAAAAAAUUAAAUAAAAAUUUACAUUUACAUAAAAAAAAUGUUAACCUAAGGUUUAUUAUAAUACAUUAUCAUAAUUUUUUAUUCAAUUAAAUAUUAAUUUAGUAUUAAUUAUUAAUUAUCAAUAAAAUUAACAAAUCAUAAAUAAUUAACAAACGAACACACACACAAACACAUGUGAUAUACAUACAAACAAUCACAGACACCUCAAAAUAAUAAUUAAGUUAAAAUUUAUCUAAUUGAAUAAAAAAUUAUUUAGUAAUAUAAUAAAUAUUUAAUUAAUAAUCACUUUAAUUGAUAAUUAAUAGAUUUUUCCUUAAGGUUAAAAUUAGUAUUUUAUAUGUCAAUUAAUGGUCAACCAGCAAAAAGUAAUAAAAUAUAAAAUUUUAUAACUUUUUUAGUAGUAAAAUAUUAGGGUCCAAUAGUUGUUGCAUCUGUUUGUUAUUCACAAUAAUUUAAGCAGUAAAAAGAAAAUAAUCCUUUGUUUUAUUUUUGACAUGGUUCUUCCUACAAUUUAUUUAAUGAAGAAAAUAUUCUUUAUUUAAUUACUUUUUCCUUGGGGUUUAUUUGAAUAAACUCACCUACUUACACCAACUACUGUUUUUUUUUUAAAAAAAGAAAUUAUUGUUAAAAUAUGGUUAAAUAAAAUCUCCUUGAUGGCAUUACAAAAAUAAUUGAAUAAAUGAAGUUUUUACUCUUUUAAGGCUCUAUAUUUAGAUUUAAAUUAGUUUUCUUAAAUCCAAAAUUGUGAAUUUAUCAAGAUAUAUCAUAAUAUUCAAAAGUGGCAAAAUAAUCUCGAUAAAUUAAUUGUCUUGGGAAUAUUAAAAUUUAUUAAUUUAGCAAAUAUUAAUAGAGCAAUAAAUUAAUAAUUAAUGACUUAUCAAUAAAUUGAUAAUUUAUUAAUUUAUAAAAAUAUGGUGUGCAUAAUAGGAAUUUGUAUGAAGUAUAGAGGUAGUACAAUAAGAAAAUAUAGUGAUUUUGUAAAGCUAUAAGAUACGAUUUUGAUUUGACCUUGAUUGAAUAAUGAUAAGUGCUUAAUUUCACAUUAGUUUUUAAUUUUUUUUGCAAUUAUUUAAUAUUUUUCAUAAACUUCUUGAAUCUUUAUUAAUCUUUUAUAGGAACUUUUAAGCUAAUAAAACAAACACGACUAGAAAAGUUAUAAAUUGGUGUGAAGAAUAGCUAAAUUGUGACUUCAUGGAUUUUGAUUACUUCUGGGAUGAAUUUUAUCCAUUUUAUUGAGCUAUAUUAGAUAUGUAUUAAGAUUGAGGAUCAUAUUUGGGCCAUAAAAGAUUUAUUCUCGAAGGGUUGGUUGGAUUUCCAAAUUGGCCCACAAUAAAAAUAGAUUUUGGAGUUAUUUUAACAUAUAGGGCUAUUUCCUUGGCUCAAAAACCGAAUUUUAAAAGGAGAACAAGUUCAACUAGGUAUACAAGGAUUUGGAUAGCAACUCUAUAUAAAGAAAAUGAGUUAAACACUCUAGAGAGAGUAAUAAAAUGAAGAAUCAACACUUAAUAACAAUAAUAUUAAGAUAAGUUUUUAAGUGAUAUGCUUUUAAGCGAGAUCAAAUGUGUCAGUCAAUUGAUAAUCUUAAGAAAAGUGCAAGCAAAGAGAUACGUCCACAUUUUACAGAAGAUAGAACCAAUUUUGCAGCUGGUUUGAAGUAUGGUUUUCACAUGUUACUAAAAUUAUGAAAUAUGAAAGGUGCAUCUUGUUAGAUCAUUAGAUAAGAAAACCAUUCACUUAAAGAAAAAAUAAAUUAAUCAAAGAAAAUAAUUAUGAAUUAACAACCGAGAGCAAUAAAGAAGGUAGGGAAUGUUGGGGAAAGAUCGGUUUUUUAAAUUUUUUAUAAAACCUUUUUAAUAUCGCUCUCAUAUAAUAUAUAAGAAUUUGUAAUCUAAAAAUCGUACCUUGAAAAUCAUAUUUAAAUUUUUCCGCUGAAGUGAUUUAAGCUCCCAGAUCACGAUCCGUCACCACCACGCUUAUUAGAUCACGAACUGUCACCAAUGAUCUUCCAGGUUAUGACUCAUGUUUGAUCUGCACUUGACGUGUGGGCGCCUUUAUCACUACCAAAGCAACUAGCGCGAGAAAAUUUUUCUCUCAACAAUAGAGAGAAAAAUCUUUUUCUCUUAUUUGUAUAAAGUGGCUGCUCUAUAUUUUUCUUUAGAGAAAAUAAGCCUUUUUAUAUCUCCCUUUAGUGAAAAUCUUAGGCUCCAAAUAAUCAAAGUCAAAACUCACGUUACUUGUUUUUUCUAUAGGGGACCCACCUUGUAAAAUAACAUAAGGCCCCUUACACACAAGCUAAUUAAAUGGAGCCUCCCACUAAAUGAUAUAUUUAGGCUUUUGACCAAAAUAGCUAGUUAUCUUACUUAUUAAUCCAAUAGUGGUGCAGUCAAUUAAAUGAGCUAACCCGAGGAUCAUUUGGGAACAUACAUUAGUGGCUACAAUAAUUAGGCUUGUAAUUAAACUAGCCCAAUUAUUUAAUUCCAAAUCUACUCCACUAAAAGAUUGGAACUGACUUCCAUAAUUGUAUGCUCGAAUAAUAAUUCAUCCCAAGCCACAUUGAUUUCUUUACUGCACAAUCCUUUGUACCACAUACAUACUAAAUAUGUUGACACACUCUGGCCAGAGAAUUCUAUGAUCAAGUGUCGAAAACUCAUCAAGAGAUGUGUUGUACAAAUUGUAUAUUGUUAAUCCAUAACUCCAAUACUCAUAAUUGCUCCCACCAAGAUACCGGGUAAUCUUAACCAUAAGAAUGUGUCGUGCCCAUUGGUAACUCAAAUGGAAUAACAAUUACAAUCAUGAAAUCAUAAUUAACUCAAGAUUAAGAUUACAGUAAAAUCAAUGCCUAUGAGAUUUAAUAAGUCUGACAGUUAUUACAAAGUUAAUUAAAUCUCGUAUGUGAUCUUGUUCAAUGUAGUUGUACUACAUCAAUAAAUUCAUACAUGAUUAAAACAAAUCAUUCAAUGAAUUUAUUACAGUCUAUACCUAAAUAAAGUGCCCAACUUUAUUUAUCAACUGCGAACUAAAUUUAUUUAAUCAUAAGAUAACUUGUAUUUAUGUCUUCUGUGAAUCCACAUGGUGAUCACAUAAAUACAUAUAAUAUGAUUAAAUGGACUUUAAUCAAAAUAUUAAUGCAAUUAAGAUAUUUGAAUAAAAUACCUCAUGAAUUUUAUUAAUCAAAAAAAAAUAUUUAUUACAAUUAAAUAAACACAUAUGCUUUUAAAGAGCAUAUUUUCCCAACAAUCUCCCACUAGCUCUCAAAGCAUAUUUGGCAUCUCACGCAUGCCCAUGGAUUCUAAGUGCAAGUUAAAAGGUUUCCCGGGUAUGGCCUUUGUAAAAGGAUCUGCCAAGUUUUGUUGUGACGCAAUCUGAGUAACCUCCACAUUACCUCUCUGCACUAUAUCCCUUAUAAGAUAAUACUUCCUCUCAAUAUGUUUUUGUUUCUUGUGGUUCCUUGGUUCCUUAGAUUGAGCUACCGCACCACUAUUAUCGCAAAAUAGUUUAAGGGGUGCAAUUGUAGCAGGUACCACCUCAAGAUCUUCUAGGAACUUGCAGAGCCAUACAGCUUCUUUUGCAGUUUCGGAUGCAGCUACAUAUUCAGCUUCAGUUGUGGAGUCUGCGAUACAAGAUUGUUUCACACUCCUCCAACUAAUAGCUCCACUUCCCAAUGUAAACACAUAGUCGGAAGUUGAUUUUCUGGAAUCCCUAUUUGACAUAAAGUCAGAAUUAGUAUAACCCACUGGAAUGAGUUCAUCAUCAGAAUACACAAGCAUAUAAUUUUUAGUUCUUUUUAGAUACUUCAUUAUAUGCUUGACCGUAGUCCAAUGUUCAGGUCCAGGAUUAGAUUGAUAUCUACUAACCAUCCCUACCGCAAAACAAAUGUCUGGCCUAGUGCAAAGCAUGGCAUACAUGAGACUUCCCAUAGCUUCUGCAUAGGGAACUCGUCUCAUUCUCUCUAUCUCUUCAGAUGUUUUAGGUGAUUGAUCCUUAGAGAAUGUAAUUCCAUGUCUGAAUGGUAAUAAACCAGUCUUGGAAUUUUCCAUGCUAAAUCUAGCCAAUAUCUUAUCGAUAUAAACCGCUUGAGACAAGGCUAAAGUUUUAUUCUUCCGGUCUAGUAGUAACUUGAUACCAAGAAUAUAACUUGCCUCUCCCAGGUCUUUCAUAACAAAUUGUUUUGCUACCCAACUCUUUAUUGUAGUCAAUACUCCUAUAUCAUUUCCAAUUAGGAGAAUAUCGUCUACAUAAAGAAUUAGGAAGGCUACAUAUUUUUCUUGAAUUUUCUUGUACACACAUGAUUCAUCAAUGUUCUGAAUGAAUCCAAACGAUUUAAUCGCUUGAUCAAAUCUGAUGUUCCAUGACCGGGAUGCUUGCUUCAAUCUAUAAAUGGAUCUCUGCAACUUACAUACCAUGUGUUUUUGGCUUUUUUUGUAUAAAUCCAUCUGGUUGCUACAUGUAGAUGUUUUCUUCAAGAUGCUCGUUAAGAAAGGCAGUAUUGACAUCCAUUUGCCAAAUUUCAUAAUCUAGCACUGCAGCAAUGGAGAGCAGAAUCCUGAUGGAUUUAAGCAUAGCAACCGGAGAAAAGGUUUCCUCAUAAUCGAUUCCCUCUUUCUAAGUAAACCCUUUGGCUACUAAUCUUGCUUUAAAUGUUUCCACCCUUCCGUCUACUCCUCUUUUUCUCUUAUAGAUCCACUUGCACCCUAUAGGUUUUACCCCAUUUGGUGCCUCUACAUGUUCCCAGACUUUAUUGGAAUACAUAGAUUCCAUUUCUUGAUUCAUGGCUUUUUUCUAAAAUUCAACAUCUCUAUUUAUUAGAGUUUCGUUGUAACUAGUGGGAUCUUGUACAUGUUCAUCUGAGAUAGCCGUAUAGGUUUCUCCCAAAAGCAUGUAUCUCGCAGGUAACCUAGUUACCCUCCCACUACGACGAGGUUCUAAAAGUGAUGGUUGUUCAGCAAUAAUCAUGUGUUGAUCAUUUGGUUGUUGUUGUUCUUCAUGUUCUGUAACAGGCAUUGAAAGCUGAGCAUCAACCUGAUCACCUAACAGUUCUUCAAGUAUUACCUUACUCUUAGGUUUGAAGUUAUUCAUAUAAUCUUCAUCGAGGGAAGUGAAAUGUGUGCUCACGAUCACUUUCCUAUCUUGAGGACUAUAAAAUAAACCUCCCCUUGUUCCUUUGAGAUACCCUACAAACAUACAAACCUCAGGACGUGAAUCAAUUUUGUCUGCCUUUGGUUUCAGCACAUGUGCUGGUGAUCCCCAAAUACGAACAUGUCGUAAACUUGGUUUGCGACCUGACCAUAAUUCUAUUGGGGUUUUAAGCACUAACUUAGAUGGAACUAAGUUCAAGAGGUAAACUGCAGUUUCCAGUGCUAGUCCCCAAAAAGAGAUUGGUAAUGACGAAUAACUAAGCAUAGAUCUCAUCAUAUCCAAAAGAGUUCUAUUUCUCCUUUCAACUACCCCAUUUUGUUGUGGUGUUCCCAGGGCAGUCAACUAAGAUAUAAUCCCAUUUUCAACCAGAUACUCUUUGAAAUCUCCUGAGAGAAAUUCACCACCUCAAUCAGAUCGAAGAAUCUUUAUGUUCUUAUCUAAAUUCUUUUCUGUCCCAGCCCUAUACUCUUUGAAUUUCUCAAGAGUUUCAGACUUGUGACGCAUCAGAUAAACAUAAUCGUAUCUUGAGUAAUCAUCAGUGAAAGUGAUGAAAUACUCAUAACCUCCUCGAGCUUGUACAUUGAUUGCUCCACAUACAUCUGUAUGUACCAAUUGAAGUGGUACUGUUGCACGUACUCCUUUGGUCGAGAAUGGCCUUUUGGUCAUUUUCCCUUCUAAACAGGAUUCACAGCAAUGAUUCAUUUUCUAAUGGACCCAAAAGCCCAUCUUUGAUCAUUCUCUGUAUCCUAUUUUGGUUUAUAUGCCAAGCGUAAAUGCCAGAGGUAACAUUGGUUGGAAGUAAUAUUUCUUUUCUUAGAUAAAUGUGUAUGCUCAUCCUUAUUGAUCACUGUGUCAUGCAUAGAAUGGAUCAUUGGACUUAAAUGAUAUAAAUUAUCUUCCAAUGUACCAGAAUAAAUAAGUCUCUUAUUAUGAAAAAUAGAAACAGAGGAUCCAAAAUUUACAGUGUACCAUUGCUUUGACAAACAAGCUACUUAAAUUAAAUUCCUCUUAAUGUCUGGAACAUAAAGACAAUUAUUCAAAACUAAAGUCUCAUUAUUAAAAGAUAAUAAAACAGAUCUAGUCUUCACUGCUGACACGAACUGUCCUGUCCUUAACUGCAGCUUGACGCUUCCUUCACUUAUUUUCCUGAUUUCCUGAAAACAAUAAAGUGAAUUACAAAUAUGAUUAGUUGCUCUUGAAUCCAACACACAAGUGUCAAUAGGAUUCUGAACUAAACAGGCCUCAAUUACAAAAAAAUUUCCCAUACCUGAUUUCACAAUCUUAGGGCAAUCCUUUUUCCAGUGGCCUUUCUGUCCACAUUUGAAGUAUUUGCCUUUCGGCUUGCCAUCUUGCUUGGUAGACGGUCUUUUUUUCCCAGCUUUCUUCUUACCUUUGCCUUUCGGCUUAGGUCUAGAAGAAGAACCUUUUUCAACAAUAUUUAUACUUCCCAGAGAUUUCUCAGCACGAUAGAUCUCUUCAGCAGAAUGGAGUUCGUUCAUCAAUUUAGUUAAGGUCAUGUUUCUUUUGUUCAUGUUAUAAUUGACCUUAAACUCCUUGAAUGUUUCUGGCAGAGAUUCUAGCACCAUGUCAAUCUUUGAGUCAUCAUCGAUUUGUGCUCCUUGAAUCUUAGUCUCAUUCAAAUAGUCCAUCAUUUUGAGGACAUGAUCAUGAACUCUUGUGCCCUUCCCCAUUUUACUGUUCAUAAUUCCUUUCAGCGCUGCUUAUCUCGCGGAGCGAGUACUCUGCUCGAACAUCUGUUGGAGACUAUCCAUUAUUUCAGUGGCAAUCUCUAAGUUCUGCUGGCCGAUCGUUGCUGAAAUUUCCGGCCUCGAUUCUUUGAGCUCAUUUUCCAGUGAUUGAUUUACAAAUUUCCUAGGCCAAUUUUAGCUUAAAUGGACUUUGAUCAAAAUAUUAAUGCAAUUAAGAUAUUUGAAUAAACUACCUCAUUAAUUUUAUUAAUCAGAAAAAAAUGUUUAUUCCAAUUAAAUAAACACAUAUGCUUUUAAAGAGCAUAUUUUCCCAACAGAGAAAUCCACUAAAUUUAUUGCUAUGGUGCGAGCCUAAAGGAUGAAUGAUAGUAGGCGGCCUCAUAGCUUUAGCAUGGGUAUGGGACUUGUAGCAGCUUUACCUUUGCAGCGCUUGGUAAUGGGAGAUACUGCUUUGCAGAGGAAGGUGUCGUGCCUUCACAUGGCAAAUGAAGGUGCAGAGGAUAAAACUACGGCGAGGUGGAAAGUGGUUGCGGAAAAUGGAAAUCAAAUUUUGAGGGUAAGUUUUGCAAGUCGCAGUCGGCAUGUUAGGUUAUGAGGUAUUGAGGUAGUAGUUUUCUUUGGGUUUUUUUCUUGUUUUAAUUAGGGUUAAGUUAUUUUAAAUUUUGAAAAAUUCAUUUUUAAUUUGUUUAGUUAAUCCAAUCAUGUUGACUAUUUGGUUCAGUUUUAACUCGAACUAAAUUACAAUCUAGUUAGCUUCAAAGCCUUAACCCAAACCAAACCGAAUACCCACCCAUAAUUAAGCCAAUCUCUCUCAUAUUUCUCUUAACAUAACACAUCGAAUGUAACAAUGGCUUCAAGUUGAAAAGCAAGCUAAAAUCUUUUUCGAAAGCAUCAUAGACAUAUCGUAUGUAUCUAGCUUGAAAUUAGAUUAUUAAUUUAUGUAUUAAUUGGUUCCUAUAGAAAAAUAAGAUUUUUCUUUUUAGAAAUUUAUUAUCUAAUAAGUUCAUCAAAUUAUCAAUUUACCAUGUUGGUCUCUAGUUGGGAGAGAUAAAAAUUAUUAUUUUAUUGAAGUUAUCAAUUUAUUGAGUAUUAAUUUAAUGAUAUUCUACUUUAUUAAUUUUGGGAGGGGUUAUUUUAACUUAAUAUUCUGACUUAAUAUUCAUGUGGUGAGAUAAUUAUUUAUGUGACACUAAAACUCUAUUAAAUAUAUGACUCAAAAAAAUAAAAAGGCCUAGGUCACAUAUUAAAACUUUAAAUAGAAAUAAAGAGAAUCUUGACUCUUGAUAUACUUGCUUCUUCAGCAAAAUCUUUUCAUUCUGAAACUUUGAUAACAUUCACAUAUGAUGGAACCCCUCUAGAUCUAGCUAGAAAAAUCCACAUUUAGAUUGAUAAGAACCCAAGAAAGCCACUAUGAUCAGAAUUUGGAUAAAAGAUCCAAAUCCUUGGGAAGCUAAGUCUCAAGAACCCAGAUUGCUAAAUAAGACACCACAAAGGUUAGCAACUCUUUUGAUAAGUCGAAAGUUCUUUCAAGAACAAGUUGAGAAAAUCCUCUCCAAUGAUAUCAAACUCAAGAUUGGCAAAAGUGUGUUCAAAGAACAUAAAAGAGUGUUUAUAUAAGGUGGCUAACCCUAAUUUAAUUAAAAACACUAAAAAACCAUAAAAGUGUAUUCAAAGAACUCUUUCCUUUUAAGUCCUAGGCAGCCCUAAAAUGAAAUCUAUAGAAAUAUCUACACAAGGCUCCCUAUGAACUAGUAAAGGUGUAUACAAACCAUUUAGUAAAACCUUAGACUUGGCCUUUCUACAUGUAGUGCAUCUAUUACAUAUGCGCAUGACAUCCUUUUACAUCUUAGGCUAAUAAAAAUGCUCAUGCAAUGUCUCUAAGGUUUACUUAACCCCAAAAUAAUCCAUCAAGCCACCACUAUGUGCCUCUCUCACUAGCAACUUGCGUAUAGAGCUAUUAGGCACACAAAGCUUGUUUUCCCUAAACACAUAACCAUCAUGCUUAUAAAAUUGACCGAAUGAUCCUUUAUCACAUGUAGCAAAUACAUCAACAAAAUCAAAAUCAUUGGCAUAUAACUCCUUAACAUACUCAAAUCCAAGCAUUUUGGCACUCAAAGAAUUAAGAAGCACAUACCUCCAAGAUAAUGCAUCGGCAACUAUGUUCUCUUUACCUUGUUUAUACCAAAUGAUAUAGGGAAAUGUCUCAAUGUAUUCCAUCCAAGUAGCAUGCCUUCGAUUCAACUUACUUUGGCUCUUUAGAUGCUUUAAAGAUUCACGAUCAGUGUGUGUCACAAACUCCUUAGGCCAUAGGUAAUACAACCAAGUUUUUAAGGCCCUCACAAGCGCGUCGAGCUCUUUAUCACAGGUAGGAUACUGCAAGGCUGUUCCAGUCAACUUCUCACUAAAAUAAGUAAUGGCCCACUACAAGAAAACUACUAAUAGAUGACAAACAACUUAUGAUAGAUUCUGGGUAUAUCAUGAAUUAAUGAUGAUUUUGUGAUAGAAUUAUUUUCUAUCACGGAUUAAUGAUGGUUUUAUGAUAGAAUUAUUUUUUAUCAUGGAUUAAUGAUGAUUUUGUGAUAGAAUUAUUUUUUAUCACGAAUUAUUAUUUUUUACUUGACCACAUGUUGACUUAUAAUUCAUUACUUAAUAUGUGAACAAUUACACUACAUAAUUUAUAAAGUAUAAAAUGAAAAAGUGAACCCCAAAUCUAACCUAAUUAAACACACUACUUGUUAAGUUGCCGCCGCCUCUCCCCUGCUGCUCUUCCAUUUCACUGCUGCCACUGUUAUGCCGUCAUCAAGCUUCAGCCACCGACUACCAAACUGGCCACCAUUUUGUACGUCAUUGACUUGUUGCUGCCAUUUAUCUUGGUCAUCGCUGUCGCUCCUCUACCAUCACGUCAUGCUUCAGCCCAGCCAGUCGUCGUUGUUUUACCACCACUGUUAGUCUACUGCCGAGAUCAAUACCGUUCCUCAACGGCCUUUUAGAAUUUUCCUCUCACACUUUCCAUGGUCGUUAUUCUCCUUCUUCACUAACAUCACUUGCGAGAACGAGAUACCGAAGGAGUUGCAGAUAUGUUGCUGUGCAGGUAUGCUUUUCUAUGAAUUGACUCUUCUAGUUUGAUGAAGAAUGAGAAAUUCAGUUGUCGCUUAUUAAUGUCAAAUUUUAGUUUGUUGCAUUUGAUGGUGUUAAGCUAUUUUAAAUUCAGUUGUUGCUUAUUACUGUCAAAUUUCAAUUACCGGGAAAACAAACAAUCAUACAAUUCGGUACCAGUUUGUUCAUCUUCAUCUUAUUAUUGCAUACAUACACUGCAUCUCUCUAAUCAUUCAAAAGUCCAUUCUUUUCAUAUUCUUCCUCACUUUGAAAACACUCGAAAGGGAAUUAUAAUCACAAGUAAUUGAAACGAUUUUUUUUUAUCCUUUUCAUGUUAUUCAAAGAUUCAUUUUUUGAAAUUUAUAGUUAAUUGAAUUUUUUUAUUUUGGCAUUGAAUUUUGUGUUUCGUGUCAUUGUUAGUAUCCUAGGAGGCUUUUUUUUCCCCAAGGGAAACCUAGGGUUUCUUCCUUAAUUUCUUUGGUUUGGCGUUUUCUUAGCGACUAAGCUCGGUUACAUUAAGUUUUUUUUUUUGGGUUUGUUUAGAGUUGAACUGUGUAUCGUAAUUGUGCUUAUUUGUUGUUGCAUUGUACCCUCAUGAAUUUGGAAUUUUUAUACGCGAAAUUUUGUUUCCUGUAAUUUAAUUUCUGCAUAUCAAUAGCUCUGUAAAAUGGGUUUCAAUGCAGUUUAUCGGUGCUUAAUGGAGAUGUUUCCCCAAGUAUCAGUCUGUUCUACAAAUUAAACUCAUAACUAAGGCAUUACUAGUUUUUGCUUAUUUAUUUCUUCUUGGCUUGCAAUUGUAUACUUCAAAACCUUUUAUUGAUAUUUAAACGAGAUUUGUAUAUUAACCUAUGAUGCAUGUUAUAUUAAGGGCUUUAUGUUGUGUUAUUUUGCUAUUUUUUAGAGUACAAGAAAGCCAAUAGUCAUGUGGUAUAACUUUGAGUGAACUGUUCUUCUGUUAAAUUUUGGGAUUUAAUUAUUACUAACUACUGUAACUUCUCUUUUUAAUGUUUGAAUUCGCUGGAUAUAGAAAGGAAGACAACAUAAAUUUUCUUUAAUUGCUUUUUGCAUUGGAACCUAUGAAUUGUUGAAUAAUAGAAGCCCUCUGUAAUUCUUCACAAUUGUAUUUCCCCUAUGUUAAUUACUAAUUUGCAUUUCAUGUUGUAGUAGAAGAUAAAUCUGGAAUGUCCGCUAGGGUUAUUAGGUCAAAAUGAAUUUAUUAAGAGCUAUAACUUUGUUAGUUUAUUUUUUUGAUUCUUCGAAUUGAAAACUUAAUUCUCUAUUGUCAAAUUGUAGCCUUGGGUUUGUGAUCUUAGGCAAACCAUUUAAGGAAAAAUGACAAUUUUUUAGGGAAGGUCAAGAACUCAUUUUUGUGAAGCCCUGUAUAAACUGUUGGUGUGGGGCCUAUAUGCUAUACCUAAUGUGGAUGGAAGUUUGUUGAUAUGAAUUGAGAAACCCAUGGCUACAUCUUAUUUUCUAAGGAGUUGAAAUGAGACUCCGCUGAUUUGAGUUGUAAGGAAUUGUUAUAGCUAGAUGCAUCUACGUGGGUUUAGUGAGGUACUGUCUUAAACUGAUCGUUCUUAACUUGGUUUCUACUGGUGUGAUAGAGAGUUGCACCUGUGAUCCCAUGAUUCUACUUGCUGCUUUUACAAAUUAGUUUUUGAGAAUGAGUUCAAUAAUGAUUAAAAUAGUGACAUUGCUUGCUAUCAAAAGCUUGUCAUCUGACCAUGAAUAUACCCAAACAAAUUGAAGAUGGCUUCACCUUCAUAAACUUUGUGUUUGCUUAACUAUAACAUGCUAGGUCAUUAAGGACAAAAUUAGCAUCCUCUUUAACUCAAUCAUUCAUUCCAAUAGUCGAGCACCGAUUUUAUUUACCGAGUCUAUGCUUGAUUAUUUGUUGCUAUGAUCUAUUUUUGUCUCCUCACACUGGUCUAUUGUUGUGGCUUCCUUUGCAUUUUUAGCUAGCUUGUUGAAAUUUUAAUUCAUCAAUAAAUUAUAAUUAUAACUAUAAUAUAAUUUUAGAAAAAAAUCAAAACUUUAUGAUGGAAAAAGCCAUCAUAUAUUCUAUCAUAAGUAAUUUCCUGCCAAAAUUGAAUAAUAAAUUUUCAAAUAAUAAUUGAAUUUCCCACUAAAAAUUUAAAAAAAUUGGAUGAAAAUUUAAAUAAAUUUAAUUUAAUUAUUUUUUACAUUAAAAUAAUGUGUAACAGAUAUAUCACUAUGAAAUGCUAUCAUGAAUUCAUGACGGAAAAUAUUCUAUCAUAAAUUAAUGAGAGUGACAUAGAUGACGGAUGAACUGUCUGUCAUACACCCCCUUUUAUAACAGUUAUUUCCCGUCAUCUAUUGCCUGUUUUCUUGUAGUGGCCCUUUAAUCCUACGUCAAAAUAACUCUAAUUCUUAUUCUUGAGGCAUCGCACUCAAUCUCAAAAGUGCGGUUAAAAUCAUAUAAUGCUAAAACAUGUGCAGAACAUAAUCUUUCUUUUAGAUCAAUGAAUGCUNNNNNNNNNNNNNNNNNNNNNNNNNNNNNNNNNNNNNNNNNNNNNNNNNNNNNNNNNNNNNNNNNNNNNNNNNNNNNNNNNNNNNNNNNNNNNNNNNNNNCAAGCUAAAUCAUGAAAGCUCCUUACCUUAGUGAUUCCUUUAGGCAUCGGCCACUCUAUAAUAGCCCUAACCUUCUCUUGAUCCAUCUCUAUACCAUUUGCACCAACAACAAAGCCAACAACUUUUUCAAAGAAAAAAACACAUUUUUAAUAAUUAGUGUACAACCUUUCUUUCCUCAAAACAUCUAGCACGCACCAUAAAUGCUCAAUACACUCAUCUCAAAGUCUUGUUGUACACUAGAAGAUCAUUAAAGUGAACAACAACAAACUAACCUAUAAAUGCACAUAGCACAUGAUUCAUUAAUCUCAUAAAAAGUAUUAAGUGCAUUAGUAAAACGAAAAGUUAUAAUUAACCAUUCAUAUAAUUCAUACUUGGUCUUAAAGGUAGUUUUCCUUUCAUCACCCUCUUUCAUGCGAAUAUGGUGACAACAACUUUUAAAGUUAAUUUUAGAAAAUAAACAGAUUCCUUGCAAUUUAUCUAGCAUAUCAUUUAACCUAGGAAUAGGAUAGCGAUACUUUACCGCAAUAUUAUUGACGGCUGGGCAAUCAAUACACAUUCUCUAAUUUCCAUCCUUCUUUUAUACUAAUAGCAUUGGUACUACACAUGGGCUCAUACUCUCUCUCACGUGCCCCUUUCUCAUCAGCUCCAUAAAUUGCAUUUGAAGCUCUUUGGUCUCUUCGAGAUUACUUCUAUAGGCUAUUCUAUUGGGUAUGACAACUUCUGGUACGAAAUCGAUCUGAUGCUCAAUUCCUCUAAUGGGUGGUAAGCCCAUAGGCAUUUCCUCAAAAAACAUAUCUUCAAACUCCUGUAACAAAGAAAUAGCAACACUAGGGAGAGGAGGGUUAGUAUCAUCAAAAAUUAGAUAUGAUUCUUUGAAUACGAGCAAAACCAUCAAAUGACUUGAUUUAUAUGAUUUUUUUUUAAUCUCACCAACUCCUGCAAAGAAACUCUUUUUCACUCUUCCCUUUUUCUCACUCUUUUCCCCUCACUUUUGGCCUCACUUUUUUUUUUUUGGUUCUCAAAACUCUCGGUCUCACCUUUUUUGUGUUGUCCUUCAUGUUCUCUCAUCUUCAUUUACUCCUCGUAGACCUCUUUUGGUGUUAAAGGAACAAGCGUUACAAUUCUCCCAUCCUUGAAAAAACUAUAUCUAUUCCUAAACCCAUUAUGUGUCACCUUCCUAUCAUACUGCCAUGGCCUCCCCAACAUGCAUAAGAACUAUGUCACAAAGCACCUCAUUACUAUACUUCCCAAUAGUGAAAGUUACCAAUACUUGCUUAUUAACCUUGAUCUCUCCACAAUUAUUUAACCACUACAAUCUAUAAGGCCUAGGAUGUGUUAGCAAGGGCAACCCUAAUUUCUCUACAAGGGUAGUACUAGCUACUUUGGUACAACUCCCACCAUCUAUUAUCAUACUAUACACUUUGUUAUUCAUAAUGCAUCUAGUAUAGAAGAUUUUUUCUCUGUGCUGCUCCAUGUCAUCAACACUCAUUUGUGUACUCAAAGCAUGCGUAGCAACUAGGGAUUCACCUUUUGCAGGGUAUUGGACGCUGUCAUCAUCACUAACAUCAAUCAACUCUGGCAUCUCUCCACCAUCACUCGCACUCUUACUCACUACUUCCCUACCAUCUUGUAUCACCAUAACUUACUAAUUUGGGCACUGAGAAACAAUGUGUCCAGAACCUAAGCACUUGAAGCACUUGAUGUCCCGAUUCUUCUGUGGUUGAGAUUCAGCCUUAGGUUUGUUUUUUAUAUUGAAAUCUUCUCUUACCUUAGGUGGUUCAGUCUUGAUAGCUUCAUUUUGUCUCUCAUUACUACUCCACUUCGGUUUUCAUGGGUUUGAAGACACCGAAAUAUAUCUACCGGUACCCUUCUCCUUCAAUUGCCUCUCUACCUUCAUAGCCAUGUGGACUAUAUCCUCCAACUCCAUAUAAUAUUAUAGCUCCAUUACAUUGGCAAUCUUUAGAACAAGAAUGAAAAAUCUCAAACAAGAAUAAAAAAACAAUAAAGAUAUAUGAAUUUGACCUUAGUUCCUUAGCUCUGAUACCAACUGAUGAGAACCCUCUAAACUUAGAAAAGCCCACAACUAGAUUGAUAAGAACCCAAGAAAACCAAUAUUAUCAAAAUUUGGAUAAAAGAUUCAAACCCUUAAGAAGCUAAGUCUCAAGAGCGCGGAUUGCUAAAUAAGACACCACAAAGGUUAGCAAAUAACAACUCCUUUGAUAAGUAAAAAGUUAUUUCAAGAACAAAUUGAGAAAAUCUUCUUCGAUGAUAUCAAAGUCAAGAUUGUCAAAAGUUGUUCAAAGAACAUAAAAGAGUGUUCAUAUAAGGUGGCUAACCCUAAUUUAACUUAAAAACACAAAAAAAAACCCUAAAAUUAAAAACCCGGAGCCGCAUGGGCCCUAGCUUGAUGUCAGAUUUGGGCCCAAAAUAUACUAUUUUAAAGCUCUCAAUGUGAGGAAUGCAGCUACAACUUUAGAAUUGUUUUUCCUACCCUUUUUCUACUUCAAAAAUUAUUUGUCUCUGAUGCUCACUACCUCGUUAACUCGAAUCAAGUAUACCAAGGCUGGUUCCUCCUCUUUCAAGCUUAUCUUGAAUAUUGGUCUCUUGCAAAUUGAAUUCGAAUUGAAUUUGUCCAAAGUAUCUUAAACAGAUCCUUACAUUUCUUCCUUGAUCUUCUUAGCUUGUGCUUUCAUAAUUGGCCCUUCUAGAAUAAGCAACAAAUCUUUAAUGCUCUGAGCACUCUAGAUUACAUCAAUAUAUGCAUCUAGAAAUUGUUUCUAAUUUCCUUUUUCUUGUCCUAGCACUUAGCAGAUGAUACAUUUUUUAUUAUUAUGUCUUAAAGACACCUUAAUCAAACUCUUUAGUCUACCUUUACUAUUGAUACUUGAAAAUUUUCUUGAACCUUCAAAAUUGACUUUUGAUUCUCAUUACUGAAUUUAAAGCUCAUUUGAGAUUGUUUUGAAGAGGCUCAAAAGUGAUUUUGAAAAGCCAAAAGCUAAUUUUAGUAUUGUGUAAAUUUUGUUAAAAAUCACUUUUGAUAAAAUCAUCCUAUCCUAUAGCAGAUUUUGAAAAGUGAGGAAAAAAUAACUUUCCAAAAUCUGAUUUUGAUAAUCAAUGGUUAACACUAAAAAAUGUACAUUGAUAAUAUUAACAAUUUCAUUGAUUAUGUACAUUGAUAAUGCAGUUAAUAAAGGUUAACAUGAUCAUUUUUCACUAAUAGCAUUGAUAAUGUUAACAAUUUCAUCACAUUUACAAAUCCUUAACCUAUUUUAUACAUUGCCUAUAUUUAUUUUUAAUUAUGAUUUUUAGUAGGUAAAUCCCUAAAUUUAUGAUACUUGAUCUGAAGAACAUACAUGAUAUUUGGAUUCGAGAUUCACAAGUCUUUAGAAGCAUUGAUAGCCCUUCAAUCCAACACUAAUUCUAAGCGAUUGAGAUCGUGCCAUGUGUUUGAGCUCACAUGCACCUCAUUGCACUAGAUCUAAGAUGUGAUUUGCAAUGUUCCAUAUCAGUUGCAAUUUUAGACAUUUGGAUUGUAUUAGUAAAGGUCAUCUAAAGGUUGUGGUUGCAAACUCACCAAAACUAUCAUGUAAAUGCUCACACUUGAUCAACUUAGAAUUUCCCUAUAUAAAGAUAGGAGAUUACAUAAAUGGAGGUAGAAUUUGAAGGUAGAUUUUAGAUGUGUGUUUUGUUGAGAAAAUUAAUGUAAAUCUAAAGUGAAUUUUAGCAGAAAAUGCAGUUAAUGAGAAGAGAUUUUUCUUUUCUAUUUUGUUUUCAAUUUCUUUGUAUUGUACUUUAAUACAUUUAUUAAAUUAAAUGAGCAUUUUGCUAGUUAAUAUGAGUGACUAACUUUCUAAAGUAAGAUGAAAGACAAAACUCAAGGAUUCAAAUUAUGACUUUAAAUACUCUCAAGUGAGUUUCAAGUUUAUUGUUUUUAAUUACAUACUUAUAAAUUGUAUUUUCUACUGAAUAUUUAAUUCUAUAUUAAUUUGCAGAUCUAGAUUUCCUUGGAUCUAUGUUGGUAUUUUGAUCUAAUGUUGACACACUAAUACGUCUGGGAGAACACUCUAAUUAUGGCUUUGGGACAUUAUGUGCUUAACGUCUAUAUAUAUUCCUAGAGUGGUUAAUUAAUAAAUGAGUCACAUAAUUUUUAAAUUGGUAAAAAAUGCACAAUAUAAAUAUCAAAGAGUAUUAUGACCAUGAUUUAAAUAUUAACAGUGGAUCCUGUAACCUUAGCACCUUUUUUCUAGUUUAUACUAUUUCUUCUUAACUUUUUUGCUUACAAUUAUUUCAUUUAAUAAUUAAUAAUGAGAUUUUAACUCCUUGUGAUUCGACUUGAGACCUACCGGGUAAUAUUAUGACUAAAUACUCUUAUACUUAGGAAUAAUUAACUAUUUUUAAGUCGGGUCAUGCUUUUUGAAUAGUUGCUGAGGAGCUUCUAAAUUUUGUAUUAAUUUCAUUUUUAUUUUGUUUAUUUUUUCCUCAUUUUCAUUUUCUUUUUAUUUUUUCCCUCUGUCAUUUCUUUGUUUAUUUUUCAUAAAAUUUCAGUUAACGCCCUUCUUUUUCUUGAAAUUCCAAAAAUACCUACGAAGCUUGUCAAAAACUUCAUUUUGGUUGAGUUGCAAUAUUAUGUGGAGAUUGAGGAGAUGUUCUACAAAGCCAUCAAGAUUGAGAAGAAACUCAAGAGAAGGGGUGACACCCGUGCAACCCCAAGCUCGAGUUCUACUCUUUAAAAUUCGAGGUAUGUGAAACGAGAUGGGAGGCCACAAGCACCUAUUGUACCUAAGCUGAGAUCCAAGCCCUCCAAGCACAAUUCACAAGGUAACAUUGUGGCUUCCAUUACUAGGAAUCGUGACAUUAAGUGCUUUAAAUGUCAAGGUAGGGGACACAUAGCAAGUGAAUGUGUGAAUAAAAGAGUUAUUAUGUUGCCGGACAAUGGUGAGAUUGUAACUGGAGAUGAAAUGAAAGAAAAUAAGACGCCACCAUUAGAGGACAUUGACGAUGAAAGUAUACAGCCCUUGAGGCAUUGACUUUAGUAGCUAUGAGAGUUUUGAGUGUGCACGUAAAAGAAGAUGAAACAAUGCAAUGGGAAAAUAUGAUUAUUGAUGAAGGAAGUUGUACUAAUGUUGUUAGUACUAUCAUGGUGGAGAAGUUAGGGCUUUCGACACUUAAAUAUCUGCGGCCAUACAAACUAUAAUGGUUGAAUGAUAGUGGUGAGUUGAAAGUGAAGAAGCAGGUACUAGUGACUUUUUGAAUUGGCAAGUAUGAAGAUAAGGUGUUAUGUGAUGUAGUACCAAUGCAGGCUAGAAUGCGGCCAUUGAGAGAAAAUUAAAGGGAAAACAAAAGAAUUUCUAUUCAAGAGUGAGUGAGAUAAAAAGAGUGUUGUUUUCAUAUUAGCCAAUGAUUGUACUUUUGUACAAAGAGGUAUUUUUAAACACUAACGAACUCGACUUACUUUUCCUAGUUCUAUUACUUCUCUCUUCCAGGAAUAUGAAGAUGUCUUUCCCGAGAAAAGACCUCAUGGUUUACCUCUGAUUUGAGGGAUUGAGUAUCUGAUUAAUUUUCAGCCCCAUGCAACCAUUCUAAAUCGACCAGCCUAUAGGAGUAACCCCGGAGGAAUCAAAGGAUCUUCAAAGGCAGGUUAAUGAAUUGAUGGAAAAAGGGCACGUGAGAGAAAGCAUGAGUCCAUGUGCAGUUUUGGUUUUGUUAGUUCCUAAGAAGGAUGGAACGUUGAGGAUGCGUGUUGAUUGCCAAGCCAUCAUCAACAUAACAGUAAAGUAUCGACAUCCCAUUCCUAGGCUAGAUGAUAUGCUUGAUGAAUUGCAUGGGUCUUGUAUAUUUUCUAAAAUUAAUUUGAAAAAUGGAUAUCAUCAUAUUAGAAUAAAAGAAUGAGAGGAAUAAAACAAAAUAUGGUUUGUAUGAAUGAUUAGUCACGCUUUUUGAUCUAACUAAUGCUCCAAGCACUUUUAUGAGAUUCAUAAAUCAUGUUUUGCGACUUUUAUUGGUAAGUUUGUUGUUGUUUACUUUGAUGAAAUCCUCAUAUACAUUUGAAAUUUGCUUUCGAUGUGCUUAGGAAGGAAAAGUUAUUUGCUAAUCUGAAAAAGUGUACCUUUUGCACCGAUAAACUUGUGUUUCUAGGAUUUGUUACGAAUGCAUAUGAUAUACAGGUUGAUGAGGAGAAGGUACAUCCAAUCCAAGAGUGACCGAGUCCCACAAGCAUGCGUAAUGUAAGAAGCUUUCAUGGGCUCACUAGUUUCUACUAGCGGUUUGUGAAAAGCUAUAGCUCAUUGGUCACACUGCUUACCGAAGUAAUAAAAAUAGAUGUUUGAUUGAAAUGGGGAGAAGAACAAGAGAGUGCAUUUCAAAUGAUCAAGCAAAAGCUAAUCAAUGCUCCUUUAUUGUCCUUGCCUAAAUUAAAUAAAACAUUUGAAAUUGAAUGUGGUGCCUUAGGUAUUCGUGCAGGCGAGUCUUAAUGCAGGUGGGACAACCAAUUGCUUACUUUAGUGAGAAACUAAGUGGGGUAGCCUUAAACUACCCUAUUUACGAUAAGGAGUUGUAUGUGUUAGUUUGGGCAUUAGAAACAUGGCAACACUACCUAUGGCCUAAAGAGUUCGUGAUUCACAUAGAUCAUGAGUCCUUGAAACUAAGUUAAGAACAAAGUUGUUGUUUUCAACUACUUGUCACCCUCAAACUAACGGUCAAACAUAAGUUGUGAAUAGAACUUUAUCUACUCUGUUGUAAGCUAUCAUUAAAAAGAAAAUCAAAACUUGUGAAGAUUGUUUGCCAUAUGUUGAGUUUGCUUAUAAUUGUUCUGUUCAUUCUGCUACUAAGUAUUCACUCUUUGAAAUUGUUUAUGGUUUUAAUCCUUUAACCCUAUUGGAUUUAACUCCAUUAAAUAUUUUAAGCUUGUAAACUUAGAUGGCAAGAAAAAGGCUGAAAUUGUUAAGCAGAUACAUGAGACGGCAAAGUUCAACAUUGAGCGGAGAACUGAGCAAUAUGUUAAACAAGCCAACAAAGGGCGACAUAAACUAGUCUUUAAACCCGGCGAUUGGGUGUGGUUACACGUGCAAGGAACAAUUUUUGGAACGAACGAAAUCCAAGUUAUUGCCUUGAGGGGAUGGUCCUUUCCAAGUCUAGGAACGGAUCAAUGACAAUGCAUACAAGCUGGAUUUGCCCCGUCAGUACAAUGUAAGUGCUACUUUUAAUGUCUCUAUUUUUUGUACUUCUAAUGCAGGUGAUGAUUUGAGGACAACUCCUCUUCAAGAUGAGGGGAAUGAUGAGAUUUAGGACAAAACUAUCACAAGCGCAUGGGAUGAAGUAUAUUCAAAUCCUAUUCAAGUCCCCAUCGGACCCGCCAUAAGAUCUCGUGUAAAGAAAUUCAAAGAAGCGCUUAAUGGGUUUAUUCAAGUAACUUGGGCUCAAUCAAAUUCAUGGAGGCUCGUUGAAGGAAUUGCACAUGAUACUCAGACCACUAAAUGCGUGAUUUGGGCUCUUAAAAUUUCCAAAUAAUGACUUCCAUGAAAUCAGCAAGUUGGUUUGCACAUUAUGGCUAGAAAAUAUAUUAUUUUCCUUUUUGGAUACUUUCUAGUAUGGAAAAUAUGUUAUUUUGCUUUUUAGAUACUUUCCUGUUUGGAAAAUAUACUACGUUCCUUUUAAGAUACUUUCUCGUUUCUUAAGGAGGCAAGUGUCGAAACAAAUAAGUUAUUUCUCUUUUAAUUACCUAGUUUUCAUUUCAAUUGAUGUAAGUCAUUUAAGUCGAUUAUGAUUCUAAUUUGAUUUAGAUUCUUUCCUUAUUUGCUUUAGAUUGAGAUUAUGAUUUGAUUUUGGUCUAUGAUUUAUUUUUGAAAAUACCAAGGGCAAUUAUGGUGUGAAAUUUCUUGUAACCAACCCUAUAUAAUAUACUCGCAUCCAAUAAGAAGGACAUAUCAAUUUUGAUGGAAUUGGUACUAACUCCUUAAACUAAUUGGAUUUCCGUGGUAUUUAAACUCUUGACUUAUCAAUAAGAUCAUCCAUAACUGAUUGUGGUGUCCUCACAUACAUUAGUUCAUGCUUUUAUUGAGCAUCAGGUCAUGGUUCCAUUCAAUUCUAAGUUUAGAUCCGAUCUUAAAGACUAAAUUGAUUUGGGUCGCAUCAGUUCUUAGUGGGGUUCAUAUCAAGAUUUAGAGAAACUUCAAAAUAAGAAACCUUUGCACAUAAAACAAAGAUAUGAGUUUGACAAAGUUGUUCAUGAUGAUGCAAGUUACAAAGCUAAUGUUAUUGAGGAAACAAUGAAUUUGCUUCCCUUGUCAAUGUUACUCCAUCAAAAUAGAAUAUUAAUUGGCUGAUCACAUCAACCUCAGCUUUUCAAGAUCCUCUAAUUGAUUCAGAACCGCUAAAAUUUGAUAUGUUAAUAUUGUUGAGCAUGUAGAAGUAACUAUUGAUGCAUCUUUUGAUCUUGUGGAGCAAAUAGAGGUACUUCUUGAUACAUUCUCAUAUGGUUCUCUUGAUUUUCCUAAAGAAGACAAAAGAGGUUGUUGUGCUAUUUUUCAAUAGUUAGUAGAUUAUGAGAAGACAUUGUUUUUCCUCACCUAUGUUGAGUUUUGACACGAACAAUACGAGAAGGUAAUGUUGGAGAAUUUAUUGAUGGAGGAAUUUAUUUUACGGCAUUAGAGUGAUUGGAUGGACAUCAUUACAAAACUUGGAAAAUUUAAUAGUUCAUUGACUGGAUCGAAGCACUAAUUUGAAAAUUAAUCAUUGUAUAAAUGAAGUUGUUUUUGGAGAAUACAAUAAGAAAAAUUCGAUGACUAAUUUUCUCCAUUCUAGCUGGAAUAAUGCAAAGCAAGAAAACAAAGAGAGCCUUGGUUAUUUGUUAUUUGAUUAUUUUCUAGAAUAAACUCUUAGAUUGAGUUCUAUUCUUGUUAUUUCUUGGUAUUUUAUAUGAUGAUUACAAAACCGUAUGGUUGAUGAUGAUGAUGAUACUAAUGCACAAUCUAAAGGACAAUUUAACUAUUUGGCUGAUGAUGAUAAUUUGGUCCUAUCUUUUGUCAAGCAUAGGAUAAUGAUGAUAAUUUGCUUGAUGAAAUGUAUAAAAUCCUCAAUAAUAUGAAUUAGGAUAAUUGGCUAUUAGAUAAACUAUUUCUCUCCAUUGGUUAUAAAUGCCUAGUUGCCUACCUCUAACUAAUACAAAAAAUGCAAAAUGAUUACUUUCUACAUGAUCAUUAAUAUGUCUAAAAUAAUGCAUGAGUGCAUUGGCUACUUUUAAUUUAUAUUGUGGGUUAUUACAACUCUACAAUUUAAUGGUGAAGUAAUGCAAAUAACAGAAUGUAUAAAUAAAUACCAAUUAGAAUAAAUGGACAAACACAUGUAUUACCCUAAACAUUUGUUUCUAGUCGGAAAGUAUGAUAUAAGUUUAUUUUAGGAUUAAAUUUUAGGUCAUUCUAUAAUCCUGUGAUUAAAAUUAUGACAUCAAUACCGUAAUAGAUGUGGACCAUUAGAUUUAAAUAAAAGUCUCCACCAUUAAUUCUAAAUAAAUCGUAACCAGUUACCUAAAUAUAGGUAAUUAUCCUUUUUAGUUCAAAUUGCAAGUUACAAUUACUGGUCUUGUGUGUGAUUUGCAAAAUUAAAGUGUUAAAUGUUGACCCUACGUAAUAUAUACAAGUUUCAGUAUUAUUUAAAACUCUGAAGACCAAUGUACAACUCUAUCAUUAAUUUGCCCAUAUUUCCUUCGAUUUACUAGUCCUAUUUGUGGUAUACAAAAUUUUUAUUUCAUUCACUUAAUGUCAAUUAAUAAGUUCUAUGUCAUUUUCCCAGGUUUUAGUUUUUUACAAUUCUAAAGACUAAUUUACUAGUCUUAUUGGUGUUUUAUAAUUUUUUUUUCAUUUCACACUUAAUGUCGAAUGUCGAUUUAUAAGUUUUAUGUCAUAUUUCUAGGAAGAUCAAUUUACUACUAUAAUAUUAAUUUACCAUAUUUUCCUUCAAUUUACUAGUCAUAUGUGUGGUUUAUAAAUUUUAUGUUUCAUUUUACACUUAAGGUCAAUUUACAAGUUUUAUAUCAUUUUUCUAAGUUUUUGUAUUUUGUACAAUUCUGAAGAUUAAUUUACUAGUGUAACAAUAAUUUACCCCAUUUUCUUUCAAUUUACCAAUCCUAUAUGUGGUUUACAAAUUUUUAUUUCAUUUCACACUUAAAGUCAAUUUACAAGUUUCAUGUCAUUUUUCUAAGUGUUCCUUUUUUUACAAUUCCAGGACCGAUUUACAACUCCAACAUCAAUUUUCCAUAUUUUCCUUCAAUCUACUAGUCUUAUAUGUGGUUUACAAAUUUUUGUCUCAUUUCACACUUAAUGUUAAUAUAAAAAUUUUAUAUCAUUUUUCUAAAUUUUCACUUUCUUUUACAGUUCUGAAGAUCAAUUUACCACCCCAAUAUUAAUUUACCCAUUUUUCCUUUAAUUUACUAAUUCUAUGCAUGGUUUGUAAAUUCUUUAUUUUAUUUUACACUUAAUGUCAAUUCACAAGCUUUAUAUUAUUUAUUCAAUUUUUUUUACAAUUCUAAAGAUUAAUUUACAACUCUUACAUUAAUUUAUCAUUUUUCCUUCAAUUUAUAAGUCCUAUGUGUGAUUUAUGAUUUUUUUUUCAUUUCACACUUAAUGUCAAUUUACAAGUUUUUUGUCAUUUUUCUACAUUGUUUGUUUUUAACAAUAUUAAAGGCUAAUUUGUCACUCCAACAUUAAUUUACUAUUUUUCCUUCAAUUUACUAUUCCUAUGUAUGUUUUACAAAAUUUAUUGUUUCAUAUUACACUUGAUGUCAAUUUAUAAAUUUUUGGUCAUUUUUCUAAUUUUUUUUUUUUACAAUUCUGAAGACCAGUUUACGACUCCAACAAUCUACCCCUUUUCCUUCCAUUUACUAGUUCUAUAUGUGGUUUAUAAGUUUUUUUAUUUCAUUUCACACUUAAUGCCAAUUUACAAGUUUUCUAAGGACUAGUUUACCACUUUAACAUUAAUGAAAUUCUAAGUAGGCAACCCAAGAGGGGGUGCAAAUUGGGUUUUUAAAAGAUUAUUAAAAAAAAAACCAAUAAUAAUAAUACUUUCAACAACAAGUAAAUUUAAAAAGUUAAAGGUAGGGAAAACAAACACAAUAAUUUUAUGUGGUUUGCCAACCUGCCUACAUCCAUACCUCCAUGCAAACUAUGCUUGAGAAUUUCACUAACCAAACCUUACAACCUAAGGCUUCAAGAUGCUUACAAUUGAUUUCCAAGAUAUCAAUAAACCUUUAAAAUUCUAAAUGAUCCCACACCUCUUUUCCCAAGUGUUUCCCACACUUAUAAUCACUUGUUUUUUGAUGUUGAAAUGAAGAUUACAAGGAUCACUCUCCUCACAAGAAGCAAAUGAUAGUUCAAUAAUGAAUCAAUGUAUAUGAAGAAGCAAAUGAAAGCUCAAGAUGAUUUGUAUGAACAAGUUUAAGCUUGAUAAAGAUUGAAGAACUCUCUUGGAAAUGAACUUGAUUUAGCUUUUCAUAGUUUUAAAAGGACAACUAGUCGUUAUUCACUUUCUAGGCGUUGUCAAAUCACCGCUAAUUUUGGAAUAGAUCAUCGUUUGACUAACGUUGCAAGUUACCACAAUUUGAAAUUUUAUAGUAAUCGGAUUGUUGUUUAAAAUUAUUGGCUAGUCAUUUGAAUUCCAAAAACUAUCAAAAAAUUAUUGGUUAGCCUCAAAAUUUUCUAAAAUUAUGUUAUGACCCAAAACUUUAUAAAAUUUUGAAUAAGUCAGUCCACUUCAAGAAUUUCAAACAAUACUUGCUGAUUUCAAAGUUCUCAUAACUUUUUCAAUUGUCUAUAAACUUGAAAACAACCAAUUUCAUAAAAUCAUUUUUCUUUAUGCAUAGAAAGCAUUGUGGGCAUUAUUCAAGUUCUUGGGUAGUAAAAUACACAAUUUAGGUCAAACGUAAAAAGGGUAAAUUCAGAAUAAAACUAGUAUUGAUUGAGCUGGAACUAAUGUGCAAACUAUAUAAUAUUGGAAAUAUAAUUAAGUUAACUUUUGAAUGCAAUUUAUUUUGUUUAUUUGACUUUAUUUAUUUGUUUUGUUUCAAGUUUGUCAAUGUGUUAGGUAAGUCUACCAUCAAUGAUGGUGGGCUUUUAUUAAAUUUGUCAAUGAUAACAUUAUUUAUGGUAAGCAUUAAGUUUGUCAAUGACUAACAUUACUAAUGGUAGGCUAACAUUAAGUUUGUCAAUGACUAGCAUUAAUAAUCGUGGGUUGGCGAAGUCUUUUGAAGCAUCCUUUGACAAACCUAUGCUUGGAGGGUUGUUCCAAUGUUUCCAUUUGUAUUUUUAGGAUCUUGGGUUUCUCUUAGUGUUAAAGAUUCAACUAAUCCUUUGCACAUUCAUGGAGGCCCAAUUAUAAGAGCUAGAGCCAAAAAGAUGCAAGCUGCUUUAAAUGGAUUAGUUGAAAAAAUAUGGAUUAAAAAUACAAUUUAAGAUGCAAGACAUCAUGAAUUGGGCUUGGAGAGAAGACAAGGCAUUGUGGGCAUUAUUCAAGCUAUUGGGCAACCAAAUACACAAUUUGGAUCAAAUGCAGAAAAGGAAAAUUCAGAAUAAAACUGGUAUUGAUUGAGCUAGAGGUAAUUUGCAAGCUAUAUACCAUUUAGAAAGAUAAUUAAGUUAAAUUUCCAAUGCAAUUUAAAGAACUAGAUUUGGAGUUCUCUAGAAGGAGUUAUGACCAAUUUAUUACAACUUGUUCAGACUUGGGAUUUCCAAUGACUCCUUUUGUUUAUUCAAUUUCAUUUGUUUGUUUUGUUUCAAGUUUAUCAAUGUGUAAGGUAAGUCUAACAUCAAUGAUGGUGGGCUAACAUUAAGUUUGUCAAUGAUAGAAUUAAUUAUGGUAGGCUAGCAUUAAGUUUGUCGAUGACUAGAAUUAUUGAUGGUGGGUUGGUGAAAACUUUUGAGCAUCAUUUGAAAAACUUAUACUUAGAGGGUUGUUCCAAUGUUUUCAUUUGUUUUUUUAGGAUCUUGGGUUUUUAUUAGUCUAUUUACACUUAGCAACCUUGCUAUGUAAGAUAAUUAGAGAUGAAUGUUAUUUUGAAUUUGAAAGAUAAUUCUUUCUUUGGUUCUUUUGAGAACUAGUGAACUUAUUAAGAAUUUACAUUCUUGUGGCGUUUCAAAAUAGACUUAUCACUCACAUUCUCAUCUAAAUCUUGAGUGUGACAUCCAUAUCCUUCUCUAUACCUCAGGUUCAGGUUUUCUUAAACAUUGGGUCAAGGUUUUGUUUCACUUAAAUAUGUUUAGAACUUUCUUGAGAAGUUGAAACUACAAAUUUAAUGUGGGUUUCAAAGUUUCAUUGUGGGCUUUGCAUCAAUUAGCCUAUUUAAACUCAGCAACCAUGCUAUAUAAGACAAUUGAAGAUGAGAUGGUAACUAGUCCUGGGCAACUAUGAUUGCCCCAUUGUCCAUUCUUUUAUGUUCAUUUGAGAUGAAGGGAAGAGUAUGGUAAGUACCAAUUAAUUUACCUUUUUUUUCCUUAACAAUUUUCCCCCAAUUUUGUACUAGAAAUAAGAUUUCAAAGUUCGAAUCGCUCUCAUAGACAACUUUAAUUUGGAGGAACACUACCAUUUAAUGGAGAAUGCUACUUUCAUUCUUUUUAUGGUUUGGUUUUACCGCUUGGUCUUUGAUAAAUGUAAAAUACAUCAUUUUAUCUUUCGUGAUAAAAUGGUAACAAAUGAAGGAUAAAUGUGGUAUUUUUACAUACAAAUUGAUUAUUUGAGAGUUCUAUAAAUGAAAGUUAGUUAAUUUAUUAAUUAAAUAUUUACCCUUAGACAAUGUAAUUUUUUUCCUUUUUUUUGUUAUUGUAUGUUUUCAUUUCAAAGAUGGAAUGAAAUAUUAAAAAUUUAUCAAUUAAGAACAUAAAUUGUAAAAAUAAUUUCUAAAAAAGAUAAAGUGUUAUUCUCGUAAUUAGUGUUAUUGAAUCCUUGAAGAAGAUUGUUUUAUCAAAUUGAUCCUCUCUCUUGGUCUCUUCCCUUUUCCAAAAAUCGAUAAGAGAAGGUAGCAAGUAGCAACUGAGAUGAAGGUGAAAAAUGAGAUUGUUACAAUUGUAAGUGUUAGUAAUAGCCAUAGGUGGAACACGCAUGCAUUGAGUAUUGAAUGCGGAAUCUUUGUAUGAUUGCUAAAGUAAUAGCAGGCAUCCUCGCUAUAUAAUGCGGUCUACUUCACUCUUCUCUUAUUAAAGAUUGGCCAAUGACUACAUUUACUCUCUCAACCAACUUUUCUUUGUUUGCUUCCGAGUUCCGACUAUGAAUUGAAGGGAAUCGAAGCAGGUAAAUAAAAAAAAUAUUGUAAUAUUAUAACAAUAAUGGAAAUAACUUAAUCCAACAAGUGAGAUGACAUGUUACUGAAUGACGGAUUUAGUUACCAUUUUUCAAACUAACUAAUCGUGACGGUGACAGUGAUACAAUUUUAUUUGGUGUUUGUGAUAAGAUGGUCUUAUUCAUAUAACAUUUCUCAAGCUAUAAAACGUGUCAAAUAUCUAGAGUACAUGCCUCCAUAUUUAAGGAUAUAAAUAUCAUAUCAUAUAUAUGGAUCAACUUCUCAUUUGACAUAAUCUUUUGCUCGUGUAAAUAAAGUUAAGAUUGAUUGUUAACAAAAGAAAAAAAUUUUGUCACUGUUAUAGAUACUCUAGUUUAUAGUGUGUGUGUUUGCUGAACAAAUUAAUGCUAUGCUCUAGUUUCCAGGGCAUGUAGUAAAUAUUAUAAAAACUCAUACCUUUUCCUUUAGGUUGCUGCGUUUAUAUAUAGUAUUUCAAAAGAACCAUUUAAGUCAUAAUAGACAAUUGAUUAAGAUAUUAGAAAGUUGAACUAACUGAAAAGUUCUCAAUAGGCAGUUACAAAUAUUAAAUUAAGUGUAAAGUUCAUGACUAUUUAAUUAGUUAAUGUAACAAUCAUUCCAACUAUUUUCAGGUAACUUUAUAUAAUUGGACACCUGAGUUUGAAUCAUAAGAGAAAUUUAGACUAAAAAAUUAAAUUGGACUUAACCUACCUCCUCUCCUUUUUAAAAUAACUAUUUUAAUAAAAUAAAAAAUAGCUAAGUGGGAGUAUUAUCCACACGUCUGGAAAUGUAAAUAUGAGGCGGGCCGGAUUGUAAUGUCAAUUUAGAAUAUAGUGUUAAAUUAUAUUUAGAUAGUUAUCUAGCUUCAAAUUGAAAAUUUAAAAUAUUAGCAAAACAACAUUAUAAAACCCUUAGUCAUUGUGUAAUUUAAUUUUAUAAUGAAAGGAAUUUAGAUCUAUCACAAAUAGAUGUAGGCACUUAAAAACAAAAAAUUAACAAAUUGAUUAAUUUUUCGGAAAUACUGUUCACUAUUACUAUUCACCACAACUGUUUACGGUUACUGUUCAACUGCAUAAAAAAUAUUAAUUUUCCAAAAACACAAUAAAAGGCAGAAAAUACAUGACACGACGAUUUUUACAUGGUUCGAAUUAAGCAAUCCUACAUCCACAAGGGCAUGCCCAGAUGAAAAGCAAUUAACCUAUGAAUUUACCAAACUUAAGACUCUCACUUACAGUUUAUCACCAUACAGUUUACUCAACCUUAGACUAAAUCUGCUUCUCUUGAAUAAUCGCUACCCCUCUUGAUCCACGAUCCUCAAGGCACUUCGCAAAGUGAUCAAUAGCAAUUCUUCAAUUCUUCAAUGUCUAGUGAUCCAAGAUCCACAUAGACUCUCCACGGAGAUGAAAAAGAAGAUAAGAAACAAAUUAACACAACACGAUGCGCUAAAUCCAGAUUCUCUAGGGAGGAGGCCGAAUUUUGCUUCUUUACUUUAUGCUAUGUGUUGUGCGUGCCUUCAAUUGUGAAAUACUUCUCUUUAAAUAGGCACUAGGGUUUCACCAAAAUAGCAAGUCUUAAAAGACUUGGAUUCUUUCCAAAUAAGAUUUUUUUCCUCAUGAAUCUGAAUAGGAAUAAAUAUGAUCUUCUUGCCUUGCUUGUCUCCGAAGAAAUAUAUAGAGCAUUUAAUGAACUUCCUGUUUGAACCAACUUCUCGGCAGGAAACCAAUGACAUAUAUUCUAAUGGUCAUCCCGAAUGGGGACUAGACCAGUUUGCACUACUGGUAUAACAAGCCACGUACAAUUAUUUUCUAUCUUUGAGCAUAAUGCUUUUUAUCAGAGCCAACCAAAAUGUUUUGCGCACAAGCUAGAAUAUUAUUGUAUAUCGGCGGGAAACCAGUGACAUAUUUUGAUGGUCAUCCCGAAUGGGGACUAGAUCAGUUUGCACUACUGGUAUAACAAGUCACGUACAAUUAUUUUCUAUCUUUGAGCAUAAUGUUUUUUUUAUCAAAAUGAAGUGGUAAAUAUGAGAUUUGUUCGUUUUGAAUAGGGAAAUAAAGGAAAAACUGAAUCUAAGAUGGCAUCUUCAUCAAAAAAUCUAGAUAAUCUUGCUCCUGUUACUCUUUCUUCAACUCUCUCACUUCCUAAAUCUUGUUCUAAACACCUGGCUUCAAAAAUAGAAAACCUUGUUGAGUAUUCGUAUGUUCCAGAGUCAUCCCAAAUUAGUGAAUCUUCCAUGCCUCUCAUCAGCCCAUAUGAGCUGUACCAACGACCAAAUUCCUUGACCAGAAGUAUUAGAACCCUGAUUUCAACCAAAAGACCUGCUCCAAAAGAAUAUAUCCAGUCAUCACGACUAGAUCAGUGUACUCUUCAAGCAUCACAAGCAGAGCAAUAUGUCACCCUUGAAAUUCCACCAGAACUUGUUAUCCAGUGGAAAAGAGAAAGAUACACACACUCCAUCUUGGAGGAGUUCGUUUAAUUGUCACCCUUCACAGGAGAAAAGGCUUACCUGUCACAGCCGAACUAGCUUUGCUAGAUACCCGAUUCAAGGAAUAUCAGCAUGCAGUUAUAGGAACAGUCCUGACUAGUCUUCAUGCAGGAAGUGUUCUUUUGACCUUCUACCCAAAUUUCAACCUCUCACUAGAUGAUCCAAACCUACCCACUACUCUGAAGGUUCAAAUCCAGAUCCAAGGCGUUGAACAAAUAGUCUCUUCAAAAAUGGCAACCUUACACCAUCAGUUGGUGUACUGCCUGCAAAAUCAUGCCCUUGAUCUUCCCACGCCUCAAACCACAUCAGAUGCACUAAUGAUUCUUGCAGAUUCCUCAGAAAGCAUACAUUCCACAGUCCAAAUCCCAAGACAAAUACAAAAGCAAGAUCGUCUUAAGCUCCAUGCCCCUGGAAUGGCUUUCCAAUUAUGAGAAAUUCCAUCAAAACUCCCAGCUGGUCCAAACAACUGAUGCUCAUUUUGAAAAAAGAGCAGAUGGAACUGUAAAGUUGACUUUUCAGUCACCAUCCACUUCCCAGACACCCAUUGUUUCUCAUCCACCCUUUGAACAAUCAACACCCAAAAACUCCUUUUCAUACUCCUCUAUGAUCACAGCCGUAUCUACGGCACAAGAAAAACUCCCCAUCCACGAAUUUGCCUCAGAUGGCUAUCUGAUCUACCUAGACAAAAUCAAUGGUAAUUUUUUAUGGGAUGUUCCAGGUUCCCAGAUGUGUGAUGUAGAUUGUCUUUGCCUCGAAGAAGAAGAUGACAAUGAUGAUUUCAAUAGGCGUCCCAGGUGGCAUAAAAAGAAAAGUCACAAGCUGGAUCCGUGUUACAAAAAACCUCAUUUUCUCCCUGAUGACCCAGACAAUGUAGCACCUUUGCAUCUCUAUAGGAAAGGCCUGAGCCUCAUACAGAACGAGUAUAAACAAAGAUCAUGCAGACAAGAGACAGCCUUAUUCUCAUCUCCUGCUAUGCCCGUCCAACCUUGCAUGAUGUUCUCAUCAAGCUCUUAUCAAGAGUAGUUCCCAGUUCCUUCCUCUAGAAAAACAAAUUGAUCAAUAGACAAAGGUCACCACCAAACCUUUUGUCCACUCUCCCGUUACACCAAAUGGCCAGCUUAAAGAACCAAAACCUUUUGAAGCUGUACUAAACUGGCAAACUCAAAAUGCCAAGGCUCAGAAUUCAGCUUUCAGAUCUCUUGAUGAGAAAAUUGAAAGAGUGGCAUUUCAAGUCAAACAGACGGACACAAAGGUAGACAAGAUCACAUCUCAGCUUGAACAGAUGUAUCUUGACAUGCAAAAUCGAGUUACCCAACUUGAUUCAGAUCUGCAGUUAUGAUCCAAAACAGAUAUUGGGGUCCAGAAUUUAACCAAAAAGAAGCAGAAAUUUGGCAGUUAAAAGCUGAACUUGCCAUGAUUGAUAUUGACAAACAACAACCGUCAUUGUUUGCAAAAUCCCCUGCUCUACCCUUACACACACCAACUUUCAGCACUUACCAACCUUUCUACACAUCAUCCACCUCUCGACAACCUGUAGACUAUGCCAAAUUCUUUGGCCUGUCCCAUCUCAAACAUGCUCCAACUAUUACUCCUCCAAAACCACGGUCCAGACCUCCUAAGCCUAAACCACCUCCAACUUACUACCAACCUUUUGAUCCUCAAUCUACUCAGAAGAACAAUGAACUUAUGCACCAAUACUCAUCUCAGGUCUUGUCUCACCUUUCAGAAUUAGAAGAAACCUCAACUGAUGAAGAAUCUUUUUCUUCAGAAUCCUAUUCUACCUCCUCCAACUCUAAAAAAAGCUUCACUGAUAUCUCUAAGCUUCUGAUGGUCCAGCCAUCAACUGGGUCAAAUGAUCAUUCUCCCUCCUCACCUCCUCAAACACUUAUAGUUGAGAAAGCAGAUUCUAAUACCAAUCCCAUCAAGAAAAUGCGAGCCGUGGCCGGUAACCCUUUUCUCCCAUGAAGGGUAAGGAUUAAUCGGAUGCCUCCAAGAUGGAGAUGGGUAAAACCUUCUCUUUUCCAAUUAGAAAGCAAUUCGGAGGGUAUUUCCAAAGUGACAUAUUGCUCAGCAGAGGUUGCUUGGAGAGCACAUUGCUCCAAGCGAGAAGACUGGAUAUAUUUUUUAGGGUGUGGCCAUCUGGUAGAGAUCAGGGUACGAAUACUAUGGGUAAAGGAACUGGGGCGUUUAUAUAGCUGGUAAAGGCUGAUGAGAGGAUAGGAGGACUCACUGAUUUGGAUUGAUUUAGGGAUGUAGGAAUAUUCUACAAGGUUUUCGAUCUUAUUGGUGGUAUGAGAAGUGCAAGAUCUGAGCAAAGAAAGGGUAGAAGAAAGAGUAACAGGAUUGGAAGAAGUUGAAGAUGAAGUGGAAGCCAUGAAUAAGAAAAUCUCUCUCUGCUCCUGAAGCACUAGAAAUCAAAGGAGAACAAAGAAUUAAAUCAUACCAUUUUGGUUAUGAAAAAAUGAGAUUUAGAAAACAAAAGUUCAGUGAGAAAGCAGAUUAUGAUAAUUCCAUGACUUAUCAUCCAUUUGCCUCUAUGCUUUCCCCCAUCAAGCAGUAUGAUCCCUCCAAGUUAUUUGGCAUGACUCAUACUCUUUUCCGAGACAAUCCAUUGCCACCACCACCUAAGCCUAAACCACAAUCGCGACCCGUCACAAUUCAUCAUUCAUCCAUUUCCAUCCCUGGCCAACAAUCCCCUGGUUAUACACCGGCAUCACCACCAGCACCUUCACCACCUCCUUUAUCCCAACCUCCUCCUCAAUCCAAGGAUAAAGAACCCAUGCACCAGUUUAGUGCCCACACAGCCGACCAUUCACUUACUACAGAUGACCAAACUUCUGAUUCAAAUCUAGCUGUUUCUGAUAGCCAUACCGAACCUGACACAGAAUCUUCAGCAUCCACCAGUGACUUUGAAAAGUCCUAUAUUGAUAUCACCAGAAUCUUAAUGGCUCAACCUGAUCAACUUGCCCAAGGCCAAACCUCUCAUACAUAACCCUAUGUUGAUAUUCCCUCAAAAGUUGAGGAAGAAAUGCCUGAAUCUUUGGCCACAAACCAACCCCCUCCAGCUCAAGCCCAGACUGGUUCCACAAGCCAAAAAUCGUCAAAUGGUCCAUGGUUCACAUUUGAUGAUCUUCCAUCUCAUAAAUGGCGUGACCGACUUAAUGAAAUGUCUGCCUUGAUUGACCUCCAAAUGCUAAGGCCAGGAGCCACAACUGAAUCCGUCUUUAGAGAAUUUGCUACUCGUUUUACAGGUGCUCUAAGAGAUUGGUUUGAUUCUUUAGGCCACUACCGACAGUUACAGUUUGUUCAAUUACCAGAGGUCUCAAGUGCCCUUGCGGUUAUCCAUGAUUAAUUCCUUGGAGACCCUUCUGCAAUUUUUGAAGCUGCACACCGAGACUAUCUCAACAUGAAAUGUUGUUCACUCAAUGCUAAGGAUCUUGACUUCCAUUAUAAACGAAUGUCCCUGCUGUUCUAUAAGCUUAAUGGAUUCAAUGAGCCGACAUUAAAGCAUGUCUUUCUAGCUUCCCUUCCAGAUGAACACUAACCAGACAUACAAAGACAACUCACCACAUCCAAUCUUGCCCUUGACAACAUCUCUCUUGGUAAAAUCUUCCAACUUGCCAAAACUUGUCUUGACAAACUUUGCGAACAGAAACAGUUUUUCAAAGAACUGUUGAAAGAUAAAGAACCAUUCCAGAGUGCUUGCAAAAAGCCUUACUUGCAGAUCAAAUGUCAGAAGAAAAAGGAUUGUGAUUGCAGUUCUAAGAAGAAAAGGCAUUUUCGAAAAUUCAAAAAUCUAGAAUUUUCAUCCAGACCUCGCAGAUCCUGAAAGCCUUACAGAUUCUUCAAAAAGAAGUCAUCGUCCUCUUCUUCCAAAGACUUUAAAUGGAGAAAAUCAAGCAGAUGUUUCGUCUGCAAAAGAAAAGGUCAUUUUGCCAAAGAUUGUCCCAACAAAAGGGAAAAAUCUAUUCGACUAGUUGAGCAUCUUCAAGCCACUAUAGACUACUCUCCCGAGAAGGAUGAACUAGAAUUCUAUUUCUCUGAACAAGAUGAACCCACUAAUGAAACUGUGUUCGCACUGCAAAAUUCCUUUGCUGAUUCAGACAGUGAUCAAUCCCAAGUCAUUUUCCACCAACAGUUACUGUCCCUUGACACUACUGUCUCUAUACCAUCCAUCAAACUCCAGAUCUUGCCCUCCAAGUUCCAAAGGCCCAUUCCAGCAAUUGGUCUCAUUGACACCGGCGCCCAACGCAGCAUGUUAAACCCACAUAUUCUUCCUCAUCAAGAAAAUUCUUCUUCUAAACCUUCCAAUGGCCCAUGGUUUACUUUUGAUGACAUUCCAAGAGUAAAAUGGCCAGUCAGAUUUCAAGAAUUUUCUACCUGAAUUGAUGUUCAAAUGCUCAGAACUAGAGCAACAACCCAAACUGUCCUUAAGGAGUUCAGUUCUCGUUUUACUAGAUCUUUAAGAGAUUGGUUUGAAAGUCUAGGUCCAUACAGACAACUCCAAGUAAUUCAAGCCUAGAUUUUAGAAGUCCUAGGAAUAAUUUAUGAGUAGUUCUUUGGAGAAGCUACAACUGCUAACGAACAAACAAGAAGAGAGUUCCAUCUAAUGAAGUGUUGUUCUCUCCAGAUAAAAGAUCUGGAUUUUCACUACAAGAGAAUGUCUACAAUGUAUUACAAGCUCAAUGGUUUUAAUUAUCCCUCAUUAAAACAUGUCUUUGUAGCAUCUCUUCCGAAGGAGAUCCAACCAAAGCUUCAGAGACAGUUCACAAUCCACCAGCUGGACAUAGCCAACCUCUCCUUGGGGAAAAUCUAUCAAUUAACAACCAACUAUCUGGAAAUACUUUGGGAACAGAAGGAAUUCUUCAAAGACCUCAUAGAAAACAAAUAGCCUUUCAAAAGUGCUUGUAAAAAACCCCAUCUUUCCAUCAAGUGCAAAAGUGAGAAGGAUUGCACUUGCUCAACCAAAAAGAAAUCUCACUUCCAAAAAUUCUGAAAUUCAGAAAAGAAAAGCCAAAACACCUUCUAGAUCCAAAAAACCUUAUCGAUUCUUUAGAAAAAAAGAACCCUGAUGAGUCCUCUAAAUCUAAAGGCAACCAUUGUUUUAUUUGUAAAAAGAAAGGACAUUUCGCAAGGAAUUGUCCAAACAGACCUGCAAAAUCAGUCUGGCUUAUUGAGCAUCUCCAGGAUUCCAUGUUACUUUCAGAAAGUGAUGAUGUUAAAUCCUUCUUCUCUGAACAAGAUGAAUAUAAUGAACAAACAGCCUUUAUCCUUGCUGAAACAGAAGAUCAUUAUGAAUCUGAGAAUGUUUCUGUAAUUCAAACUGUACAGCAAAUUCAGAAAGUACAACCAGCCGUUCCUAUCCCUUCAAUCAAAAUUCACUUCCUCUCUGGAAGAUUUGAUAAACUAGUUCACAUCAUUGGUUUUGUUGAUACUGAAGCUCAGAAGAGUAUACUUAAUCCUUCAAUCCUUCCAUCCCAUUUUUGGGAAAAACAUACAGAAUAUUUCAAAGCUGCUGAUGGAGAAUUGUUUCAUACAAAUUUGAUUACCAAAAAACCCAUUGGUAUUCAAUUCUUUCCAGGAUGUAUCCUUUGGACCAAGCUUGUUGGAUCCAAUCUUCCUGACAAAGAUCUUUUAAUCGGGGUUUGAUGUCCUUCACCUGGUUAAAAAACUUCAUAUAACAGCUUAUGGAAUCCAUUAUAAACAUAUGUUUCAGCCUUAUAGGGAUUCCCUGAAAUUGUUCUCUAUCUCAAGCUCUCCUCCUUCAUAUGAUCCUCUCAAAUCCCAUUUUCUUCUUCACUGUCCAGAAAACCACAGUCAAUUUCUUUAUUCUACCCCUCUCUGGAAAAAUGAAAAUUUCUUCAUUAAGCUCCCUUUUAAGCUUAACGAAGACAUUAACCCAACCAAGGCUACCCAUCUAGGAAUGACCCCAUCUGACCUGAAACUAGCCCAAGAAGAAUGCUCUCAGUUGCUAAAACAAGGCCUUAUUGAGCCCACAAAUUCAGAAUGGGUUUGUCAAGCUUUUUAUGUGGAAAAAAGAUCUGAAAUAGUUAGAGGCAAAAAACAUCUUGUUAUUGAUUACCAGCCUCUCAACUGUUUUCUUAGAGACGAUAAGUUCCCCUUGCCAAAAAUCCAAUCCUUGUUUGUUCAUAUCCAAAAUGCUAAGGUCUUCUCAAAAUUUGACCUUAAGGCAGGUUUCUGGCAAUUAGGAAUCCACUCUGAUGACAGACCUAAAACAACUUUUUGCAUACCAAAUGCCCACUACUAAUGGAAAGUAAUGCCAUUUGGCCUUAAGGUAGCCCCCUCACUUUUCCAAAAGGCCAUGAUCAAGAUCUUUGAACCAAUCCUUCAUCAUGCACUUAUCUAUAUAGAUGACGUGCUAUUAUUCUCCAAAGAUCAUGAUUCCCACCAACAAUUACUUUCCCACUUUCUUGAGAUAAUGGAAACAUAUGGCAUAAUGUUGUCUGACAAAAAGAGUAUCCUAGGCCAAAACAUUGUUACCUUUCUUGGCAUAACUCUAAAAGAUGGAUACUAUAGUCUUGGGCCACACAUAGCCCAGGAACUCAUUCAUUUUCCAGAUGAACAUUUGUCAAAAAAGCAAAUCCAACAAUUCCUUGGUAUUGUGAUCUUCAUAUUGCAGUCCUUAUCAGAUCAAAUCCAAGACUUUGCAAAGAAAUUCCUUUUUCGAUAUUUCAUGAAUAUAUAUUGUACCCAGACAUCCAGAUUUCCAAGCGUUCAUCCAGAUCACCUCUUCCUUACAGGCCUAAAGAUUAAUCCCUCCAGGGACGUCACAGAAGAUGAACUGUGGUAUAUAUGGUGUCUCACUAUCUUAUAUGCCACCAAACUAAUCUUUCCUGUACAUCCAAUGUUUCAGUGUCUCAUAGAUCCUAACCAGGCUCACUCUCUCACAAGGACUCUUUUUGAAUGGUUUUCUCCUCUCUCUUGGUGGAGAAAACAACUUGACUUCAUUAUCAAACUCCACCACAUCAAUCUCCUCCCUGAUCAAGAAGGAGAACAAUUCACCUCAGUCUUCAUUGUCCAUCGUCCUUAUUUCCAGCACCCUGUUACCAAACUCUUUUGGAUUUAGGACCAAGCUUAUGAAUGGAAGACUGUUCCUCAUAGUUUUCCCCUGUAUCAUGACCCAAACCUUGUCUUUACCCUGAAACAAUACCUCUUCGAACUAAAUAAUGUCCAAUCCUCUCCUAUUGACAUCCAGCACACCUCCCUUGGACCACAACAUGAACUCAUGAUUAUUCCAACCACCAGGUCACCAUCAUCUAGUAAUCCUCCUCCCUCUGGAAUUUUGAUCAAAGAAAAAAAGCCUGAUUUCACAAACAUCCUCUUCCAGGAUUCACAAGACCCAUGGGAAGAAUUCACCUCAAUUUUGCAUCCCAUUGAAACAUCACAUGCACCCUCUAUAAGUACUGUUCCACCAACAAUGACAGAUUCACCUACUUGACAAUAUUAUGAGAACUUGCCUUGGUGGAAAGAGCCAUUUGCUGAAGUUGACAGCGAUGUUGACAACUUAUCUCCCUCACAGUUUUUAAAGCACUUUGUAAUAAUUGCUUUUUCUUUUGUAAAAGCAAAGUGUUUGCUUUACUUAAUCUUUACUUUAAAGCAUCUUCCUUUUGCUUUGUCUUUAGCUUAAAGUCCAAAAGACAGGGGUCCUGUCUUGUCGAGAAUCUUUUGCUUUUGCUUUAUCCUCUUCCUUUGAAUUUUCCUUUAUAAGGAGAAUUCAUUCACAUUUGUAAGGAUCUUAGAUUUUAAAAAAUAAGAUUCCGAGUUUUCCAAUAUCAUAAUUCUCUAAACGUUUCUCUUUUCCUUUAUUUCACUAGGAAGGACAACAUGUUCUUAUAAUAGUUCACUUCAAUCUCUUUUAAUUAGUAUGCUCUGCACUCGCCUCUUUGUAGGAUCUUGUGCAUCAGAAAGUUGUUUGGCUUUGAGAUCGAUCCAACCAACCACAUUUCAUCCUGUAUUAUAGCCAAGGACUGGCUUCACUAUUGGGUGGUAGUGGUUUACCGAUGGUAUCAGAGCCUAGGUGUUCACCAGGGGGUAUGAGUGUGUGAAAGAUAAGCACCUCAUCCCACAUUGGUUGGGAUCCUGGCUGUGUGCUGGCUUAUAAGUGUUGGGCAGUCCUCACCUCUCAGGACAUCUUUUGGGGCUGAGUUAGGCUUCGGCCCAAGAUCGUAUCAGAGUCCCACCAUUAAUUCACUUGCUAAAUUAGACAUCUAAUUAAAUUAGGAAACAAAUAUUCCUAAUAAAUUGGAAUCUCACUAAAUUAGGGAAUUAAUAAAUUAAUCCCUAUUACAAGAUAUGUAAUAAAUAAACUUCCAAUUUAACUAGACUUGCCAUAAAAUGCCAACUCUAUACCUUAACAAUCUCCCCCUUUGGCAUUCUUGUGGCAAAAGCAAUCCAACACAAGUCUUCCAUGAACUUUGGCGCUAAGAUAUGAACCUGAACAAGCAUAAACAACAACAAGGAACUAACCAAAAUAAUUGGCAAUUAGCAUGUUAGUUCAUGUAAAUAAACCAAGGCAAGAAUUAAAAUAAAAUGCUAAUUUUAUUGAUCAAUAAAUGGAAAGACAACAUUAAGCCACAAAUUAAGGACAAGAAAAUAAUUAAACUCCCGCUAAGAACUAGAAUCCAAAAAUAAAAAAUUCUCGAACAAAAAUAAAAUCUCCCUAGAAUUGAAAAUACUACUCCUCCUAACUUAUUGCAUUGAGACUAUUACUACCAAAUUUAAAACCUUACUACUAGUAUAAAUAAUUAGUACAAAGCGAGUAAGGAUCUAUCCUACAGAGAAAAUGCCAACUAAAAAUAAUUAUUAUCAACUCUAAAACAGAACUAAAAAUAGAUUAAUAUAACUAAAGAAAAUGCCAACUAAAAAUAGAAAAGGAAUAAUAAUAUAAAUUAAUCUAACUAAAGAAAAUGCCAACUAAAAAUAGAAAAGGGGGGAUUUUUGAAUUUUUAACUAAAUAGCAAGAAAUAAAGAAAUUAAAACUAUGAAAACAAUAAUUUAAUAGAAACUCUAAUUAAAGGAGAAAGAAAUAAUAAUGAUGAAAAACUUUGGUUAAAGGAUCAUUUGCCACCACCAAACAUGCACAUAAUAUAUCAAUUCUAUCAUCAAUUUCUAUUAAAACUAUCAACCGUAGACAACAAUAAGCUUUGUUAGUCUCAAUCUUUCCUUACUGUGUCGUUAGGCAAAACAAGCUCUUCACCUAAUCUCUAACCAUUAAAUAAUUUAAAACAAGCUCUUUAAAUUUAAGAUAAUGGAAGCAUUAAGUAGAGAAAGAUGUUAGGUUGAUCUAGACAAUAAACACAUAAGUUUGGAUUAUUUAAUCUAGGAUAUAUUCUCCAAUCGAAAACACUAAUUCCAACCUGCUACUAAUGAUUAAAAUAUCAAGACAAUUAAGGAUCAAGAAUUUUAAUCUAACAAUAGAAUUUAUUCAAGUCCUAUCUAAUUGGCCACUUAAAUAAAACAAGAAUAAAAUCAUAAACAUUAAUUAUAGAAGAACAAUCUCAAUUAAAUAAAUUGAAUGAUAGAAAUUGAACAUUAAUCAUAUGACAUGUUUGGGGUUUUGAAUUCACCCUAAACCAAAUAGAAAAUCUAGCCUAACAUAAUUGAAUUGGGAAUAAGAGAAUUGAUCAAACCAAUUAUGGAGAUUAAUUCAAGUGGCUGCCUUUUCUUCAAUUCAUUUCGGUUUCUCCCUUGUUUUUUUUUUCCUUCUUGCGGCUGCUGGUUUCUCAAAUCCUCUUGGCUCCAAAAAAAUUCCUUUAAUCAAAAGCCAAAAGUCGGCUUUUAUAAUGCCCAAGAAUGGCCGAAUCUUUAUUGGGUUUUCUUUCCAAUUUAAAGGCAAUUGAUUUCCUUCCCUUGCCAUGCACAUGCCGCCCACUUUGACACUUUCCUUUUUCUUCAAUUUGCUCUCCAUAAUUAAAGCCCAUGAACGUGAACUUAAGCUUUGGAAAGACAUACAUGCAAUCUUUUUAAAUUGGUCAAGUAAACCCAUGCACAUUAAACAAGUUUCCAUUUUAUGCAUGCUUGUUCCCAAAGUCUUUAUUAAUCUCCAUGAAAUCUCAUAUGCUUCCGAAUGUGUAUCCAUUAGUUAAUUAACUUCCAAGAAUCAUCAAUUAUUUCCUUUUCUAAUUCCUUCAAGCAGAUUUCUUCUUAAAUGCUCCGAUUUAAUUUCUCUUUAAUCUCAAAAUAUACCUAAAAUAACAAAAUAAAAAAAAACUAAGAUAAAAAUUAACAUAAUAAAAUAUAAUUUACUAAAUUAUAAAUUAACUAAAAUAACUAGAAUAUUUAAGACCCAAAACAAGAAAAAGAUGGAGAAAUUAAUAGCAAAAUAUAUGGAAAAUAUACACUUAUCAAAUUCCCCCACACUUACCCUUUGCUCAUCCUCGAGCAAACCUAGAACCAAAAUAAAAUAAUAUAAAAUAAAAUCUAAACUAGUCCACUUUCGUAGGAAAUCACAAUUGCAUUUAGCGUAUGCAACAAGCCUUUAAACCCUUAGGCAGCCCUAGUGGACGAGUUAUAGUCUCGUGAGGGUUUCAACAAUGAUACCCAUAAACAUCAUUUCCUUUUUUUUUUUUCAGAAAAAGAACAAAAGAAUUUAAAAUAACACUAGCCUCAAAGAUUGCAUAAGUCAUAUAGCUCAAAGAAAAUUUGAAAUAUUAUCGAAGUUCUAACUUUAAUUCAAUAGUCAAUCACAUCUCUCUUUUGAUUCUCAUAGUGUGUGUGUGAAUCAAUUCAAUCAAAAUCCAUUCUCAAAAUCUUCAAUAUCAACAACCUUUGCCUUNNNNNNNNNNNNNNNNNNNNNNNNNNNNNNNNNNNNNNNNNNNNNNNNNNNNNNNNNNNNNNNNNNNNNNNNNNNNNNNNNNNNNNNNNNNNNNNNNNNNNNNNNNNNNNNNNNNNNNNNNNNNNNNNNNNNNNNNNNNNNNNNNNNNNNNNNNNNNNNNNNNNNNNNNNNNNNNNNNNNNNNNNNNNNNNNNNNNNNNNNNNNNNNNNNNNNNNNNNNNNNNNNNNNNNNNNNNNNNNNNNNNNNNNNNNNNNNNNNNNNNNNNNNNNNNNNNNNNNNNNNNNNNNNNNNNNNNNNNNNNNNNNNNNNNNNNNNNNNNNNNNNNNNNNNNNNNNNNNNNNNNNNNNNNNNNNNNNNNNNNNNNNNNNNNNNNNNNNNNNNNNNNNNNNNNNNNNNNNNNNNNNNNNNNNNNNNNNNNNNNNNNNNNNNNNNNNNNNNNNNNNNNNNNNNNNNNNNNNNNNNNNNNNNNNNNNNNNNNNNNNNNNNNNNNNNNNNNNNNNNNNNNNNNNNNNNNNNNNNNNNNNNNNNNNNNNNNNNNNNNNNNNNNNNNNNNNNNNNNNNNNNNNNNNNNNNNNNNNNNNNNNNNNNNNNNNNNNNNNNNNNNNNNNNNNNNNNNNNNNNNNNNNNNNNNNNNNNNNNNNNNNNNNNNNNNNNNNNNNNNNNNNNNNNNNNNNNNNNNNNNNNNNNNNNNNNNNNNNNNNNNNNNNNNNNNNNNNNNNNNNNNNNNNNNNNNNNNNNNNNNNNNNNNNNNNNNNNNNNNNNNNNNNNNNNNNNNNNNNNNNNNNNNNNNNNNNNNNNNNNNNNNNNNNNNNNNNNNNNNNNNNNNNNNNNNNNNNNNNNNNNNNNNNNNNNNNNNNNNNNNNNNNNNNNNNNNNNNNNNNNNNNNNNNNNNNNNNNNNNNNNNNNNNNNNNNNNNNNNNNNNNNNNNNNNNNNNNNNNNNNNNNNNNNNNNNNNNNNNNNNNNNNNNNNNNNNNNNNNNNNNNNNNNNNNNNNNNNNNNNNNNNNNNNNNNNNNNNNNNNNNNNNNNNNNNNNNNNNNNNNNNNNNNNNNNNNNNNNNNNNNNNNNNNNNNNNNNNNNNNNNNNNNNNNNNNNNNNNNNNNNNNNNNNNNNNNNNNNNNNNNNNNNNNNNNNNNNNNNNNNNNNNNNNNNNNNNNNNNNNNNNNNNNNNNNNNNNNNNNNNNNNNNNNNNNNNNNNNNNNNNNNNNNNNNNNNNNNNNNNNNNNNNNNNNNNNNNNNNNNNNNNNNNNNNNNNNNNNNNNNNNNNNNNNNNNNNNNNNNNNNNNNNNNNNNNNNNNNNNNNNNNNNNNNNNNNNNNNNNNNNNNNNNNNNNNNNNNNNNNNNNNNNNNNNNNNNNNNNNNNNNNNNNNNNNNNNNNNNNNNNNNNNNNNNNNNNNNNNNNNNNNNNNNNNNNNNNNNNNNNNNNNNNNNNNNNNNNNNNNNNNNNNNNNNNNNNNNNNNNNNNNNNNNNNNNNNNNNNNNNNNNNNNNNNNNNNNNNNNNNNNNNNNNNNNNNNNNNNNNNNNNNNNNNNNNNNNNNNNNNNNNNNNNNNNNNNNNNNNNNNNNNNNNNNNNNNNNNNNNNNNNNNNNNNNNNNNNNNNNNNNNNNNNNNNNNNNNNNNNNNNNNNNNNNNNNNNNNNNNNNNNNNNNNNNNNNNNNNNNNNNNNNNNNNNNNNNNNNNNNNNNNNNNNNNNNNNNNNNNNNNNNNNNNNNNNNNNNNNNNNNNNNNNNNNNNNNNNNNNNNNNNNNNNNNNNNNNNNNNNNNNNNNNNNNNNNNNNNNNNNNNNNNNNNNNNNNNNNNNNNNNNNNNNNNNNNNNNNNNNNNNNNNNNNNNNNNNNNNNNNNNNNNNNNNNNNNNNNNNNNNNNNNNNNNNNNNNNNNNNNNNNNNNNNNNNNNNNNNNNNNNNNNNNNNNNNNNNNNNNNNNNNNNNNNNNNNNNNNNNNNNNNNNNNNNNNNNNNNNNNNNNNNNNNNNNNNNNNNNNNNNNNNNNNNNNNNNNNNNNNNNNNNNNNNNNNNNNNNNNNNNNNNNNNNNNNNNNNNNNNNNNNNNNNNNNNNNNNNNNNNNNNNNNNNNNNNNNNNNNNNNNNNNNNNNNNNNNNNNNNNNNNNNNNNNNNNNNNNNNNNNNNNNNNNNNNNNNNNNNNNNNNNNNNNNNNNNNNNNNNNNNNNNNNNNNNNNNNNNNNNNNNNNNNNNNNNNNNNNNNNNNNNNNNNNNNNNNNNNNNNNNNNNNNNNNNNNNNNNNNNNNNNNNNNNNNNNNNNNNNNNNNNNNNNNNNNNNNNNNNNNNNNNNNNNNNNNNNNNNNNNNNNNNNNNNNNNNNNNNNNNNNNNNNNNNNNNNNNNNNNNNNNNNNNNNNNNNNNNNNNNNNNNNNNNNNNNNNNNNNNNNNNNNNNNNNNNNNNNNNNNNNNNNNNNNNNNNNNNNNNNNNNNNNNNNNNNNNNNNNNNNNNNNNNNNNNNNNNNNNNNNNNNNNNNNNNNNNNNNNNNNNNNNNNNNNNNNNNNNNNNNNNNNUACCAGAGUAAGAAAGGCCUCAUCUUAUCACUUUAAUCUCCAAUUUUUUUUUUCACAGGCAUUUGUGUGCAUUUUCUUUUGAUUUUUCUCUUUUCCUUUUUUUCUUUUUUUUUUCCAUAGACAAGAGCUUUCACUCUACCCCUUGAGGAAGUGUUCAAAAAAAGGUAGAUUAUCCUCUACAUACUGGGGGUACAUAGGCCCAAAUUACUCAAGGAUAACUUCACUCUUAAGGGUUAUAUAUAGCUAUUUCUGACUAUGGGGCCUGUGUAUAUAACACUGUAUUAUGGAGAUAAGAAUCAAGACAAGCAGUCAUUUACUCAAUCUAAAAUUCUCAACUCAGGUAGCAUCAAUCUCAAAUUCUAAGUCAAAACUAUGAAAGAGUUGAUAUUAGUGCUCAUGGUUUAAGAAUCUCAAUUAAGAGGAAAUCAACACAAGAAUUAAGUAUAAACUAUGGUAAUAUUCAACCAUUUCGAAGAGCCAUAUUCAUUGUCAAUCAAAUUUUUAUCAUUGGCUAAUAUUCAAAAUAAUUGUUUUUAGAAAAAGAAAAAGACAAAGCAACAAAAACUAAGUUCGAAAUCCACCAUGCACACUUAAUUCUUACAUUGUCUUCAAUGUAAGCCUAAGCUAACAAAAGACAAAAUUAAACAUAGGGAAAUGAGAUGAGACACAAACAGAAACAAACAAAAUUCAACACAGAGUUAAUAAAGUAAAUGAGAAUGAGAGGGAGAAAGAUCAAAUAUGUUAUGACGUGUUCUCAAAAUCUUUUCUCCAGCCAUUUGAUUGCCUCCCAAUAAGCGCUUGGUUUAUUGUUGAUGCGAAUCCCACAAUGAAACUUUCAAACCCACACUUAAUUUGUAGUUUCAAUUUCCUACGAAAGUUCUAAAUAGAUUUAUGACAAACAAAACCUUGACCCAAUGCUUAAGAAAACAUGAACCAAAGGUAUAGAGAAUGAUAUUGACGCCACACUCAAGAAAUAGAUGAGAAGGUGAGUGAUAAGUCUAAAUUUAGAACGCCACAAGAAUGCAAAUUCUUGAUAAGUUCACUAGUUCUCAAAAGAACCAAAGAAAGAAUAAUCUUUCAAAUUCAAAUAACAUUAAUCUCUAAUUUUUUAUUACAUAGCAAGGUUGCUGAGUUUAAAUAGGCUAAAAAGAAACCCAAGAUCCUAAAAUUACAAAUGGAAACAUUGGAACAACCCUCCAUAAUUAAUGCUAUCUUUCACAAACUUAAUGCCAGCUUACUAUAAUUAAUACUAUCAUCGACAAACUUAAUGUUAACCCACCAUCAUUGAUGGUAGACUUACCUUACACAUUGACAAAUUUGAAACAAAACAACCAAAUGAAGUUGAAAAACAAAGGAGUCGUUGAAAAUCUCAAGUCUAAACAAGCUGUAAUGAAUUGGUCAUAACUCCUUCUAGAAAACUCCAAAUCUAGCUCUGUAAAAUGCAUUGGAAAGCUAACUUAAUUAUCGUUCCAACGGUAUAUAGCUUGCACAUUACUUCUAGCUCAAUCAAUACCAAUUUUAUUCCGAAUUUGACCUUUUUACAUUUGCUACAAAUUGUGUAUUUGGCUGCCCAAUAACUUGGAUAUUGCCCACAAUGCCUUGUCUUCUCUUCAAGUCCAAUUCAUGAUGUCUUACACCUUGAAUUGCAUUUUCAAUCCAUAUUUUCUCAAUUAAUCCAUUUAAAGCAGCUUGCAUCUUUUUUGCUCUAGCUCUUGUAAUUGGGCCUCCAUGAAUGUACAAAGGAUUACUUGAAGCUUUAAUGGUAUUCCCUUGAAGGUUCUCAUCAAUUGUUCUCAGCCUGACAUGGUUCUCAAGUUUCACUCAUCAACGUACGCAGGUUCAUAAAGUUGAGUCUCCUUGUUGGUCCCUUGUUGGUCGAUUUCUAUAAUCAAUUAUUAUCAAUGCCAAUGUGCAAGUAUACACAACAAGUAAUAAAGUGAUAAGUAUUCAAGAUCGUCUCCACAGGGAUUGAUGUUACUCAAAAUGUUAAAGCAAUCACAAUAGUGCAAAUCAACUAAAGACCGAAACAAACAAUUGUCAAAUAAUUCUAUCGUAACUAAUAAUGGAAAUAAACAAUACUGUAAUGAAAUAAACUAAGUUAAAUGUGUCUAAGAUUCAAUUGAGAAUAUAGUAGUUGAAUGAUCAAACUCUCCUAAUGGGGUGAUUGUUGUUUACCAAAUUAGCACCAGUUGUUACAAUAAGUGCUGCAGCAAUGGGUAGAAUAAAUCUGCAUCUGCAGCUAUCGCAUGUUGGAAAUCUCAUACCUUUAAAUCUACUAACAAUGACCAGUUGCUCAUAUAUUUAUGGUACGACAUUAUAACCUUUAAUCUCUCCACCCUACAAGGUGAACACCUAUGUUUAGAGUGUCACAAAUCUUAACUUCAAGUAUUGCCCUUAUGCGAUUCAAGGAAACCUAAUCCAGGAAACUCGACUUAAGAACAAGUAAUACUCUAAUAAUGUCCGCUAAGACAUGCCCUUUUUCUGCUCUAUCUUAACUGAAACUAUUAAAUGGGUGGUCAACUAUAGAGUAUAAUGCUACAGCAUUACUAUAACAACAUACAAGAACAGUCAAGAACCCAUUGGAUUAUUUGUCACUCAACCACAAGUAAAUUUAGUUCACAAUCUGGAUGAGAAAAAUAAACACAAAUAUAUUGAUCUUGGAAUACAUCUAAAUAAUUGAAGGAAGAAGAGAAAAUAUAAGUUGAGCACGAUGAAAAACAAAAUAAUUCUGCACGGUUCUUUUCUUUGUUUCCGAAUAGCACUCCUCAAUCUUGAUCUCCUUCUUCUCGCCUUUUUAAUUAUUUUUUAUGAUAAUUCCCAGCCGCCUUUCUAUGUGGUGCACGCCUCCUUUUAUAUUGCAAAUUAGGGUAAAAGACCCAAAGUCCAUGCGCGUGCAUGCGUUUAAAUUAGGAAACAUGCAGAUCACAAUUUUGUGGCUGACCCACGCUUUAAGCUUUCUCCUGCUUUGCUCUCUGAUUGCUGCAGCACUGGUUGCUCUAGCAUCCACAACAGCACUGCAUUAUUCUCGAUUGUGCUUGUCUUCUUUUGUGGCCAUCUUCUUUCCUCGUCUUGCUCAUCUAAUGUCUUAGCAUCCCCUUAUGAAUUUAAAACCUACAAUUAUGCACUUGUUUUUAGCACAAAUUACUUGAUUUAAACAAAACUUAUUAAAACCCAACUAAAAUGAAUGUUUAUGCAAAAGGUAAUCAAAAUGUAAUAAAAACACCUUAUUUGCUCUCUAAAUGAUCUUGAUUUAAGUCUAGAAUUGAUGUAAUAACUCUCAUUCCCUAAAGUUAUCACACCCCCAAACUUAAACUAUUACUUGUCCUCAAGUAAUGACACAUACUAACACUUCACACAAAAAAAAAUCAUUCACGCAAAUUUUGCUCUUUUAUCAACUUUGCAAGGAUUCUUCCACCUUCAGAUCAUAUUCUCAAUCAUCCAAGAUGACUAUAGUAAAUUAGUCUGAGACUUAAGCUUCUUUCUAUCCAUAGUGUGUGUGUGCUCUUUCAGUUCCAGAAUCUGCUCAAAUCAAUGAGUCCCAGUUUCCCAUCAUGAGUCCUUACAAUCUCUACAAACAGAAAACUUCUUUCACUAGAAGUAUUCGGACCCUCAUCUCCACUAAAAGACCACUCCCAAACUUCUUUCACAUACUCAACUGUGAUUAUUUUAGGAUUGACAAACUAGGGAAUAUUUAACCUCCUCACUGUAACAUUUAUCUUUCAUGUGAAUGCCAAUCAAUUGUAAUGAUGACACCCAACUAUUCAAACCAUGCCCAGAUUAGAGUUGUUGCAGCAGUAAUUGUAAUGUAAUCUUAUCUAGAAAUAUCUUUUACUCAAGGCUGAACAUGGGGCUCAUGAACAAACCUGGCUACUCAAUGCCUUAGACAGAAGAUUUUUUUUUUUUUUAUGUAUGCUAGCAUUGCUCAUAACUCUCGUUACCUUUGAACAUAAGUCUGCAUAUGGGGUACAUACUCAGAUCUGGUUACUCAGCAACUCGAGCCAUUAGAACAGAUUGUAUUCCAUAGAUAUCACAGUUAUUCAAACUUGCUUCUUCCCACCCCCCAAACUUGAGAUCUUUUCUCUUCUUUCGGCUUUGCUCUAACAGUCUCAUAUAAUUCAACCAAAGUCUAAGUGUCGGGACAGAAUGUCACUUUCAUCUAUAACUAUCUCUACUUGGCAUAUAUAUAUUGAAUAGCACUCAAUUUAUCUUCAUUAGGCUUUCAAAUCCAUACACAAAUAUUAGAUAAUAGAGCUCCACACCACACAAACAUAAACACAUGCAUACAAACCUAAACAUAUGCAUUCGGGAACACAACCCCCCCCCCCCCAAACUUGAGAGUUGUUGUGUCCUCACAAGCAAACAUAACAAAUGCACACAACUGGACAAGGAUAUGGAAGACCUUAGAAAAUACCACACAAAUUGAAAAACAAUUUUUUUUUUUAGAAAAACAAACUAAUAAGGAAAGAGUACUCCCCUGUGGUGGGGACUAUAGCACAUGAUGGGAUACUAUCAGUGCUUCUUGGAUGCAUUGCGCAACUUAUCCUUUGGUGAAGCUUUUGGAGAAGUAGUUGGCAAUGGCUUUGUCUUUUUCGCUGCGGGGCUAGCGAGAGGAGUUGGGGUUGGGGUUGCUGUAGCCGUACCUGUAGAUGUACUGCCUUUGCGUUUACUGGAUUGUCUUGGACUGGUGCGAAUAGGCUGGCUAGGAGUUUGCUGGAGAGGCUUUGUAGUUAAUGCAUCCGCUGCCUGACCCUCAGUCGUGAUGGCAGCAAUGACCGCAAGUAGUUGCUUGGCUUGCUCAGGUGUAGGCAUAGCUCUGGCUGCUGUAGCAGCUAGUUCAGCAUCGACUUGCUCCAUUUCAUCUUCAGAGGCUGGAGGUGUUGCCAUUUUUGCUUUGCCCUUGGCCUUUCUCUUGCUCGCGAGGACUGGAAUAGACAGCUCCUCUUCAAAGUCUUCCUCUUCCUCUUCUUGAAUAAUGUGCUUUUUCCUGGUUUUGGGCUGGGCUGGAAUGGUUGGUUCCUCACAUUCCUGCUCCGAAUUGUCCUCUACUUCUAUGGGUGAGCUAUCAGUCUCAAACUUGUCACAUUUUUCCUCAGGCUGGUCAAAUGGUUCAGCAUCUUUUGAUUCUUCCUUUGCUUGUGGUUCGGCUGCAGCAUCUUCUGCUGGGUCCUCUAUGGCAGUGGCUUCUGCACUAGCCUCUGUUGGAGCAUCUGCGGUGUGGGUGUCAAAAUUAAACUGUUGGAACAGUGCAUCAGGGAAGUUCCGGUGAGUGCGUUUCAUGUACAGAGCAAAUUGGUGUAGUUGGUUGUCCAGGUGCUGUAGAUAACUCCAAAACCAACCAUUUUCCCUCUGCUGAGCUUCCACACAUUGAGUUAUACUGUUGAUGGUGCCUGGAUAGUCUAUUCUAAGCCAAUAACUCAUCUUGCUCCUAUGACAACAGCUGGUUCAGUAGUUGUUCCAACACUCUCACCAGCAACUCUCUCAAUGGUACGUGCCGUAAAGGCACCAUCAUUUUUUACAUGUUCAUCGCUGGCGUCAAGACGAACACCUGAAACUACACAAAUGCUGGUGACGAGUGAGGGAAAUAACAAGGCAGCAGUUCGGUGAGUUUUGACUGCACAAUCUCGAAUUUCUUUCGCAUUGAUGCUACCUAUGUCUAUAGGAAGCCCUCAAACUAUGACAUAUAAUAAGACCAACCUUUCUUGCGAAACUGUAGUAGUGUGAGUGGUGGGCAUAAGCCUAGAUUUCAGAAAUUUCACCCACACCUUAGCAAUAGGUUUCAAAUCUAUCCUAUUAACUACACGCCCUUCCUCGUUAGCCCAUGAUGCCCCUUCAAUUGUAAGAGUUAUGAAAAUGGUGUUCCACUUUUUCGGGGUUAACUUAUCACGCAACUUAGCAUACUCACAAGUAAUUUCAGUAGGUAAGUCAUAGAAAGCAUUGAUAACGCGAGAGUCUAAUGGGACAAGUGUAUUUCUUACCCAAAUGUUGUGCUGAUCAGGGCUUACCAAAUUAGCGUAAAAUUCUUUGACUACAGGCAGCACAGGAUCUCGAGGGUGGUUGUAAAACUCUAGCCAUUCUCGCUUUGCUACAGCAUUAUGAAUUGUUUGCACAAUUCCCGCGAGUUGGUCUGGGAAUUGAAACCCUUUUUCUUCCAGAAUCCGACGCGGCUUUAUGAAUUCCUCAUAUUUUUCUUCAGCGUGGUAACUCUAGAAUCGUGACGAAUCUUUGAGGCGGCUUGUUGUUUUCUUGUAUCUCGGCAUUACUGUAGCAGUAACAAAUUGAGGCUACUGUUCCUGAAAGUAAAAAGAGAAGAAGAGGUUAAGAAGUAGGAGAGUUGGAUUUGUGAAGGAGAUGGGGAAUAGUGGCAUAGAGAACUAAGCACAGUGACUCCUUUUUAUAGUGGACUAGUAAUUGGAGAUAAAUACGGUAAUUUGAAAUAAUUAACGGAAUAAAAUAUUUUGAAUUAAAUGUGCAUAUCCCAAAAUCAUCGGCCAGUGAAUUUAAAGCUUUAAUUUCGGAGAUUUGUUUCCGCAAUUUUUAUCCAUAUCCAUGCAUCCAUCUGUCACGAUUUUAUCUCCAACGGUAAGUGAAAGGCUCCAGCUUUUAAUUUACUGUAACGGUAAAAUUAGCUGUUGCAGCAUCCAUUCGCUUAUUCUAACAACGGAUACAUACUCCCCACGAAAGCUUCUGACGCGUGGUUCACCUCUGAAUUCUGCCACCAUACACUCUCACGUGUCAAUAUGGAAUUCAAUUGUCACACUUACUAAAAUUAAGUCUAAAAUUAUUAAAAGAAAUAGAUAUAUCAAAUUAAAGUGAAAAUAAAGUAUGUAAUAAUGGAAAAGGAUAAAAAUAAAUGGUUAAUAUGGAAAAACAAGAUUAAAUAAAAUGUAAAAGAAGAAGAACAAUUGCUAUCUUGUGUCUGACUCCAUAUUUUAUCAUUGUUACAGCAAAGAUUUUAUUGCAAAAAUGUGUGCCUUCAUCACUGAUAAUUGCUCUAGGAGUGCCAAACCUGGAAAAAACAUUUUUCUGAAGAAAAGUCACCACGGUUUUAGCAUCAUUGGUAGGGAAUGCUGCAGCUUCUACCCACUUGGAGACAUAAUCCACAGUAACAAGGAUAUAUAAGUUCCCAAAGGAUUGGGGAAAAGGUCCCAUGAAAUCUAUUCCCCAAACAUCAAAAACUUCCACUUCCAGUAUGUUAGUCAAUGGCAUCUCAUGUCUGCUAGUUAUGUUCCCAAUCCUUUGACACCUGUCACAACAUUUAACAAAUUCAUAAGCAUCUUUAAAAAUAGUGGGCCAAUAAUAACCUGAUUGCAUAACUUUUGCAGCUGUUCUGUGACCACCAAAAUGUCCUCCAUAUGCUGCAGCUUGACAUGACUCCAGUAUAUGAGGUAUUUCUUCUGCUGCAACACACCUUCUUAUUACUUGAUUUGAGCAUAGCUUAUAUAAAUGUGGGUCAUCCCACUGAUAACUUCUAACAUCAUGAAGAAAUUUCUUUUUCUCUUGAAACUUCAACUCAGGUGGUAGUAACCCACUUACUAAGUGGUUAGCAAAGUCUGCAUACCAAGGAGAUUCUGAUUGCUGCAGCAUCUGUGCUUGCUGUACUACCAAUAGUUGUUCAUCAGGAAAAGUUUCGGUGAUGCCCUUCCUUGUCAAUGUACUAGAGUUUGCUUCCAGCCGUGACAAGUGGUCUGCCACUUGAUUCUCAGUCCCCUUUCUAUCUUUAAUUUCCAGAUCAAAUUCUUGAAGCAAUAAGAUCCAUCUGAUUAAUCUUGGUUUGGCAUCCUUCUUUGAAAUUAAAUAUUUGAUGGCUGCAUGGUCUAUGUAAACAGUUACUUUAGUACCCACCAGGUAAGCUCUGAAUUUGUCAAAAGCAAAAACUACUGCUAGCAACUUUUUCUUUGUAGUGGUGUAAUUGAUCUGAGUUGGAGUGACUGUUUUGCUUGCAUAGUAUAUGGAAUGAAAAACCUUAUCCUUUCUUUGCCCUAAUACUGCUCCCAUAGAAUGAUCACUAGCAUCACACAUCAAUUCAAAUGGUAAAGCCCAAUCUGGAGAUAUAAUUACUGGAGCAGUGAUCAGAGCUUUCUUUAAUUCUCCAAAUGCUUGAAGGCACUCUUUGUCAAAGUGAAAUGGUUUGUCAUGCUCUAGCAAUGAACACAGAGGCUUAGCUACUUUGGAAAAAUCCUUAAUGAAUCUUCUGUAGAAUCCAGCAUGACCUAAAAAACUCCUAAUACCCUUUACUGAAGUUGGAGGUGGCAGUUUAUCUAUUACCUCUAUCUUGGCUUUGUCUACCUCAAUACCAUCCUUGGAUAUCUUGUGACCCAUCACUAUUCCUUCUUGCACCAUAAAAUGGCACUUUUCCCAAUUGAGUACUAAGUUGGUCAUCUCACGUCUUUUAAGAACUUCUUCCAAGUUGUAUAAACAAUCCUUGUAUUUUUCCCCAAAAACUGAGAAGUCAUCCAUGAAAGCUUCCAAGGUCUGCUCUACCAUAUCAGAAAAUAUAGACAUCAUGCAUCUCUAAAAAGUUGUUGGAGCAUUGCAUAGCCCAAAUGGCAUUCUUCUGAAGGCAAAUGUUCCAUAGGGACAAGUAAAUGUAAUCUUUUCUUGAUCCACUGGAGCUAUAGCAAUCUAGUUGUAGCCUGAAUACCCAUCUAAGAAGCAGUAGUACUGUUUUCCAGCAAGUUUGUCCAACAUCUGAUCUAUGAAUGGAAGUGGGAAAUGGUCUUUCCUUGUGGCUUUGUUGAGCUUCCUGUAAUCCAUACACACUCUCCAUCCAGUCAAUGUCCUUGUAGGAAUAAGUUCAUUCUUCUCAUUAGCCAUUAUUGUUAUCUCUCCUUUCUUUGGAACACAUUGAACUGGGCUUACCCAUGAACUGUCUGAUAUUGGGUAUAUGACUCCAGCAUCUAACCAUUUGAUGAUUUCCUUCUUCACCACUUCUUUCAUAAUAAGAUUCAGCAUUCUCUGGUGCUCCACCGAAUUGCUGGAACAAUUCUAUAACAAGAUUUUAUGCAUACAUAUGGAUGGGCUUAUCCCCUUUAUAUCUGCCAUGGUCCAUCCAAUUGCUUUUCUGUAUUUUCCCAGCAAAUCUACUAGACUCUAUUCUUGACCUGCAUCCAAAGUAGAAGAAAUGAUUACAGGGAGUGUGUUGUUUUGACCAAGAUAAGCAUACUUUAAAUGUGAAGGUAACAGUUUUAAUUCAAAACUAGGAGGUGAUUCAAUAGAUGGUAAAGUUGUUUUUACUUCCCUGUCUGAAAGAUUCAGAUGUUCAAUAAACCUAUUGUGCCUAUCAGAUUGCUGUUUAUCCAUCCAAUCUAUUUGGAUUGUUGUAACAUCUUCCUCUUCAACAUCCUCAAAGGUUGUGACUUUGUCAAGUACAUUACUGCAGCAUCUGUCUAUUUUUUUUGCUACACCAAGAUCUACUACACUUAGGAAAUUGUAAUCUUUUACUUCAUCAGGGUUCCUCAUAGCCUCUAGUACAUUAAAUGUGACUUGCUGAUCAUUCACUCUCAUGGUGAGCUCACCUUUCUGCACAUCUGUCAAAGUUUUUCGAGUGCUAGAAAAGGUCUCCAAGUCUAAUGGGUACCUCUUUGUCAGCUUCAAAGUCCAGCACAAUGAAAUCCACUGGAAAGAUGAAUUUGUUCAACGUUCACCAAUACAUCCUCUAUCUUUCCUUCAGGGUAUGCAUGAGAUCUGUCAGCUAAUGCAGAGUGACUGUUGUUGGUCUGCACUCCCCUACUCCUAGCUGCUUAAAUACAGAUAAUAGCAUCAAAUUAAUACUAGCUCCCAAGUCACAAAGUGCUCUGCCAGUAUACCUAGUCCAUAUAGAACAUGGUAUUGUAAAACUCCCUAGAUCUUUCAAUUUUGUGGGAAUUUUACUCUGGAGCAUAUGACUGCUUUCCUGUGUUAAAGCAACAGUUUCAAACUCUCCCAGCCUUCUUUUUCGUGCCAAGAUAUCUUUUAGAAAUUUCACAUAAUUUGGCAUUUGCUUCAAAGCUUCCACAAAAGGUAUAUUUAUGUGCAGUUGCUUCAACACUUCCAGGAAUUUGUUGAAUUGCUUGUCUUGUUUUUGCUUCUGGAACCUUUGUGGGAAAGGUGGUGGAUGUCUAAACUGCUGGGUAGCUUUAGGAGAUACCAAACUUUGUUUGUUUGAUUUGGUGCAAGUUGUAACUACUGGUGUUGUGACUUCUUUUUCAGCAUGUUCUGAUUGAAUUUCCUCUGUAGUUGUUGUAGCUUGGCCCAUGUAACCAGUGUCUUGAAUAGGAGUUUGCUGUAACAAGCUUCCCUUUUGAGUUGGUUCUUGUGCUGAAUUGUAUUCCAUCCCUUUUUUGGUCACCUUUGGUUCUUGUGCUGAAUUGUAUUCCAUCCCCUUUUUAGUCACCUUUGGUUCUUGUGCUGAAUUGUAUUCCAUCCCCUUUUUGGUCACCUCAACUAGGAUAUCAACAUUCUUUCUAGAUCUCAAACUAAUUACUUUGCAUUGUUCUUUGCUCUCUCUCCUAGGGUCUUCUGUGUUGCUAGGUAGGCUUCCUUGAGUUCUGCUGCUCAUUGCUGUAGCUAGUUGUCCCAUUUGGUUCUCAAGGUUUCUCAAGGACACAGCUUGACUUUGCACAAUUGCUUCAUUCUUUACAAUAUACUUCUUGAUCAGUGCAUCCAGUGAAGUAAUUGGAUCCUGACUAAUAUGCUUUUGCCCUUGAAUUUGUUGUGAAAACNNNNNNNNNNNNNNNNNNNNNNNNNNNNNNNNNNNNNNNNNNNNNNNNNNNNNNNNNNNNNNNNNNNNNNNNNNNNNNNNNNNNNNNNNNNNNNNNNNNNAUUGCAUCAAUGUUAUGUACCCUGCUGAUCCUCUUGCUGCUGGUUGCCUGGUUGAAGGCCACUGGUAAUUAUUGUUGGCAAUUCUUUCUAGAAUUUCAUAAGCUUCAGUGUAAGAUUUGGAUAACAGAGCUCCAUUUGCUGAAGCAUCUACCAUUAACCUUGUACUUGGAUUUAACCCAUUGUAGAAAGUUUCCAAUUGAAUGCAACAAGGGAUGCCAUGAUGAGGACACCUUCUGAAUAAUUCCUUGAAUCUUUCCCAUGCCUCGUACAAACUUUCAUCUUUAAGUUGAUGGAAGGAAGUAAUCUCAUUCCGCAGUUUUGCAUUUUUUGUUGGUGGGAAAUAUUUCAUUAGGAAUUUAUCAGCCAAUUCAUUCCAUGUAGUGAUGGAAUCAGAGGGUAACGAAUUUAACCAUGCUCUUGCUCGAUCUCUUAAGGAAUAAGGGAAGAGCCUCAGCCUUAAGGCAACUUGUGUCGCACCAGCAAUCUUGAAAGCAUCACUUACUUUCAAGAACAAUUUAAGAUGGAGAUGAGGAUCUUCAUUAGGCAAUACAUUGAAUUGUCCCACUGUUUGUAACAUUUGAAACAUCACUGGUUUCAACUCAAAAUUUGCUGCUUCUACCUCAGGUCUGAUGAUCCCAGGGUGUACAACUUGCGGGGUUAGUACAGCAUAAUCUCUUAUAGCUCUGUCUCUAUCAUCAGCCAUGUAAAUAAUAUUUUUGUUGCCUUGCUGUCUCCCGUUGGCAUGUUCAUUCUGCUCUUCUUGAAUGUUGACUGGUUGUAGGGGCCCGUGAUGAUUCAAAUUUUGCGCAUCCUGUAAAUUAUUCAUGCUUGGAGCACUUUCUGAAUUCCUUUGUUCUCUUCAUAGUCUCCUGACAGUCCUUUCAAUCUCAGGAUCGAAUUGGAAUGCCACAAAUCUGUCUUUGCACAUGCAUGUACCGAUCUGCCAAUAAAUAGAAUAAAUCAAAUCAAAUUUGGUGCUAUCAAGAUUUACUUCACACUAAAAAAAUAAAUAAUCAAUCCCCGGCAACAGCGCCAAAAACUUAUUGGUUGAUUUCUAUAAUCAAUUAUUAUCAAUGCCAAUGUGCAAGUAUACACAACAAGUAAUAAAGUGAUAAGUAUUCAAGAUCCUCUCCACAAGGAUUGAUGUUACUAAAAAUGUUAAAGCAAUCACAAUAGUGCAAAUCAACUAAAGACCGAAACAAACAAUUGUCAAAUAAUUCUAUCGUAACUAAUAAUGGAAAUAAAACAAUACUGUAAUGAAAUAAACUAAGUUAAAUGUGUCUAAGAUUUAAUUGAGAAUGAUCAAACUCUCCUAAUGGGGUGACUGUUGUUUACCAAAUUAGCACCAGUUGUUACAAUAAGUGCUGCAGCAAUGGGUAGAAUAAAUCUGCAUCCGCAGUUAUCGCAUGUUGGAAAUCUCAUACCUUUAAAUAUACUAAAAAUGACUAGUUACUCAUAUAUUCAAGAUCGUCUCCACAGGGAUUGAUGUUACUCAAAAUGUUAAAGCAAUCACAAUAGUGCAAAUCAACUAAAGACCGAAACAAACAAUUGUCAAAUAAUUCUAUCGUAACUAAUAAUGGAAAUAAAACAAUACUGUAAUGAAAUAAACUAAGUUAAAUGUGUUUAAGAUUUAAUUGAGAAUGAUCAAACUCUCCUAAUGGGGUGACUGUUGUUUACCAAAUUAGCACCAGUUGUUACAAUAAGUGCUGCAGCAAUGGGUAGAAUAAAUCUGCAUCCGUAGUUAUCGCAUGUUGGAAUCUCAUACCUUUAAAUAUACUAACAAUGACCAAUUGCUCAUAUAUUUAUGGUACGACAUUAUAACCUUUAAUCUCUCCACCCUAUAAGGUGAACACCUAUAUCUAGAGUGUCACAAAUCUUAACUUCAAGUAUUGCCCUUAUGGGAUUCAAGGUAACCUAAUCCAGGAAACUCGACUUAAGAAUAAGUAAUACUCUAAUAAUGUCCGCUAAGACAUGCCUUUUUACUGCUCUAUCUUAACUGAAACUAUUAAAUGGGUGGUCAACCAAAAUAACAGUUGUAUUCAUAAAAACUACUAGAGUAUAAUGCUACAACAUUACUAUAACAACAUACAAGAACAUUCAAGAACCCAUUGGAUUAUUUGUCACUCAACCACAAGUAAAUUUAGUUCACAAUCUGGAUGAAAAAAAUAAACACAAAAAUAUUGAUCUCGGAAUACAUCUAAAUAAUUCAAGGAAGAAGAGAAAAUAUAAGUUGAGCACGAUGAAAAACAAAAUAAUUCUGCACGGUUCUUUUCUUUGUUUCCGAAUAGCACUCCUCAAUCUUGAUCUCCUUCUUCUCGCCUUUUUAAUUAUUUUUUAUGAUAAUUCCCAGCCGCCUUUCUAUGUGGUGUACGCCUCCUUUUAUAUUGCAAAUUAGGGUAAAAGACCCAAAGUCCAUGCGCGUGCAUGCGUUUAAAUUAGGAAACAUGCAUAUCACAAUUUUAUGGCUGACCCACGCUUUAAGCUUUCUCCCGCUUUGCUCUCUGAUUGCUGCAGCACUGGUUGCUCUAGCAUCCACAACAGCACUGCAUUAUUCCUGAUUGUGCUUGUCUUCUUUUGUGGCCAUCUUCUUUCCUCCUCUUGCUCAUCUAAUGUCUCAGCAUCCCCUUAUGAAUUUAAAACCUACAAUUAUGCACCUGUUUUUAGGACAAAUUACUUGAUUUAAACAAAACUUAUUAAAACCCAACUAAAAUGAAUGUUUAUGCAAAAGGUAACCAAAAUGUAAUAAAAACACCUUAUUUGCUCUCUAAAUGAUCUUGAUUUAAGUCUAGAAUUGAUGUAAUAACUCUCAUUUCCUAGAGUUAUCACUCCUCUACAUUGAGUGUCCGAUAGUUUUCAUAGUAAGGCUUCAACCUAUGACCAUUAAACUUGAACUCUUUACCUAUCUUUAAGCUCUCAAUCUUAACUGCACCAUGAGGAAAAACAUUAAUAACAAUAAAAGGCCCAACCCAUCGAGAACGUAGCUUACCUGGAAACAACUUAAGGUGAUAAUGGAAUAACAAAACUUUCUGUCUAACUUCAAAGUUCUUUCUCAAGAUCUGCUUGUCAUGAAAAGCCUUAGUCUUUUCCUUAUAGAUUCGUGAAUUCUCAUAGGCAUCAUUUUAAAUUUCCUCUAAUUCUUGCAAUUGGAGCUUUUUGUGUUGGUCAGCAGUGUCUAGUUUCAUGUUACAGUGUUUCAUAGCCCACCAUGCUUUAUAUUCAAGUUCCACUGGAAGAUGACAAGGCUUACCAUAUACCAAACUCUAGGGUGACAUACCAAUAGGUGUUUUGUAUGCGGUCUUAUAUGCCCAACCAAAGUGCAUCAUCAAGCUGUAGGCUCCAGUCCUUUCUAUUCGAAUUAAUUGUCUUUUCAAGGAUUGAUUUCACUUGCCUAUUAGACGCCUCAGCUUGCCCACUAGUUUGUGGAUGGUAGGAUGUAGACACCUUGUGAGUGAUGUUGUACUUUCGAAAGAGGGCUUAUACUGAUCUGUUACAAAAGUGAGUGCCUCUAUCACUGAUAAUUGCCUUCGGCGUUCUAAGCCUUGCAAAGAUGUUACACUUUAUAAAAUCUACCACAACCUUAGAAUCAUCAGUUCGGGUGGCUUUUGCUUCCACCCAUUUUGAAACAUAAUCAACCGCAAGAACAAUAUAGAGAUUACCAAACGAUGAAGGAAAUUAUCCCAUGAAAUCAAUGCCCAAACAUAAAAAAUCUCAACUAUAAGAAUGAGAGAUUGUGGCAUUUGAUUUCUAGGUCCCAAAUUACAUGUUCUCUGACAAUGAUCACAAGAUUUGCAAAAUAAAUAUGCAUCCUUAAAUAAUAAUGGCCAAUAAAAACCACUCGCAAGUACCUUAAGGGCUGUUCUGUUAGGUCCAAAAUGUCCUCCAUAAGCCAGAGUAUGACAAAAUGUGAGAGUAGAAGAAAAUUCAGUUUCGGGUAUGCACCUUCUAAUAACUUGAUCAGAACAAUGCUUCCACAAGAAUGGCUCAUCUCAUACAUAGUACUUGGCAUCACUCUUGAUCUUGGUCUUUUGUGCACAGGUUAGCUCUUCUGGUACUGUCCUGGUAACUAAGUAAUUGCCAAUAUCUGCAUACCAAGGAGUAACUGUACCUAUCUGUAAUAUAUGUGCAUCUUCGUUAUAGGUAAGUCGACUCAAAUGGUUUGCCACCAAAUUCUCAGAACCUCUCUUAUCUAGAAUCUCUAAGUCAAAUUCUUACAAUAAAAGUAUCCAUUAAAUAAGGUGCGGUUUGGCAUCCUUUUUGGUGAGCAAGUACCUAAUAGCUGCAUGGUCAGAGUAAACAAUUACCUUAGAUCCAAUCAAAUAAGAACAAAAUUUUUCUAAGGCAAAGAAAACUGCUAAAAGUUCUUUCUCUGUGCUGGAGUAGUUGAGUUGUGCAUCAUUCAAUGUACGAGAGGCAUAAUAGAUGACAUGAGGAAGCUUGCCCACACGUUGGCCUAACACGACUCCAACAACAUAGUCACUGGCAUCACAUAUGAUCUCAAAUGGUAAAUCCUAGUUCGGUGGUUGAAUCACAGGGGCCAAUGUCAAAACCUCUUUUAACUUCUCAAAUGCUCUUUAGCACUCUUCAUUGAAGUCAAACGUUGCAUUCUUUUGAAGUAAGUUACAAAGGGGUAAUGCUAUCUUAGAGAAGUCCUUGAUGAACCUACAAUAGAAACUUGCAUGACCAAGAAAAGAACGAACCUCCCUCACGCUAGUGGGAGGUGGUAAAGAGCGAAUAAGAUUUAUCUUAGAUUUAUUAACUUCAAUUCCCCUUUCAGAAAUAACAUGGCCUAGUACAAUUCUUUGAUUAACCAUAAAAUGACAUUCUUCCCAAUGAAGCAUAAGGUUGGUGUCAAUGCAUCGUUUAAGCACAAGUAUAAGGUUAUCUAAAAAUCUGUCGAAAGAAUCACCAUAAAUCGUAAAAUCAUCCAAAAAUACCUCAAUGAUGUUUUCCACAUAAUCAGAAAAAAUACUCAUCAUACACCUUUGGAAAGUGGCAGGAGCAUUACAGAGACCAAACGACAUGCGUCGGUAAGCAAAUGUGCCAAAGGGGCAUGUGAAGGUCGUUUUCUCUUGGUCUUCCGGAGUGAUAACGAUCUGAUUAUAACAUGAGUAACCAUCAAGAAAACAAUAAUGAGAGCGACCACUUAACCUUUCAAGCAUUUGAUCAAUGAAUGGCAAAGGAAAAUGAUCCUUGCGAGUGGCUGCAUUCAGUUUACGAUAGUUAAUGCAAACUCUCCACCAGUUUGAACUCUUGUUGGCACAAGCUUGUUUUCUUCAUUCUUGACCACUAUGAUACUUGAUUUUUUUGGAACUAUCUGCACAUGACUCACCCAUUUACUAUCAGAAAUGGGAUAAAUAAUCCCCACAUUAGGAGUUUCAGUAUCUCCUUUUUUACGACUUCCAUCAUCGGUGGAUUAAGGCGACGUUGUGCAUCUUUCGUUGGUUUAGACCAUUCCUCUAGUAAAAUGUGAUGCAUACACAUAGAAGGACUAAUUCCCUUGUAAUGCCGAAGAACCCUAAUUAACUUUUUUUGUUGAACUAAAGUGAGGGUUUUAACAAUUAUGACUAGAAGUGCUUCAUUCUCACCCAAGAAAAUAUAUUGCAGGUGCUCUGGGAGUGACUUAAGUUCUAAGGUAGGUGCCUGCAAAACUGAAGGUAAAAGUUUCUCGUUUACUAAUGGCAAUUCAAGGUAAGAAACAUUAUACCCAUUGGUGGGUAAUGGGACUGCUCCAUCUAAGAUCGCCAUAGCUUCCUUUACCUUAUCAUUGAACUUUAUCAAAUUUGUCUGUUCCUUAGAAUCAUCUUUCGUAAGAUUUUUGCGUAUGGCAAUUUCAAAACUAUCAUUACUAGAUAACUCAAAGAAAUCCUGCGCCAAAGUAUUAAUAUCAUCUAUGGUAAAGACAGAAAGUACAUCACUGGGAUACCUUAUUGCCUCAAAGAUAUUGAAGCGGAUCACUUCACCAUCGAAUUCCAUUGUGAGGGUUCCAUUGUGAACAUCAAUCUUGGUUCAGAAUGUCUUAAGGAAUGGUUGCCCCAACAGUAUAGUAGUGGGAUUGGGCAAUGACUCAUCCUCCAUUUCAAAGAUAUAAAAAUCAGCUAGAAAGACCAAUUCAUUGACCUGCACAAGAACAUCUUCCACAACCCCUUUGGGGUAAGCAUUAGAUCUAUCGGCCAAUUGAAUAAUUAUACCAGUUUCUUCCAUUGGACCUAAAUUCAAGGAGUUAUAAAUCGAAUAUGGCAUGACACUGAUUAACGCCCUUAAAUCUAGCAUACAUCUUUCGAAUAUAGUAUUGCCAAUAGUGUAGGGGAUAGUAAAAGUAUCUAGAUCCUUGCACUUAGGAGGAAGUUUUCUUUGAAGUAUAGCAGAAACAUUCUCUUCUAGAUUUACCUUUUCGUUACCGCUCAACUUUCGCUUGUUGCUACAUAAUUCCUUCAAAAACUUUAUAUAACGCAGCACCUGUUUAAUAGCAUCAAGUAAUAGAAUAUUUACCUCUACUUUACGAAAGGUCUCAAGGAUCUCCUUUUCUUGCUCCUCUUUCUUGGAUUGUUUAAACCUACUAGGAAAUAGUGGAGGAAUGGAAAGGGUCUUAAUUUGAGGUGAAUGGGUACUUACUUGGCUAGAUAGGUUGACUGGCAAUGCAGAGUGGUAAUCAUCUUUGUUAAAGGAAGAGCCUCAGGGGAGAGAUUGGUCACAGAGUACGAUGAUGUUGUGGACACUUUUGAUGGCUUAGCUAAUAAUAGUUCCAACUACUUUCCGCUCCUAAGAAACAUUGCAUUAGCAUUCUCCUUUGGAUUAAUUUAUGGUUGAGAAGGUAACUUUCCUAAUGUUCUAGCCUCUAUCCUACUCAUAGAUGUGGCCAGUUGGCCAAUUUGAUUCUCUAAAUGUUGGAGCUGUGUCUGGGUAGUCUGUUGGAACUGCAUAGAGUUUUGAGGAGGUGGAGGUGGUCGAACUUGGUAAGGUCGUUACAUCUGCUGUUGGGGGUAGCUCGGUGGUCGAGACGGUGCCACAUUAGGGAUGCCUUGUUAUUGGUUUCCAUACCUAAAAUUAGGGUGAUCCUUCCACCCUUCCUUGUAAAACCUUAGAGUAGGGAUCAUACUUUUGUCUUGGUUGGCCUAGGAACCCCUCAACUGCGUUGGCCUGCUCAUGUGAACCCUCUUGGAGAGCAGGGCACAUAUCAGUCGCAUGCCCGACCAUGGAACAAACGCCACACAAUCUCACUUGUUGCCCCAGGGCUAAUUAUUGCACCAAAGAAGUAAGAUUUGAAACUUGUUGUUCGAGGGAAGUAGUACUUACCUCGUUGACUCGCUUAAGUGGCUGCAGUAGAUUGUUCCUAGUGUUGAACUAUUGGGAAUCAGCAGCCAUGUUAGCAAUGAGAUUUUGGGCUGCUUCUAGUGUCUUAUCCAUGAGUGCUCCUCCACUAGAGGCAUCAAUCAUACUCCUAUCCAUAGGCAGUAGACCCUCAUAAAAGUACUGAAUAAGGAGUUGAUACUUAUCUGAUGGUGGGGCAGCUAGCACAAAGCUUUUUGAAUCGUUCCCAGUAGUCAUAAAGUGACUCUCCAUUAUAUUAUAGGAUUCCACAAAUUUCUUUUUGAAUGCUGCCAGCUUUUGAUGCUGGAAAGUAUUUCUCCAAAACUAGUCGAUGCAUCUCAUUCCAUGUAGUGACAAUACCAGAGGGAAGAUAGUACAGCCAUUCCUUGGCAGAAUCUGCCAAAGAGAAUGGGAAGACCAUUAGCUUAACUUGCUCUUUAGAAACUCUGGCUGGUUUCAUUGUGGAGCAUACCACAUGGAACUCCUUCAAGUGCUUAUUUGGGUCAUCUUCUGCAAGACCAUGAAAAGUAGGAAGAAGAUGAAUCAUCCCAGAGUUGAGUUCAAAGUUUACCUAAGGAUUUGGAUUCUCAAUGCAUAAUGGUUGCUGGUCCAAGUUAGGAGCUGCCAACUCUUUAAGUGUUCGGUUGUUGUUUUGAGCCAUUGGUUCGGGUUCUAGGCUGCUUGGCUCUGUCUUCGGGAGUGUGGAUGGCAAAAUCGAGUUCUGAAUGUGAUGAGGUUGCUCUAAGUUGUUCGAGUUUCAGUCAAAUGUCCUCUAUGCUCAUGAAAAUCUAAAUAUAGAAAGAAAAUAACUAAUUAAAAUAAAAUGAGAGAAAAAAUAAGUAAAAACAAUAAAAUAAAACAAGUGAUAAUAAACAAACUAGACGCUAGUCCUCGGCAACGGCGCCAAAAAUUUGGUAAUGUCAUUAGGGUGCACCAAAUUAAAAUCUUACUACUAGUAUAAAUAAUUAGUACAUACCAAGUAAGGAUCGAUCCCACAGAGACUAUGGUAGAUGUAUUUAUUAUCAACUCUAAAGCAAGACUUAAAAUAAAAUAAUAAUAGGAAUAAUAAUAUAAAUUAAUCUAACUAAACAAAAAUGCCAACUAAAAAUAGAAAAGAGGGGAUUUUUUUAAUUUUUAACUAAAUAGCAAGAAAUAAAGAAAUUAAAACUAUGAAAACAAUAAUUUAAUAGAAACUCUAAUUAAAGGUGAAAGAAAUAAUAAUGAUGAAAAACUUUGGUUGAUGAAAAACUUUGGUUAAAGGAUCAUUCGCCACCACCAAACAUGCACAUAAUAUAUUAAUUUUAUCAUCAAUUUCUAUUGAAAAUAUCAACCGUAGACAACAAUAAGCUUUGUUAGUCUCAAUCUUUUCUUAGUGUGUCGCUAGGCAAAACAAGCUCUUCACCUAAUCUCUAACCAUUAAAUAAUUUAAAACAAGCUCUUUAAAUUUAAGAUAACGGAAGCAUUAAGUAGAGAAAGAUGUUAGGUUGAUCUAGGCAAUAAACACACAAGCUCGAAUUAUUUAACCUAGGUUAUAUUCUCCAAUUGAAAUCACUAAUUCCAACCUACUACUAAUGAUUAAAAUAUCAAGACACUUACGGAUCAAGAAUUAUAAUCUAGCAAUAGAAUUUAUUCAAGUCCUAUCUAAUUGGCCACUUAAAUAAAAUAAGAAUAAAAUCAUUAACAUUAAUUAUAAGAGAACAUAAACAAUCUCAAUUAAAUAAAUUGAAUGAUAGAAAUUGAACAUUAAUCAUAUUACAUGUUUGGGGUUUUGAAUUCACCUCAACCAAAUAGAAAAUCUAGCCUAACAUAAUUGAAUUGGGAAUAAAAGAAUUGAUAAAACCAAUCAUGGAGAUUAAUUCAAGAGGCUGCCUUUUGUUUAAUUCCUUUCGGUUUCUCCCUUGUUUUUUUUUCCUUCUUGCGGCUGUUGGUUCCUCAAAUCCUCUUGGCUCCAAAAAAACCCCUUUAAUCAAAAGCCAAAAGUCGGCUUUUAUAAUGCCCAAGAUUGGCCGAAUCUUUAUUGGGUUUUCUUUCCAAUUUAAAGGCAAUUGAUUUCCUUCCCUUGCCAUGCACAUGCCGCCCACUUUGACACUUUCCUUUUUCUUCAUUUUGCUCUCCAUAAUUAAAGCCCAUGCACGUGAACUUAAGCUUUGGCAAGACAUACAUGCAGUCUUUUUAAAUUGGUCAAGUAAAUCCAUGCACAUUAAACAAGUUUCCAUUUUAUGCAUGCUUGUUCCCAAAGUCUUUAUUAAUCUCCAUGAAAUCCCAUAUGCUUCCGAAUGUCUAUCCAUUAAUUAAUUAGCUUCCAAGAAUCUUCAGUUAUUUCCUUUUCUAAUUCGUUCAAGCAGAUUUCUUCUUAAAUGCUCCGAUUUAAUUUCUCUUUAAUCCUAGAAUAUACCUAAAAUAACGAAAUAAAAAAACUAAGAUAAAAAUAACAUAAUAAAAUAUAAUUUACUAAUUAUAAAUUAACUAAAAUAACUAGAAUAUUUAAGACCCAAAACAAGAAAAAGAUGGAUAAAGUAAUAGCAAAAUAUAUGGAAAAUAUACACUUAUCAAGUCCAUGUCAGACCCAUCACAAGUGCUCAUGCAAGAAAUUCAAACAUGUGCUUAAUGGGUUGAUCCAAGCAUCUUGAGCUCAAUCAAAUUUGUGGAGGCCUGUCGAAGGAAUAGCACAUGACAUUCACAACACUAAAGGCAUGAUUCAGCCUCUUGAAGUUUCCAAAUAAUCAUUUCCAUGAAAUCAGCAAGUUGGCUUGCACAUUAUGGCUAGAAAAUAUAUUAUUUUCCUUUUUGGAUACUUUUCGUUUGGAAAAUAUAUUAUUUUUCUUUUCCAAUACUUUCCCAUUUAGAAAAUAUACUACUUUCCUUUUCAGAUACUCUCCUAUUUCUUGAGGAGGUAAAUGGGGAAACAAACUAGUUAUUUCUCUUUUAAUUGCCUAGUUUCUAUUUUAAUUGAUGUAAGGCAUUUAAGCCAAUUAGGAUUCUGAUUUAAUUUAAAUUCUUUCCUUAUUUGCUUUAGAUUAGGAUUCUAAUUUGAUUUUGGUUUAAGAUUUAUUUCUGAAAAUACUAUGGGCAAUUAUGGGGCUAAAUUUCUUGCACCAACCCUAUAUAAUGUACUCUAAUUCAAUAAAAAGGACAAAUCAGGUUUGAUGCAAUUGGUGCAAGAGGUAAUUCUCUUUGGUUCUUAAACUAACUCUUUGAACUUAUCAGAUUGUUGUGGCAUUCAAACUCUUGACUUUUCAAUCAAAUUAUCCAUAGCUGAUUGUAGCGUCCUCACAUACCAAGGUUCGUGCGUUCAUUGAGCAUUGGGUCCCAGUUCCAUUCAAUUCCAAGUUUAGAUUUGAUCUUGGAGACUAAAUUAAUUAGGGUCGCGUUAGUUCUUGUUAGGGUUCAUAUCAAUUGGAAUUAGAGCAGAGUUCUGACCUGGUUUUGCUUAUCUUUAUCUUUAGUUUUCAAUCCCUAUUAAUCGUAAGUCUUAAUUUCCAUUCUUCCAAAUUUGGUUAUGAAAAUCCUUAGAAUUUUUUGGCUGAUGUUUUUGCACUCUUUCUAAAAUUAUUGAGUCUUUUUGUUUCAAUUCAUUGAAUUGUGAGUCUUGCUUUAAUUUUAGAGUUUCAUUAGUCUUCUGUACUGAUUUAUGCUAAAAAAAUCAAAAAGGGAGGGAAACAAAGAAACAAGAGAAGAAUGAAGGGGAUAGUAAGAGUUUAAAAAAAAAAUAGCUUUGGUGUCUUUUGUUCAUUUUGUAUUAUUAGUGUCUUGGAGAGUCCAAAAUUGGUUUUACCAUAGAUGAAAAAUUUUGCUUGAAAUUUUGGUAAUUUAUGCUUCUGAAACCCCAUCGUACGUACGCAUUGUAUUCUUGCUUUUGAAAUCCGAGUCUCUCUGGUGUAAUCUUUGUGAAUUAUUGCUGGAAUCUUGAUAUUGGUUUGAUUAUUUUGAUAAGAGGUGAAUGAGAACUACUACAAGUGGAAAAAAGCAAGAGAGUGUGAGCAUAUUAGAGGGUAAAAGCCAAUAAAUUUGAGUGAAACAUGAGUGGAAUUGAGUGAAUCAUUUUCUUGAAUGAAACAUGCAAGGGAGAGUGGUGACGAUGUCAGCCAUGUCUCACAAUCAAGUACGAAACACAAAUGAAGAGGAUCAACCACCAAUUACUUAGAAUUUGUAAAUUUAAGCAUUGAUGGGAGAGUUGAGAAGGAUGAUGAGGGCAUGCUUAGAGCACAUGCAUGAGCAUUUAGAUCAAGUAGAGAACACAAGUGUAGGGCAGCGACAACCCUGUUGAGUGUUAGAAAAUGCAUAUUUAUAAAGGAGAAAACCGUCAUUUUACAUUUCAAGUCUUACUAACAACCCUUACUUUUAUGUAUUUAACAUUCUUGUGAUUUAAUUACGUGUGUUUUAUUUUAAUUAAGUAAUUUAUGUAUUUUAGGGGCAUUAUAGUUAUUUCACAAUAAAGGAGAGAUCAGACGGCAAAACGGACAUCACUUUUGAACUCAGGACGGUCGAAAACCUUAGGAGGAGCAUAAAAGGAAAAAUGACACUAUUCACAUGUACGGUACUAUUCACGUGUACGGUACUGUAUACGUUACUGUUCACGACACUGUUCACAUAGACGGACCGAUGACGUGGCAUUGACUGAUGAGGUGUCACGAUCCUGUUGGACUAAAAUUCUUAUGUGCUGUUGAUGGUGACGUGGCAGCAUAUCAGUGGACGAAAAAUCUCGCGUACGGUGCAUGCAUCACACAGGAUUAUUUUCAACCAAACCGCGUUACUGUUCAUCCGGGUCAAACCGCGUUACUGUUCAAAGUCGGGUCAAACCGUGUUGCUGUUCAUCCACGUGGUCAAACCGUGGACUGUUGACUGAUGAUGUGGCGCAAUCCUGAGCGUCCAAACUAUUUUGAAUCCGAUGGCCAUGAUUUACUCCAUGUAUCUAUAAAAAGGGGGCCUCUCCCCCCUAAUUUGAUAUCUCUAAAUCCAUUUUUGGGAUCCAUUUUCUGUAAUUCCCUCUCCAUCUUGUAUUUUCUUCGUAUUUUAAUAAAUUCCCAUUUUGCCCCUAAUUCAAUUAUGAGUGGCUAAUUUUCUUUCAAGCUUGGGUUGAAGGUGAAGUCUCAACAUGUGUCAUGGGCUUAAUUUGGUAAAUUUAUUUUCUCUUCCCCUCUAGUUUUUGUGGAUGUUUUGACUUCUCGUCGACAAAUAAUACUAAUCUUGUCUAGUACCGCCUUGGUUUCACCGGCCCUCUAGUACAAGGUUAUUAUUAUUUGGCACGAUAAGCCCUUAGCACCAUAUUGAUUAGAGCGUGGUUCAUGAGGUGUGGAUUCCCCCUUCAUGAUUUAAUUGGCAUUAAUACGGAUUAUUUAGCCCAUGAUGCAUGUUGAUACGGAUCUAGAUACCCAAGUACGUCAAUUUAAUAGAUUUUCUCUUCAAUUUAUUCUCUCCAUUGCAAUUCCAAUUUUAGAAUUUAUUCUUGUCAUUUUAAUUUAAGUAUUAGCAUAUUCCAAAUCAUUUCCACCAUAAAUCCAACUACCCAUUUACAAAAUUAAUUCUAUAUAUAAUUAAAAUCCACCUCCUCGUGGGAUCGACACUCGUCACCAUUAGUCUAUACUACAAUAGAUUCGUGCGCUUGCGAGUACAUUAAAAUUUGCACAACAAACCCGUUUUCCAAGCACAUGGGAAAGGGCUUUGGCUAGAGGAGAGAUUAAUGACUAUUAUAAGGAUGAGUGUGAUGAAGGGGAUGACUCAAUGGGUAGUUAUAUGAGAGAUAAAUGAGGUAGGAGAGAUAGGAAUAGGGAUGAUGGUUUGAGUGGCAUAAACAUGAAGAUAACAUAAUUUAAGGUAAAUCCAACUUGGAAGCAUACCUUGAAUGAGAGAAAAAAAAAAGGAGUUUGUGUUUGAUUGCCACAACUAUUUAGAGGUAAAAAAGGUAAAAUUGGUUGUGAUUGAGUUUUUUUACUAUGCCAUUAUUUGGCGGAAUAGGGAAUGUCUAGCUGAGACGUGGGGUGAAAUGAAAACAUUGAUGAGAAGACAUUUUGUACCCAACUACUACUAUCAAGACUUGUACCAAAAAUUACAAAGUCUUACACAAGGUAGCUGAAGCAUGGAGGAUUAUUACAAAGAAAUAGAGAUUGCCAUGAUUAGAGCAAAUGUGGAGGACGAUAGAGAAGCUACUAUGGCACGAUUCUUGAAUGGCCUUAAUCUGGAGAUUACAAAUAUGGUUGAGUUGCAACAUUAUGUGGAGAUUGAGGAGAUGUUCUACAAAGCCAUCAAGAUUGAGCAGAAACUCAAGAGGAGGGGUGACACUCAUGCAACCCCAAGCUUGAGUUCUACUCCUUAGAAGCCAAGGUAUGUGAAACGAGAUGGGAGGCCACAAGCACCUAUUGUACCUAAGCUGAGAUACGAGCCCUCCAAGCACAAUUCACAAGGUAACAUUGUGGUUUCUACUAUUAGGAAUCCUGACAUUAAGUGUUUUAAAUGUCAAGGCAGGGGACACAUAGCAAGUGAAUGUGUGAAUAAAAGAGUUAUUAUGUUUCCGAACAAUGGUGUGAUUGUAACUGAAGAUGAAAUGAAAGAAAAUGAGAUGCCACCAUUAGAGGACGUUGACGAUGAAAGUAUACAACCCCUGAGGAAUUGACUUUAGUAGCUAUGAGAGUUUUGAGUGUGCAAGUAAAAGAAGAUGAAGCAGUGCAAUGUGAAAAUAUGAUUAUUGAUGAAGGAAGUUGUACUAAUGUUGUUAGUACUAUCAUGGUGGAGAAGUUAGGGCUUCCGACACUUAAACAACAAUGGUUGAAUGACAGUGGUGAGUUGAAAGUGAAGAAGCAGGUACUAGUGACUUUUCGAAUUGGCAAGUAUGAAUAUAAGGUGUUAUGUGAUGUAGUACCGAUGCAGGCUAGACGCUUGUUACUUGGGUUCACCAGCAAGUAUUCAUUUGUGUUUAAUCAACACAACAUCACUCUUGUUCUAUUAACACCAAAGCAGGUUUAUGGAGACUAAGUGAGCCACAGAGAAAAAGUGAUCAAAAGAAAGAAAGUGAGCAAAAGAAAAAGGGAGAAAAAGUGAAAGUCAGAAAAAAGCCGAGGAAAAUGAGAGAAAAAAGCAAAGAAGAAUGCAGCCAUUGAGAGAAAAUUAGAGGGAAAACAAAAGCAUUUCUAUGCAAGAGUGAGUGAGAUAAAAAGAGUGUUGUUUUUAUAUUAGCCAAUGAUUGUACUUUUGUACAAAGAGGUAUUUUUAAACACUAACGAACUCGACCUACUUUUCCUAGUUCUAUUACUUCUCUCUUGUAGGAAUAUGAGGACGUCUUUCUCAAGGAAAGACCUCAUGGUUUACCUCCGAUCCGAGGGAUUGAGUAUCUAAUUAAUUUCGAGCCCCGUAAAAUCAUUCCAAAUCGACCAACCUAUAGGAGUAACCCCUGAGGAGUCAAAGGAACUUCAAAGGCAAGUUAAUGAAUUGAUGGAAAAGGGCACGUGAGAAAAAGCAUAAGUCCAUGUGCAAUUCGUGUUUUGUUAGUUCCUAAGAAUGAUGGAAUGUUGAGGAUGUGUGUUGAUUGCCGAGCCAUCAUCAGCAUAACAGUAAAGUAUCGACAUCUCAUUCCUAGGCUAGAUGAUAUGCUUUAUAAAUUGCAUGGGUCUUGUGUAUUUUCUAAAAUUAAUUUGAAAAGUGGAUAUCAUCAGAUUAGAAUAAAAGAAUGAGGGGAAUGGAAAACUACCUUUAAAACAAAAUAUGGUUUGUAUGAAUGAUAAGUCAUGCCUUUUGAUCUGACUAAUGCUCUGAGCACUUUCAUGAGAUUCAUAAAUCAUGUUUUAUGACUUUUAUUGGCAAGUUUGUUGUUGUUUACUUUGAUGAUUUAUAUAGCAAAAUCUUGGAUGAACAUGAAGUACAUUUGAAAUUUGCUUUCAAUGUGCUUAGGAAGGAAAAGUUAUUUGGUUAUCUAAAAAAGUGUACCUUUUGCACCGAUAAACUUGUGUUUCUAGGAUUUGUUGUGAGUGCACAGGAUAUACAGGUUGAUGAGGAGAAGGUACAUUCAAUCCGAGAGUGACCGAGUCCCACAAGCAUGCGUAAUGUGAGAAGCUUUCAUGGGGCUCACUAGCUUCUACUAGCGGUUUGUGAAAAGCUAUAGCACAUUGGUCGCACUGCUUACCGAAGUAAUAAAAAUAGAUGUUUGAUUGAAAUGGGGAGAAGAACAAGAGAGUGCAUUUCAAAUGAUCAAGCAAAGCUAAUCAAUGCUCCUUUAUUGUCCUUGCCUAAAUUAAAUAAAACAUUUGAAAUUGAAUGUGGUGCCUUAGGUAUUUGUGCAAGCGAGUCUUAAUGCAGGAGGGACAACUAAUUGCUUACUUUAGUGAGAAACUAAGUAGGGUAGCCUUAAACUACCCUAUUUACGAGAAGGAGUUGUAUGAGUUAGUUUGGACGUUAGAAACAUGGCAACACUACCUAUGGCCUAAAGAGUUCGUGAUUCACACCGAUCACGAGUACUUGAAACUAAGUUAAGGACAAAGUUGUUGUUUUCAACUACUUGUCACCCUCAAACUGACGGUCAAACAGAAGUUAUGAAUAUAACUUUAUCUACUCUGUUGUAAGCUAUCAUUAAAAAGAAAAUCAAAACUUGUGAAAUUUGUUUGCUAUAUGUUAAGUUUGCUUAUCAUUCUGCUACUAAGUAUUCACUGUUUGAAAUUGUUUAUGGUUUUAAUCCUUUAACCCUAUUGGAUUUAACUCCAUUACAUGUUUUUAAGCAUGUAAACAUAGAUGGCACAAAAAAAGCUGAAAUUGUUAAGCAGAUAUAUGAGAUGGCAAAGUUCAACAUUGAGCAGAGAACUGAGCAAUAUGUUAAACAAGCCAACAAAGGGCAACAUAAGCUAGUCUUUAAACCCAGCGAUUGGGUGUGGUUACACAUGUGCAAGGAACAAUUUUUGGAACAAACGAAAUCCAAGUUAUUGUCUUGAGGGGAUGGUCCUUUCCAAGUCUAGGAACGGAUCAAUGACAAUGCGUACAAGCUGGAUUUUUCCCGUCAGUACAAUGUAAGUGCUACUUUUAAUGUCUCUAUUUUUCGUCCUUCUGAUACAGGUCACGAUUUGAGGACAAUUCCUCUUCAAGAUGAGGGGAAUGAUGAAAUUGAGGACAAAUCCUAUUCAAGUCCCCAUCGGAUCCAUCAUAAGAUCUCGUGUAAAGAAAUUCAAAGAAGUACUUAAUGGGUUUAUUCAAGUAACUUGGGCUCAAUCAAAUUCAUGGAGGCUCGUUGAAGGAAUCGUACAUGAUAUUCAGACCACUAAAUGCGUGAUUUGGGCUCUUAAAAUUUCUAAAUAAUCAAUUCCAUGAAAUUAGCAAGUUGGUUUGCACAUUAUGGCUAGAAAAUAUAUUAUUUUCCUUUUUGGAUACUUUCUCGUAUGGAAAAUAUGUUAUUUUGCUUUUUAGAUACUUUCCUAUUUGGAAAAUAUACUAUGUUCCUUUUCAGAUACUUUCCCGUUUCUUAAGGAGGCAAGUGCCAAAACAAAUAAGUUAUUUCUCUUUUAAUUGCCUAGUUUUCAUUUCAAUUGAUGUAAGUCAUUUAGUCGAUUAGGAUUCUAAUUUGAUUUAGAUUCUUUCCUUGUUUGCUUUAGAUUGAGAUUAUGAUUUGAUUUUGGUCUAUGAUUUAUUUUCGAAAAUACCAAGGGCAAUUAUGGGGUGAAAUUUCUUGUAACCAGUCCUAUAUAAUGUACUCGCAUCCAAUAAGAAAGACAUAUAAGUUUUGAUGCAAUUUGUGAGAGAGUUAAUUCUCUUUCGUUCUUAAACUAACUCCUUGAACUAAUUGGAUUUCUAUAGUGUUCAAAUUCUUGACUUAUCAAUAAGAUCAUCCAUAGCUAAUUGUGGCAUCAUCACAUACCAAGGUUCAUCCUUUUAUUGAGCAUUAGGUCAUGAUUCAAUGCAAUUCUAAGUUUAGAUCCGAUCUUGAAGACUAAAUUAAUUUGGGUCACAUCAGUUCUUGGCGGGGUUUAUAUCAAGAUUUAGAGAAACUUCAAAAUAAGAAACCUUUGCACAUGAAACAAAGAUAUGGGUUUGACAAAGCUAAUGUUAUUGAGGAAACAAUGAAUUUGCUUCCCUUGUCAAUGUUACUCCAUCAAAAUAGAAUAUUAAUUGGCUGAUCACAUCAACCUCAACUUCUCAAGAUCCUUUAAUUGAUUCAGAUGAACCGCUAAAAUUUGAUGAUAUGUUAAUAUUGUUGAGCAUGUAGAAUUAAAUAUUGAUGCAUCUUUUGAUCUUGUGGAGCAAAUAGAGGUACUUCUUGAUACAUUCUUAUAUGGUUCUCUUGAUUUGCCUAAAGAAGACAAAAGAGGUUGUUGUGCUAUUUUUCAAUAGUUAGUAGAUUAUGAGAAGACAUCAUUUUUCCUCACCUAUGUUGAAUUUUGACACGAACAAUGCGAGAAGGUAAUGUUGGAGAAUUUAUUAAUGGAGGAAUUUAUUUUCCGGCAUUAGAGUGAUUGGAUGGACAUCAUUACAAAACUUGGAAAAUUUAAUAGUUCAUUGACUGGAUCGAAGCACUAAUUUGAAAAUUAAUUAUAAAUGAAGUUGUUUUUGGAGAAUACAAUAAGAAAAAUUCGAUGACUAAUUUUCUCCAUUCUAGCUGGAAUUAGGCAAAGCAAGAAAACAAAGAGAGCCUUGGUUAUUUGUUAUUUGGUUAUUUCCUAGAAUAAACUCUUAGAUUGAGUUAUAUUCUUGUUAUUUCUUGGUAUUUUAUAUGAUGAUUACAAAACCGUAUAGUUGAUGAUGAUGAUGAUACUAACAUGAUAAUUUGGUCCUAUCUUUUGUCAAGCAAAUUCUGUUGCUUCAUGAAAUGUAUAAAAUCCUCAAUAAUAAGAAUUAGGAUAAUUGGCUAUUUGAUCAACUAUCUCUCUCCAUUGGUUAUAAAUGCCUAGUUGCCUACCUCUAACUAAUACAAAAAAUGCAAAAUAAUUACUUUCUACAUGAUCAUUAAUAUGUUUAAAAUAAUGCAUGAGUGCAUUGGCUACUUUUAAUUUAUCUCGUGGAUAAUUACAGCUCCNNNNNNNNNNNNNNNNNNNNNNNNNNNNNNNNNNNNNNNNNNNNNNNNNNNNNNNNNNNNNNNNNNNNNNNNNNNNNNNNNNNNNNNNNNNNNNNNNNNNNNNNNNNNNNNNNNNNNNNNNNNNNNNNNNNNNNNNNNNNNNNNNNNNNNNNNNNNNNNNNNNNNNNNNNNNNNNNNNNNNNNNNNNNNNNNNNNNNNNNNNNNNNNNNNNNNNNNNNNNNNNNNNNNNNNNNNNNNNNNNNNNNNNNNNNNNNNNNNNNNNNNNNNNNNNNNNNNNNNNNNNNNNNNNNNNNNNNNNNNNNNNNNNNNNNNNNNNNNNNNNNNNNNNNNNNNNNNNNNNNNNNNNNNNNNNNNNNNNNNNNNNNNNNNNNNNNNNNNNNNNNNNNNNNNNNNNNNNNNNNNNNNNNNNNNNNNNNNNNNNNNNNNNNNNNNNNNNNNNNNNNNNNNNNNNNNNNNNNNNNNNNNNNNNNNNNNNNNNNNNNNNNNNNNNNNNNNNNNNNNNNNNNNNNNNNNNNNNNNNNNNNNNNNNNNNNNNNNNNNNNNNNNNNNNNNNNNNNNNNNNNNNNNNNNNNNNNNNNNNNNNNNNNNNNNNNNNNNNNNNNNNNNNNNNNNNNNNNNNNNNNNNNNNNNNNNNNNNNNNNNNNNNNNNNNNNNNNNNNNNNNNNNNNNNNNNNNNNNNNNNNNNNNNNNNNNNNNNNNNNNNNNNNNNNNNNNNNNNNNNNNNNNNNNNNNNNNNNNNNNNNNNNNNNNNNNNNNNNNNNNNNNNNNNNNNNNNNNNNNNNNNNNNNNNNNNNNNNNNNNNNNNNNNNNNNNNNNNNNNNNNNNNNNNNNNNNNNNNNNNNNNNNNNNNNNNNNNNNNNNNNNNNNNNNNNNNNNNNNNNNNNNNNNNNNNNNNNNNNNNNNNNNNNNNNNNNNNNNNNNNNNNNNNNNNNNNNNNNNNNNNNNNNNNNNNNNNNNNNNNNNNNNNNNNNNNNNNNNNNNNNNNNNNNNNNNNNNNNNNNNNNNNNNNNNNNNNNNNNNNNNNNNNNNNNNNNNNNNNNNNNNNNNNNNNNNNNNNNNNNNNNNNNNNNNNNNNNNNNNNNNNNNNNNNNNNNNNNNNNNNNNNNNNNNNNNNNNNNNNNNNNNNNNNNNNNNNNNNNNNNNNNNNNNNNNNNNNNNNNNNNNNNNNNNNNNNNNNNNNNNNNNNNNNNNNNNNNNNNNNNNNNNNNNNNNNNNNNNNNNNNNNNNNNNNNNNNNNNNNNNNNNNNNNNNNNNNNNNNNNNNNNNNNNNNNNNNNNNNNNNNNNNNNNNNNNNNNNNNNNNNNNNNNNNNNNNNNNNNNNNNNNNNNNNNNNNNNNNNNNNNNNNNNNNNNNNNNNNNNNNNNNNNNNNNNNNNNNNNNNNNNNNNNNNNNNNNNNNNNNNNNNNNNNNNNNNNNNNNNNNNNNNNNNNNNNNNNNNNNNNNNNNNNNNNNNNNNNNNNNNNNNNNNNNNNNNNNNNNNNNNNNNNNNNNNNNNNNNNNNNNNNNNNNNNNNNNNNNNNNNNNNNNNNNNNNNNNNNNNNNNNNNNNNNNNNNNNNNNNNNNNNNNNNNNNNNNNNNNNNNNNNNNNNNNNNNNNNNNNNNNNNNNNNNNNNNNNNNNNNNNNNNNNNNNNNNNNNNNNNNNNNNNNNNNNNNNNNNNNNNNNNNNNNNNNNNNNNNNNNNNNNNNNNNNNNNNNNNNNNNNNNNNNNNNNNNNNNNNNNNNNNNNNNNNNNNNNNNNNNNNNNNNNNNNNNNNNNNNNNNNNNNNNNNNNNNNNNNNNNNNNNNNNNNNNNNNNNNNNNNNNNNNNNNNNNNNNNNNNNNNNNNNNNNNNNNNNNNNNNNNNNNNNNNNNNNNNNNNNNNNNNNNNNNNNNNNNNNNNNNNNNNNNNNNNNNNNNNNNNNNNNNNNNNNNNNNNNNNNNNNNNNNNNNNNNNNNNNNNNNNNNNNNNNNNNNNNNNNNNNNNNNNNNNNNNNNNNNNNNNNNNNNNNNNNNNNNNNNNNNNNNNNNNNNNNNNNNNNNNNNNNNNNNNNNNNNNNNNNNNNNNNNNNNNNNNNNNNNNNNNNNNNNNNNNNNNNNNNNNNNNNNNNNNNNNNNNNNNNNNNNNNNNNNNNNNNNNNNNNNNNNNNNNNNNNNNNNNNNNNNNNNNNNNNNNNNNNNNNNNNNNNNNNNNNNNNNNNNNNNNNNNNNNNNNNNNNNNNNNNNNNNNNNNNNNNNNNNNNNNNNNNNNNNNNNNNNNNNNNNNNNNNNNNNNNNNNNNNNNNNNNNNNNNNNNNNNNNNNNNNNNNNNNNNNNNNNNNNNNNNNNNNNNNNNNNNNNNNNNNNNNNNNNNNNNNNNNNNNNNNNNNNNNNNNNNNNNNNNNNNNNNNNNNNNNNNNNNNNNNNNNNNNNNNNNNNNNNNNNNNNNNNNNNNNNNNNNNNNNNNNNNNNNNNNNNNNNNNNNNNNNNNNNNNNNNNNNNNNNNNNNNNNNNNNNNNNNNNNNNNNNNNNNNNNNNNNNNNNNNNNNNNNNNNNNNNNNNNNNNNNNNNNNNNNNNNNNNNNNNNNNNNNNNNNNNNNNNNNNNNNNNNNNNNNNNNNNNNNNNNNNNNNNNNNNNNNNNNNNNNNNNNNNNNNNNNNNNNNNNNNNNNNNNNNNNNNNNNNNNNNNNNNNNNNNNNNNNNNNNNNNNNNNNNNNNNNNNNNNNNNNNNNNNNNNNNNNNNNNNNNNNNNNNNNNNNNNNNNNNNNNNNNNNNNNNNNNNNNNNNNNNNNNNNNNNNNNNNNNNNNNNNNNNNNNNNNNNNNNNNNNNNNNNNNNNNNNNNNNNNNNNNNNNNNNNNNNNNNNNNNNNNNNNNNNNNNNNNNNNNNNNNNNNNNNNNNNNNNNNNNNNNNNNNNNNNNNNNNNNNNNNNNNNNNNNNNNNNNNNNNNNNNNNNNNNNNNNNNNNNNNNNNNNNNNNNNNNNNNNNNNNNNNNNNNNNNNNNNNNNNNNNNNNNNNNNNNNNNNNNNNNNNNNNNNNNNNNNNNNNNNNNNNNNNNNNNNNNNNNNNNNNNNNNNNNNNNNNNNNNNNNNNNNNNNNNNNNNNNNNNNNNNNNNNNNNNNNNNNNNNNNNNNNNNNNNNNNNNNNGUUUUUUUACAAUUCUGAAGACUAAUUACCUGUCCAAUAAUAAUUUAUCCAUUUUUCCUUGAAUUUAGUAGUCUUAUUUGUGUUUUACAAUUUUUUUUUUCAUUUCACACUUAAUAUCGAAUGUCGAUUUUUAAGUUUUAUGUCAUAUUUCUAGGUUUUUUUUUUUUUUACAAUUCUGAAGACCAAUUUACUAUUAUAGUAUUAAUUUACCCUCUUUUCCUUCAAUUUACUAAUCAUAUGUGUGGUUUAUAAAUUUUAUGUUUUAUUUUACACUUAAUGUCAAUUUACAAGUUUUAUAUCAUUUUCUAAGUUUUUGUAUUUUGUACAAUUCUAAAGACUAAUUUACUAGUGUAACAAUAAUUUACCCCAUUUUCCUUUAAUUUACCAAUCCUAUAUGUGGUUUACAAAUUUUUAUUUCAUUUCACACUUAAAGUCAAUUUAUAAGUUUCAUGUCAUUUUUCUAAGUGUUCCUUUCUUGACAAUUCUAGGGACCGAUUUACAAUUCCAACAUCAAUUUACCACAUUUCCCUUCAAUCUACUAGUCUUAUAUGUGGUUUAUAAAUUUUUGUCUCAUUUCACACUUAAUGUUAAAAUAAAAAUUUUAUAUCAUUUUUCUAAGUUUUCACUUUCUUUUACAAUUCUGAAGAUCAAUUUCCACCCCAACAUUAAUUUACUAAUUCUAUGCAUGGUUUGCAAAUUAUUUAUUUUAUUUUACACUUAAUGUCAAUUCACAAGUUUUAUUUCAUUUUUUCAAUUUUUUUUUUACAAUUCUAAAGAUAAAUUUAUGACUCUUACAUUAAUUUAUCAUUUUUUUCCUUCAAUUUAUAAGUCCUAUGUGUGGUUUAUGAUUUUUUUUUUCAUUUCACACUUAAUGUCAAUUUACAAGUUGUUAGUCAUUUUUCUACAUUGUUUUUUUUUUACAAUAUUAAAGGCUAAUUUGACACUCCAACAUUAAUUUUCUAUUUUUCCUUCAAUUUACUAUUCCCAUAUAUGGCUUACAAAAUUUGUUGUUUCAUAUUACACUUGAUGUCAAUUUAUAAAAUUUUUGUCAUUUUUCUAAGUUUUUUAUUUUUUUUACAAUUUUGAAGACCAAUUUACCACUCUAUCAACAAUCUACCCCUUUUUCUUCCAUUUACUAGUUCUAUAUGCGGUUUAAUUUUUUUUUAUUUCAUUUCACACUUAAUGCCAAUUUACAAGUUUUCUAAGGACUAGUUUACCACUCCAACAUUAAUGAAACUCUAAGUAGGCAACCCAAGAGGGGGUGCAAAUUGGGUUUUUAAAAGAUUCUUCAAAAAACAACCAAUAAUAAUAAUACUUUCAACAACAAGUAAAUUUAAAAAGUUAAAGGUAGAGAAAACAAACACAAUAAUUUUAUGUGGUUUGCCAACUUGCCUACAUCCAUGUCUCCAUGCAAACUAUGCUUGAGGAUUUCACUAGCCAAACCUUACAACCUAAGGCUUCAAGAUGCUUACAAUUGACUUCCAAAGUAUCAAUAAACUUCUAAAAUUCCAAAUGAUCCCACACCUCUUUUCCCAAGUGUUUCCCACACUUAUAAUCACUUGUUUUUUGAUGUUGAAAUGAAGAUUACAAGGAUCACUCUCCUCACAAGAAGCAAAUGAUAGCCCAAUAAUGAAUCAAUGUAUAUGGAGAAGCAAAUGAAAGCUCAAGAUUAUUUGUAUGAACAAGUUUAAGCUUGAUAAAGAUUGAAGAACUCUCUUGGAAAUGAACUUGAUUUAGCUUUUCAUAGUUUUAAAAAGACAACUAGCCGUUAUUCACUUUCUAGGCAUUAUUAAAUCAUCGCUAAUUUUGGAAUAGAUCGUCGUUUGACUAACGUGGCAAGUUACCACAAUUUGAAAUUUUAUAGUAAUCCGAUCUUUGUUUAAAAUUAUUGGCUAGUCAUUUGAAUUCCAAAAACUAUCAAAAAAUUAUCGGUUAGGCCGCUAUAGUGAAAUGGUUAGCCACAAUUUUUCAAAAUACUAGUUUAGCCCCAAAAUUUUCUAAAAUUAUGUUAUGGCCUAAAACUUUAUAAAAUUUUGAAUAAGUAAGUCCACUUCUAGAAUUUCAAACAAUACUUACUGAUUUCAAAGUUCUCAUAACGUUUUCAAUUGUCUAUAAACUUGAAAACAACCAAUUUCAUAAAAUCAUUUUUCUUUAUGUAUAGAACCUUUAUAUUAUGAAAAUAAUGAUUUAUUUAAAAUGUCAUGAAAAUAAGUUGAGCUUUUAAAUGCUUCAUCAUGCAAACAUUUAAUCAUAUUACCCUUACAAGAAAUGUAACAAGAGAAAUCACCUCAGCUAGUACCCUUGUGGCUUGUCCUUGACUUGAUGAGCUUUAUGCCUCUGCCCAUUUGAGUGUCUUGAACUUGAUCUUACAUGAAUGAGUUUUAUCCUUCAAGAGCUAGUGAGAUUGUGAAAUAUAUAUGCAUACCAUUUUGACAUCAUCAAAGUGGCAUAUUACUUUGUUUCCCCUUUCGACAACAAAAAUGUUCAAAAUGCAUGUUACUAAAAUGGAAGCAAUAAGAACUAGGUAGGAUUGCCAAGGCAGCUCCCCCUAUCAAUAAUCUACAAAUCAAGUAAUAGACCAAACAAAGGCAUGCAAAGUCAUAGGACAUAAUAUCAACUAUCCAAUCUCCAAAAUUAAUAACCACAUUUUAGAAAUCGAGACAAGUAAACUUAUCAAGGUUCUAAGUGACACUUCAAUAUAUCUUAUAUAUUAUCAUGUGCACCAAUAUCUAAAAGUACAUGUGUUUCUCCCCCUUCCAACAAAUUGUCAAUGCCCCUCCUUUUGGACUAUGCGGAAGAUAUUGUCAGAUGGGGAGUUUGGCUGGGACGACACAUCUGUUAAAAGCUAACGCAAUUAUCCUAAGAUGAGCUCAAUGAGAACAGAAAUCUCUUGUGGAACAAAAUGGUAAAAGGUCAUUUGAUUCUGAUUUUCAGUACGAGUACGAACUCUGAAAGUGUAAGUUCAAAAAAUGCAUCCAUUCACCAAUCAUAGAUCUCAUAAGAUCAAACUUCAUUGAAUGCAAUGUAAUCAUCAAAGCACAUUCUUUAUAAAAAAAAAUUAAGCAAAACAUAAAUACAUAAUGGCAAUAUAUAGAUCAUCAAAAUCAAUAUAGCUAUCAAGAUAAGCCAUCAUUAUGAGUUAAAAUAAUAAGUAAUCAAAUCCAUAAUUACAAAAAAUCAUAUAUGCACAUACAUAAGUGAUGAAAAAUUGUUGUUUAAGUGAUGGGCAAUGAUCUAGAUGAUGAGAACCAUCAAGAGAAUACCAUUAAAACUUUAAGUGAUCCUUUGCAUAUUCAUGGAGGCCCAAUUAUAAGAGCUAGAGCCAAAAAGAUGCAAGUUGUUUUAAAUGGAUUAAUUGAGAAAAUAUGGACUGAAAAUGCAAUUCAAGAUGCAAGAGAUGAUGAAUUGGGCUUAGAAAGAAGUCAAAGCAUUGUGGGCAUUAUUCAAGUUGGGCAGUCAAAUACACAAUUUGGGUCAAAUGCAGAAAGGGUAAAUUUAGAAAAAAAAACUAGUAUUGAUUGAGCUAGAACUAAUGUGCAAGCUAUAUACCAUUGGAAAGAUAAUUAAGCUAACUUUCGAAUGCAAUUUACAGAGCUGGAUUUGAAAUUCUCUAGAAGGUGUUAUGACCAAUUUAUUAUAGCUUGUUCACGCUUGGGAAUUUGAAACACUCUUUUGUUUAUUUAACUUUAUUUAUUUGUUUUGUUUUAAGUUUGUCAAUGUGGGCUGGUGAAGACUUUUGAAGCAUCCUUUGACAAACUUAUGCUUGGAGGGUUGUUUCAAUGUUUCCAUUUGUAUUUUUAGGAUCUUGGGUUUCUAUUAGUGAUGAGAACCGUCAAGGGAAUAUUGUUAAAGCUUCAAGUGAUCCUUUGCACAUUCAUGGAGGCCCAAUUACAAGAGCUAGAGCCAAAAAGACGCAAGCUGUUUUAAAUGAAUUAGUUGAGAAUGCAAUUCAAGUUGCAAGACAUCAUGAAUUAGGCUUGGAGAGAAGACAAGGCACUGUGGGCAUUAUUCAAGCUAUUGGGCAGCCAAAUACACAAUUUGGAUCAAAUACAGAAAAGGAAAAUUCAGAAUAAAACUGGUAUUGAUUGAGAUAGAGGUAAUUUGCAAGCUAUAUACCAUUGGAAAGAUAAUUAAGUUAACUUUCCAAUCCAAUUUACAGAACUGGAUUUGGAGUUCUCUAGAAGGAGUUAUGACCAAUUUAUUACAGCUUGUUCAGACUUGGAAUUUCUAACGACUCAUUUGUUUAUUCGAUUUCAUUUGUUUGUUUUGUUUCAAGUUUGUCAAAGUGUAAGGUAAGUCUACCAUCAAUGAUGGUGGGCUAACAUUAAGUUUGUCAAUGAUAGAAUUAAUUAUGGUAGGCUAGCAUUAAGUUUGUCAAUGACUAGAAUAAUUAAUGGUGGGUUGGUGAAGACUUUUGAAGCAUCAUUUGAAAAACCUAUACUAGGAGGGUUGUUCCAAUGUUUUCAUUUGUUUUUAGGAUAUUAUCUUUUUACUACCAAAGUUAUUCUGAUAUUUCAUGUCAGUACCAUGGUUUGCCGAAAAGUGCAUUUUUACUACCAAACGUUUGCGUCGUUAUCAAUUCACUACCAUUCCGUUAAGAACGUUAAAAAUUUGCUGAUGUCAUAAGGGUAUCAAAGACAUUUCCAGCUAUAAGAGUAAAAUUGUCUGUUAAUUUGAUAGAUAAAUUAUCAUUUUACUACCAAGCUUUUAGGGGCAUUAUCAUUUUACUAUCGAUUUUUUAGGGAAAUUAUCAUUUUACUACCAAAUUCUUGAGGGUAGAAUCGACUUUUAACUCAAUUUCAGUUAAACAUUAACUUUUUCUUAACGGAAUGGUAGUGAAUUGAUAAUGACGCAAACGUUUGGUAGUAAAAUGCACUUUUCAGCAAAUCAUGGUACUGACAUGAAAUGUCAGAAUAACUUUAGUAGUAAAAUGAUAAUUUCCCUUUAUUUUUUUAGGAUCUUGGGUUUUUAUUAGUCUAUUUAAACUCAACAACCUUGCUAUGUAAGAUAAUUAGAGAUGAAUGUUAUUUUGAAUUUAAAAGAUAAUUCUUUCUUUGGUUCUUUUGAGAACUAGUGAACUUAUUAAGAAUUUACAUUCUUGUGGCGUUCCAAAAUAGACUUAUUACUCACCUUCGCAUCUAAAUCUUGAGUGUGGCAUCCAUAUCCUUCUCUAUACCUCUGGUUCAGGUUUACUUAAACAUUGGGUCAGGUUUUGUUUCACUUAAAUCUGUAUAGAACUUUCUUGGAAAGUUGAAACUACAAAUUUAGUGUGGGUUUCAAAGUUUCAUUGUGGGGUUCGUAUCAAUUAGCCUAUUUAAACUCAGCAACCUUGCUAUGUAAGACAAUUAGAGAUGAAUGUUAUUUUGAAUUGGAUUUUACAUUCUUGUGGCAUUCCAAAAUAGACUUAUCACUCACCUUCUCAUCUAAAUCUUGAGUGUGGCGUCAAUAUCCUUCUAUAUACCUUUGGUUCAUGUUUUCUUAAACAUUGGGUCAAGGUUUUUGUUUCACUUAAAUCUGUUUAGAACUUUUUUGGGAAGUUGAAACUUCAAAUUAAGUGUGGGUUUCAAAGUUUCAUUCUAGGGUUCGCAUCAUUUGGUAUCAGAGCAAGUUUCUAAUCAGGUUUGAAUGUCUUAUUUAUUUUAUUAUGAAAAAAAAGGAAAAAACAUACAGAAAAAAAAUUGGAUUGCAAAAAAUUAGUUAUUCAUUUUCCUUGACAUUGUUUACACAAAAUAUCAAUUGUGUUCCUUUGCUUGCUUGUUUUUCUUUCCUUAAAUUUCCUUUGUUGUUCUUUGUGUCCUCUUAAUUCGUUUUCUUUGUUUAAUGUGCUGGUUUGUCAUAUUUAGUGUGCCACCUGGGUUUUUCUUGAUUUUGUUUGAUUAGUUUGUGAGAUCAUUAGAGGAUAAAAGCCAAUUUGAGCACAUAAAUAUGAUGUUUGGAGAGAUCCGUGACAAAUUGGAGAGGCAAGACACUGUCAUUGCCAAUCUACAAAGGGGUCAACAGCCAAUAGCUCCUAAUGUAAGAAGUAAUAAAGGGUGUUGUUGGGUAUAAACUCAAAUGCUAUUGGUGUCAAUAUUCAAGUGUACACAACAAGUAAUAUAAUGAUGAGUAUUCAAGAUCAUCUCCACAGGGAUUGAUGUUAUCAGACUUGCUACGGCAAUCUUAACAGUGCAGAUUUUGUUCUAAAUUAAAAUAAAAUAAUUAAUGAAACUAAUAUACUAAUUAAAAUCAAAAUGCAAUAAAUAAAAUGCAACAAAGUAAAUUAUCACGUCAAACUCAAAUAUAAAACUAAUAGGAAUAUAGAGUAGUUGAGUGAAUAAACUCUCUUAAUGGUUUUACUAUUUUUCUAAUGUUUGGCUCGGUUGUUGCAGCAUCUGCUAUAGCACUGGGCAAAAUUCUUAUGUAUCCUCAGCCAUCGCAUGUUGGAUAUCUUAUAUCUAUAUGCAACCUAACAGUGAUUAGUUGUUAUGCCAACAUAAGAUAUAACAUUACAGGUUUAGGUUCUAUUUUCCCUACAAGAUCAAAUUCAGGACCCCAGUAUCGUUGUUGGAUCAUCUGUCUGAGUUCAGAGUCAAGUUGAGUAACUCUGUUCUUGAGAUCCGUAAACUCCAAGCAGAAUUAUCCAGAAUUGACUCUGAAAAACAGUAACCUUCGCUGUUUGCUCCUACACAACCUUUGCCCAGACAUACAUCCCUAAAUAUGUAUCCACCUUUCUACACUUCGUCCUUAUAUAGGAAACCCCAUGAUUAUUCCAAAACAUUUAGCUUUAGCUACAGGUUAUUUCAGUCAUCUUCAAAAACACAAGUCUCAACCUCUGUACCGUCUUCCUCUACAACACCUCCUAAACAACCAACCAGAGCAAACACUCCUCCAGCUUCAAAUCCUCCCUCACAAGUUAAGGAUAAACAUCCUAGCCAACCCAGUCAACAAUAUGCUGCCCAUUCAGUCCAUUUACUACACGUAACUUCUCCUUUUGAAUCUUCUCAUUCUAUAUCAAAAUCAGUAAGUGAAUCUGAUUUUGCCUCAGAUUUGGAAGCUGAAUUUGCUGAUAUUACCAAAUUACUCAUGGCCAUACCAUCCAUUGGUUCCAAUGAUCCUUCUCUAUCAGAAUUCCCACCUGAUACACCCAUAGUAGAGGAAUCAGAUGAAACGAGCACAAUUCCUCAUAAUCGACCUGACACGGCCAAAUGGUCCUUGGUUCACUCUUGAUGACAUCCCUAAGGUGAAAUGGCCCUCACGGUUAUAGGAAUUUACGGCCUGGAUUGAUGUCCAAAUGCUCAGGCCUGGUUUAUCUGUCCAAUCAGUCCUGAGAGAAUUUAGUUCCAGAUUUCUUGGUUCACUAAGAGACUGGUUCGACAGUCUUGGUCAAUACAGACAAUUGUAGUUCAUACAAAUUCCUGACGUGGCCACAACAUUAGGCCUCCUGUAUGAACAAUUCAUCAGAGAAGCUGUCCCAGCAAAUGAAUUGGCACGAAAAAGAAUAUUUUCAAAUGAAAUGUUGUUUACUUCAAUAAAAAGAUUUGAAUUAUCAUUACAAGCGCAUGUCAGCCCUGUUCUAUAAGCUAAAUGGGUUUAAUGACCCAAUACUCAAACAUGUGUUUGUAGCCUUUUUGCCAAAGGAACUUCAGCCUGAAUUACAACGGCAAGUGAACCUCCACCAAUUAGACAUUUCCAACAUGUCUUUUGGAAAAAUUUAUCAACUAGCAGUGAGCUGCCUUGAACGUCUAUGUGAAUAAAAAGAAUUUUUCAAAGACUUGAUGGAAAACCAUCAACCACUCAAAAGUGCAUGUAAGAAGCCUCAUCUGAAGAUUAAGUGUAAAGAUGAAAAAGAUUGCACCUGCUCCUCAAAGAAGAAAUCCCAUUUCAAAAAAGUCUUCUCCAACAAGAACUCUUAUUCCAGACCAAAGAAACCCUAUUGGUUCUUCAAAAUGAAAGAUCCAUUCUCUUCCAAAAACCCAAAAAAUAGCUAUUGUUUCAUAUGCAAAAAGAAAGGGCAUUUUGCAAAAAUUUGCCCAAAUAAGCUGGCAAAGUCUAGUCGUCUUCUCCAUCAUUUACAAACCUCCUCUGUCAUAUCUGCCCAUGAUGAUAUUGAGUCCUUGUUUUCAGAACAAGAAAGUGCCAAUGAAGAAACAAUCUUUGCUCUUGAAGAGACAGAUACAAAUUCUGACUCUAACUCAGAAAAAGUCCAGAUAAUUGACAUGGUCCACAUUCUCCGAGCAUCUGUUGCUCAAUCUUCCAUAUCCAUACCCUCCAUCUCAGUCCAUAUUCUCCCUGCAAAAUUCCAUAAACCCAUCUCUGUCAUUGGCUUCAUAGACACUGGUGCCCAGAAAAGUAUGUUACACCCUACAAUCCUCCCUCCAAACUGUUGGGUAAAACAUAUUGAAAUUUUUAGAGCUGCAGAUAGCCAGAUCUUUCAAACCAGCCUUAUCACUAAGGCUCCCAUUGGGGUACAAUUUUUCCAAAUUGUGUCAUAUGGUCAAAGAUUAUUAGCUCAGAGCUUCCAGAUAAGGAUUUACUGAUUAGCUUUAAUCUCUUGGCCUUAUCCAAAAAACUGUAGAUCACAGCUGCAGGGGUCUCCCACAAAAGACAAUUCAAGCCAUAUAAAAACAUUUUACGUCUAUAUAAACUUUUAGAGACUACGCCAUCAUACCAGCCUUACAUCCAAAAAUUUCUCCCCUUUUGUCCAGAAUCUCAUACUGAAUUCAGUCAUUCAAACCCUCUCUGGAAAAAUACUCAAUUCUUCAUUAAGCUUCCCUUCAAGCUUAACGAAGAUGUUAAUCCCACCAAAGCCACGCAUCCAGGUAUGUCUCCUACAAAUCUUAAAUUGGCUCAACAAGAAUGUUCAGACCUCCUCCAACAAUGUCUCAUUGAACCCACCAAAUCAGACCGGGCGUGCCAAGCAUUCUAUGUGGAAAAACGAUCUGAAAUCAUUCGGAAAAAGAAGACUUAUCAUUGAUUACCAACCCUUAAACUAUUUUCUUCAAGAUGACAAGUUCCCUUUACCCAAAAUUCAAUCUUUGUUCGUCCACCUCCAUGAUGCAAAGGUAUUAUCAAAAUUUGACCUUAAAGCAGGUUUUUGGCAACUAGGCAUUGAUCCCAGUGAUAGACAUAAAAUUACUUUUUGCAUACCCAAUGGCCAUUAUCAGUGGAUUGUCAUGCCAUUUGGCUUAAAGGUAGCCCCUUCUCUUUUUCAAAAAGCUAUAACCAAAAUCUUUGAGCCAAUCCUCCAUCACACACUAGUCUAUAUUGACGACAUCCUCCUAUUUUCCAAAGAUAACGUGACUCACCAAAAAUUGUUGGACCACUUCCUCACCCUAGUGGAAUCCCACGGUAUUAUGCUUUCUGAAAAGAAAAGCACCCUAGGUCACUCCACAAUUGAGUUUCUUGGCAUGAUCCUCGAAGAUAGACACUACCGUCCAGGUCCCCACAUAGCACAAGAAUUGUUACACUUUCUAGAUGAGCACCUGACCAAAAAAAAGAUCCAACAAUUCCUCGGGAUAAUCAAUUAUCUUCGCGAUUUCCUACCACAUGUAUUGUCCAUACAAGCCAGCUGUCUAAAAUAUUGAGGAAGAAGUCCCCCCUUUGAGGUCCAGAUCAGACAUCUGCUGUCCAAUACCUAAAGCUGAUCGCUCAAAAUCCACCAGCUUUAAAAAUUCCAUCCACUGGUCAAAGAAUUCUCCAAACCGAUGCUAGCGACGAAUACUGGGGUGUCAUUCUACUCGAAUUGAUAGAUGGCAAAGAACUUUUUUGUGCCCAUGCCAGCGAGCAAUUCAAGGAUUCCGAAAAGCACUACCAUGUGAUACAUAAAGAGAUCUUGGCUGUUAAGUAUGGAAUUAAAAAAUUCGAGUUCCACUUGAUUUGUCAUCAUUUUCACAUCGGUCUUGACAACUCUUCGUUCCCCAAGAUCCUUGAAUUUAAAAACUGAACCCUCCCUGAUAAAAAGCUGCUGAUAAACCCUCUCAAUAAAACACAUAAAGGGAAAUCAAAACCUCAUCCCUGACCUCUUGUCCAGACCGCACAAAAUCUUGCUAAUCACCUCUCAGACAUACUUUCCUGUCAUAGCCAUGACGACCUCUUUACCUAACCAAGCUCUUAUCCAGAAAUCCUUUCUUUUAAAUCUUACCUUCACCACUCUUAACCAGAUCAAAGACUUCACCUAGAAAUUUAUCUAUCGCUAUAUGUUUAAAGUCCACCAAACUAGUCCUGAUAGUUUCAUGCAUUUUCAUCCUGACUGUUUAUUUUUUUACAAGUCUUUUAGUUAGUCCGUUUAAGGAUAUCUCCGAAGAUGAGUUAUGGUGCAUAUGGUGUAUAACGGUUCUCUAUGCUACAACACUAGUAUUUCCAGUCCAAGCAAUGCACCAACAUCUCGACACUCCUGAGAAUGCUAGUUCUAUGUUAUGGACUCUUCUUGAGUGGUUUUCUCUCAUCCCUUGGUGGAGAAAAGAACUCACCUGCAUUCACUACCAGAAUCACUUUCACUUAAUUCCAACAAGUGAAGCCAAUCAGUUUACAUCAGUCUUCAUCAUCCAACGUCCUUAUUUUCAACAUCCUGUCACCAACCUCUUUUGGACUCAGGAUCAACUCUAUGAAUGGAAGACCUUGCCCACUUCUUCUCUCCUAAAACAUAAUCCCACUAUUGUUUCAGCCUUAAGGAAUUUCCUCUUUGAUAUCAACCAUUACCAACCACCUUCAACUCCCAUCCGGCACACCUCACAAGGUCCUCAACAUGAAAUUCUCAUGUUACCUCCACCUGGUGUAAGCAGUACUCCACCCACUAGCGGAAUCAUCAUAAAGGAAGAAAGACCAUACUACACAGACAUUCUAUUCCAAGACUCUCAAGAUCCUUUGGAAGAAUUCAUGUCCCUCCUCUCCUUUCCAGAAAUUUCGCAAAAGACUCCAAGCACUCACCUUGCAUCAAGCUCCUCUGCCCCACCAAACAAGACAUGUCAACUCUCGUGACAACUCUUCUAAUAAUUCUCCAACACGACAACCUAUGUCCCUGUUUGAUGAAAUAGACAGUGAUGUAGACAACUUGUUGCCAUCUCAGUAGUAAAACCUAAAACAUUUCUUUUAAGGUCAUAUAACCCAAAACAGACUUUCCUUAGUCUUUAAAACAGGGUACCAAACCGUUUAAGAAAUCAUCAUAAGUUUUCUGAUGCACAGGAUCCUUACUGGAAGGCAAGUGCAGAGCAUACUUCCUUAAAGUUUCAAAAUGAACAAAUUUAAUUCUUUAUUCCUCUUCUUUCUCUAGAUCUUCAUUUGCAGAGAGAGAAAAGAGUUUAGAAAUUCAUAGUUUUAGGGAAACACAAGAGAUUUUUUUUUUCUUUCGAAAACGUCUAUCUUACAAAUGAAGGGAGAAUUCUUUAUAUAGGAGAAUUCUCGGAGAAGAUAGGACAGGACCCCUAUCUUUUACAAAAGCAAAAGGAAAAGACAUAUCAUGACAGCUUUAAUGAUUACAAAGGAUAAAGCAAGCCUUAAUAAUUAUACAGGACAAAACCAUAAAGUAGAACAUAAUUAUUACAACAAGACAAACUACUUUAUGGAGAGCAACAAGACAAACUACUUUAUGGAGAGCGGAGAUUCAUGUAGUCGUCUUCGGAUGAGCUUUCUGUUUCAUCUGGGUCAGUGUCAUGGUUGUAUUUUGGGAAAAAGGUUUUGGAGAGCUUUGGAUGCUUACAGUGGGGACCACAGCAAGGUGGAUAAGGGCAAUCUCUUCGGUAUCCCGGCUUGGGGGGUGAUGACUGGGACUUGGGGCUUGGCAUCUGAGUGGCCUUGUCAACUUUGGAGGGUUGGGAUGAUGAUCCUGGUUCAUACAUGGUUGGUUGUGGAAACUGUUGGACAUGUUGGCUUAGAGGAAGGAAUUCUUCCCAUGGGUCUUGGGAGUCUUGGUAAAGGAAGUCAGUGUAGUCUGAUUUUUCUUCUUUGAUGAUGAUUCCUGUGGACUUUGGUUUGGAUAUGGCGGAUGGAGUGGGGAUCAUGAUGAGGUCAUGUUGUGGUCCUAAGGAGGUGUGAAAGAUAUCUCGGUAUGGUGGAGUUUGGUGGUUCAAUUGACAAAGGUAGUUGUGCAGGUUAGAUUGGAUUUCAUUGUCAAUGACAGCUGGGUGAGGUGCGGUAAACCAUUCAUAUACCUUGUCUUGAGUCCAAAAGUGAUUUGUGUCUGGAUGUUGGAAGUAUGGCCUGUGAAUGAUAAAUACUGAUGUAAACAAUUGUGCUUAAGAGGCAGGCAUACGUUCAAGAUUGUAAAUCUCUGACAGUUGUUGUAGCUUCUGUCUCCACCAUGGUAUUGGGGAGAACCAUUCAAGUAAUGUCCAGGUAAGAGAGGUGGUUUUGUCUGGAUUAAGGAGAUUGUUCAAAGUGGGAGUGAUUGGUAGGACUAGCUUGGUUGCAUAAAGAACAGUUAGGCACCAGAUGUACCAUAACUCAUCUUCAGUGAUUUCGCUGGAUGGAGCGAGGGUUAAACCUAUAAGGAACAGAUUUUCUAGGUGGAAGGUGGAAAAUGGAAAUGAGUCUGCCAAAAGGUAGGCUUUCAUGAAGAAGCGGAAAACUGCUUUCCUUGCAAACUCUUGUAUAGCAAAGACAGAAGAGAAAGUUUUGUCAAGGGAAAAAGUUUUCUUGGUGAGAGCUUCUGGUGGAAGUGUUGUGGCUAUGGAGAUGAUCGGAAAUUGGUAUAUUGUGGAAAUCAAGGUUAGAGGGUUUUCUGGUUUUGAGAGUCUGGAUAGCAUAUUAGGGAUGAGGUUCUAGGACCCCUUUAUAUGCUUAACCGAAAAAUCAUAUUUGGAAAACCAAUCUUUUAAUUGGAGUAACAUCUUUUCUGGGACAAUUUUACCUUUAAAAUUAAGAAUAUUAGGGAAGGCUAAAUUGUCCAAUCAGAUGAGAAAAUGAUGUCCAAUAAGAUGAUACUCAAAUUUUUUGAUGCCAUUCUUUACCACUAAGAUUUCUUUGAACACGCUAUGGUAAUGCUUCUGUGUGUCAGAAAAUUGUCCACUAGCGUAAGCGAUAAAGUAUUCUUUGCCAUUGAUCUCUACGAGGAGGAUGGCACCCCAUGAUUCAUCACUUGCGUCUAUCUGUAGUAUGCGCUUUCCAUCAGUAAUUAACUUUAAGGGAGGUAGAUUUUGAGCGAUUUGCUUGAGGGUAGUGACAGCAGUUGUGUGGUCAACAUUCCACUAUGGGGCUUUUUUUUCAAUAAAGACGAGAGGUGGUGAGUAUAGCGGUCCACAUGCAGGAUGAAGUCUCUGAUGUAAUUGAUAAUGCCGAGAAACUGUUGAACUUGCUUUUUGGAAAGUUGCUGAUCUGGAAAGUGAAGCAACUCUUGGGCAAUGUGCUUUCCUGGCUGAUAAUGGCCGUCCUUUAUGAUCAUACCAAGGAAUUCAAUGUUAUCCGUGGCAACGGUGCUUUUCUUGGCAGACAACAUGAUUCCAUGACUUUGGACAAUAUCAUAGAAUUGAGUUAACAACUGGUGAUGUUCAUCAUGUGAUCCUGAAAAAAGCAAGAUAUCAUCAAUAUAAAUUAAUGCAUGAUGUAGGAGAGGGUGAAAGAUUUUGACCAUGGAUUUUUGAAAAAUGGAUGGGGCAGUUUUGAGGCCGAAGGAUAGGACUGUCCAUUGAUAAUGGGCAUUUGGGAUACAAAAGACAGUUUUGUAACGCUCCGAGGGUUCAAUGCCUAAUUGCCAAAAACCUGAUUUUAAAUCAAAUUUGGAAAAGAUCUGGGCAUUUUUUAGAAAAGUAAACAUGCUUUGUCGUUGGGGCAAAGGAAAUUUGUCAUCUUGCAAAAACAUAUUUAGUGGCUAAUAGUCAAUGACUAAGCGUUUCUUUCCUCUAACAAUUUCAGAAUGCUUUUCAACAUAAAAGGCUUGGCAAGCCCUUUGAGAAGUUGUGGGCUCGAUUAGACCUUAGGCUAACAGUUGUGAACAUUCUUUUUGGGCUAGGAGUAAGUCAGAAGGACUCAUUCCGGGAUGAGUAGCUUUGGUCGGGUUAAUGUCUUCAUUGAGUUUGAAAGGUAACUUAAUAAAGAGAGACGGGUUUUUCCACAAUGGAGUUGGAUGGGUGAACUCAAAAUGAGACUCUGGACAGAAACACAAAAGAUGGGAUGAAAUAUCCUGGUAGGACUAGGGAGUGUCAGACAAAUUGUAGAGUUUCAUAAUGUCUGUGAAAGGUUUGAACAUGGACUUGACUUGGAUUCCAGUGGGAAUGAUUUGGAGGUGUGUGAUGUGGUGAAGUAUGUCAAAUCCUAACAAGAUAUCCUUAUUAGGAAGGGUUGAAUCGAUAACCUUGGUCCAAAUGACACAAUUUGGGAAGAUUUGAAUACCAAUGGGUUUGUUUGCAAUCAAAGAGGUAGUGAAAAAUUUGCCAUUAACGGCCCUAAAAUUUUCUUCGUACUUUGUCCAGUAUUUAGGUGGAAGGAUAUUGGGGUUUAACAUACUGCGUUGUGCGCAAGUAUCUAUGAGACCAAUUACUAGAAUGGGCCUUUGGAAUUUUGAGUGCAAGAUAUGGAGUUUGAUGGAGGGUAUAGGAACAGUAGUGUCAAGGGACAAUAAUUGUUGGUGGAAGAUAACUUGAGACACAUCACUGUCUGAGUCAUCAGAGGAAUUUUGUAUUGCAAACACGGUUUCAUCAUUGGGUUCAUCUUGCUUAGAGAAAUAGAAUUCCAGUUCAUCCGUCGUGGGAGAGUAGUCUGUAGUGGCUUGAAGAUGUUUGACUAGCCGGAUGGAUUUCUCCCGUUUGUUGGGACAAUCUUUAGCAUAAUGACCUUUCCUCUUGCAGAUGAAACAUCUGCUUGAUGAUUUUCGCUUGAAUUCUCUAGAGGAAGAUGAUUUUUUUCUGAAGAAUCGGGAGGGCUUUCUGGACCUGCGGGGUUUGGAUGAAAAUCUCAAAUUUUUAAAUUUCUGAAAAUGCCUUUUCUUCUUAGAACUGCAAUCACAAUCCUUUUUCUUUUUGCAUUUGAUCUGCAAAUAGGGCUUUUUGCAGGCACUCCUGAACGGUUCGUUAUCUCUCAACAGGUCUUUGAAAAAUUAUUUCUGCUCGCAAAGUUUGUCAAGGCAUGUUUUGGCAAUCUGGAAGAUUUUGCCAAGAGAGAUGUUGUCAAGGAUGAGAUUGGAGGCGGUGAGUUGCCGUUGUAUAUCGGGUUGGAGCUCUUCUGGAAGGGAAGCCAAAAAGACAUGCUUUAAUGUUGGGUCAUUGAAGCCAUUAAGCUUAUAGAACAGCAAAGACAUUCGUUUGUAAUGAAAGUCAAGAUCCUUAGCAUUGAGUAAGUAGCAUUUCAUGUUGAGAUAGUCUCGUCGUGCAGCUUCAAAAACUACAGAGGGGUCUCCAAGGAAUUGAUCAUGAAUAACCGCAAGGGCACUUGAGACUUCUGGUAAUUGAACAAACUGUAAUUGUCUAUAUUGGCCUAAAGAAUCAAACCAAUCUCUUAGAGCACACGUAAAACGAGUAGCAAAUUCUCUAAGGACUGAUUAAGUCAUUGCGCCGGGCCGCAGCAUUUGGAGGUCAAUCCAAGCAGACAUUUCAGUAAGUCUCUCUCGCCAUUUAUGAGAUGGAAGAUCAUCAAAUGUGAACCAUGGAACAUUUGAUGAUUUUUGACUUGUUGGACCGGUCUGGGCUUGGGCUGGAGGGGGUUGGUGUGUUGCAGAGGAUUCAGGUAUGUCUUCGUCAACUUCUGAAGGAAUAUCAACAUAUGGUUCUGUGUGGGAGGUUUGGUCGAGAUUAGGUUGAUCAGGUUGGGCCAUCAAGAUUCUGGUGAUAUCAGCAUAGGACUUUUCAGAGUCACUAGUGGAUACUGAAGAUGCUGUGUCAGACUCAGUAUGGCUGCAGGAAAUGGCUAGAUUUGAAUUAGAAGUUUGAGCAGAAGUUUGAUCAUCUGGAGUAGAGGAUGGAUCUACGGUGUGGGCACUAUACUGGUGCAUGGGUUCUUUGUCUUUGGACUGAGUUUGAGGUUGGGAUUAAGGUGGUAGUGGAGGUGCGGGCGGUGGGGACUGUUGUCCAGGAAGGGACAUGGAUGGCUGAUGAAUUUUGACGGGCCGCGUGGUUGAGGUUUAGGCUUUGGUUUAGGUUUAGUUGGUGGUGGUAAGGAUUGUCUCUGAAAAGGGUAGGAGUCAUGCCAAAUAACUUGGAAGGGUCAUACUGUUUGAUGGGGGAAAGCAUAGAGGCAAAUGGAUGAUAAGUUGGACCUAUAGAAGGGAUAAGAGGUGAUGUGGUAAAAAGGGUAGGUCUUUGUUUUUCAGAUUCAAUCUAAUCAAGCUCAUCUUUUAAGCGUCUGAUUUCCCUUUCUUUUUGGUCAAAUUCUGGGCCAUAGUAUCUUUGAGCAAGCAUGGUUCGUAACUCUGAAUCUAGUUGAGUAAUUCUGGAUUGAAGAUUGUGGUGAAUCUGCUGCAUCUGUGCAGUAAUGGAGUCAACUUUCGUCUCAAUCUGUUCAGUUCGUAAACUGAUUUUCUCAACUUUUGAAUUGAUAUGCAACAAAGUCUCAUUCUGUGCUAUGGCAUUUUGGGUUUGCCAGUUAAGGACUGAUUCAAAAGGUUUGGGAGGUUCUAGGUGGCCAGUUGAGGUAAUAGCUGAAGGGAUAAAAGGUUUGGAUACCACAUUUCGUUGGGAAUCUGUGUGAGUUUCUAAUGGAGGAAAGGAGGAAGGGUAGGCUGAAGAGGUAGAAGAAAACAUCAUACAAGCUAUUGGUUGUACGAUAGGUGUUGAGUUUGGGAGGGGGGAUGGAAUCUCAGGUUGGCAAUGCUUUGCAAUCCAUUUGAGUUCUGUUUUGUAGAUGGGUAAUGGAGCUGGUGGAGGUGGAGGAUCUCUUGGUGAUUUGGGUUCACAGUGUUGACAUGAGACUGAAGGUUUUUUCUUUUUGGGUCUCUUUUUGGUGACGUAAUCAUCGUCCUCUUUCUUUAAGCUCCCAACUUUUUCUUUAAGCUCGUACUUUAAAAAAUGUUGUAAUAAUUGUGGUUGUUUUUUGACUUUUCCUUUAGCCCAUGUGUGUUUGCCGGGCUCUUGUCAAGAAAGUGGUUGCUUGCCGGGCUCUUGUCAAGAAAAGGCCCAUGUGUGUUUGCCGGGCCCAUGUCUGUUUGCCGAGCUCUUGUUAGAAAAGUUUGUCGUUUUCUUAGCUUCUUCCUAUAUAUAAAGGGGGAAGUCUUUUGUUGAAAGAAAUAAGAAAGUUUGAAAGUUUUAAAAAAUUAGCUUUUGCAAAUUUAUGGCUUUCUAAUCUCCUUCCCUGCUUUCUUGAAAUCCUGAUAAAAAAAGGAAAGACUAUCAUCAUCGUUCAUUUCUACCCAUACACUAAGUAUGCUCUGCACUUGCCUCUUCAAUGAUCCUGUGCAUCAGAAAAUAGUGUUAUCACCACCAAUAAGAUAAAAACCACUACAGUCCACCCUGUGUGUCACCCCUUCCACCCUUUGGUAUUCGGUGUUUUUGGGUGAAGUAGUGGAUAACCGAGUGGUAUCACUAAUUUUGGACUAAGCAUGACCCUUUUGGACUCAAGUUGAACUCAAUCCAGGAAACCCAAUCUAAAACCAAGUAUUGCUCUUAUAUGUUCUAGUAAGAUAGACUAUUUUGUAGCUCUUUCUUAGCUAGUAUCAUUAAAUGGGUGAUUAGCCAAAAUAAUGAAUAGAAAUAAUACUACCAAAAUAAAAUGCUACAGCAAACAUGUAGAAACACAAAUUUUCAGUCAAUAAACCAUCAAGAUUAUUUAUCACUCAACCAUAAAUAAAUUUAGUUCAUGGUUUGUAAAAGAAAAAUAAAGAAGGACUGAGUUCCCAAAUGAAUUCUACAAAUUCUUCUCUUGUGCAGCCCUAAAUCUCUCUCUUGAAUCUUGUUUUUCUUUUGUUUCUUUGUAGUUUUUCUCCUUGGGUGACGGCUCGCUUUUUUUCCUUAUGAUGUGUGCUCUUUUUUAUAGUUGAAAAUUAGGAUAAACGGAAGCCUAAGUCGCGUGUCUUCCAAAUUAGGAAACUAUAGAUCGUAAUAUUUUGCUAAAUUUUCUCUGUCGUUGUUCUAGAAUUACUACAACAAUGGCAAUGGUUACUACAACAACGAUUGCUAUAGCAACAACUACAAAAACUGCACUGUUCCAGAUUUGUUUUAAUUCUUCUGUAGCCAAGUUCUUUUCCAUCUUUUGCAAGCCUAUUGCAUUAGCAUUCCUUCCUUAAAAUUUGAGCUUUCGGUCACCUACAAUUAUGCAUAUGAUUUAAGCACACAAUUUAUUAUAAAUCAAACAAAAUUUAUGAAGAAUAAACUAAGAUGAAUGAUUAUGCAAAAAUAUAACAAAACUGCAAUGAAAACACAUCAUUUAUUCUCUAAGUGGUAUUGAUUUAAGUCUAAAUAGUGCUAUAAUAACUCUCAUUUCAUAGAGUUAUCAGGUGUGCUGCCAUGGGAGAAGAAGAUGGCGAUGACCUAGAUAAUUUUAAUGAUCAGGCCACCAUUGACAUGCAUGGAAGAGAUGAUGGAAGGGCAAGACAUAUAGAUCGUGACUUGGGGAGUAUCAAACUAAAAAUUCCUUCUUUUCAAGGUAAAAAUGAUCUGAAAGCUUAUUUGGAAUGGGAAAAAAAUGUGGAGCCAGUAUUUGAUUUCCACAACUACUCUGAGGAGAAAAAACUGCUGUUGAAUUUACUAAUUAUGCUAUUAUUUGGUGGGAUCAACUCAUUUUAAGUAGGAGACAAAAUUGUGAAAGGCCUAUAGACACUUAGGAGGAGAUGAAGGCCAUCAUGAGGAUGAGAUUUAUUCCUAAUUAUUAUUAUAGAGAGCUGAACCAAAGGCUUCAAAGUCUUACACAAGGUUUCUAGAAGUGUGGAAGAUUACCACAAGGAGAUGGAAAUAAUCAUGAUUCGAGCCAACAUUGCAGAAGAACGAGAGGCCACUAUGGCCAGAUUUUUACAUGGUUUAAAUCAAGAUAUUGCUAAUGUGGUUGACUUGCAAGUGGAACGAUAACCAAAAAAGAAAGGUUCAACUAGAGCCAAUUUGGGUUCAUCUUCCUCGUGGAAGUCAAAUUGGAGCAAAGAUGAAAAGGUUGUUUUAAAGCCUAAAAUUGAGCCAUUCAAGGAUCAUAAAGAGGGAGGCAACCAAACCAAAGGUAAAUCUGAUUCUUAACACUAUAGAAAUAGAAAUAUUAAGUAUUUUAAAUGUUUGGGGACAUGUCAUAUUGCAUCUCAAUGUCUAAAUAAGAGAGCAAUGAUCUUGAGGGAUGAUGGUGAUGUUGAAACCGAGAGUGAAUCAGAUGAUGAUCCUAUGCCACCUUCAGAGGAUGCUAAUGAUGGUGUUGAGUAUCAUGUUGAUGGUAAAUUGAUAGUUGCUAGGCGUGCUCUCAACAUGCAAGUAAAAGAAUAUGCAGAGGUACACGUGAUAACAUCUUUCAUACUAGAUGCCACAUCAAAGAUAAGGUAUGUAGUAUGAUAAUUGAUGGUGAAAGUUGUACAAAUGUAGCUAGCACUAGUUUAGUUGAAAAAUUAAAUUUGAAAACUUUGAAACAUCCUAGGCCAUAUAAGCUACAAUGGUUGAAUGAUUGAGGGGAAGUUAAAGUAAAUAAACAAGUGUUGAUUUCAUUCUCUAUUGGGUGAUACAAGGAUGAGGUUUUAUGUGAUGUAGUACCCAUGCAUACUGGACACAUUCUUUUAAGGGGACCUUGGCAAUAUGAUAGGCGUGUGACAAAUGAUGGUUACUUAAAUAGAAAUUCUUUCUAUGGUCAUUCUCUUUGGUCUCCACACUUUUGGCAAAGAUUUAAUAAUUUUCUUCACUUUUUCACUAUUAGUAAAUGUGAAAACACUUUCAUUGUAGAGAAAUCGGUUUUGGAGGAUAAACAGGACCUUUCUAAUGCACAAGAUCCUCAGGCUUGAGGCAAGUGCAGAGCAUACUCAGUUUAGAAGUUUUGAGGUGAGCGUAUCAUUUUUAAUUCGAAUAAUUUCUUCGAUUCCUAGAAGAGAGAGAGAGGUUUAGGGAAACAUGAUGUAUAAAACUUAAGCUUUUAUUUUUCAGAUUGGCUCCCUUACAACUGAGACCAAAGGUGCCUUUUAUAGACGAUCAUUGAGAACAGGACCUCUCGAAUGAUCAUAUCACAUAGCACACCUUUUUUGACAGCAAAACAUGCCGAUAGGGACUUUGACAAAAGGGAAAGCAUACUUACAAGGACUUUAACAAAAGUAAAGCACACCGACAAGGAUUUUAACAAAAGUAAAGCAUACCGACAAGGACUUUAGCAAAAGUAAAGCAUGCCAACAAGGACUUUAACAAAAGUAAAGCAAAAGACAAACGGGAGUCACAUGGGUUGUGCUAUCAAAACUCGUGCGACAAAGAUAAGGCGUUGUCAUGGAGUGGAGGGAUAACGAGAUGGUGACACAUCGCCUGUGUCUUUUUCAUAUUGGCGCUUGUGCCGACGCCUCUGCCUCUGGUCGAGAUACGCCUCAGCUUGCUGAUACUUUUCUUCAUCAACUUCAGACAUGUGCUGUGAGGUAGAUGGAGCAGGAGAGUUUGGGUUUGUGAUAGUAUAACGGGGAGUGUCAGUAUGGAGAAGGGACUGAAAGUCUUUCCAUGGGUCCUGAGCAUCUUGGAAUAAGACAUUAGUAUAGUCAGGACGUUGUUCCAUGACAAGGAUUCCGUGAGGACUUGAACUUGAACCUGGAGUACAGCCUUGUGUUUUUGGAAUUAUUUCAAGGGUGUGUGAUGGUCCAAUGGAGGUGUGGUGAAUAUCUGUGGCAGGUGGAGGAACAUUGUUAAGUUCCAUGAGAUAGGCUUUGAGAACGGAGGUGACCGAUGUAUCAUGGAUGAAGGUAUAAGGAUGAGGGUAAGUUCUCCAUUCAUAUGCCAUGUCCUCUGUCCAGUAGUCCCGUGUUUCUGGAUGCUGAAAAUAAGGCCUGUGGACAAUGAAGGCUAUAGUCCACACGUUAGCUUCUUGUUCUGGCAUUUUGUUUAAUCCAUGAAAGGUACACAAAUGUUGGAGUUGCUUGCGCCACCAAGUGAGGGGAGAAUACCAUUCAAAGAGAGUCCAAAGAAGGUCAGGUGAGAACUCUGGAGUAGUAAGGUGAGUCAGGACUGGUUUGAUGGGAAAAACUAGCUUUGUAGCAUACAAGGUGGUGAGACACCAUAUAUACCAAAGCUCAUCUUCAGAGAUGGACAGAGAGGACAAAGUGAGGCUUGUGAGAAACAGGUGGUCCAUGCAAAGAUUAGGAAAGCGGUCAGGGUUUUUGGUCUGAACAUUAAAGAAAAACCUGUAAAGGAAUUUCUUUGCAAAAUCUUGAAGUUGGUAAGCCGAUUGGAAAGAGAUGUUCAUGGGGAAAUUUCUUUGGUUGAGAGCUUUGAAAGGAAGUUGGCUAUUCAUGGCUAUAACUGGAAUGGUUUGAAUUGAGGAAAUGAGUGCGGGUUUAUUUAUAGCUGGACGGGUGAGGAAGUCUGGAAUGAGGUUUUGGUUGCCUUUUAUGUGUUGAACAGUGAAAUCAUACUGAGCAAACCAGGUUUUGAGGCUGAGUAAUUGCUUGUCUGGUAGCAAUUUGUUCUUGAAGUCAAAGAUGCAGGGAAAAGAAGAGUUAUCCAUGUUGAUAAGGAAUUUGUGGCUGAUGAGAUGGAAUUCAAAUUUCUUAAUUCCAUAUUUGACUGCCAAAAUCUCUUUGUAGAUCACAUGGUAGUUCUUUUCAGAGUCUUUGAAUUGUCCGCUUGCAUGUACACAGAAAUGAUGCACGCCAUUGAUGUCUUCAAGGAGAAUGGCACUCCAAUAAUCGUCGCUGGCAUCAGUCUGGAGGAUGCGUUGUCCACUUAUGGGAAUUCGAAGUGGAGGAGGUGCUUGUGCUAUCACCUUUAGCUGCUUGACAGCUUCUGUCUGAGCAGGGCCCCAUGGAGGGCACUAUUUCUUGAGCAUGCGUGACAACUGGCUAGUGUGGAUUGUAACUUUUGGGAUAAAAUCACGGACAUAAUUAACAAUCCCGAGGAAUUGUUGUAUCUGCUUUCUAUUGAGAUGUGUGUCCGGAUACUUGAGUAAUUCGAUUGCAAUAUGGGGACCAGGCUGAUACUGGCCGUCUUUAAUCACCAUGCCAAGAAAGUCAAUUGAUUCCUUUCCUAUGCUGCUUUUCUUUUCGGAAAGCAUGAUGCCAUGUGCCUGCACAAUGUGAAAGACAUCCAAAAGGAGCUUCUGGUGGCUCUCAUGGUCAGAAGAAAAUAACAAGAGAUCAUCAAUGUAGACCAAUGCAUGAUGGAAAAUAGGACUAAAGAUUUUUGUCAUGGCUUUUUUAAAUAAGGAGGGAGCGACUUUGAGACCAAAAGGCAUAACCGUCCAUUGGUAAUGGGCAUCAGGGAUNNNNNNNNNNNNNNNNNNNNNNNNNNNNNNNNNNNNNNNNNNNNNNNNNNNNNNNNNNNNNNNNNNNNNNNNNNNNNNNNNNNNNNNNNNNNNNNNNNNNNNNNNNNNNNNNNNNNNNNNNNNNNNNNNNNNNNNNNNNNNNNNNNNNNNNNNNNNNNNNNNNNNNNNNNNNNNNNNNNNNNNNNNNNNNNNNNNNNNNNNNNNNNNNNNNNNNNNNNNNNNNNNNNNNNNNNNNNNNNNNNNNNNNNNNNNNNNNNNNNNNNNNNNNNNNNNNNNNNNNNNNNNNNNNNNNNNNNNNNNNNNNNNNNNNNNNNNNNNNNNNNNNNNNNNNNNNNNNNNNNNNNNNNNNNNNNNNNNNNNNNNNNNNNNNNNNNNNNNNNNNNNNNNNNNNNNNNNNNNNNNNNNNNNNNNNNNNNNNNNNNNNNNNNNNNNNNNNNNNNNNNNNNNNNNNNNNNNNNNNNNNNNNNNNNNNNNNNNNNNNNNNNNNNNNNNNNNNNNNNNNNNNNNNNNNNNNNNNNNNNNNNNNNNNNNNNNNNNNNNNNNNNNNNNNNNNNNNNNNNNNNNNNNNNNNNNNNNNNNNNNNNNNNNNNNNNNNNNNNNNNNNNNNNNNNNNNNNNNNNNNNNNNNNNNNNNNNNNNNNNNNNNNNNNNNNNNNNNNNNNNNNNNNNNNNNNNNNNNNNNNNNNNNNNNNNNNNNNNNNNNNNNNNNNNNNNNNNNNNNNNNNNNNNNNNNNNNNNNNNNNNNNNNNNNNNNNNNNNNNNNNNNNNNNNNNNNNNNNNNNNNNNNNNNNNNNNNNNNNNNNNNNNNNNNNNNNNNNNNNNNNNNNNNNNNNNNNNNNNNNNNNNNNNNNNNNNNNNNNNNNNNNNNNNNNNNNNNNNNNNNNNNNNNNNNNNNNNNNNNNNNNNNNNNNNNNNNNNNNNNNNNNNNNNNNNNNNNNNNNNNNNNNNNNNNNNNNNNNNNNNNNNNNNNNNNNNNNNNNNNNNNNNNNNNNNNNNNNNNNNNNNNNNNNNNNNNNNNNNNNNNNNNNNNNNNNNNNNNNNNNNNNNNNNNNNNNNNNNNNNNNNNNNNNNNNNNNNNNNNNNAAAUUUGUGGAUGUGAGUUUCUUGAAGAUCGGGUUGUAACUCAGGGGGAAGAGAGGCAAUGAAGACAUGUUAAGAGAUGGCUCAUUGAACCCAUUUAGCUUGUAGAAUAGAAUACUCAUUCUUUUAUAAUGAGCAUCCAGAAGAUGUCUUUUAAGAGAACAACAUUUCAUCUAAUGGUAUUCUUUCUGUCUGCUUCAGUGGAAGCAGUUUUUUCACCGAUGAAUUGCUCAUGAAUAAGAUUGAGGGCUGUACCAAUUGGAGAUUCCAUGAAUUGGAGCUGUCUAUAUUCUCCUAAGCUUUCUAGCCAGUCUCGUAAAGAACCCGUGGAGCGGGCCAUGAAUUCACGAAGAACUGCUUGAGGUUGAGCAUUAGGCUUGGUACCUUGGAGAUCAAUCCAGGCAGCAAAUUCUUGAAGUCUAGCAGCCCAUUUGUGACGAGGAAUGUCAUCAAAUGUAAACCAAGAUGCUGAAGAUGGUUUUGUUGAGUGUUCAUGAACUGGUGGUGGUAUGGGGGCUGUUUGAGAUGCUUGGUCAGAAGGAUUAUCGUCAACAAUGGGUGUUGAAGUAGAGGCACUUGGAUCUGCAGUUUCAGUGGCCAUUAAUAUGCCGGUAAUGUCAGCAUAUUCAGACUCGGAGUCAGUGGAGGCAUUUGAUGAGUCAUAAGAGGAGGACGAACAUGAAUUGUGUGAUUCAGGCUCAGAAGAGUCAGAGGAAUCUGAAGAUUGGGUCUGGACAGUAUGAUAAUGAUACUGAUCCAUUGGGCCUUUAUCUUUGUUAAGAGGCUCGGGGCAGUCUUGUGGUGAUUCUUCUGGAGGGAUUGUAGAUGUAGAGGAAGAGGAAGUGGCCUUGGGACGUGGUUCGGAGAUUUUGACUUUAGAUCGUGCCUUUUUGGGUGAAGAUGGUUGAGGAGUCGGUUGAAGGUAGGAGAAACCAAAGAACUGAUUAUAAACAGGUUGUUGAGGCCGGGAUGGUGUGUAGAAGGGUGAAUAAGUUUCAAAGAACGGAGGAGAUACGGGUGUAGGUUGUGAUUAAGUAAAAAGGGAAGGUCGAGUCUUUUCAGCAUCAAUCCUGGACAAUUCAGCUUUGAGUUUUCUGAUCUCGGCUUCUUUUUUAUUAAACUCUGGACCCCAUAUAUGAUUGUUGAUCAUCCGUCUGAGAUCGGCAUCUAGCUUAGAGAUCCGAUCUUGGAGAUGUAUAUACAUCUGAUCUAAACGACUGCUGAUCGAAUCAACUUUAGUUUCAGUCUGGGAGACUUGGGUGGCAACACGGUCAAUUUUCUUACCGAGUUGUUGGAGAGUAUGAUUUUGAGCAUUGGCAUUUUUGGUUUGCCAAUUCAAAACAGCUUCAUACUGUUUUGGUUCUUCAGGUUGCCCAGAGGCUGUAAUUGGAGAUUGAACAAAAGGCUUUGAGGUGACACGGGUUUGUGUGUCUGUGUGUUUUUCAAGUGGAGGAAAGGAUUCUUCAUAGGAGUGACUUGAAAAUAUAAGGCAAGAUCUGAUUGGUUGGACAGGAGGUUUGGGAUUUGGUGGAGGAUGUGGAGGAAAAGAUUUGCAAGAUGAUGGUGGAUAAGAAGAUUUUUUCUUUUUCUUUUUCUUUCUCUGCAUAAUUUUCAAUUCUUCGUCAAUAUCCGUAUCAUCCAAGCAAGGACAAUUCGGGUUGCACAUAUGGGCUUCAGGAACAUCCCAUAGAAAAUGACCAUUGACUUUAUCAGGAUAUACUGGAUACCCUUCAGAGGAAAAACCAUGAAUAGGAAGUUUCUUUUCUUGACCAGUUUGAACUGCUGUGAUCAUAGCAGUAUAGGAAAGCUGUGGACUGUUUGAAACAGGCUCGGUAUCAGGGGUUUGAAAAGAUAGUUUAACUUGACCAUUUGGUCGUCUAUUAAACGUGGCUUCUGUGGUUUGUACUGGUUCCGAAUUUUGGUGAAAAUGCUCAUAGUUAGUUAGCCAUUCAAGAGGCAUGAGCUUGAGCAAUUCUUGUUUCUGGAUUUGUUUGGGGAUUUGGAUAAUGGUUGGAAUUGUGUCUGUGUCUGCCAAGAUCAUCAAGGCAUCAGAUGUUGUGUACGGUGUAGGAAGAUCUAGGGCAUGAUUCUGUAAUCGAUAGACUAUUUGAUGAUGGAGGGUUGCAAUCUUUGAUGUGGGUGUUUGUUCUGCUCCUUGGAGCUGGAUCUGGACUUUAAGGGUUGUUGGAAGAUUGGGAUCCUCAAGAGAGAGGUUGAAAUUGGGGUAAAAGGUUAAUAAGACACUGCCAGCAUGAAGUGUUGUCAGAACGGUGCCUAUAACAGCGUGUUGGUACUCCUUGAACCUGGUGUCUAGGAGAGCAAUUCUAGCUGUAACAGGUAAGCCUUUUCGACCAUGAAGAGUGAGAAUUAAUCGUACCCCACCAAGAUGGAGGUGUGUGUAGCCUUCUCGUUUCCAGUUGGCAACGAGAUCUGAAGGUAUUUUUAUAGUGACAUAUUGUUCACUCUGUGAGGCUUGUAGAGCACACUGGUCCAGUCUAGAAGACUGGAUAUACUCUUUUGGGAGUGGUCUUUUAGUAGAGAUGAGGGUCCGAAUACUUCUAGUGAAAGAAGUUUUCUAUUUGUAGAGAUUGUAAGGACUCAUGAUGGGAAACUGGGACUCAUUGAUUUGAGCAGAUUCUGGAAUAUAAGAAUAUUCAACAAGAUUCUCAAUUUUGAAGGUUAUGUGUUUAGAGCAUGAUUUGGGAAGAGAGAGUGUAGAAGAAAGAGAAAUAUGAGAUGAAGAGGAUGUAGAAGUUGAAGAUGUGUUUGUUUCCAUGGAUGAUGAAUCUUCUUCUAGGAGAUCAAAUAAGAUUAUUCAAAUUACUAAUGAUACCACCUCAACAAGAAGUGUGGCUCUGAAACUGAAACUAAAGUUGAUUCGAUCAGCAGUCAUUUAGAUCAGAUGUAUAUACAUCUCCAAGACCGAAUCUCUGAGCUAGAUGCCGAUCUCAGACGGAUGAUCAACAAUCAUAUAUGGGGUCCAGAGUUUAAUAAAAAAGAAGCCGAGAUCAGAAAACUCAAAGCUGAAUUGUCUAGGAUUGAUGCUGAAAAGACUUGACCUUCCCUUUUUACUCAAUCACAACCUACACCCGUAUCUCCUCCGUUCUUUGAAACUUAUUCACCCUUCUACACACCAUCCCGGCCUCAACAACCUGUUUAUAAUCAGUUCUUUGGUUUCUCCCACCUUCAACCGACUCCUCAACCAUCUUCACCCAAAAAGGCACGAUCUAAAGUCAAAAUCUCCGAACCACGUCCCAAGGCCACUUCCUCUUCCUCUACAUCUACAAUCCCUCCAGAAGAAUCACCACAAGACCGCCCCGAGCCUCUUAACAAAGAUAAAGGCCCAAUGGAUCAGUAUCAUUAUCAUACUGUCCAGACCCAAUCUUCAAAUUACUAGUAUACAUAUCAUGGACACUCUCGUAUGACUCCAUUUGAAACAUCUCAUAUUGUCAGUGAAUCUACUAAUUUUACACUCCUUGACUUAAUUUGUUCCCUCAUUGACAACCUCAAGUUUCUUCCAAAUUUCAUAUGCAUUUGUACAAUCUGAAAUUCUAUGAAAUUCCUUUUUAUCUAAGGCUAGGGAUGGCAACAUAACCCGAACCCGGCUUUGAUCUGGACAAACCCGGAUAAUCAGGUUCGGGUUGAACCCGCACCGGAUGUGAAUUAAAUGCAUAACCGGAUUUAAUUUUUUAAACCCGGACGUAUCCAGGUCUGGAUCCAGAUUUAGGUGAACCUAUAUAUCUGGAACCCAGACUCGAAUAUCUUUAUUUUAAUAUUAAUUUUUUAAUAAUUUUUAAUAUAGAUAUAAAAGAAAGAAAGGGAAAGAACAGCCCUAGCACAGCCGGCCCUAGAUUGCAAUUCACAUUUUCCUCUUCUCAAAUCUCACAUAUGCAGGCUACUAACCAUAUUUCCUCUUCUCUUCAUCAAAUUAAAUCAUCUUCCUCAUUGAUUCAACCAUUUCCUCUUCUCUACGUUCAUUAUCAAUAUCAUCAGCCGCUGUGUUCAUCAUCAUCAGUCGCUUUGUUCCUCUUCUCUACACUGUUGCGACAUCUAACCCUUCUCAAUCGUUCAAUUACUGGAAAAUUGAGUGAACUAGCUUCCACCUCUAAGCCCACCUCUGCUUCUGUCUUGUCAUCUCUUCAUAAACUUUCUCUCUCUGUAUGGUUCCAGUGGAGUUGGGUGGGGGCUCACUUGUCAACUCUUCACAAACUCUCUCUCUCCAUUGCUCUUGUGGAGAUGGUGUGGGGGCUGCCUUUGAUGCCAUUGCAUGGUGGAUCUGGGUGGGCCACUGUCUUUGAGGCCAUUAUUAAUUUAAUCUUUUUUUUGCAGUAAUUGAAGCAUCUCUAUAUCUCUACGUGUACUUGAUAGAAUAUCAUCAACUAAGAAAAUAAAUGUUUCAUCAGGUUUAAUUUGUGAUUGAAGCGUAGUGUCCAACUUUAUAAGGAGAUGGCAAUUUUGUUUUCAAAACAUAAUUCAUAAAGCAAUCCGGGUUUCAAACCCGGAAUUCAAAAACCCAAAUUGUUUCAGGUUGAACCCGUUCCGGACCCAUAUGCAGGAAAAUCGAGUUUAUAUCCGGAUCCAGUAAAAGAAAAUAGCAUCCGGGUCCGGAACCGAAAAUGCCGAACCCGGACCCAGAUUUUGCCAUCCCUAUCCAAGGCACAAUUCUAAAUUGGCAAACCCAAAAUGCCAAUGCUCAAAACCAAGCUCUCCACCAUCUCGAUAAAAAAAUUAACAAAGUGGCAUCACAGGUGUCACAAACAGAAACAAAGGUGGAUACAAUCAAUGCUUGGCUUGAACAUAUUUAUUCAAAUCUGCAGAACAAAAUCUCUUAAUUGGAUAUUGAUCUCAGAACGAUGAUAAACAAUCGUAUUUGGGGUCCAGAAUUCAAUAAAAAAGAAGUAGAGAUUAGAAACCUGAAAGCAGAAUUGGCCAGAAUUAAUGCUGACAAAGCACAACCUUCCCUUUUCACUAAAAUCUAGUCCAUACCUAUACCAGUACCAUUAUUUACAUCAUACCAACCUUUUUACAAUCCUUCUAAAUUGUCAACUUAUGAUAAAUUCUUUGGUCUUUCCCAUCUUCAUUCCACAAACCCAAAUAUUCCCCCAGUUACACCAACAAAGCCUUCCUCACCAAAAAAAUCCAAAUCAAAAGUCAAAAUCUCAAAGCCUCUACCCAAGGAAGAUCUUCAAGUUCCAGAAGACUCUCCUAAAGCAACUCAUGAACCUCCAAAGAAAGACAAAGCUCCAGCUUACCAAUACCAUUACCAGCAGAUUGAUCACCAAAAUAGUGACUCAGAUUCGACUUCAGAAGAAAGUUUACCCUCCACUAAUAGUCUCAGCUCAUCUGAACAAACUUCUUCAGACUUGGAGUCUCAAUAUGCAGACAUUUAUAGUCUUCUGAUGGCCACAAAAACUGAAGAUCCAAGUACAUAUACUCUUGUUGUAGAUGAAUCUUCUGAUGACAAUAAUGAUGAUCAAGGCUCACAAAUAGAACUGGUUCCACCAGUUCCUCCGGUCUAUGAAAAUUCUUCAAACCAUCCUCUUCACCAUGGUUUACAUUUGAUGACAUUCCCCGUCACAAAUGGCAGGCGCGACAUCAAGAACUUGCUGCAUGGAUUGAUGUGCAAAUGACAAGACCUCAUGCACAGACUCAAAGUGUUCUCCGUGAAUUUUGUUCCAGAUUCACUAACUCAUUACGAGAUUGGUUUGAAAGUCUAGGAGAAUAUAGACAACUCCAAUUGAUUCAAACCACCAUUCCUGCAGCUCUUGCAGUCAUUUAUGAGUAGUUUAUUAGAGAACUAGCAGCAUCAACUGAAGUAUCUAGAAAUGAGUACCACCAGAUGAAAUGCUGUUUUCUCAAACAACAUCACCUGGAAAUGCACUACAAAAGAAUGAGCAUGCUUUAUUACAAAUUUCAUGGAUUCAAUGAUCCAUCUUUGAAGCAUGUAUUUGCUGCAUCUUUACCCCCAGAGCUUUAGCCAGAACUUCAAAGACAACUGACAGCCUUUAAUCUUGACAUAGCCAAUGUCUCACUUGGAAAAAUCUUUCAAUUAACCAUGCUAUGCCUUGACAAGAUCUGUGAGCAAAAAGACUUCUUCAAAGAUCUUAUUGAACACAAAGAACCCUUUGCCUCAGCCUGCAAAAAACCCUAUCUCAAAAUCCAGUGCAAAGAUGAGAAAAAGUGCACUUGUCCAACAAACAAGAAAAGGCACUUCCAAAAACACUUCCACAAAUCCUCUUUCAAACAACCAAAGAAGCCUUCCCAGUUCAGAAAAAAGAAACACAAUAGCUGUUUUAUUUGCAAAAAGCACGGACAUUUUGCCCGUAAUUGCCCAAAAAAGUCAACAAAAGUUGUUCGUCUCAUCCAGCACUUACAGCAAUCUUCCAUGCUUUCUGACAACGAAGAUGUUGAAUCCAACUUCUCAAAACAGUUCGAAAAAGAUGAUCAUACAGCCUUCAUUCUUGCAGAAUCAACAAAUUCUGAAACAGAUGAAAUUUGUGUUAUCUCAACUAUUCAAGAAGUUAACCAGAUCCAAUCUAAAUCCACUGGUCCUUACGUAAAAAUCUCAAUCAUCCCUUCUAAAUUCCAUAAACCUGUCUUAGUCAUUGGUUUCCUUGAUACUAGCGCACAGCGCAGUAUGCUCAACCCUCAUAUUCUUCCUCUCGAUUAUUGGGAGAACCAUACUGAAUAUUUUAGAGCUGCAAAUGGAAAGGUGUUUUAAACUUCUCUCAUUACCAAAAAACCCAUUGGUAUCCAGUUCUUUCCAAACUGUAUCAUUUGGCAAACAAUCGUUGGUUCAAAUUUACCAGACAAAGAUCUCCUCAUAUGAUUUGAUAUCCUCCAACUGGUAAAAAACCUUUUCAUUACACCAACAGGAAUUAAAUUCAAACAAAUGUUUAUGCCUUAUACAGAUGUUCUUCGUCUGUAUACAUUGUUAGAUACAGAUCCUCCUUACACCUCCAUUUCCCAAAAGUUCCUUGAACUUUGUCUAGAAAAUCACUCCCAAUUUACUCAUCCAUCACCACUUUGGAAAAAUGAACAGUUUUUUAUCCAUCUUCCUUUCAAACUUAAUGAAGAUGUCAAUCCCACAAAAGCUACACAUCCAGGGAUGCCUCCAACUGAUCUCUCCCUCACCAAACAAGAAUGCACUCAAUUGCUUCGGCAAGGCCUUAUAGAACCCACUACUUCAUAUUGGGCUCGUCAAGCUUUCUAUGUUGAAAAACGGUCUGAAUUAGUUCGUGGAAAAAAAAGAUUAGUCAUUGAUUACCAGCCACUUAAUGCUUUCUUUAAAGAUGAUAAAUUUCCCCUUCCAAAGAUCCAGUCCCUAUUCAUUCAUCUUCAAGGUCCAAAAGUAUUUUUAAAGUUCGAUCUUAAAGCUGGUUUUUGGCAACUUGGUAUUUCACCAGAAGACCAUCCCCAAAUAGCUUUUUGUAUCUCUGAUGCUCAUUAUCAGUGGACAGUCCUACCUUUUGGUCUCAAAGUUGCUCCCUCCUUAUUUCAAAAAGCAAUGGUUAAGAUCUUUUCUUCGAUCCUCCAUCAUGCUUUAAUCUACAUUGAUGAUAUCCUGUUGUUUUCCCAUAACCACCAAACACAUCAAUAGCUCCUUUCAGAUUUCCUGGAAAUCGUGCAAUCACAUGGCAUCAUGCUUUCUGAAAAGAAAAGCAUCAUAGGAAAGGAAUCUAUUGAUUUUCUUGGCAUGGUCAUAAAAGAUGGUCACUACCAUCUAGGACCACAUAUCACAGCAGAAUUAUUAAAGUUUCCAGACACAAAUCUCAACAAAAAGUAAAUUCAGCAGCUCCUUGGAAUUGUUAAUUAUGUCAGAAACUUUAUUCCUAAAGUUGUGGUCGACACCAGCCAGCUAUCAUGCAUGCUUAAAAAGAAAACUCCACCAUGGGGUCCGGCUCAGACAGAAGCCAUAAAGCAACUAGAACAGAUAGCCCAGUCACCUCCUCCACUCAAAAUUCCCACUACAGGCCAACGUAUUCUCCAGACAGAUGCUAGUGAUGACUUUUGGAGUGCCAUCCUUUUGGAAAAGAUAGGUGACUCAGAGUCCUAUUGCGCUCAUGCAAGUGGCAGUUCAAAGAUUCAAAAAAGAAUUAUCACGUGAUUUACAAGGAAAUUCUUACGGUAAAAUAUAGAAUCAAGAAAUUUGAAUUUCAUCUCAUCAGCCACAAUUUCCUCAUCAAAAUGGCCAACAGUUCUUUUCCAAAGAUCUUUGACUUCAAGAACAAAUUGCUUCCUGACAAGCAAUUACUCAAUUUAAAGACAUGGGUUGCAAAGUAUGAUUUUAUGGUCCAACACAUCAAAGGUGAUAAAAAUCUUAUCCCUAAUUUCCUCACCCGUCCAUCUAUAAAAAGCCAUGUUCUCAUCUCUUCCAUCAAAACCAUUCCAGUUAUAGCCAUGUAUCGAUCACUCCCCUUUAAAACUUUAACUCAAAAGGCUUUCCCUUUCAGAUCAGCCUUCCAAAUUUAGGACUUUGCUAAGAAAUUGCUCUAUAUUAUUUCAUGAAUGUUCAUAGAACCAAACCAGAAAGGUUUCCCUCUUUAUGUUUAGAACACAUGUUCCUUACUGGUUUCACCAUUGUCCCUAGCCUCACCAUCUCUAAAGAUGAGUUAUGGUACAUGCAGUGCCUCACAGUUCUGUUUGCUACAAAGCUUGUUCUACGUGUCCUACCAACCCUUAGGCAUAUCUCCACACCAGAUCAUGCACCCACACUUCUCUGGACGCUCCUUGAAUGGUUUUCACCACUCACUAGUGGCGUAAGCAAUUGCAGAAUCUAUCUAACUUUCAUCAGUUAGACAGAAUUCUAGAUCAAGAAGCAGAUAUGUUUACUUUUAUAUUCAUAGUCCACAAGCCAUAUUUCCAACACCCUGAAACCAAAGACUACUAGACACAGGACAUGGAAUAUGAAUGGAAAACAUUCCCUCAUCCUUUUCCUCUCAACCAUGAUCCCACAAUCAUCUCUAUGCUCAAAGCCUACCUGUUAGAACUCAGCAAUGUCCAACCUGUCCAUACAAACAUCCAUCAUACAUCUAUUGGUCCAUCCCACACUCUUGAAAUUAUAUCAAGAACCUAGACAUGUACUCCAGAAUCUAGUUCCCGUCCUCAUGGAAUCCUUGUUCGUGAACAAAGACCUGACUAUACCAAUGUUCUCUUCCAAGACGCCCAAGACCCUUGGGAAGACUUUCAAUCCUUACUGCCAACACAAGACACUCAGUACACUAUCACUGAGCCAAGUUCUUCAUCCACCCCAGCUCCACCAAAAAGAAACAAUUCUCCAGAGUUUGAUGAAGACUAUCUGAUCUACCAAGAGAUCCAAAAAGCAAAAGAAGACUAUGAAAAUGAAACUGGUGACGUGUCUCCAUCCAAAUUUCCCUCAACUCCAUAAUAGCCUCACAUGGCUACAGAGUCAUCUAGGAAUCUCGGCUUUUCCUGCUUUUAAUAAAUGACAGGGGUCUUGUCCUGUCUAAAGUGUGUUUCAGCUUUUUAUGCUUUUUAAAGUGAAUUAUUAUUUUCUUUUGUCGUUUGCUUUAAAGAAAUAUAAGGGUCCUGUCUUAUCUUGGCUUUCUAGCUCUAUUUAAGAGCUAUUCCAUCUUUGUAAAAUGCAGAUUGCCAUCAAUAAUAUUUCGCAGUUUUUCAAAAACUCAAUGUCUUACUAAAAACUCUCUUCUUCUUCUAGGUAACGAAGAAAACACUUGGAUUAUUAAAUUAAGAGUGUUCAUCUCUAUUUUUCCUAUACUGAGUAUGCUCUACACUUGCCUUUUUUAAAGGAUCCUGUGUAUUAGAAAAGUCCUAGUUUAUAUAUAAAAUCGAUUUAAAAUAAACUAUUUUCUCACAACGUUCACCCGCUUUGAAGGUUAGUGGUGACCUGUUUUCAGGUGGUAUCAUGAUCAAUGGUUUUUGCUUUCCGGGUUUUAUAUCUCAGGGAUUAUAGGUAUAUCGGCUAGAAACCAGAACUUAUGGACUACUGGUCCAAAGCAUAGUCUAGCACUAUCAUAGUUUAGGUGUAACAACACCACAUACCUACCCCAGUGGUAUCACUUGAAUAGGAUUUGAAUUUGUUUCAUCCCACGUGCUUGUGAUAGUUUUAUCCUUAAUCUCAUCAUUCCCCUCCUCUUAAAGAGGAUUUGUCCUCAAAUCAUCACCUGCAUCAAAAGGACUUAAAUAAAAAAUAUUAAAAGUAGCACGUACAUUGUACUCACCAGGCAAAUCCAGUUUGUAUGCGUUGUCAUUGAUCCAUUCCAAGACUUGGAAUGGACCAUCCCCUUGAGGUAAUAACUUAGAUUUCCUUUGUUCAGAAAAUCAUUCCUUGUCGGGUUCAAAGACUAGCUUUUGUCGCCCUUUGUUGGCUUGUUUAGUAUAUUGCUUAGUUCUCUACUCAAUGUUGAACUUUGCUCUCUCGUGUAUCUAUUUAACAACUUCAUCCUUUUUCUUGCCAUCCAAGUUAACACGCUCGAGAACAGGUAAUGGAGUUAAAGGAUUAAAAUCAUAAACAAUUUCAUACGGUGAAUAAUUAGUAGUCCCAAGUUUGAUGUUCUCUUUAAUGAUAGCCCGCAAUAGAGUAGAAAAAGUUAUAUUCACCAUUUCUGUUUGACCAUUAGUUUGAGGGUGACAAGUAGUUGAAAACAACAACUUAGCCCACAAUAUUUUUCAAAAGUAACUUAAAAACUUAUCAUCCUUAUUAUAAACAAUUGUCCUAGUCAUACCUUGCAACCUCACAAUCUCCCUAAAGAAUAGGUCAGCGACAUUAGAAGCAUCAUCCGUUUUGUGGUAUGGAAUAAAAUGUGCCAUCUUUGAAAAUAUAUCCACAACCAUAAAAAUUGAGUCUCCCUUCAUUUAGACUUAAGUAAUCCCAGUACAAAAUCCAUCGAAACAUCAGUCCAAGGCGCAAUAGGUAUUGGAAACGGGGUGUAUAAGCCAUAGGGCUACACUUUGGAUUUGGCUUGUUUACAGGUGACACAUCUACCACAAAGUCUCUUGACAUCUCAUUUCAUAUAUGGCCUAUAAAAGUGUUCCUGUAAAACUACUAGAAUCUUUACAACUCUAAAAUGCCUCAUCAACCUUCCUCCAUGGGAUUCUCUCACUAACAAAUCACUCAAAGAAUAAUUAGGCACACAAUUUAUUCUAUUAUGCCUAAAGUACUUACCAAAUGCGGUCUUUUCACAAGCUUGGAAUUCAAUACUAAAAUCAUGGUCAUCAGUAUACAAUUCCUUAAUAUGUUCAAAAGCAAGCAUUUAGCAUAAAGUGUCAAAAUGAAGGCGUACCUACAAGAAAGCACAUUUGCAACAACGUUUUUCUUACCUUGCUUGUAACGAAUGACAUAUGGAAACGUCUCUAUGAAUUCUACCCAUCGAACAUGCCUCUUGUUUAGCUUGUGUUGGCGUUUAAGGUGUUUCAAUGACUAAUGAUCAAUGUGAAUCACAAACUCCUUGGGUCAUAGGUAGUAUUGCCAUGUUGCUGACUGUCAAACCAAUGCAUACAGCUCCUUAUCGUAAGUAGGCUAGUUUAAGGCUGCCCCACUCAGUUUCUCACUAAAGUAAGCAAUUGGUCAUCCCUCUUGUAUUAGGAUUGCGCCAAUACCAAUACUUGAGGCAUCCCAUUCAAUUUUAAAUGUUUUAUUAAAGUUAGGCAAUGACAAUAAGGGAGCAUUGGCUAGCUUUUGCUUGAUCAUUUGAAACACCUUCUCUUACUCUUCUCUCCACUUGAAUCCAACAUCUUUUUUUAUUACUUCUCUAAGCGAUGCAGCUAAUAGGCUAAAGUCUUUCACAAAUCGUCGAUUGAAAGUAGCUAGCCUUUGAAAGCUUCUCACUUACUUACGUUCCUUCUCCUCAUCAACCUGUAUACCCUGUGCACUCACAACAAAUCCUAGAAACACAAGUUUAUUGGUGCAAAAGGUACACUUCUACAUAUUUCAAAUGUACUACAUGAUCAUUUAUAUUUUUGCUAUAAAUGAGGAUAUCAUCAAAAUAAACAACAAACUUGCCAAUAUAAGCUCGCAAAAGGAAUGACUAACCAUUUAUACAAAUCAUAUUUUGUUUUAAAGGUAGUUUUCCAUUAAUCUCCUUCUUCAUUUUAAUAUGAUGAUAUCCACUUUUCAGAUCAAUUUUAGAAAAUACACAAGACUCACGUAAUUCAUCAAGCAUAUAAUCUAGCCUAGGAAUGGGAUGCCGAUACUUUACCGUUAUGUUGUUGAUGGCUCGACAACACAUAUCCUCAACUUCUUAUACUUCUUAGGAACUAAUAAAACCGAAAUUGCACAUGGACUAAUGCUUUCUCUUACGUACCCUUUUUCUAUCAAUUCAUUAACCUACCUUUGAAGUUCCUUUGUCUCCUCCGAGAUACUCCUAUAGGCUGGUCGAUUUGGAAUGGUUGCACCGGGUACAAAAUCAAUUUGACGCUCAAUCCCUUAUAUUGGAGGUAAACCAUGUGGUGUUUCCUUGGGAAAGACAUUCUUAUAUUCCUACAAGAGAGAAGUAAUAGAACUAGGCAAAGUAUGGUGAAUGCCUCUUUGUACAAAAGUACAAUCAUUGGCUGAUGUGAAAACAAUGGUUUUUUUUAUCUCACUUGCUCUUGCAUAGAAAUUCUUUUGUUUCCCUCUGAUUUUCUCUCAAUGGCUGCAUUUUUCUUGGCUUUUUCUCUCUCAUUGUUCUAGGCCUCUUUUUUAUUCACUCUUUUUCUUUUGCUCACUCUCUCUGUAGGCUCACUUGGUCCCCAUAAACCUGCUUUGGUGUCAAUGGAACAAGAGUGAUGUUACAUUGAUUAAAUACAAAUGAAUAUUUGUUGGUGAAGCCAUCAUGCUUCACACAUCUGUUGAAUUACCAAGGUUGCCCAAGUAACAAGUGUCUAGCCUGCAUUGGUACUACAUCACAUAACACCUUAUCUUCAUACUUGCCAAUCCGAAAAGUCACUAGUACCUGCUUAUUCACUUUCACCUCACCACUGUCAUUUAACCAUUGUAGUUUGUAUGGCCAUGGGUGUUUAAGUGUCGGAAGCCCUAACUUAUCUACCAUGAUAAUACUAGCAACAUUAAUACAACUUCCUCUAUCAAUGAUCAUACUACAUACUUUGUCUUGAACAAAGCUCCUAGUAUGGAAAUUGAUUUCCCAUUGCACUGUUUUUUCUUGCUUUACUUGCACACUCAAGCUCUCCUAAUGACUAAAGUCAAUUCCCCAAGGCUGUAUACUCUUCAUCUUCGACAUCCUUCAAUGGUGGCAUCUCAUUUUCUUCCUUGUCAUCUUUAGUUACAAUCUCACCAUUGCCUUGACAUUUAAAACACUUAAUAUCUAGAUUUUUAAUAGUGGGAGUCACAGUGUUGCCUUGUGAAUUGUGGUUGAAGGGCUCGGAUCACGGCUUAGGUGCAGUAGAUGCUUAUGGCAUCUCAUCUCAUUUCAUAUAACUUGGCUUCCAAGGAGUAGAACUCGAGCUUGGGGCUACACGGGUGUUUGCCCUCUUCUUGAGUUAUUACUCAAUCUUAAGAGCUUUGUGGACCAUCUCCUCAAUCUCCACAUAAUGUUGCAACUCAACCUUAUCUGCAAUCUCCCAAUUAAGGCCAUUCAUGAAUCGUGCCAUAGUAGUUUCUCUAUCAUCUUCCACAUUUGCUUUAAUCAUGGCAAUAUCUAUUUCUUUGUAAUAAUCCUCCAUGCUUCGGCUACCCUGUGUUAAACUUUGUAAUUGCUUUUGUAUAAGUCUCAAUAGUAGUGGCUAGGUACAAGAUGUCUUCUCAUCAAUGAUUUCAUUUCAUCCCAUGUCUCAACUGGACAUUCCCUAUUUUGCCUCCUACCUUUUCUCCCAUGAAGGGUAAGGAUUAAUCUGAUGCCUCCAAGAUGGAGAUGAGAAACUACCUUUUCUCCCAUGAUCUCACCAGGUAAUAGCAUAGUCAGAAAACUUAAUCACAACCAAUUAUAGCAAUCAAAUAUGAACUCCAUUUUCUUCUCCCAUUCAAGGUAUGCUUCCAGGUCGGAUUUACCUUGAAAAGAUGGAUCUUCAUCUUUAUGCCACUUAAUCAUCAUCCAUCUCUUUUAUAACUACCUAUUGAGUCCUCUCCUUCAUCAUACUUAUCCCUAUAAUAGUCAUCAAUCUCUCCACUAGCCGGAGCUCUUUCUCUUCUACGUGCUUAGGGAACGGGUCGUGUUUGCCUUACACAUGUGUUCUCCAUUUGAUCCAAACACUCGUGCAUAUGCUCUAAUUCAACCUUCAUCAACCUUCUCAUCUCUCCCAUCAAUGCUUCAAUUUGCAAUCUGAGUAGCUGUGGAUUGAUCCUCUUCAUUUGUGUCUUGUUCUAAGUUGUAAGAUAUGGCUAACAUCUGCAAAAAAAAAAAGUUAGAAAUAAUGUGGAAAGGGCCUCACCUCACUCUUUUAUGUGUUUUACUCAAGAAAAUGAUUCACUCAAUUUCCACUUGUGUUUCACUCAAAUUUAUUGGCUUUUACCCUCUAUUACGCUCUCAUUCGGGGUGUUAGGAUCAAGUGCUUACCGCUAAGCUAAAAGCUUAAGCUAAUAGCGAGGGUGCGAUUUUAUUUCCUUAUACCAUGUAAAGCACAGAGCCCCACACUAAGCAGUGGGUGGACAUAAAGGGCUGCACACAUUUGUACUCUUGAAAUUUGAAGGAUGUUACUGCCACCUCAAUGGAAUUACACAAAAGGAUGUUACACCUACAAGCGCACAAAAAAAUUAUUGGGGCCCCAUAACCCGCCCCAUAACCAAACAAUCCCCCCCCCCCCCGCAAAAUUACUUAUGUGGCAGCUUGAACCCGUGACCUCGCUCUAAUACCAAUUAUUAGGAUCAAGCGCUUACCACUAGGUUAAAGCUGAAGCUGAUGCUAAGGUGCAACUUUAUUUCCUUAUACCAUGGAAGUGCAGAGCCCCAAAAAAGCAAAAACUAUUGAUCACGAUACCACCCGAAAACAGGUCACCUCUGACCUUCAAGGAGGGUGAACAUUGUGAGAAAAUAUUUUUUUCUUAAAUUGGUUUUAUAAAUAAAUCAGGACUUUUCUGAUACACAUGAUCCUUUAAGAAAGGCAAGUGUAGAGCAUACUCAAUAUAAAAAAUAGAGAUGAAUGCUCUUAGUUUAAUAACUCAAGUAUUUUCUUCGUUACCUAGAAGAAGAGAGAAACUUAGUAAGCCAUAGAGGUUUUAUGAAAAACUUGGAAAUAUUAUUGAUGGCAAUCUGAAUUUUACAAAGACGGAAGAGCUCUUAAAUAGAGCUGGAAAGCCAAGAUAAGACAGGACCCUUAUCUUUCUUUAAAGCAAACAACAAAAGAAAAUAAUAAUACAUUCUAAAAAGCAUAAAAAGCUAAAACACACUUUAGACAGGACAGGACCCCUGUCAUUUAUUGAAAGCAGGAAAAGCUAAGAUUCCCGGAUGACUCUGUAGCCAUGUGAGGCUAUUAUGGAGUUGAGGGAAAUCUGGAUGGAGACACGUUACCAGUUUCAUUUUUAUAGUCUUCUUUUGCCUUUUGAAUCUCUUGGUAGAUCAGAUAGUCUUCAUCUAACUCUGGGAUUUCUUUUCUUUGUGCUGGAGUUGGAGUGGACGAGGAACCUAGUUCAGUGACAGUGUACUGAGUUUCUUGUGUUGGCAAUAAAGAUUGGAAGUCUUCCCAAGGGUCUUGGGCAUCUUGGAAAAGAAUAUUAGUGUAAUCAGGUCGUUGUUCAUGAACAAGAAUUCCAUGAGGACUGGAGCUGGAUCCUGGAGUACAUAUCUGGGUUCUUGGUAUAACUUCAAGAGUAUGGGAAGGACCAAUAGAUGUAUGGUGAAUGUUUGUUGAGUCAGGUUGGACAUUGUUGAGUUCUAACAAAUAGGCUUUGAGAGUGGAGAUGAUUGUAGGAUCAUGGUUAAAAGGGAAAGGAUGAGGGAAGGUUUUCCAUUAAUAUGCCAUGUCUUGUGUCUAGUAAUCUUUUGUUUCAGGAUGUUGGAAAUAUGGUCUGUGAACUAUGAAUAUCGAAGUAAACAUAUUUGCUUCUUGAUCUGGAAUCUUAUCUAACUGAUGAAAGUUAGAUAAAUUUUGCAAUUGCUUACGCCACCGGGUGAGUGGUGAAAACCAUUCAAGGAGCGUCCAGAGAAGUGUGGGUGCAUGAUCUGGGGUAGAGAUAUGUUGAAGGGUUGGUAGGACAGGAAGAACAAGUUUUGUAGCAAACAGGGCUGUGAGACACCACAUGUACCAUAACUCAUCUUCAGAGAUGGUGAGGCUUGGAAAAAUGGUGAAGCCAGUGAGGAACAUGUGUUCCAAACAUAAAGACGGAAACCUUUUGGUCUGGUUCUGUGAACAUUCACGAAAUACCUGUAAAGGAAUUUCUUUGCAAAGUCUUGGAUUUGGAAAGCUGAUUGGAAAGUGAGGUUUAGAGGAAAAGCUUUUUGGGUUAAAGCUUUGAAGGGAAGUGAUCGAUACAUGGCUAUAAUUGGGAUGGUCUUGAUUGACGAGAUGAGAAAAGGGCUUUCUAUAGAUGGUCGGGUGAGGAAAUCAGGGAUAAGAUUUUUAUCACCUUUGAUGUGUUGAACUGUGAAAUCAUACUUUGCAAACCAUGUCUUUAAAUUGAGUAAUUGCUUGUCAGGAAACAAUUUUUUCUUGAAGUCAAAGAUCUUUGGAAAAGAACUGUUGUCCAUUCUGAUAAGGAAAUUGUUGCUGAUGAGAUGAAAUUAAAAUUUCUUGAUGUCAUAUUUUACUGCAAGAAUUUCCUUGUAAAUCACAUGAUAAUUCUUUGAAUUGUCCACUUGCAUGAGCGCAAUAGGAUUUUGAGUCACCUAUAUUUUCCACAAGGAUGGCACUCCAAAAGUCAUCACUAGCAUCUGUCUGGGGAAUGCAUUGGCCUGUAGUGGGAAUUCUGAGUGGAGGAGGUGACUGGGCUAUCUUUUUUAACUGUUUUAUAGCUUCUGUCUGAGCUGGACCCCAUGGUGGAGUGUUCUUUUUAAGCAGGCAUGAUAGCUGGCUGGUGUGGACCACAACUUUUGGAAUAAAGUCUCUGACAUAAUUAACAAUUCCAAGGAACUGUUGAAUUUGCUUUUUGUUGAGAUCAGCGUCUGGAAACUUUAAUAAUUCUACUGCAAUGUGUGUUCCUGGAUGGUAGUGGCCAUCUUUUAAGACCAUGCCAAGAAAAUCAAUGGAUUCCUUUCCUAUGUUGCUUUUCUUUUCAGAAAGCAUGAUGCCAUGUGUCUACACGAUUUCUAGGAAAUUUGAAAGGAGCUGUUGAUGUGUUUGGUGGUUGUGGGAAAACAACAAGAUAUCAUCAAUGUAGAUUAAAGCAUGAUGGAGGAUUAGAGUGGAGAUCUUAACCAUUGCUUUUUAAAAUAAUGAGGGAGCAACUUUGAGACCGAAGGGUAGGACUAUCCACUGAUAGUGAGCAUCAAGGAUACAAAAAGCUGUUUUGGGACGGUCUUUUGGAGAAAUGCCAAGUUGCCAAAAACCAGCUUUAAGAUCGAACUUUAAAAAUACCUUUGCUCCUUGAAGAUGAAUGAAUAGGGAUUGGAUCUUUGGAAGAUGAAAUUUAUCAUCUUUAAGGAAAGCAUUAAGUGGCUGGUAGUCAAUAACUAAUCUCUUUUUUCUACGAACUAAUUCAGAGCGCUUCUCAACAUAGAAAGCUUGACAAGCUCAAUCUGAAGUAGUAGGUUCUAUGAGACCUUGCCGAAGCAAUUGACAUCUUACUUGGCGAGAGGGAGAUCAGCCGGAGGCAUCCCUGGAUGUGUAGCUUUUGUGGGAUUGACAUCUUCAUUAAGUUUGAAAGGAAGAUGGAUAAAAAACUGUUCAUUUUUCCAAAGUGGUGAUGGAUGAGUAAAUUGGGAGUGAUUUUCUGGACAAAGUUCAAGGAACUUUUGGGAAAUGGAGGUAUAAGGGGGAGUUGUAUCAGAAAAUGUAUACAGGCAGAGAACAUCUGUAUAAGGCAUAAACAUUUGUUUGAAUUUAAUGCCUGUUGGCGUAUUUUUUACCAGUUGGAGGAUAUCAAAUCCUAUGAGGAGAUAUUUGUCUGGUAAAUCUGAACUAACAAUUUUUUGCCAAAUGAUACAGUUUGGAAAGAACUGGAUACCAAUGGGUUUUUUGGUAAUGAGAGAGGUUUCAAAAAUUUUUCCAUUUGCAGCUCUGAAGUAUUCAGUAUGGUUUUCCCAAUAAUUUGGAGGAAGGAUUAUAGGAUUAAGCAUACUGCGUUAUGCCCCGGUAUCAAGGAAACCAAUGACUGAGACAGGUUUAUGGAAUUUAGAAGGGAUGACUGAAAUCUUUACCGAAGGACCAGUAAGUUUGGAACGAAUCUGGUUAAUUUCUUGAACAGUGGAGAUCACAAAAAUUUCAUCUGGUUUUUUUCUCCGAUUGUUCUGAGAAGAUGGAUUCAACAUCUUCAUUGUCAUAAAGUAUGGAAGAUUGCUGCAUGUGCUGAAUGAGACGAACAACUUUUGCUGACUUAUUUGGGCAAUUGCGGGCAAAAUGUCCGUGCUUUUUGCAAAUAAAACAGUGAUUGUAUUUCUUUUUUCUGAACUGGGAAGGAUCCUUUUUUCUGAAGUAUGGGUAAGGCUUCUUUGGUUUUUUGGAAGAAGAUUUGUGGAAAUGUUUUUGGAAGUGCCUCUUUUUGUUAGUUGGACAAGUGCAUUUUUUGUCAUCUUUGCACUGAAUUUUGAGGUAGGGUUUUUUACAAGCUGAGGCAAAGGGUUCUUUGUGUUCAAUAAGAUCUUUAAAGAAAUCUUUUUGCUCACAGAUCUUAUCAAGGCACAGCAUGGUUAAUUGAAAGAUUUUUCCAAGGGAGACAUUUGCUAUGUCGAGGUUAAAGGCUGUCAAUUGUCUUUGAAGCUCUGGCUGAAGCUCUGGUGGUAAAGAUACAGCAAAGACAUGCUUUAAAGAUGGAUCAUUGAAUCCAUUCAAUUUGUAAUAAAGCAUGCUCAUUGUUUUGUAAUGCAUUUCCAGGUGAUAUCGUUAAAGAGAACAACAUUUCAUAUGGUGGUAUUCUUUUCUAGAUGCUUCAGUUGAUACGGCGGGUUCUCCAAUAAACUGCUCAUAAAUGACUACAAGAGCUAUAGGGAUGGUGGUUUGAAUCAAUUGGAGUUGUCUGUAUUCCCCUAGACUUUCAAACCAAUCUCGUAAUGAUCCAGUGAAUCUGGAACAAAACUCACGGAGAACAUUCUGAGAUUGUGCAUGAGGUCUUGUCAUUUGCACAUCAAUCCAUGCAGCAAAUUCUUGAUGUCGGGCCUGCCAUUUGUGACAAGGGAUGUUAUCAAAUGGAAACCAUGGUGAAGAAGAUGGUUUGGAAGAAUUUUUAGAAACCGAAGGAAUUGGUGGAGCCGGUUCCGUUUGUGAGCCUUGGUCAUCAUUAUUAUCAUCAGAAGAUUCAUCAACAACAAGAGUAGAUGUACUAGGUUCUUCUAUUUUUGUGGCCAUUAGAAGACUAGAAAUUUCUGCAUAUUGAGACUUUGAGUCCGAAGAAGUUUGUUUAGAUGAGCUGAGAUUAUCUAUGGAGGGUAAACUUUCCUCUGAGGUUGAAUCUGAGCCACUGUUUUGGUGAUCAAUCUACUGAUAAUGGUAUUGGUAAGUUGGAGCCUUAUCUUUCUUCGGAGGUUCAGGAGUUGCUUUAGGAGAAUAUUCUAGAAUUUGAAGAUCAUCUUUGGGUGAAGGCUUUGGGAUUUUGACUUUUGAUUUGGGUUUUCUUGGUGAGGUUGGCUUUGUUGGUGGAAUUGAAGGAAUAUUUGGGUUUGUGGAAUGGAGAUGAGAAAGACCAAAGAGGUGGUCAUAAGUUGAUUGUUUAGGAGGAUUGUAAAAAGGUUGAUAUGAUAUGAAUAGUGGUGCUGGUAUAGGUAUGGAUUGUGUUUUGGUAAAAAGGGAAAGUUGUGCUUUGUCAGCAUCAAUUCUAGCCAAUUCUGCUUUCAACUGUCUUAUCCCUACCUCUUAUUGAAUUUUGGACCCCAAAUACGAUUGUUGAUCAUCGUUUUGAGAUCAAUAUCCAAUUUAGAGAUUCUGUUUUGCAGAUUUGAAUAAAUUUGUUCAAGCCGGGUAGUAAUUGUGUCCACCUUUAGUCCUGUUUGUGACACAUGUGAUGCUACUUUAUCAAUCUUUUUAUCAAGAUGCUGAAGUGCUUGGUUUUGAGCACUGGAAUUUUGGGUUUGCCAAUUUAGCACUGCCUCAUACUGCUUUGGUGCUUCUGGUGCUCCAGAAGUUAUGAUUGGUGAUUAGACAUAGGGUUGAGAAAUAACUUUGGUUUGUGGGUCUGUGUGUCUUUCGAGUGGAGGAAAGGAUUCUUGGUAUGAUUGGCUAGAAGAUGAAAACAUCAAGCAUGACUUGAUUUGCUGUUGGAUUGGGACAGGCUUAGAUGAGGACUCUCUUUUUAUUUGCCUGAGUGUUUUCUUGUAGAUUGGUAAAGGUUGAUCUGACUCUGGAUCAUCUGGUGGUCCUGGAGGAUAGGGCUGACACGGAGUUUUAAGAAUAUGAGGCUUUUUCUUUCUCCUUCUCCUUCUUCUCCUGUGUCAUCCAAGCAAGGACAAUCGGAAUUACACAUAUGGACUUCUGGAACAUCCCAUAUGAAAUGACCGUUGACUUUGUCAUGAUAUAUUGGAUACCUUUCUGAGGAAAAUCCAUAGAUUGGAAGAUUCGACUCUUAGCCAGUAGAAACUGUUGUAAUCAUAGCAGUAUAAGCUGUCCGUCUGAUCUUCUUUCGAAGACAGCUUGGGAAGUCUGGACAGGUUUUGAAUUCUAAUGGAAUUGCUCAUAGUUGGUAAGCCAUUCUAAAGGCAUGAGUUUGAGCAACUCUUGCUUUUGAAUUUGCUUGGGAAUUUGGAUUAUGGUUGGAAUUGUAUCUGUGUCUACAAGGAUCAUCAAUGCAUCACUGGUUGUUUGUGCAGUUGGGAGAUCUAGCGCAUGAUUUUGCAAUCAAUACACUAAUUGAUGAUGGAGUGUGGCUAUUUUAGAAGUGGAUGUUUGUUCUGCUCCUUGAAGUUGGAUUUGGACUUUCGGUGUUAUUGGGAGGUUGGGAUCUGCUAGAGACAUGUUGAAAUUUGGGUAAAAGGUUAACAAGACACUUCCAGCAUGGAGAGUGGUUAAAACGGUGCCAAUAACAGUAUGUUGAUACUGUUUGAACCUUGUGUCAAGGAGAGCAAUUUUGGCUGUGACGGGUAAGCCUUUUCUACCAUGUAAGGUGAGGAUAAGUCUAACACCACUUAGAUGGAGGUGUGUAUACCCUUCUCGUUUCCAGUUGGUUACGAGGUCUGUUGGUGUAUCCAUAGUGACAUAUUGUUCACUUUGAGAGGCUUGAAGAGCACACUGAUCAAGUCGUGAGGACUAGAUGUACUCUUUGGGAAGAGGUCUUUUUGUGGAAAUUAGAGUUCUAAUGCUUCUAGUGAAAGAAGCUUUUUGUUUGUAAAGGUGGUAUGGACUCAUAACAGGGAAGUGGGAUUCAUGAAUCUGAGCAGAUUCAGGAAUAUACGAGUAUUCAACAAGAUUUUCUAUUUUUGAGGCUACAUAUUUUUGACAAGAACGAGGUAGGGAAAGAGUAGAAGAGAGAGAAAUAGGAGAAGAUUUUGAUGAAUGGGAAAAUAUGGGAAAACAACGGAUCGUCAAUGCUCUAAGCACUCUAGAUCACAUCAUCUCUCCAUCAACACAAAAGUAAUCAACUUAUGAAUUCGUCGAAUUAAAGAAAAAUUUUAAAAAUAUAAAUACAAAGUUGAACAUGUUGAGAUUCCAUACAAUAUCUAAUACAGGGAACAAAAAUUGAUAAAAACUUGUAUAAACAUUAUGUAGCACCAAGAGACUCAAAUGUUAGGAUCAAACCAAUAGAGAAAACAAUGACAAUGAUCAUGAUCGAGAGAUGAAGUAUUAAUUGAAGGAUUACAUAUUAAAGAAAAAAGUUGAAAAGUUACAUGAAAAAGGGCAAUGACAUUUAAACUGCAAAUAACGAUUAUCCUACUGGAAUAUAACUGGAAAAUGGGUUGGGCCCAAGCCCUCAAAGCCCUGCUCAGGUUGGCGAGCUUUGCUUAAGCUUGCCAUUGGCCUGUGCCAGGCCACCAAAGCAUGAUUUGAGGGGAAAAAAUCUUUUCACCAUAAGAACACCGACAAUAGAUGACAUAUACUUUAUGACAGAUUAUGAGAAAAAUGACAUAGGUCAUAAAAGCAUGAUAGAACCAUAAUAGAUUUUGUGUUUAUCAAGUAUUCAUGACAGACUCAUGAUAGAAAUAAACUAUGUCAAGGAUAUAUGAUGACUUUGUGAUAGAAUAUAUUAUGUCAAUGAUUUAUGAUAGAAUUUUAAUGUUGACUUGAUUUUGACUAAAAUUUUGGGUAUUAUUUAAAUUGAAAUAUUAUUUGUAGCAAGCGGCUAUCCGGAUCCUGACAAACAGUAGACCGGAUUUGAGCAGUAAGCUUCUGGAAUGGAAACGGCUAUCCGAAUUUCAUAAGCGGCAUAUCAGAUGUUCAAAAAUUCAAAUUUUGGCUGUAACGGUAACAUUAAGCGGCUAACCGGAUGUUCAUAAAUGGUAAGCUGGUUAUCACCAAAAUGUGCAUAACGGCUAGUUUUUGAGCUCAAACUAUAAGAACUCAAAUCCAAUUCAUUUUCAAGCUCUCUAGCAAGCAAAAACAAAAAGCACACAUCAUAUCUUGAGCUCUCAAUUCGCAAAUCCUUAUUCAUUGAAUCAUCUUUGUUUUUCAAUUUGUUCAUCUACUCUUUAAGAGAGUUUAUUUUGUUGUAAUUUUCAUUUCUUCAUCUUAAUUGUAAGUGUUUGAAUGUGUGAGACAGUAAAGGUUCAUUGACACCUUGAAGUCAAUUGUAAACAUUUGAAGCCUUGGAAGGCUUAGAUAGUGAAAUCCUCAAGCUUGGAUCGUUUGGAGGCGUGGACGUAGGCGGGGAUUGCCGAACCACGUAAACAUUCGUGUGCUUGUUUCUCUUCUCUCUUACUUAUUUGUUAUUGUGCUGUUAUUAAACUUAUUGUUUUCGAAUUUAUUAAGGCAUUAGAUUGGAUUGUUGUGUGGUUUUGUUAGGAUAAUUUUUAAAAUACCAAUUCACCCCCCUCUUAGGUUGCACACUUGUAUUUUAGCUUGCUGCCGCCAUGCCAACGAACCUUGUUGAUAGUAAAUAGACUUCUAAUUUUUAAGAUAGAGAGCCAAGCAAGGGAGAUGAGAAGGUUGCAUUUGCUUUGGUCAAAUAUUUGCAAAGAAAUCCUAGUGGGCUUCAAUGUAUUGGCUGCCCGUCAGGUUCGUUUGCUUUUGCUUGUUUGAUUAGUUUUUGCUAUUUUUAUUUUUAUUCUAAAAUGUAAGGAAAAUAAUUAGUAGAUUUCUAAAAUUAAUUAGCUUUAAAAUUGGAAUCAAUGCAACUAUAAUUAAUUGAUUAAUUUUUGCAGGUCUUUUCUGAUUUGAUUGAAAAGGCACGAUGGUGACUGUUGGAUUAUGAGUUGUUGGGUUAACUCAAUGAGAAUGUAGUUAACUAUUCUUGUAAAGGUCUAUAAUCUGUAAGAGGAAUAUAGCUAUGAGUUUUCUUAGAAAAUGAUGAAUUUUAUUCUUUUUGUUUCUUGUUAUUAACUUUUAUUAGUUGUAAGAGAUGCUUGUAUUGUAUACGCCUAUGAUGUGUAAAUCUAAUAAAGUAUAGUUAUGCUUGAUGAUAGUAAUACAACCUUUACUAAUGGUUCUUUUUACUUAGGGACGCUUAUGGAUUAUGUGUCAUUAGCACUAUCUAGGGACUAUUUUUUUUACUAGGUAGUAAUAAUUUACUGUUAUUUGUGAUUUUACAUUUAGAUUUUAACUCUUCAGCAUUUUUUAUAGUUUCCGUGGAAUAUGAUCUUUUUGGUAAUUAAUGGAAUCAACCAAGGUUUAUUCUGUGGUGUGUCUCUGUUUCAUCUUCGUAAUCUUCAAUUUCAUCCUUUUGGCCCUUAUUUGUAGUUUGAAGUUAUUCUUUUAUCUUAAAAAAAUUCAUUAGGUUCUACUUGGGUGUUGUUGUUGGUGCAAGAAAGGCAUUAACUUGUGGUUCCCUUUCUCUGUCAAUAUCUCUAAAUUAAUGGGUUGAUCUCUAUGCCGAAUGGAAGUAGUUAUAUUUUGAUCAAUCAUCAACAAGUAAUUAUUGGUUUUUGUCUAUUAUAGGAAGAAAGAUGAAAGCCAUGAGAGUGAAUUCAAGGAUACAAUCAAUGUCCUUUUACCUUUGACAAAUGCUGCUAUUAUAGAUAUUGAAAGGGAAUUUCCAAGUAGUUGCUUGCUCAUUAUAUAAAUCCUCACAUCUCCAUUAACCAACAAGGUCUGCCCUUCAAAAGGGACUAUAUCUUCUUUUACUUGUUCUCAGGGUGCAACUCGUUGUAUGACAACAAAAAAGAAGAGUAUGAUGGAGAUUGAGUCAGUUAAAGCUGCAGGCAAAUCUAAUAUUGGCCGUGUCAAGAGGUACUUUAGACUAGAGGUAAAUAAAAUUCUGCAGCCUUAUAUUGUGAUUUUACAUUCAGAUUUUAACUCUUCAGCAUUUUUUUAUAGUUUUUGUGGAAUAUAAUCUUUUUGGUAAUUAAUGGAAUCAACCAAGGUUUAUUUUGUGGUCGUUACAUGUUUGUUGUUUCCAUAUGCUUGUGUCUUUGUUUCAUCUUCGUAAUCUUCAAUUUCAUCCUUUUGGCCCUUAUUUGUAGUGUGAAGUUAUUCUUAUAUCUUAAAAAAAUUCAUUAGGUUUACUCGGGUGUUAUUGUUGGUGCAAGAAAGGCAUUAACUUGUGGUUCCCUUUCUCUGUCAAUAUCUCUAAAUUAAUGGGUUGAUCUCUAUGCCGAAUGGAAGUAGUUAUAUUUUCAUUAAUCAUCAACAAGUGAUUAUUGGUUUUUGUCUAUUAUAGGAAGAAAGAUGAAAGCCAUGAGAGUGAAUUCAAGGAUGCAAUCAAUGUCUUUUUACCUUUGACAAAUGCUAUUAUAGAUAUUGAAAGGGAAUUUCCAAGUAGUUGCUUGCUCCGUAUAUAAAUCCUCACAUCUCUAUUAACCAACAAGGUUUGUCCUUCAAAAGGAACUAUAUUUUCUUUUACUUGUUCUUAGGGUGCAACUCGUUGUAUGACAACACAAAAGAAGAGUAUGAUGGAGAUUGAGUCAGUUGAAGUUGCAGGCAAAUCUGAUAUUGGCUGUGUCAAGAAGUACUUUAGACUAAAGGUAAAUAAAAUUUCUGCAGCCUUAUAUUUAGUAAUAUGCUAGCUCUAAGCUUCAAGCCUUUUAUUAUUUGGUCUAUGCUCUCUCUUUCACCUUUGUCUUUCUUGUCAGACAUUAAUAUUUUAAUAUUUAUUUAUUUUCCAUAUGAAUUAAAGUAGCUUUAGCUUUAACUUUAUUAGCUACAAGCCUGCUUUAGGCUGUAUAACCUUUUGAAAAUAACAAGCAUAUUUAGUAAGGCAUCCAUGCCUCUAAUUAGCUUUCUAGUCUUUCAAUAAAUUUUAAAUUUCUCAAAACUAAAUGGAACAUGUGACCUUUCGUUUGUUUGAGUUUCUCUUAACAAACUUACUUUCUUUUUGAAAAAUUGCAUGUUAAAAUGAAAUUUAAUAAAUUAUAUAUAAAUUGAUAAUGCGCAUGAAUUCUUAGCAUGGAAAAUUUUUGCUCUGUUCUUAUGUGGGUUUGUCGCUCCAAUCAUUGCCUACAUCAUCUAUAAAUGCUAAAUUGUUGUACAUGUUAUGUGCCAUGUCCCCCGAAUCGUCCCAACUGCAUUUGCUUUAAAGAGGUCACUUGUCAAGACUAUGGCAAAUGUAUGGGACUUUCAUACCUGCACAAUGCAUGCUCCUGUUUCAAGUCUGGGCAUAAUUGUACAAAGGUGAAUUUUUGUUCUAAUUUAGCAAAAUGAUGCAAUAAUACUUGUCGUCUAUAAUUACCUAGAACUCAUUCUAUCUAGCUUACAUCUAGAUUAUAUAAACAGAUUAUCCUCUGUGACAAAUUUCAAUAAAGUGCCCAUACCAAGAUGAUAAAAACUUCUCAUUGACUUAGCCUUAUUUAUAUUACGAGUUAGCUUUAUUUAUAUUAUGUUGUUAAACUUGUUUCUUUAUAACAUGCACAAUUGGUUGUGACAAAAGUUUAAUCAAUGUUGAACCUUGGUGUGGCUUCCAUAUAUUGGAUUCAUAGAAUAAUUUGUUCAUCCUCUCAAAAUAGGUUGUGUAUCUUAAUUUCAUUUGGAUGAAAUAUCCUGGCAUGGUGGCAUUAAAGACUAUUAGGGUGCUAUAGUUUGGUUAUGUGUGCUAUGUUUGUUUUCAGGUACUAUCCAUUUGGAUUUUGUUGCUGAAUGAGGAUUUUAGUUGUGGUUUUGGUGGACUUUGAUUUUUGGUACAAGUUUUUUGCAGCUAGUAAUAUUGUAGUUUAUUUUAGGAUCGAUGUAUUUUGAAAAUAUUUCAACGAUAUAGUUUGUAUAUGGUAUUUUAGUUUUAAUAUAUAUUAAAUUUUCUGAAAACAAAUGUGUAGAAUUUGUAAAUUUGAAGAACUAAUAAUAAUAAUAAUAAUGCAAUUCAAAUAUGAAUAACAAAAAUUCAAAAUAAUAAUAAUAAUAAUGAUGAUGAUGCAAUUUAAGAAAGAAUGAUCUAAAAUAAAAUAAUAAUAAUAUAUUUUUGAUUGAAUAUAAUAAUAUUUUUAAAUAUUAUUAAUUGAAAUAAUAACCAUUUUCCCACUAAAAAAAUUACAAAAAUGCCAAAAAUUCAAAUAAUUUUGAGAUUCCCACUAAAAUGUGGUGUGACAUACAAAUGACUAUUAAAAACUAUCAUAAAUUUAUGACCGAUAAAAUUUCUGUCAUAAAUUAAUGACAGUGACAUAGAUGACGGAUAGAUUGUCUGUCAUGCACCCAUUUUUAUGACAAUUAUUUUCCGUCAUCUAUUAUCUGUUUUCUUAUAGUGUUUAUUUUUUAAAUUGAUUGUUGACUACAAAAUUUUUAAUUCCACCAUUCCAUUCUUUCAAGCCUUAUAAGUGGCUUAUUUGAGAUUCAGUUCAUGAACCUUUUAUGUAUGCAAUUAGCCUUCGAUUUAAGAAGAUGUUAAGGAUCUUGACAAUUUGUGCUGACUGAUCAUCAAUUAACCAUACACAAUUCAGAGGAAGGGGAAUAAUGGCAUAUCCACUUGUGGAUUUAGUAAUAACAAUUAAUACAUUCAUGGCAAAGAAAGCAAGAAAAUAAAAAAGAAUUUUUAAAAAUACAUACUCUCCAAUCAUACACGAAGAAGUCAUGGACAUGUUCAACUAAAACAUAAAACUAAAAAGAAAAAGAAAAAACUAAGAACUAAAAUCCAAAAAAAUAUAUAUAUAUACCAUGAUCACACAUGAUAAUCUGUUAACACUGAUAUGAAUAGGUAUAUGAUCAGACAUUUUAGUCAACCAUUGAAUAAAGAGAGAGAGAGAGAGCAUAGCAACUUACCUAAAUAGCAACUGGUGGUGGAGACUAGAGACAAUGGCACAAUGGACCAAUGAUUGUCGCAAACAGCAAGUGAGCACAGAAACAAAAGCAAUCGUUGUUCACGUGUGCGUUGUAGAAGAGUUAGUUUUGCACUGUACAAGCCGAAGCAUGAAACAAGGUUAAAUAUGGGUUAGGGGUUUCUAAUCUUAUAUUUAUCCACACUAAUGGUUAGUUAAGAAUUAAAUGGCAUAAUAAUUAACUGGCAAAAGAAACUCAAAAUACAAAUAUAUAACACACACGUGAACAAUGAUUGCUUUUGUUUCUGUGAUUUAGAAAACAUGAAAGUUUCAAGGAUGGGUAUGGCUCUGCAUCUUUUUGGCUCUAGCUCUUGUAAUUGGGCCUCCAUGAAUGUGCAAAUCAUCACUUGAAGCUUUAAUGGUAUUCCCUUGAUGGUUCUCAUCAAGUUUUGCUAGGGAAUUAUUUCCCUAGGCCUAAGAGAAAUUGCUUUUGCUAGGGAAAUUAUUUUCUUGAGUUUAUAGCAAAUUAUUCUUACUGGGGAUUUACUUCCCUAUGCUUACAGGGAAUAAUUUUUGUUGGGGAAUUAUUCUUAUUAGGGAAUUCUUUAGCUUAUAGGGAAUUAUUCGCACUAGGGGAUUAUUUCCCAAAGGUUAUAAGGAAUUACUCUUGUUGACGAAUUAUUUUUCUUAAACUUGUAUGGGAUAAUUUGUGUUGAGGUAUUAUUUUCCUUUAGCUUAUACGGAAUAAUUCGUGCAAGAAAUUAUUUUUCUUAAGCUUGUGUGGGAUAAUUUGUGUUGAGGUAUUAUUUUCCUUUAGCUUAUACAGAAUAAUUCAUGCAAGAAAUUAUUUUUCUUAAGCUUGUAUGGAAUAAUUUGUGCUAAGGAAUUAUUUUCCUUUAGCUUAUACAGAGUAAUUUCUGCUAGGAAAUUAUUUCCUUAAGUGUUAUAGAAUAGUUUUUGCUGAGGAAUUGUUUUUCUUUAACCUGUAGGGAAUAAUUAGUGCUGGGGAUUUAUUUUCCUUUAGCUUAUACGAAAUUAUUUUUGCCGAAGAAUUGUUUCUUUUAACUUGUAUGGAGUAAUUUUUGCUGGGGAAUUAUUCUCUUUUAGCUUGUACGAAACAAUUCCUGCAGGGGAACUAGAGAAUUAUUUCCCUUUUAAUUUAUAGGGAACUAUUAUUUUGAUAAAACAGUAAUGCAUUCGAAAAUAUAGAUGACUUGCUGAAGAAAAUCUGUCAUUGAUGAUCCCAGCAGAAAACUCAGAAUGGCAUUAAUAUCAGCAUAGCCUUCAGGGAAAUAAAAUAUUCACUAAAAUAAAAGACAAAAAACUAGCAAAACUGGGAGUAAGAAUUAAGAGAUGCAAGUAAAAUACCAGGCAAAUUUCUUUCCUAAGUGUAGAACUUCUUCAAGUGAAUAAUAUUCCAGGCAAUGGGGACCUUUUUCCCAUCAAGUGUUUGAAGCUUGCAGGCUCCUUGCCAAGCGCCUUCCCAAUCAGGUACAAUCGUUCCCACUUUUCCAUCAUUUUUCUAUCAUUGGUUUCCUUCCUAACAUCCAUUGCUACUUUGAGGACGACUUCUCCUUUCCUGAAUUUGUUGAACUUAACAUGCUUGCUAUAUAGCAUUUUCAUUUAUUGUUUAUAAGCAACCAUGCGUACUACAGCCAUGUCUCAAGCUUUGUCAACUAAAUAAUUGUCCGGUGCUAAGCUAAGUGAGUUUAAAUCGCAGGGUUGGGAAGGUAGCUUUUAUUAGGAGUAUAGCUUCUACGCCGUAUACAAAGGAACAAGGACAGUUCGCUGUUGGUUGCCUUUCCAAUGUUUUAUAAGUUUACUGGUCCACCAUCGCCCCUUUUGACCUUCCAGCUUCUUUUUCAGGUUGUUGAAAAUGGUUCAGUUGGUUAUUUAUGUCCAUUCUCCUAUGGAUAGCUGUGAGAUGAGAACAUGUGCUCUAUUCCUUACUCUUGAAAAAAAAUUUCCAUAUUAGUAAUUUGGAAUUGCUUUCCAUUAUCUAAAACCAUGAUCUAUAGAAGGCCAAAUCUAAUGAUGAUAUUGGCUUUAAGGAAUUUGAUGCUUCAUUCCUUGUGAUACUUGAGUAUGCUAAAGGUUUAACCCACUCAGUAAAAUAAUUAGUUGAUAGAAGUACGAAUCAUACUCCUCCUAAGGCAGGUGGUAGCGGGCCUACAAUAUCCACUCCCCACUAUAAAAAAGGCCAAGGACUUGUCAUUAAGUUGAGGAAUUUAGAUGGGUGGUGGAUUAACGAACCAUGAUUUUUGUAUCUCUUGCAUUUGCUAACAAAUUCCUUGGUAUCGUUCUUCAGCGUUGGCCAAUAAUAGCCUUCUUUUGUAACUUUUUAUUGCAAUGCUCUCCCCUCAUAGUGCUUUCCGACUUGCCCUUCAUGGAUUUCAGAUAAGAUUUCCCUUUUUUUUUUUUGCUUAGUUAAACAUAAGAGCAAGGGUCUAAUGAAGGAUUUUCGAUAGAGUUCAUCAUCAAAGAUUUGGAAGCAACUUGCUUUCAUUCAGAGCUUUUGUGCCUCAUUUUUAACCUCUAGAAUUUUUCUGUCCUUGAUGUAGGAUAUUGUAAUACCCCACACCCUUAUAAAUAGAGAGAGAGUGGGAGAAAAAGGAAAAGAGAGAAGAGGAGAGAGAGAGGAGAAACCGAAUCGGGUCAACCCGACCCAAGAACAUGACCCGGCCAGAUCUCCCAUUUCCGGCCACCACUCCAGCCAAGGUUGGUACCAAUCAGAAGCUCUUGAGCUACUGGUCAUCUUCAUGCCAUCCUUGCCAUCGAAAAACGUCUGGAAAGCCACCGAUCAAAGUCGUGAAAAGUUGCGAAAUCGUUGUCUCGAUUGGCCACGAUUUCACUAGUUUUUGGUGACGCCACCACUUGGGUUUUGUUGCUCACCUUCCCCUUUGCCAUUUCCGACCAACCACAGCCACCGGGGGAGUCGAUUUGCCGUUGCUGGGCGGUUGAAGAAUUCAUGACUGUGGGAGCUCGAUCUAGCGCCAUCGUCGCACGUGGGAGGUCACCACCGCCACCAUUAGACUCAGCAUGGUUUAAACUUUCAUUAUUGAGCUUACUGUCACUAACGAUUGAAUUUUGGUGGCCGUUGACCAGCAAGGGCAUUUCAAUAAUUUCACACUCUGAGGGCAAUUUUGUAAUUUCAGAUUUUAUGGGUAUUUUAGUAAUUGCUGAAAUUGAGGAUAAGUUGGUAAUUUAUAUUUUGAGGUUAAUUUGGUAAAUUAUGAUUUUAUGGGUAUUUUGGUAAUUUUGGAAUUUGAGAAUUUGUGGAUGUUUUGGUAAUUUCUGAAAUUGAGGAUAUUUAGUAAUUUAUGAUUUCGGGAUUUCGAGGUUAAUUAUGUAAUUUAGGAUUUCGAGGAUAAUUUGGUAAAUGAUGAUUUCGAGAGUAUUUUGGUGAUUUGUGAUUUAAAUUGAGAUUAUUCGAGGUUAAGUAUGGAAUGUGGUUAUAUUGAGAAAUUUGAGAACAUUGGAGUUUAUGAUUAUAAUUUAAUUUUAUUCUUAUGAGAGUAUUUUUAUCGAUUUUAGGUUGAUGAUAUCGAUACGCAUUUGGUACUCAAGGAUGCUAGGAGGUAAGUAAACUAGAUUUCCAAACCAAUCACAAUAAACAAUAUGUAUAUGUUUGAUAUGUUUGAAAAGCCUAUUUUGAUAUAUACGAAUAUGAAUUUAUAUGCUCUGCCCAUGUGUUUAUGUGACAAGAGUGCUUUCUUAAAUGAUUAUAUUUUGGAGGAAGUUUAUGUGAAACAACCUCCUGGUUUUGAAAAUGAAAAAUUUUCAAAUCAUGUGUAUAAGUUGUCUAAGGCAUUAUAUGGAUUAAAACAAGCACCUAGAGCAUGGUAUGAUAGGCUUAAAAACUUCUUGUUAGAUAACGAUUUUUUGAUGGGAAAAGCAGACACAACUCUCUUUGUUAAGUGUAAGAACCAAGAUAUAGUUAUUGUUCAAAUUUAUGUUGAUGACAUUAUCUUUGGUUCUACUAAUGAAUUGUUGUGUAAAAAAUUUUCAUCGUAUAUGAGCAAAGAAUUUGAGAUGAGUAUGAUGGGAGAGUUGAGUACUUCCUUGGACUCCAAAUCAAACAAAAUGUGGAAUGAAUUUUCAUAAAUCAAGCCAAAUACGUGAAAGAUCUACUCAAAAGAUUUGGCUAUGAUAAUGGAAUCUCUUAAUCUCAUGGCUUCAUCAUCAUCUACUCCUGCAUCUUCAUCUUUUCCAGUUACUCUUUCUUCUACUCUUUCUCUUCCUAAAUCAUGUACUAAGCAAACAGCCAGUAAAAUAGAGAAUCUUGUUGAAUACUCCUAUGUUCCUGAAUCUAUUCAAAUCAAUGAAUCUUCUUUACCUCUUAUCAGUCCAUAUCACUUGUAUAAAAAAACCUUCUUUCACCAGAAGUAUCAAAACCCUGAUUUCCACCAAACGACCUCAUCCUAAAGAGUACAUCCAAUCGUCUUAACUUGAUCAGUGUGCUUUGCAAGCUACUACAGCUAAACAAUAUGUCACUCUUGAGAUACCCUCAGAAUUGAUCUCUACGUGGAAACGUAAAGGCUAUACACAUCUUCACCUUGGAGGUGUUUGCCUUAUUCUCACUCUUCAUGGAAGAAAAGGCUUACUUGUUAUGGCCAAAAUUGCUUUUCUUAACACCAGGUUUAAACAAUAUCAGCAUGCCAUCAUUGGCACAUUUCUCACUACCCUCCAUGCCGGAAGUGCUUUGCUUACCUUUUAUCCCAAUUUUAACCUUUCACUUCUUGAUUCCAAUCUUGCCACCACCUAAAAGUCCAGAUCCACCUUCAAGGAGCUGAACAAAUCACCUCAGCUAAAAUAGCUACCCUGCACCAUCAGCUUGUUUACAGGCUGCAAAAUCAUGCUUUGGACUUGCCAACUCCACAAACUGCCAAUUCAGAAGCUCUUAUGAUUCUUGCAGAAUCUGAAGAGAUCCCAACCAUUAUUCAAAUACCACGGUAGAUUACCCGACAAUAAUUGAUCAAACUCAUGCCUUUGGAAUGGUUGUCCAAUUAUGAACAAUUUCAUCAACAUUCUGAACCCACUGCCAAGUUCGUCCUCAGAAUCGCCCAGAUUAUCUUUUACCUAUUCUUCAAUGAUCACUUCUGUCCACACAGAACAAGAAAACCUACCAAUUCAAGCCUUUAAUGAUCAAGGUUUUCCCAUAUACCCAGCAAAACUUCACGGACGUUUCUUAUGGGAUGUCCCAGUCUUUGGCAACUGUGAUGCCGGAUGCCCUUGUUGGGAAGAUAUUAAAGAAGAUGAUGACGAACCCAAAAGACGCAAGCGCGUCUAAAAAGAUUGUUUACCCAGCUUGCUAAUACCAUGCUGCUCAUUCUAAAGAUCCACCUGAGCCUGAUUCUCAAGCACCUUUACCCAUCUAUGACAAAGGCCUUGCCUGGAUCCAAAAACAUGAACCCGCGUUGCUCAAUUGCAGAAUGCAAUCAACCCAUGAGACCACCCAUGUUAAUCCCACUCCUCACAUACAGUUUUGUAUGAUGUUUUUCCCAUCAACAUCUACAGAAUACCAAGCCUAGUUCCCACCUUUGGAAAAACAAACUGACCAACAAAAGAGUUUUGUCUCCAAACCAUUUGUCCCAUCUGCAGUAACCCCUGCUGGCCAUUUAGAAGAACCUCAUUCUUUUGAAGCAAUAUUAAACUGGUAAACUCAAAAUAAUAUUAGAUAGAACCAAGCAAUCACUACCUUGCAUCAUAAAGUAGACAACAUUACUCACAAAACCAAUCAGGUUGAGAAAAAAGUUGAUACCAUCUCAGAUAAGUUAAAUCAAAUUUAUCAAAAUCUUCAUGACAGAGUUACUCAACUUGACUCUGAACUUCGGGCUAUGCUUGCUCAACGAGUCUAUAGUCCUGAUUUUGAUAAAUAAAUAAAAAGCUGAGAUAAGAGCUUUGAAAGCUAAAAUUGCCAGAAUUGAUUCAGAAAAAGUCCAGCCUACCCUUUUUACGAGUUCUGCUCCUUUACUAGUAAUAAAUCCUACCUAUCAUCAUUUCCUACCAUCAACUUCUUCCCGAGCAUAUGAUCCUUCUAAACUUUUUGGUAUGACCCAUACUCUAUUUCCUCCACAUCCACAACCAUAGUCAAAACCAAAGAAAACCCCAAAACCAGUUCUAGUUCAAAAAUCCAUUCCUCAACAAAAUCAUCAAACAUCUCGAUUUGAUCCAUCACCCUCUCCAUCACCAACUUCUUUACCUGAAUCUACUCAACCACCUCCAAUUCAACCUUCUGUUUCUCUAGAAAAACAACCCAUGUACCAAUAUUCUGCUCACCAAAUUUCCCAUUCUCCAUCUCCAGAUUCUUCUACUGAAAAUUCCCCUUCACAAUCAGAUUCAUCAUCCAUUGAGUCAUCUGAUUUGUAUGACUCAGACACUUCUGAUUCAAAUCUAGCUGAUAUUUCCAAACUCCUCAUGGCAGAACCUACUGAACAGUCUGGUGCCACUGACACUGGCCCACGCACUGAAACUGUUGAUACUAAUGAAGAAAAUCACGAAAUUGGUGAAUCUUCUCAGUUCAUUCCCCCUCAGCCAAAAGUCUCCAAACCUUCAAAUGGACCAUGGUUUACUUUUGAUGAUAUCCUUCCAACAAAAUGGAGAAAAAGAUUACAAGAGUUGUCUGCUUGGAUUGAUCUCCAAAUGUUAACUCCAGAUGCAACAACCCAAUCUGUUAUACGAGAAUUCAGUACUCGGUUUACGUGUUCUCUUCGAGAUUGGUUUGACAGUCUUGGCCAAUAUAGAUAACUUCAGUUCAUUUAGAUUCCCGAUGUCUCUCAGGCUUUAGCCCUUCUCCAUGAUCAAUUUAUUGGAGAACCAAGUACUACUUUUGAAGCUGUAAGACGUGAUUAUCUCAACAUGAAAUGUUGUUCUCUCAACACCAAAGACCUUCAUUACCACUACAAGCAGAUGUCUUUGCUUUAUUAUAAGCUAAAUGGAUUCAACGAUGCUACACUCAGACAUGUAUUUCUGGCGUUUCUUCCAGAAGAAUUACAACCUGAAAUCCAGUGUCAGUUAGCUGCUUACAAGCUCAGCAUUGACACUUUAUCAUUGGGGAAAUUAUUCCAGAUUGCUAUGGGAUGUCUUGACAAAUUGUGUGAACAAAAAAAUUCUUCCAGGAACUUAUCAAAGACAACGAGCCUUUCAAAUUUGCUUGCAAAAAGCCUUACUUUGCUAUCAAGUGCAAAGAUCCAAAAAAGUGUGACUGUUCAAUAAAGAAAAAGUCUCAUUUUUGAAAAUUCAGAUCCUCAUUUCCAUCCUGGAAACGACAUACUAAACAAUUUCAUUUUUUCAGGAAAAGGCAAUCCCGCUCCAAGGAUUUUCCUAACAGGAAGAACAGCAGAUGUUUCAUUUGCAAAAAAAAAGGUCAUUUUGCCAAAGACUGCCCUGUCAAACCUCAUAAGGCAGUAAAGCUUAUCCAACACCUGGAAUGAACUACAAAAUUUUCCCCAACCACAGACCAAGUUGAACACUUGUUUUCUAAACAAGAAGAGCCAAAUGAUGAUACAGUUUUUGCUUUACCAACAGAAUCCAAUGAUUCAGACAGUUCUGAAUUUGAACCAAUUUACACAGUCCAACCUUCUUCCAUCCUAAUCCAUGACCAUUCCAUACCCAUACCAUCUGUCAAAAUCCAAAUUGUCCCUUCCAGAUAUCAUAAACCCAUUACAACCAUUGGUUUUCUCGAUACUGGUGCUCAGCGAAGCAUGCUUAAUCCUGCUAUUCUUCCUAUUGAGUAUUGGAAAACUUAGGAGGAACACUUCAAAGCAGCUGAUGGAAAAAUCUUUACAACUAAAUUAGUUACUAAACAUCCAAUAGGAAUUCAGUUAUUUUCUAAUUGUGCUGUUUGGAUAAAACUAAUUGGUUCAUCCUUGCCAAACAAAGAUCUCCUUGUAGGUUUUGACAUCCUACAUCAAGCAAAAAAUGUCUAGAUUGCUUCCUCUGGUCUCCGUUACAAAUCCAUGAUUAAACCUUUCACUAGCACUCUAAAGAUCUAUUCUUUAGCAAAUUCACCACCCACAUACCAGGCCAUUACAGAUCAAAUCCUCAAAUUUUGCCCUGAAAACCAUAACCUUUUUACCCAUCUAAACCUGUUGUGGAAAAACCCAAAAUUCUUCAUAUCCUUACCUUUCAAGCUAAAUGAAGACAGCAACCCAACCAAAGCUACCCAUACAGAAAUGACCCCACAAGACCUUAUCCUAGCCCAACAAGAAUGUGCCCAAUUGCUAAAACAAGGUCUCAUUGAGCCCACAAGUUCUCAAUGGGCUUGCCAAGCCUUUUAUGUUGAAAAAAGGUCUGAAAUUCUUCAUGGCAAAAAAUGAUUGGUCAUUGACUAUCAGCCACUCAACAAUUUUCUCCAAGAUCAGAAAUUUCCAUUACCCAAUAGACACACCCUUUUUGUCCACCUCAAAAAUGCUCAAAUCUUUUCAAAAUUUGACUUAAAGUCAGGUUUUUGGCAAGUUAGCAUUCAUCCCUCUGAAUGAUGCAAAACUGCUUUUUGUAUUCUAAAUGCCCAUUACCAAUGGACAGUCCUUCCUUUUAGCCUCAAAACUGCCCCUUCUAUUUUCCAAAAGGCCAUGACCACCAUCUUUCAACCCAUUCUCCACCAUACUCUUGUUUACAUUGACGAUUUGCUUCUUUCUUCAGGUACUCAUGAUGAACAUCACAAGCUACUCCAACAGUUUUUUCAGAUCAUUCAAGAACAUGGAAUCAUGAUCUCUGACAAGAAAAGUACGAUUGCGACACUAAGUGUGUGGCGUUGUUAUACCAGAGCAAUGAUAGCAGAGUUAUCCUUUGGACUAGUAGUCCGCAUGCUCGGGUUUCCAGCCGAUAUACUUGGUGCACGAGAAUGACGUGGUUACAAGAUACCAGACAUUCUGUUUUCUUAUAAUGAACUAAGCGUAUAAACAACCCUAAGAGACACAGACUCUUCUUGGUCACUUAGUCUAAAAACAGGGUUCCAUCUAUUGACUUAGAACAAAGGAAGAAUGGUAGCCUGACUAGCUUUCUAGUGCACAGGAUCCUCUUUCAAGGCAAGUGCAGAGCAUACUCGCAGAAGAUGGAUAUUGAACAAGGGUAAGAGUUCUAAACUUAGAGAAUCUUAGGAUUAAAGAAUAGAAAUGAAGGUUUUAGUUAUCCAUGGAAAUUCAAAAAUGUUAUGUAAAACUUCUCCUCCCUUUUAUUCAAAAUGACUCUCUUUAUAUAAAGAUAAGGAGGGGAAAAGACAAAAGUUGGAUUGAGAUGAUUCCAACUGGCACAUAGCACACAUAUGUUACAAAAGUAGGUAGGGCUCAAUGGAACAGUAGUGGCUGACAAAAGCAAAGUGCAUAAUUACAUAAGGACAAACAACUUCAAAAAGCUCAAGCAUAAAGCACUUUAUUUUACAUUAUUACAAAGUGACAAAUUUCUUUAAAGAGAUAUUGACGCGUCUUCAGAGGAGGAAUCUGUCUCAUCAGGGUCACGAUCAGGGUCUUUGCUUUUCUUGAAAUUUUUUCUGGAUGAGAACAUCCCGGAACACAUGGCCAAGGGCAAUAUUAACCUUUUGGUGAUGGAGGAGCUGGCUGAGGAAAAUGAUCAGGCUAUGAGGAAAAUGAUCUGGGGAAUUCAUAUGGUGAUGGUGAAGGUACAGGGGUAAAAUCUUCAUAAGGAUCUUGGGAAUCUUGGAAUAAAAAGUCAGUGUAGUCUGGCUUUUCUUCUUUUAUGAUGAUUCCUAGGUUAAGUGGCUGAGAAUGUAAGGAUGGUGUGGGAAUCAUGAACAUUUCAUAUUUUGGUCCAAGAGAUGUGUGGAGGAUUUCUGGUUGGUCUGGAGGAAUAUGGUUAAGUUCCAUGAGGAAGUUUUUCAAGGAGGUUUUGAUAUGGAAAUCUUGUUCAAGACAGGCAAUGUGAGGAACCAUGAUCCAUUCAUAACUUUGAUUCUGUGUCCAAAAAUCUCUAGUUUGAUGAUGCUGGAAGCAUGGACGGUGGAUAAUAAAAACAACAGUGAACUGUUUUCCUUCUUGAUCUGGGAGUUCUAGAAGAUGAUGUGUGUCAGCAAUCUGUUGUAGCUUCCUACGCCACGAUGGUAAUGGCGAAAACCAUUCAAACAGAGUCCAGGUGAGGGAGGUGGAAGACUUUGGAUCAUUGAGCUUAGUGAGAAGGGGUAAGACUGGGAAAACCAUUUUUGUGGCAUAUAGAACAGUAAGACACCAGACAUACCAAAGUUCAUCUUCAGUAAUGUCUCGAUUGGGUGUGAUUACUAAUCUUGUGAGGAAAAUGUGAUCAGGAUGAAAACUGGGAAAAAACAUAGGUUCUUUACUUGACAUGUAGAUGUUCAUAAAAAACCUAAAAAGGAAUUUUCUGGCAAAGUCUUGGAUCCCAUGAGGUGACUGAAAAGUCAUGUUGAGUGGGAAAGACUUCUGGGUGAGUGCUAUUUUAGGGAGUGAACUAGCCAUGGCAAUGAUUGAGAAGGAAAUCUGAGAAGUGAUACAGAAAAACUAGGGAGGUUUUGGUUUUGGAGGCCUGGAUAGUAAGUCUGGAAUGAGGUUGUGAUCUCCUUUUAUAUGCUGGACAUGGUAGUCAUAUCUUGAGAACUAUUCUUUAAGUCGAAGUAAGGUUUUUUUUCUGGAACAACCUUCUGCUUAAAGUUCAAGAUAUUGUGAAAAGCUGAAUUAUCUAGUCAAAUCAAGAAUCUAUGGCCAAUCAAAUGAAUUCAAAUUUCUUAAUAAUGCUUUUGUGCAUCAGGGAAUUGUCCACUUGCAUAAGUAAUAAAGUGCUCUUUUCCAUUGCAGUCUUCAAAGAGGAUGGCCCACCAUGAUUCAUCACUUGCAUCUGUUUAGAGAAUCCUUUUUCCGUCUGUGAUAAGCUUUAGAGGUGGUGAGUUCUGAGCCAGGAUGGUGGAUUCUUUUUUAGGAGUGCAAACAACUUGCUUGUGUGGUGAUUGACAUGUGGCAGGAAGUAAUGGAUGUAAUUGAUAAUUCCAAGAAAUUGUUGGACUUGCUUUUUGGUAAAGUUACUUUCGGGAAAGUGGAGUAACUCUUGUGCAAUAUGGGGUCUAGGCUAAUAAUGUCCGUUUUGGAUUUUCAUGCCAAGAAAGUCAAUAGAGGUUGUCGCAAUCAUACUUUUCUUGUCAUAGAUCAUGAUUCCAUGUUCUUGAAUGAUCUGAAAAAACUGUUGGAGUAGCUUGUGAUGUUCAUCAUGAGUACCUGAAAAAAGAAGCAAAUCGUCAAUGUAAACAAGGGUAUGGUGGAGAAUGGGUUGAAAGAUAGUGGUCAUGGCCUUUUGAAAAAUAGAAGGGGCGGUUUUGAGGCCAAAAGGAAGGACUGUCCAUUGGUAAUGGGCAUUUGGGAUACAAAAAGUAGUUUUGUAUCGUUCAGAGGGAUGAAUGCAAAGUUGCCAAAAACCUGACAAAAUGGGUGUGUCUGUUGGGUAAUGGAAAUUUCAAAUCUUAGAGAAAAUUGUUGAGUGGCUGAUAGUCAAUGACUAAUCAUUUUUUGCCACGAAGAAUUUCAGACCUUUUUUCAACAUAAAAGGCUUGGCAAGCCCAUUGAGAACUUGUGGGCUCAAUGAGUCCUUGUUUUAACAAUUGGGCACAUUCUUGUUGGGCUAGGAUAAGGUCUUUUGGUGGAAAUCAGGUUUUUGAUACUUCUGGUGAAAGAAGGUUUUUUAUACAAGUGAUAUAGUCUGAUAAGAGGUAAAGAAGAUUCAUUGAUUUGAACAGAUUCAUAAACAUAAGAGUAUUCAACAAGAUUCUCUAUUUUACUGACUGUUUGCUUAGUAUAGGAUUUAGGAAGAGAAAGAGUAGAAGAAAGAGUAACUGGAGAAGAUGAAGAUGUAGGAGUAGAUGAUGAUGAAGCCAUGAGAUUAAGAGAUUCUAUUCUUUAAUGUUUCGAUUCCUAAGUCAUUGAACUCUUAUAAUCUAUGCCAAUAUCGGAGAAUGAUGCAUAAGGCUCUGAUACCAACUGGGUAACACUAAGUACGUGGCGUAUCAAGCUGGACAAAGAUGAGAAAGGUAAGGAAGUUGACAUCAAGACUUAUCGAGGUAUGAUCAGAUCCUUACUCUACUGGACUGCUAGUAGACCUGAUAUUAUGUUUAGUGUAUGCUUGUGUGCUAGAUUUGAUGCGAAUCCCACAAUGAAACUUUGAAACCCACACUUCAUUUGUAGUUUCAACUUCCCAAGAAAGUUCUAAACAGAUUUAUGACAAACAAAACCUUGACCCAAUGCUUAAGAAAACAUAAACCAAAGGUAUAGAGAAUGAUAUUGACGCCACACUCAAGAAAUAGAUGAGAAGGUGAGUGAUAAGUCUAAAUUUAGAACGCCACAAGAAUGCAAAUUCUUGAUAAGUUCACUAGUUCUCAAAAGAACCAAAGAAAGAAUAAUCUUUCAAAUUCAAAUAACAUUAAUCUCUAAUAUUAUUACAUACAAGGUUGCUGAAUUUAAAUAGGCUAAAAGAAACCCAAGAUCCUAAAAAUACAAAUGGAAACAUUGGAACAACCCUCCAAGUAGGUUUGUCAAAGGAUGUUUCAAAAGUCUUCACCAACCCACCAUAAUUAAUGGUAUCUUUGACAAACUUAAUGCUAGCCUACUAUAAUUAAUGCUAUCAUUGACAAACUUAAUAUUAGCCCACCAUCAUUGAUGGUAGACUUACCUUACACAUUGACAAACUUGAAACAAAACAAACAAAUGAAGUUGAAAAACAAAGGAGUCGUUGAAAAUCUCAAGUCUAAACAAGCUGUAAUGAAUUGGUCAUAACUCCUUCUAGAAAACUCCAAAUCCAGCUCUGCAAAAUUUAUUGGAAAGCUAACUUAAUUAUCUUUCUAACAGUAUAUAGCUUGCACAUUACUUAUGGCUCAAUCAAUACAGUUUUUAUUCCGAAUUUGACCUUUCUGCAUUUGAUACAAAUUGUGUAUUUGGCUGCCCAAUAACUUGAAUAAUGCCCACAAUGCCUUGUCUUCUCUUCAAGCCCAAUUCAUGAUGUCUUGCAUCUUGAAUUGCAUUUUCAAUCCAUAUUUUCUCAAUUAAUCCAUUUAAAGCAGCUUGCAUCUUUUUGGCUUUUGCUCUUGUAAUUGAACCUCCAUGAAUGUGCAAAGGAUCACUUGAAUUUUUAAUGGUAUUCCAUUGAUGGUUCUCAUCAUUCCCCCUCUCCUCAAAAGUAUUCGUCCUUGAAUCUUCACCUACAUCGAAAGGAGAAAGAUCAGAAACAUUAAAAGUAGCACUCACAUUAUACUCACCAAGAAGAUCCAAUUUGUAGGCAUUGUCAUUUUUUCGUGCAACCACUUGAAAUGGACCAUCUCCCCUUGGAAGCAACUUAGAACGCCUUUGUGCUGGGAACCUCUCCUUUCUCAUAUGCACCCAAACCCAAUCUCCAGGCUGAAAAACCACUUGCUUACGUCCUUUGUUGGCUUGAGUAGUAUAUUGUUCGGUUCUCUUUUCUAUGUGUUGACGUGUUCUCUCAUGCAAUUGCUUGACAAAUUCAGCUUUCUUUUUACCAUCCAUACUAGCACGCUCAUCAAUAGGCAAAGGUAAUAAAUCCAAAGGAGUUAAUGGAUUAAAACCAUAUACAAUCUCAAAUGGUGAAAAUUUAGUAGAUGAAUGGACAGUUCUAUUAUAAGCAAAUUCAACAUGUGGAAAACAUUCUUCCUAAGUUUUCAAGUUCUUUUGAAUAAUGGCACGCAACAAAGUAGACAGAGUUCUAUUUACAACCUCAGUUUGUCCAUCAAUUUGUGGAUGACAAGUAGUAGAAAACAAAAGUUUAGUACCCAACUUAGUCCACAAAGUUUUCCAAAAGUGGCUCAAGAACUUAGCAUCUCGAUCUGAAACUAUGCUCCUUGGUACUCCAUGCAAUCUGACUAUUUCCUUGAAAAAUAAAUUAGCUAUGUUGGUUGCAUCAUCAGUUUUGUGACAUGGAAUGAAAUGUGCCAUCUUUGAAAACCUAUCAACAACAACAAAAACAGAAUCAUUUCCCCUUUUUGACCUAGGUAAACCCAAAACAAAGUCCAUAGAAAUAUCAACCCAAGGUUCACUAGGUAUAGGCAGAGGGUUAUACAAUCCAUGGGGUAAAACUCUAGACUUAGCAUGUUUACAAGUGAUACACUUCUCACAUAUUCUUUCAACAUCACGUUUCAUAUGUGGCCAAAAGAAGUGUUCUUUUAAAACAUCUAAAGUCUUUGCAAUGCCAAAAUGUCCUAUUAAACCACCCCCAUGAGCUUCACGCACAAGCAAUUCACGCAAAGAACUAUGAGGCACACAAUUUAUUUUCUCUAAAUAAAAGCCCAUCAUGCCUAUAGAACUUACCAAAUGCAACUUUCUCACAAGCAUUAAACACAUUAGCAAAAUCAGGAUCAUUAACAUAUAAUUCUUUAAUGUACUCAAAUCCUAACAACUUUGCAUUUAAUGUAGAGAUAAGUGCAUGCCUUCUAGAUAAUGCAUCAGCCACCACAUUCUCCUUACCUUGUUUAUAUUUGAUCACAUAAGGAAAUGGCUCUAUAAAUUCAACCCAUUUGGCAUGUCUCUUAUGUAACUUACCUUGCCCUUUCAAAUGCUUCAAGGACUCAUGAUCAGUGUGUAUAACAAACUCUUUAGGUAGAAGAUAAUGUUGCCAAGUUUCCAAUGUUCUCACCAAUGCAUACAUCUCCUUGUCAUAGGUAGGAUAGUUUAGGGCUGCUCCACUCAAUUUCUCACUAAAGUAAGCAAUUGGAUGCCCUUAUUGCAUCAAAACAGCUCCAAUACCUAUACCUGAAGCAUCACACUCAAUUUCAAAAGUUUUAGUAAAAUCAGGUAAAGCAAGUAACGGUGCAGAAACCAAUUUUUCCUUAAUUAGACUAAAUGCCCUUUCUUGUUCACUACCCACUUAAAUCCCACAUGUUUCUUCACAAUUUCAGUUAAUGGUAUAGCAAGGGUGCUAAAAUCUUUCACAAAUCUUCUAUAAAAACUAGCCAAACCAUGAAAACUUCUUACCUCACUUACACUUUUAGGUGUAGGCCACUCUUUGAUAGCCUUUACCUUCUCUUCAUCAACCUCAAUUCCUUUAGCACUUACAACAUAACCAAGAAAAACAAUCUGAUUUGUACAAAAGGAACACUUCGUCAAAUUAGUAUACAACUUUUCCUUCCUUAAAACAGUCAAUACACUUUGCAAAUGUUCAAUGUGUUCAAUAGAUCAAAAUAUCAUCAAAAUAGACAACUACGAAUUUACCAAUAAAAGCACGCAAAACAUGGUUCACUAACCUCAUAAAAGUGCUAGUUGCAUUAGAUAACCCAAAUGGCAUCACUAACCACUCAUAUAAACCAUAUUUUGUUUUAAAGGCAGUUUUCCACUCAUCUCCUUCUCUAAUCCUAAUUUGAUGAUAUCCGCUUUUAAGAUCAAUUUUACUAAACACACAAGAACCAUGCAAUUCAUCAAGCAUGUCAUCAAGUCUAGGAAUAGGAUGUCGAUACUUUACAGUGAUUUUAUUAAUUGCACGACAGUCAACGCACAUCCUCCAUGUUCCAUCCUUUUUGGGCACUAGUAAAACUGGUACCGCACAUGGACUCAUGCUCUCCCUCACAUAUCCUUUUGCCAAGAGUUCUUCAACUUGCCUUUGAAGCUCCUUUGUCUCCUCGGGGUUACUUCUAUAUGCAAGUCUAUUAGGAAUGGUAACUCCAGAGACGAAGUCUAUUUGAUGCUCAAUUCCCCUAAUAGGUGGCAAACCGUUAGGGACUUCAUUUGGAAAUACAUCAUCAAAGUCCUGUAAAAGAGUCACAAUAGCACUAGGCAAAGAAAAGUUAAGCUCAUUAGUGUGUAAAUAAGACUCUUUGCACAAAAGUACAAUGAUAGGCUGUUUUGAAAAGAAAGCCCUCUUAAGCUCGCUCUCUUUUGCAAACAAGUUCACUUGCUGCCUCUCUUUUCUCUCAACAAUAUUUUUUUCUAUCUUUUCACUUGCUUUUCUCUCAAUCUCUCUUUCUUUUGUACUCUCAUUUUCAUUUUUUGUAUCACUCUCUUUUUGUAUUGACAUUUGAUCCUCAUACACUUGCCUAGGUGUUAAUGGUACAAGAGUGAUUUGCCUUUUGUUCAUUACAAAAGAAUAUCUAUUUAAGUAACCAUCAUGUGUCACACGCCUAUCAUAUUGCCAAGGUCGACCCAAAAGAAUGUGUCCAUAAUGAAUGGGUACUACAUCAUAUAGAACCUCAUCCUUGUAUCUCCCAAUAGAGAAUGAAACUAGCACUUGUUUAUUUACUUUAACUUCCCCACAAUCAUUCAGCAAUUGUAGCUUAUAUGGCCUCGGAUGUUUCAAAGUUUUCAAAAUUAAUUUUUCAACUAAACUAGUGCUAGCUACAUUAGUACAACUUCCACCAUCAAUUAUCAUACUACAUACUUUAUCUUUGAUGUGGCAUCUAGUAUGAAAGAUGUUAUCACGUUGUACCUCUGCAUCCUCUUUUACUUGCAUGUUGAGAGCACGACUAGCAACCAUCAAUUUACCAUCAAUAGGAUAUUCUACACCAUCAUUAGCAUCCUCCAAAGGUGGCAUAGGAUCAUCAUCUGAUUCACUCUCGGUUUCAACAUCACCAUCAUCCCUCAAGAUCAUUACUCUCUUAUCUGGGCAUUGAGAUGCGAUAUGACAUGUCCCCAAACAUUUAAAACACUUAAUAUCUCUAUUUCUAGAGUGUUGGGAAUCAGAUUUACCUUUGCUUUGGUUGCCUCCCUCUUUAUGAUCCUUUAUUGGCUCAAUCUUAGGCUUUGAAACAACCUUUUCAUAUUUGCUCCAUUUUGACUUCCAUGAGGAAGAUGAACCCAAAUUGGUUCUAGUGGAACCUUUCUUUUUUAGUUGUCGUUCCACUUUCAUGGCCAUGUGAACCAUGUCUUCCAACUCAACAUAGUGCUGCAAGUCAACCACAUUAGCGAUAUCUUGAUUUAAACCAUGUAAAAAUCUUGCAAUAGUGGCCUCUCGUUCUUCUUCAAUAUUGGCUCGAAUCAUGAUUAUUUCCAUCUCCUUGUGGUAAUCUUCCACACUUCUAGAACCUUGUAUAAGACUUUGAAGCCUUUGGUGCAGUUCCCUAUAAUAAUGACUAGGAACAAAUCUCCUCCUCAUGAUGGCCUUUAUCUCUUCCCAAGUGUUUAUAGGCCUUUCACGAUUUCGUCUCCUACUCAAAACAAGUUGAUCCCACCAAAUAAUAGCAUAAUCAGUAAAUUCAACAGCAGCUACUUUUACCUUUUUCUCCUCAGAGUAGUUGUGGAAAUCAAAUACUAACUCCACCUUUUUUUCCCACUUCAAAUAAGCUUCCGGAUCAUUUUUACCUUGAAAAGAAGGAAUUUUCAGUUUGAUACUCCCCAAAUCAUGAUCUAUACGUCUUGCCCUUCUAUUAUCUCUUCCACGCAUGUCAACGGUGGCCUGGUUAUCAAAAUCAUCUAUGUCAUCGCCAUCUUCUUCUCCCAUGGCAGCACUCCCUUGAUUACCUCUUACAUUAGGAGCUAUUGGUUGUUGCCCCUUUGUAGAUUGGCUAUGGCAGUAUCUUGCCUCUCCAAUUUGUCACGGAUCUCUCCAAACAUCAGAUUCAUGUGCUCAAAUUGGUCUAUAGCUUCUUGUUCUUUUGACAUAUUUUUGAUCUGAAAAGAAUGUUAGCAAAAAGACCUUAGAACACUCCCUCACGUGUUUCAUUCAGUUUGAUGUCACUUAACUCUCGUGUUUAACACACAAAUUGGCUUUUACCCUCUAAUGAUCUCACAAACUUUUGCCUUUUACCACACUUAAUUCUCUCUUUCAGUUCUUUAUUAAACUAAAUAAACAAAAUCAAGAAAAAAAAAACCCAAGUGGCACACCAAAUAUGACAAUCCAGCACACUAACAAAGAAAAGAAAUUAAGAGGACACAAAGAAUGAAAAAGGAAAUUGAAGAAAGGAAAGCAAGCAAGCAAAGCAACACAAUUGAUAUGUGUGUAAACUAUAUCAAGGAAAAUGAAUAACUAAAAUUCAAUUUGAUGAAAGUAGAAAUACUUGAGUCCUUUUGUAAUCUUUUUUUUUGUACGUUUUUUUUUCUUUUUGAUAAUCAAAAUAAAUAAGAGAUUCAAACCUGAUUAGAAACUAGCUCUGAUACCAAAUGAUGCGAAUCCCACAAUGAAACUUUGAAACCCACACUUAAUUUGUAGUUUCAACUUCCCAAGAAAGUUCUAAACAGAUUUAUGACAAACAAAACCUUGACCCAAUGCUUAAGAAAACAUAAACCAAAGGUAUAGAGAAUGAUAUUGACGCCAUACUCAAGAAAUAGAUGAGAAGGUGAGUGAUAAGUCUAAAUUUAGAACGCCACAAGAAUGCAACUUCUUGAUAAGUUCACUAGUUCUCAAAAGAACCAAAGAAAGAAUAAUCUUUCAAAUUCAAAUAACAUUAAUCUCUAAUAUUAUUACAUACAAGGUUGCUGAAUUUAAAUAGGCUAAAAGAAACCCAAGAUCCUAAAAAUACAAAUGGAAACAUUGGAACAACCCUCCAAGUAGGUUUGUCAAAGGAUGUUUCAAAAGUCUUCACCAACCCACCAUAAUUAAUGGUAUCUUUGACAAACUUAAUGCUAGCCUACUAUAAUUAAUGCUAUCAUUGACAAACUUAAUGUUAGCCCACCAUCAUUGAUGGUAGACUUACCUUACACAUUGACAAACUUGAAACAAAACAAACAAAUGAAGUUGAAAAACAAAGGAGUCGUUGAAAAUCUCAAGUCUAAACAAGCUGUAAUGAAUUGGUCAUAACUCCUUCUAGAAACCUCCAAAUCCAGUUCUGCAAAAUUUAUUAGAAAGCUAACUUAAUUAUCUUUCUAACGGUAUAUAGCUUGCACAUUACUUAUGGCUCAAUCAAUACAGUUUUUAUUCCGAAUUUGACCUUUCUGCAUUUGAUACAAAUUGUGUAUUUGGCUGCCCAAUAACUUGAAUAAUGCCCACAAUGCCUUGUCUUCUCUUCAAGCCCAAUUCAUGAUGUCUUGCAUCUUGAAUUGCAUUUUCAAUCCAUAUUUUCUCAAUUAAUCCAUUUAAAGCAGCUUGCAUCUUUUUGGCAUUUGCUCUUGUAAUUGGACCUCUAUGAAUGUGCAAAGGAUCACUUGAAGUUUUAAUGGUAUUCCCUUGAUGGUUCUCAUCAAGAUUUCAAUCUUGUCCUAAAGAGUCACACAUGCUUGCUGUCAAACGAAUUUUUCGAUAUUUAAUUGGCACCAUUAAUCUUGGCCUUUGGUAUCCUAGGGGAACUCAUAUUGACUUAAUUUGUUAUUCGAAUGCCGACUUUGCCGGAUAUAAGGUUGAUAGAAAAAGUACUAGUGGCAUUUAGUAAGAAACAAAACUCGGUUGCGCUUUCAACCACCAAGGCAGAAUAUAUUGCCGUAGGUAGUUGUUGUGCACAAAUUUUUGGAUGAAACAAAUCCUUAGAGACUAUUGUAUUAAUCUUGAUCAAAUGCCUAUAUUGUGUGACAAUACUAGUGCUAUUAAUCUAUCCAAGAAUCCCAUUCAACAUUCUAGGACUAAGCAUAUAGAAAUUAGGCAUCAUUUUCUAAGAGAUCAUGUUCAAAAAGGAGAUGUUGUGAUUAAAUUUAUUUCUACUGAAAAACAACUUGCGGAUAUCUUUACAAAACCUCUUAGUGAGGAGCUUUUUAUAAAGAUACGACAUGAACUUGGAAUGAUGAAUAUUGCAUCUAAAAUUAUGAUUUAUAAUUUAGUUGAUGUGUUUGAUCUUGUUACUUGUAUGCAUUUAUGUUUCAUGUUUUAAAUGGCUUAUUGAAAAGUUUUGAAUCACCAAAUGAUUUAAAAUUGAUCAAUUUUUAAGACAAAAAUAAAUUGGUGUGUAUAAUACAAGAAUAAGAGUUUACCAAAGUUCAACCGAAAGAUCAUUUUUUUUCUUUUUCUCAUUCACUGGACCAAAUUCGGAUAACUGAAUUUAUUAAAUCGGUAAGCUGAAUUAGCUUUGGAGUUCUCUGGAUCACAUUCGGAUAACAGAAUUCAGCAAACCGGUAAGCCGGAUUAGGUUUGCUUAAUCUCGGGUCAACAUCCGGAUAACCAGAUUGGAAAAUUCAGAAAGCCGAAUUCAAUUUGGAUCUUACUGGACACAAACCGGGUAUCCGGUUAUGACAUCCGGCAAGCCGAAUCUACACAACUCCUUUUCUGCCUCAAAACCGGACAACCGGUUAGGAAAAUCAGUAAGCUGUUUGCACUUUGGAAGCAUUCUGGAAACAAUUCGGCCAACCGGUUAAGGAAAUUGGUAAGCUGGUUACGGUUUUCUUCUUGCUGUCCACUAACCGGCUAACCAAUUAGUGAAAUCCAAUAAGCCGGAUUCGCCGUUCAUAAACUAUAUCAUCUUCUUUCUUUGUUUUGAUAAACCAGAUAGCUCCUUCUCUAUCAAGUUGUUUCUUCCUCUCUCUUUCUCACUCCAAAAUCCAUCAUUUCCACUCAUUUUCGAUUCAAAUUGAUUCAUAAAACUUAUUCCCCAUCCAUUCUUGUGUCCAAAAUCAUCUUUCAAAUCUAUUUUUCGCAUCAAACUCACUAGAUCUGAAAUCAAAUCUAGGGUUUCAAAUGAUUUUUCUCUAUCUAAAUUUCUUCCUCUUAAGCCGUUUUUAAACCGAAUUACACCUCAAAAUCUCUUUCAAUCCCCAUCAUCUUCCUUCUCAUUGCCUCAUUUCACUUCAAAUUAAUCAAAAUCACCAUGUCAAGUUCACGGCCGGUUCGUGGAAAAGGCAAAGAACCGGUUCAACAACUCAACAGGUUACGGCAAGCAGGGGGCACCUCUAAUCAAUCCAACUUUGAGUCUACACACUUUCAGAACAAGCAUUUAGCCAAACGGUUUCACCAAAGUUUCAUGACUCGUGAUGUACUCUCUACGUUUUAUGUUUUACUGGAUUGGCAUAAUAGUCUCACUAUUAGUCAUAGAAAUUUAUUUCAAUUGUUGGGAGAUGUUGGUUGGAUUAAUGCACUUAUGAUUGAGGAGAAUGUGUAUCCCGAAUUAGUGAAAGUGUUUUACUCGAAUAUGGACACUUCCGAGGAGAACAAGACUCGAGUAAUUACCAAGGUUGGAGGCGUUUUAAUUGAUUUUGAUGUUUCCGUAUUAAACUCUAUCCUAGGAUCCUCCGAUUUUGGCCUAGAAAUUUUUUCGCCUAGGAAAUCUCUCAAAAUGGCUAGUUAUGUUCAUGUUGAUGCCGUUCGAAAUAUAUGCCGGCGCAAUGACCUUUCUGUUGAAAAUUGUACCAUUCACUUUCACACUCAAUGUCUCUGUCUCCAAACUAGGAUUUUUUUUCGUUUUAUUCAGUCCAUUGUACUUCCUAGAUUAAGGCAUUUGGAUGCGGUUUCCCACAUGGACGUUGCUUUGAUUGAUUGUAUUCUUAGACGUCGUCCGGUUAACUUGGGUUAUACCAUCAUCCGCACCAUGUUGACCAUACCUAACUUGAUUACUUGUUCCCUUCCAUACGGUCAUUUCAUUACCCAAAUCCUUAAACACUUUAAGGUACCGAUUCAUGAACCAUCGUGUAGACUGUCUAAGGGUAUAGGGGAUGACGCUGUAUAUGCCUUAGGUUUUGAGUGGAGUAAUGGCACUUGGGUCGAGUUCACUGAAAACAAGUACACUUUCCUUGCUCCAAGUGAUGAUCAGCCACCCAAUGCUAUGGUUCCUGCUGAUCAACUUCCUGAUUUCUCGCUUCUGUUUCGAGGCCAGCGUCGACGUCGAGAUCCUCCAGUGUCUACCUCUACUCUUGCUAACUCUGCACCUGAUUUACCAUCUCCCGAGCCUUCUGUUUCUGAAGAGGUCACUCUUCAGCAGCUAUGGAUGAGGUGAGGACACUCUCUGUGCGGCAGACUGAGUUUCAGCAGCAGCAGCAGCAGCUCAUUCAUGGUCAGUGUCUCCUUUUUUAGCACUUCGGUAUUCCAUAUCCAUAUCCACCUCCAUCACCACCAUCCUCACCACCUCAGUAGUCUUUUAUGCUUGUAUUUGAACACACCAACAUUUACUACUUUAUGCUCUUUCGUUUGCUAUUUGGAUCAUGUGGAUAAUUAUGCUUGUUUGUUAUGAUUUUGGAUUAUGUAUUUGUUUUCAAUUAUAUAGAUUUGCUUUGAUUGUUUGUUAUGUUCUUUCCUUAUGUUUUGGAUAUUUUUGAACUAAUGUGCUUGUAUUGAGAUUUUUGAUGAUUGCAAAGGGGAGCUUUUAUUAUUUUUGAUGAUGAAGGGGGAGAUGUAGGAAAUGUGGAAAAUUUCAUUUGUUAUGAAAAAUAUUCAUAUGCACUUAUGCAGGGGGAGUCUUUUAAAUCUUUUUGAAAUUAGUCUUUAACCUUGCAUUGAUUAAGGGGGAGCUUUUCAUAACAAAAUUAAUUUUUUUAUAAUGUGUUUUGUCAUCAUCAAAAAGGGGGAGAUUGUUAGCCUACAUGGCUAUAAAUGUUGAUUUUGAUGAUAACAAACUACAUGUUUUGGUUAAACAAAAAUUUAUGUAUUGUGCUUUUAUAAUAAGAAAAUGAUUUUAUGGAGUUAAGUUGUUUUCAAGUUGUGGACUAAAAUGAAAGAAUUUUACAAUCUUUGAUUUUAAUAAAUAUUAUUUUCAAUUUAGAAUUUGGACCUAUUUGAAAGUAUUUAAAUAUUUUGGGUCAUUCUAUAAUUUCACUUAGUUUGAGCGAUAUCAUAAUUUUAGAAAGUUUUGGGAUUAACAAAGUAUUACUAAGAAAUUCCCAAAUUGGACUUAUCUGAAAAGAUUUAUAACGUUUUGGGCCAUAAUAUAGUUAUAAAAAGUUUUGAGGUCAAAAUAUAAUUUUUAAAAAAUAGUUUACUGUAGCAGUUACUGUAUCAAGCGGCUAAUCGGAUGUGACAAGCGGCCAACUAGAUUUUGGGCAGUAAGCUUUUGGAACAUAAACGGCUAUCCGGAUUUUGUAAGCGGCAUACCGGAUGUUCUGAAAUUCAAAUUUUUGCUGUAAUGGUAACCUAAAAGCGGAUAAACGAAUUCCAUAAACGGUAAGCCGGUUAUCACCAAAAUGUGCAUAACGGCUAGUUUUUUAGAUCAAAUUAUAUAAACUCAAAUCUAAUUCAUUUUCAAUCUCUCCAGCAAACAAAAUAAAAAAGCACACAAUAUAUAUUGAGCUCUCAUUUCGCAAAUCAUCAAACAUUGAAUCAUCUUUGUUCUUCAAUUUGUAUAUCUACUCUUAAAGAGAGUUUUUGUUGUAAUGUUCAUUUUCUCAUCUUAAUUGUGAGUGUUUGAGUGUGUGAGACAUUUGAGUGAAGAGAUUGAGAGAUAAUCUUUGUUGUAAAGGUUCAUUGAUAGCUUGGAAGUCAAUUGUAAGCAUUUGAAGCCUUGGAAGACUUGGAUAGUGAAAAACUCAAGCUUGGAUCGCUUUGAGGCAUGGACGUAGGCGGGGAUUGCCGAACCACGUAAAAAUUCGUGUGUUUGUUUUUUUUUUCCCUUACUCAUUUAUUAUUGUGCUUUUAUUGAACUUAUUGCUUUCGAAUUUAUUAAGGCAUUAGAUUGGAUUGUUGUGUGGUUUUAUUAGGAUAAGUUUUAAAAUACUAAUUCACCCCCCUCUUGGGUUGCACAACUUGUAUUUUAGAGAGCUAUACAUACACACUGACACAAUUUUAUGUAGUGGAAUUUAUUUGUUAAUACUUCCAUGAAAUAUUUUAUGUUAAUAGAUGCCUAGAUUACUAUAUUUGAUGCCCACAUGUAUUGCAGCCUCUUAAUUUUUCCUUAUUUAGUUUGGUGUUUGAAUCAAUUUUGUUCACAGGAAACUUGCAGGUCGCUUUGUAAGUUUCAAUUUCCGUUUAGAGUGCUAUCGGAAGAUGGUAUUGUUGCUGGAAUUUUUACAUGAAGUCUUCCUAGAAAUCUUAUUGUUGGAGUACUUGCAUUAAUCUUUGAAAGUUUUGUUGGGUAACUUGGCUUGGUGGCCGGAAUUCUUAUUGCUUUUCUUAGAGUUUGAUUGGAGUUUGACAGCAAUUUUAUACUUUGGGAUGGGUUUUUUCAAUUUGGGAUGUUUUAUUAUGUAUUGGUGGAGAUCACAUUGGAUAUUAGAUUUAUUUCUUUUGAAAUUAAUUUUUGGAUUGAAUAAAUGUUAUUUGAUAUUAAAUUUUUUAUGAUAUUUGUUUUAUUAAUUAAUUAAAUUUACAAGCAGGAAUUCAUCAAUAUAUUAUAAUUAUAAUAUAAUUUUAAAAAAAAUAAAACUUUAUUAUGGAAAAAGACAUCAUAUAUUCUAUCAUAAAUAAUUUCCCACCAAAAUUGAAUAAUAAAAUUUCAAAUAAUAAUUGAAUUUCCCACCAAAAUUUAAAAAAAUGGCGCAAAAAUUUAAAUAAAUUCAAUUUUUAAUUUAAUUAUUUUUUAAUUAAAAUAUUGUGCGACGGAUAUAUGACUAUGAAAUACUAUCAUGAAUUCAUGAUGAAAAAUAUUCUGUUAUAAAUUAAUAACAGUGAUAUAGAUGACGAAUGAACUGUCUGUCAUAUACCCCUUUUUAUGACAGUUAUUUCCCAUCAUCUAUUACAUAUUUUCUUGUAGUGAUUAGUGCCAAGACUAGUUUUCCCGCAGCAAAAUAUCUUGUUUCUGGAUCUGACAAAGUUCUGGUGGUAAAAAAGAUAGGCUUUUGCGCCCCUUCCUCUUCUCUUAUUAAUACAGUAUUGACUAAGAUGUAGGAUACAACGAGAUACAAAUAAAGUUCCUCCCCAGGUUUUGUUGUAGAAAGUAUGGGUGGCUGGAGGAGAGAACUCUUGAACUGCACUAGGGCCUCAGAUUGCUCUCUUCCCCAUACUCCAUUUUUUUUGGGGCUUUCAUAAGCUUGAAAAAGCUUUUACAUUUAUCAGACAUCUGGGAGAUGUAUCUGUUCAAUGCCGCAAUUCUUCCUGUCAGCACCUAAGUUUUCCUUGCGGUUUUUGGCUCCGUAAUUCCUAGUAAUGCUUUGACUUGGCCUGGAUUGGCUUUAAUUCCCCUCUAGCUAACUAUGUGGCCAAGGAAAUUGCUUGAGGAAACCCCAAAAGUGCACUUCGUGGAAUUGUAUUUCAUGUUGUAGUUCCUUAGAAUGUUGAAAACUAUUUCAAAUCUGCAAUGUGAUCUCCUACCUGUUGGGAAAAAAUCAGGUUUUUAAAUUUUUAUAAAACCUUUUGAAGAUCGCUCUCAUAUAAUAUAUAAGAAUUUGUAUUCUAGAAAUCGUACCUUGAAAAUCCGAUUUGGCUUUUUCCGUUGAAAUGAUUUAGGCUCCUAGAUCACGAUCCGCCACCACCACUCCUGUUAGAUCACGAUCCGUCACCACCACGCUUGCUAGAUCACGAACUGUCACCAAUGAUCUUCCAGGUUAUGACUCAGGUUCGAUCUGCACUUGACGUGUGGGCGCUUUUAUCACUACCAAAGCAACUAGCACGAGAAAAUUUUUCUCUCAACAAUGGAGAGAAAAAUCUUAUUCUCUGAUCUGUAUAAAGUGGCUUCUUCUUUUUUUCUGUUGAGAAAAAUAAGCCUUAUAUAUCUCCCUUUAGUGAAAACCUUAGGCUCCAAAUAAUGCCCAAAAUAAAACUCACGUUACUUUUCAUUUAAUAGGGGACCCACCAUGUAAAAUAACAUAAGGCCCCUUAUACAUAAGCUUAUUAAAUGGAGCCUCCCACUAAAUGAUAUAUUUAGGCUUUUGACCCAAAUAGCUAGUUAUCUUGCUUAUUAGUCCAGUAGUGGUGCAGUCAAUUAAAUGAGCUAACCCGGGGAUCAUUUGGGAACAUACAAUAGUGGCUACAAUAAUUAGGCAUGUAAUUAAACUAGCCCAAUUAUUUAAUUCCAAAUCUACUCCACUAAAAGAUUGGAACUGACUUCCAUAAUUGUAUGCUCGAAUAAUAAUUCGUCCCAAGCCACAUUGAU
rnacentral:lncRNA from 1 species